GAGUUUAAAACUCAGUGAGAUCAGUGAGUGGAUAGUAGGUUUGAAAAUUAAAUCUUACUUUAAAAGAAAUAAUCAUAUCAUUUCCAAAUACGGUUUCAUUAAACCAUAAGCGAGAAAUCAGAAAUAAAUCAUUAAACAUUUAAAUCAGAUUACCAACCAUAGAAAUCAUAUCACCAAAUCAUAUAGGAUUCACAAAUCUGAAAAUCAUCAUAAAACAAGUACCCAGGGAAAUAAUCUCGUCAUAUCCGGACCUCAACGGACGGGCAAUGACGUACUAUCUGGGUAACGUCACGCCCCGGAGCUACACAGAUAGACAGGGAAAUACCAUCUCAUAUCUCAUCAUAUCUCUGCAUGCAUAAUCUAGUCCCCAAAGGACAAAAGCGCCCAAGCACACGGCCCAAAGCCUCUGUGUGUACUCAGACGGGCCCCAAAGGCCUGUAUCUCAUCUAUAUCAUCUGUAUCACAAUAUCGGUCUGUAUCUCAUGUCUGUAUCAUCUGUAUUUCAAUGUCUGUCUAUAUCUCAUAUCUGUAUCACUGUAAUCAUACCGCAUGCAUAUGCCCCCAAAAGGCAAAAGCGCCCAAACACACGGCCCAAAGCCUCUAUGUGUGUUUAGACGGGCCCCAAAGGCCUCUCAUCUCAUAUCAUUUAUAUCACUAUAUCUGGAGGGAAGGGUACUGUUUAAUGAUUUUAAAAACAAUCAUAAUACUCAUAUUCUCAUACCUCUUAACCAUAUUUUAAAUCAUACCACACAUUUUAAUAUAAUCUCAACACGUGAAUAAAAUCCAUUUCGAGGGAAUCACAUUAAAUCCAAUUCGAGAAAAAUCGCAUUAAACCCAUUUCGAGAAAUCAUUAAAUCAAAACAUUUAAAAUGCUUAUUCCGCAAACAUGCUUACUAUCAUCGCUAACUAUAAAAAUAAGUUUUAUAUAUUCCACUCACAGUGAUGGUGUUCAGGGUCGGUUAUCGUCCAUGUCCGCAGUCCGGUUCUCGCUCGCGGAUCCUCCUAAAUCAAGGAAACGACAUAAUUAUUUUCCAUAAAUCGGAAUUCCGACUCAAUAUAUGCCAUAAACUCGAAACGAACAUUUAUCCAUAAUUUACAACUCCCGUGUCGAUAAAAUUACUAAAAUGCCCUUGCCGGUGAACGGUCGCCGGAAAUUGGUCAACGACGAUGGGAAGCUUAGGUCUGCUAGUUCAGACCUCGGUGAGUCCAAUGGUGGUGGCUGUGAGUCCCCACGCGCGGUACCGACGGCGGAUCGAGCUUCCCAAGCCGUGAGCUUCCAAGUGGCUAUUCGUCGGCAAUCCGGCCGUUUCAGAUGACGAGGUUGGUCGGAAAAUGAUUCUGGUGACGUGAGGAGUAGAAACCAGCUAGAGGUGUGCCCAAACUCUGGCAAAAUCGACGGCGGCGAAAACGGGUCUUGGCCGCGACUUUUCAAGCUCAAACGCCGGCGUUCCAGUCGGUUUCCGGCGACGAGGAUGGCAGGGUUAUGAUGGCCGGCUUCCAAGCUUCAGAUUGGUACCAAGCUCGGCUGGUGAGGUGGCCGGAAUCGUGAAAUCCGUCCGGGUCAAAGUCGCGGGUCGGGUCGGGUUUCCGGGUAAAAAAUCGGGUCAACUCUCUUUCUCUGUGUUACACGUGCAUGUGUUUUCCUUUGUUUCCAACUUAUUCCUUUGCUUAUAAACUCCUUAACCGCCUCAUGCCAUCUUAAGUGCAAACACCACUGCUGCUAGCUCUAAAUCAUGUGUUGGAUAGUUUUGUUCAUGCUUCUUAAGUUGUCUAGAGGCAUAAGCCACCACUUUCCCAUGCUGCAUCAAUACACAACCCAAUCCAUGCCUAGAGGCAUCGCUGUAAACCACAAAUCCUUCAUUACUAUAUGGAAGUGUAAGAACUGGUGCUGAGGUCAAACAUGUCUUAAGUUCUUGAAAACUUUUCUCACAGUCAUCAUCCCACUGGAACUUAGCAUUCUUUCUGGUUAACCGUGUCAGAGGAGUAGCAAUCUUGGAGAAGCCUUCCACAAAUCUACGAUAAUAACCAGCUAACCCAAGAAAACUCCGAACCUCUGUGACAUUUGUAGGUCGUUCCCAUUUCACAACUGCUUCAAUCUUUUGAGGAUCAACAUAAAUGCCUUUAGCUGAUAUCACAUGGCCCAAAAAAUACUACUCUAUCUAACCAGAACUCGCAUUUGCUGAACUUGGCAUACAACUGUUUUUGUCUCAAAAUCUUCAAAACAGUCCACAAAUGCUGUGCAUGCUCCUCCUCGCUUCGGGAAUACACUAAAAUAUCAUCAAUGAAUACAACCACAAACCGAUCCAGGUACAGGCGAAAUACCCUAUUCAUCAGGUCCAUAAAAGCAGCUGGGGCAUUUGUCAACCCAAAUGGCAUCACUAAGAACUCAUAGUGCCCAUAACGGGUUCUGAAUGCUGUUGUAGGAACGUCAACAUCUUUAAUUCUAAGCUGAUGGUAACCCGAGUGCAAAUCGAUCUUAGAAAAUACUUUUGCCCCUUGGAGUUGAUCAAAUAAGUCAUCAAUACGCGGAAGUGGAUACUUAUUGCGCACCGUAACUUUAUUCAACUGUCUGUAGUCGAUGCAGAGUCUAAAAGUCCCAUCGUUUUUCUUAACAAACAAGAUUGGAGCUCCCCACGGGGACACACUGGGUCUAAUAAACCCUUUCUCCACCAACUCUUGCAAUUGAAUCUUCAGUUCCUUCAAUUCUGCUGGAGCCAUUCUGUACGGUGCCAUAGAUAUCGGAGAUGUUCUAGGGACUAAGUCAAUAGAAAACUCAACUUCUCUGUUAGGUGGCAUCCCAGGAAGUUCAUUUGGAAAUACAUCUGGAAAUUCUUUAACUACUGUAAUAUCCUCCAAUCUCAAUUUUCGGACUUCUGUAUCUAUCACAUGAGCUAAAUAAGCUGAGCAUCCUUUUCUUAGCAACCUUCUUGCACUAAUAGCAGAUAUAACACAUGAGGGUAGAACUCUGCGCUCCCCACAAAAUUUCACCUCAGCUUUCCCUGGCUUUUUAAACACAACGUCCUUUUUGAAACAAUCCACCGUAGCAUAAUGAGAUUCAAGCCAAUCCAUACCCAAAAUAGCAUCAAAGUCAUAAAUCUUUAAGGAAAUCAAAUUCGCCUCAAAUUCAUAAUCACCCAUUCCAAUCAUACAAUCUCGAUACACACUCUGAGCAAGUAAUGACUCUCCGGUAGGUGUACGAACAACUAAUUCGCAAUCUAAUAGUUCGGGCUCUCGCCCUAUAUGCAUAGCAAAAGCACGAGAAACAAAAGAGUGUGUAGAUCCAGGAUCAAUAAGAAUAUGAGCCUCGCGGCCAAGGAUAGAUAAUAUACCCAUAAUAACUCUGGUGCAGCACGUGCCUCCUGCUGCGUCAAAGCAAAAACUCAAGCCUGAGUAUGAGGUCGACCAAGCUGACCUCUCUGACCUGGAGCAGUCGUCUGACCCCUAAAGGUAGAUGUAGAACCUCCUGUCUGCACUCCUCUCUGACCCUGAGUCUGGCCAGAGUAAGGCUGAUACCGUGAGGCUGUCCCUCCUGUAGAGCUAUCACCCUGAGAUAAAGUAGGGCAAAAUCUCCUGAUGUGUCCAGGCUGACCACAUAAAUAACAAACUUUGUCUCCAACACGACAUGGGCCCUGAUGAUUCCUGCCACAUGAAGGGCAAGAAAUCUGCUGAAAACGCCUAGAACGAUCAUCACGAUAUCCCCCACCACUGCGGUCGUACUGUCCCUGAUUCUUGGUAUUACUCCCCACCGAUGGUUGCACAGAGCUAUGACUAACAGCUUGUCUCGAGUCCCCCCUGAAGCCUGUACCCUGAUUCCUUUGCGUACUAUCAGAAUAACUCGUAGGAAUACCCCCUCUCUUGGGCGGCCUACUACUAGAGCCACCCUCUGCCCAGCUCUGGCUACGCUUUUGCUUCAGUGCAUGAAAUCUACGUCCUUCUGCAAUACUGUGCUCUACUCUCCUGGCUGCCUCAACUACCUCUCCAAACUUAGUAUAUCGUGAUGCAGUCACAGUGGUACGAAUCUCAAAUCGGAGGCCAUCCUCGAACCGUCUGCAUCUCUCUCUCUCAUCACCGACUACAGAUGUAGCAAAUCUAGAGAGGUCUAAAAAUUUCUUCUCAUACUCCUCAACUGUCAGAGAUCCCUGAACCAACCGAAAGAAUUCACUUCGUUUAAUAUCCUGAUAUACAGCAGGAAAAUAAUGAUCGUAGAAUUCCUUGCGAAAAAUGGCCCAAGUAAUCGCAGCAUGUCCCUGAUAUCGUCUCUCCACUGUCUGCCACCAAUGAUAAGCUCUAUCCUCGAGCAGGAAAGUGGCGAAGGAUAAUCUAUCAUCCUCUGAACACUUCAUCACAUCAUAAAUACGCUCUAACUUAACAAACCAUGACUCAGCCUCAGGUGGUUCUCCGGAACCAUUAAAACUCUUCGCCCCUAAACUCCUCACUCGCUCAAUAGUAUUUGCAUUACCGACAUGCGCUUGCGUCUGAUUUUGCACAACUGUAGUCAUGAUUUGAGCCAGCCUAUCAAAUGACUGCUCAAUAUUCGGGGCAUCCCCCGGUGUCUGUUGUGCAAUUCCAUGCGUAGAGGAUUCAACUAUCCCCUCAUUCGCGGGUUCACGUUCCCCCGCAGGUACACUACCAGAAGUCAACCCAGCUAUUGGCCUAGUACGGCCACGGCCACGUCUACUACUACGACGAAGCAUGAUGGUGCCUACAAGAGAUAAACUCUAACUUUAAUAAAGAUAAAACUUAUUCUGAUUAAGACAGUGAAGUCUACAGAAUCUAAAACCAUGCUCUGAUACCAACUGAAACGACCCGCCCCGAGAACCCCUAGGCGAGUCUAUCUAGUCUCAUCAAAACGGACUAGAAAAUCUAUUCAUAAAGAGUCUGCCGAAAAUUCGGCAGAGUCUCCUUUAUAUAUAUAACACUCCCAAUCUACAAAUAUGAAAAUAACACUCCCAAUACAAAUCUCAUAUACAACAAACUCCAGUACUCAACAUACUCAACCAAAAUGCUGAGUCUUAUAUUAUACAAUCCCAAAAGAACAAGAUGACCAAAAUGUCCCAACAAAAACAUUUACACAAUCUAGCACCAUCACGUGGCCAAGACUCAAAAUAUAUAUACAGUCGCUGGGUCAGUCUGGUGUACCUGCAACCUCCUGGUGAGGGGGGAAAAAUAUAAUAAAAGCAGGGUGAGUUUAAAACUCAGUGAGAUCAGUGAGUGGAUAGUAGGUUUGAAAAUUAAAUCUUACUUUAAAAGAAAUAAUCAUAUCAUUUCCAAAUACGGUUUCAUUAAACCAUAAGCGAGAAAUCAGAAAUAAAUCAUUAAACAUUUAAAUCAGAUUACCAACCAUAGAAAUCAUAUCACCAAAUCAUAUAGGAUUCACAAAUCUGAAAAUCAUCAUAAAACAAGUACCCAGGGAAAUAAUCUCGUCAUAUCCGGACCUCAACGGACGGGCAAUGACGUACUAUCUGGGUAACGUCACGCCCCGGAGCUACACAGAUAGACAGGGAAAUACCAUCUCAUAUCUCAUCAUAUCUCUGCAUGCAUAAUCUAGUCCCCAAAGGACAAAAGCGCCCAAGCACACGGCCCAAAGCCUCUGUGUGUACUCAGACGGGCCCCAAAGGCCUGUAUCUCAUCUAUAUCAUCUGUAUCACAAUAUCGGUCUGUAUCUCAUGUCUGUAUCAUCUGUAUUUCAAUGUCUGUCUAUAUCUCAUAUCUGUAUCACUGUAAUCAUACCGCAUGCAUAUGCCCCCAAAAGGCAAAAGCGCCCAAACACACGGCCCAAAGCCUCUAUGUGUGUUUAGACGGGCCCCAAAGGCCUCUCAUCUCAUAUCAUUUAUAUCACUAUAUCUGGAGGGAAGGGUACUGUUUAAUGAUUUUAAAAACAAUCAUAAUACUCAUAUUCUCAUACCUCGUAACCAUAUUUUAAAUCAUACCACACAUUUUAAUAUAAUCUCAACACGUGAAUAAAAUCCAUUUCGAGGGAAUCACAUUAAAUCCAAUUCGAGAAAAAUCGCAUUAAACCCAUUUCGAGAAAUCAUUAAAUCAGAACAUUUAAAAUGCUUAUUCCGCAAACAUGCUUACUAUCAUCGCUAACUAUAAAAAUAAGUUUUAUAUAUUCCACUCACAGUGACGGUGUUCAGGGUCGGUUAUCGUCCAUGUCCGCAGUCCGGUUCUCGCUCGCGGAUCCUCCUAAAUCAAGGAAACAACAUAAUUAUUUUCCAUAAAUCGGAAUUCCGACUCAAUAUAUGCCAUAAACUCGAAACGAACAUUUAUCCAUAAUUUACAACUCCCGUGUCGAUAAAAUUACUAAAAUGCCCUUGCCGGUGAACGGUCGCCGGAAAUUGGUCAACGACGAUGGGAAGCUUAGGUCUGCUAGUUCAGACCUCGGUGAGUCCAAUGGUGGUGGCUGUGAGUCCCCACGCGCGGUACCGGCGGCGGAUCGAGCUUCCCAAGCCGUGAGCUUCCAAGUGGUUAUUCGUCGGCAAUCCGGCCGUUUCAGAUGACGAGGUUGGUCGGAAAAUGAUGCUGGUGACGUGAGGAGUAGAAACCAGCUAGAGGUGUGCCCAAACUAUGGCAAAAUCGACGGCGGUGAAAACGGGUCUUGGCUGCGACUUUUCAAGCUCAAACGCCGGCGUUCCAGUCGGUUUCCGGCGACGAGGAUGGCAGGGUUAUGAUGGCCGGCUUCCAAGCUUCAGAUUGGUACCAAGCUCGGCUGGUGAGGUGGCCGGAAUCGUGAAAUCCGUCCGGGUCAAAGUCGCGGGUCGGGUCGGGUUUCCGGGUAAAAAAUCGGGUCAACUCUCUUUCUCUGUGUUACACGUGCAUGUGUUUUCCUUUGUUUCCAACUUAUUCCUUUGCUUAUAAACUCCUUAACCGCCUCAUGCCAUUUUACAACCACAGGUGUUACAGUACCACCCUUAAACAAUGCAAAUUUGCUUUGACUCAAAUAAGGUACCACCCUAAUAUAGAUACAAGAUUUUUCCUACCUUUAGAUACAUGAUAAACAUCAAUAUGAGUUAAAGUUUUUCCACAAGUGAACUCUAGUUGCACAUUCCCUCUAAUUGUUGCAAUGGAGGAAUUUCCCAUCUAAAGAACACUUCAAUCAUCCAUUGCUUUGUAAGAUGUGAAAAGCCUACGAUUCUUGUACACAUACUUGAUUGCACCGGAAUCUAUUCACCAUGCAUUAUCAUGUUCGAGAAUAUUAAUCUAAGAUAUUACGGCCAUAAAUUUUGUCCACAAAAUUUGUGUUCGAGCACUUCUUUUCUUUCUUAAGAAGCUGACAGUCAUUUUUAAAGUGGCUAGGCUUUUCACAUUGGUCACAUGUACACCUUUCUUUUUUAUUUUGUUGGUUUGAUUCUAUUUGGAAUCAAAUUUUUGCUUUUGGUUAUUAAUGCGGGUAUUAGACUGCUUAAGCUCCUUCUCCUCCUCCACAACAUUAAUUUCAGAGGACAUAGCAGUCUGUUCCUCAAGACUAUUAAGUUUAAGUUUCUAUUCAAUAUGAAGACUUUGCCAAGCCUUCCAGGCUAACUUCCUCUUUGUUAUAUUUAAGACUUUUUUCAUAGUCUUUUCAAGAGGGGGGAAGUUUAUCAAUAAUUGAAGAAAUAAUAAUAAACUUAUUACUUUUCAUGUUGUGUUGGUUGAAUUGAUCAAGAAUGCAAAAAAUCUCAUUAUAUUGUUCAAUCACAAGUCUAUUGUCAAUCUUUUUAAAACUAAAAAAAAUUAGAAGUCAAGAAUUUCUUACUUGUGGUGUCUUCUAUCAUGUACUUAGACUCCAAUAAGUCUUAUAUUUCUUUUGCAGUGGAUUUUGUUGUGGUACUUAUGAAAACAAAGUACUAGACACAGCAUUGUAAAUGUGUCUUAUGCACACGUAGACAUCUUGCUUCCACUUUUGCCACACUCGAGUUUCUCAUUCUCAUGUUCUUCAGGCUUUGAUAUUGUAAGAACAUUAACAACAUUGAGGCUUGUCAAUAAGAAAUGUAAUAUUUUUUGCCAACGUAUAGAAGUUGUGACCAUAAAUAUUUCUUUACUAUUGAUUUUGAUGAUAACAAACUUGAUUAAGAUUGAUUAAUCCUUUAAAAGCUCAAAAUAAUUUUCAUAUACUUUUAAAUCAUCACUCUCACUUUAUAAAGACUUUAUAUUCUAUGGAAAUAUUUUUGGUUAUUCUCAUGUUAAUGGUUUCAAUUGAAAAAGCUUUGAGAAUUUUGAUAAUAACAAAUAUUGUUUCAAAUCCUGUAAAUGGAUCUAUUUGACAAGUUUUAUAAAGUGUUGGGUCAUAGUAUAAUUUUAUGAAGUUUUGGGGUCAAACUAUUAUUUUGUAAAAUAGUUCAUUGUAGCAGUUACUGUAGAAAACGAUGAUCCGACAUCUUGAUAAUGGCUCGCCGACAUCAAACAGAACUGAAGAUUAGCCUCCGGACACUAACGACAAUCCGACAACUUGAUAACGGCUAACCGACAUUGCACUGAAUUGAAGAUUAGUCUCUGGACACUAACGGCGAUCAACAUCUAGAUAACGGCAAUCCGAAAAUUUAAAAAUUCUGCCCAAUGGUCAUAUUGACAAUUUAAAACAGCGAUUCGACAUCUAGAUAACGGCAAUUCGACAAUGUGUAGAAAGUCAAUAACGGCUAGUUUUCAGCUCCAGUAAUAAAUAAGCUCAAUCAAAUUCAAACUAAAACGAUUGCAACAAUUAUUAUUGACUAAAGUCUUGAGCAUACAACAUUCAUUGAGCCUUAAAUUCUUGUAUUCAUCUCAUUUACUCACACUUUGAAUCUUCAUUUGUAAUCAAACACAGUGUGAGAGAAAUUUAUUUUGUAACAUUCUUUAAAAUCAAAUUGAGUGAUUGUAAGUGUUGGGAUGCACUUGGGUUAAGAGAUUUGGGAUAAUCUCUUUUUGUAAAGGUUUAUUGACACCUUAGGAGUCAAGUGUAAGCAUUUGAAGCCUUGGUGGCUUACUUAGCGGAAUCAUCAAGCCCGGAAAGUUUAGAGGUGUGGACGUGGGCGAGGUUGGCCAAACCACGUAAAAAUCCUCAUGUUUGAAUCUCUCUUACCUUAUCUUUUUAUAUUGUGAUAAAUUUAUUUGUUAUUGCUUUAAAUUUGUUUUAUAUUUGCAUUGAGUUUUGCUUUAAAAAUUGUAUAAUUUUUAGAAUCCUAAUUCACCCCCCUUGGGUUGCAUUACUAGAAUUUCAUUUGGUAUUAGAGCCUUGUUCUCUUGUUAAGACAUAAUCAUCUAGAGUAAAAGAUCAAUGGCAACCCUAAAUGACUCAACCUUUAGAGAAGGACAAUCCACAACUGGACCACCGUUCUUUGAUGGUAAUGACUAUGCAUAUUGGAAAACUAGGAUGAGAAUCUAUUUACAAGUUUUAGAUUAAGAAAUUUGGGAAGUUGUUUAUGAUGGUCCAUUCAUGCCUAUGUUUAAAAAUGAAGGAGAUGAUAUUCCUAAACCAUCAAGUCAAUGAGUGAGUUAGAAAAGAGAAAGAUGUCCUUAAACUCCAAGGCAAUGAAUGCCUUGUUUUGUGCUCUUGAUAAGAAAGAAUUCCAUAGAGUAUCUAGUUGUGAAAGUGCACAAGAAAUAUGGAAUAAACUUGAAGUUGUUUAUGAAGGGACAAAUCAAGUUAAAGAGAUUAAAAUUAGUAGAUACACUCGUCAAUAUGAAUUAUUCCAAAUGGAACAAAAUAAAAAUAUGUAUUCUAUGUAUACUAGAUUUACGAAAAUAGUGAACACCCUAGGAGCUUUGGGAAAAACUUUCUCAAAUAGUGAGAAAGUAAAGAAAAUCAUUAGCUCACUUCUUAAGGAAUGGAGACCUAAGAGGACUGCUAUUUAAGAGGCCAAAAAUUUAAAUACUUUACCUCUUGAUGAUUUAAUUGGCUCUUUUAUUUAAUAUGAAGAAGACUUAGCAGCCGAAAAAAGGGAAAAGUAUUGUUCUCAAAGCUUCAAAAUUUAAGAGCGAUGAGCAAAGUGAACCGGAUGAUGAGGAGUUGGCCAUGAUAGAAAUGAGGUUUAGAAAAUUCUUCAAGAAAACCGGUGAGCGAAGAAGAUUUAGAAACUUCAAGAAUCAAAAGGAGAAGAAAGAGGCAAUCAUAUGCUAUGAAUGCUAAAAGCCCGGCCAUAUAAGAUCGGAAUGCCCACUUCUCAACAAAUUCAAGAAGAAAGCCAUGGUUGCUACUUAGGAUGAUAGCGAUGAAGAUUCAAGUGAUGAAGAUGAAUUGCAUGAAGCAUCAAACCUAACACUUAUGGCAAUAGGAGAUGAUGAUGAUCUCAAUGAGGUAAGUGAUCCUACCUAUGAUGAGUUGUAUGAUGCUUUUAAAUAAUUACAUGAUGAGUUGAUGAAAAUUAGUAAAAAGAAUGCAUGCCUUAAAAAGAAAAUGCUAGAACUUACAAAUGAAAAGGAUGCCCUGGAAAAAUGCAAUAAUGAGAAGAUAAAAGAAUUAGAAUUAGAGAAUAAAAUGUUACAUGAUAAAACUUUAGCUCUUAAAGGUAAACAAAGCACUUAUGAACAUGAAAAAUCACAUGUGGAUGAGUUAAUGAAAGAGAAUGAAGUGCUUAAGAAGAAAAAUAAUGAACUAAAUGAAAUUGUGCUAAAGUUUACAAAUGGACAAAAGAUGUUGGAAAACAUGUCAAUUCACAAAAAAUGUGUGUUUGAUAAAGGAGGUACUGGAUAUAAGCCAAACUUAAAACAAAAAUAUUAUAAAACUACUUUGUGAAAAGUACUUCUAUUAACAAUCAAAUUGUAUGUCAUCAUUGUAAUCAAGAUGGACACAUGAAAAAUAGAUGUCCAGUAAAAAGAAAUGCAUAUUAUGGUGUGAAAUGUAUUUGGGUUCCAAAAGGAACCAUUGCUAACAUACAAGGACCCAAGAAGUUUUGGGUACCUAAAACUUAGAAACUUUUUCUGCAGGGAUUAAAGAAAAAGAAAAAUAAGUGGUUCUUGGAUAGUGGUUGCUCAAGGCACAUGACCAGAAACUAUGCAUGGUUUUCAAGUUUCACCACAAUCGAAAAUGGUGGAGAUAUUUCUUUUGGAGAUAACUCAAAAUGAAGGUACUUCUCAAUCACUCCCCAAAGAGUGGAGGUAUGUUUCUUCUCACCUUAAGGAUGUAAUUUUAGGAGAUCCCUCACGAGGUAUUACAACUAGAUCAUCACUUAGGAAUACUUGUGAGCAUAAUGCAUUUAUUUCUCAAAUUGAACCCAAAUCCUUUGAGGAUGCGGAAAAUGAUGAAUCUUGGAUUAUGACAAUACAAGAGGAGUUAAAUCAAUUUAAAAGAAACAAUGUGUGGGAAUUAGUUCCUAAACCGGAACAUCAAUCUUUCAUAGGUACUGUUGGUGUAUAAAUACUAAUGCUAUUGGUGUCAAUGUGCAAGUGCACACAACAAGUAAUAAAGUGAUGAGUAUUCAAGAUCGUCUCCACAAGGAUUGAUGUUAUCAGAUUUGCUACAGCAAUCUUAACAGUGCAGAUUUUGUGCUAAAAUAAAAUAAACAAUUAAUGAAACUAAUGUACUAAUUAAAAUAAAAACGCAAUAAAUAAAUGCAACAAAGUAAACUAUCACGUCAAGCUCAAGGAUAAAACUAAUGGAAAUAUAUAGUAGUUGAGUGACUAAACUCUUCUAAUGGUCUUGACUAUUUUCUAAUGGUUGGCUCGGUUGCUGCAGUAUUUGCUACAGCACUGGCCAGAAUCCUUAUGUAUCCUCAACUGUCGCAUGUUGGAUAUCUUAUAUCUAUAUGCAACCUAACAGUGAUCAGUUGUUAUGCCAACAUAAGAUAUAGCAUUACAUGCUUAGAUUCCAUUCACCCUACAAGGUGAAUCCAUAUGUCUAGUUCAUCACUAAUUUUAAAUGAAGCAUGGCCCUUUUCGAAUAAGUUAAACUCAAUCCAGGAAACUCAAUCUAAACCAAGUAUUGCUCUGAUAUGUUCCGCUAAGAUAGGCCCUUUUGCGGCUCUCUCCUAACUUGUAUUAUUAAAUGGGUGAUCAACCAAAAUAAUGAAUAAAAAUAAAUACUAUCAAAACAAACUGCUACAGUAAACAUGCAACAACACAUGUAUUUAGUCAAUAAACCAUCAAGAUUGUUUAUCACUCAACCACAAAUAAAUUUAGUUCAUGGUUUGCAAAAAAAAAAAAUAAAGAACAAAGUUUUAGCCAUGAAAUGCAUCCCCAUGUAUAAACAGAAAACACGAAAACAAGAGAAGAAUAAGAAUGAUUGAGCUCCCAAUUGAUUUCUGCAAAUUCUCCUCUUGUGCAGCCCUUAAUCUCUCUCUUGAAUCUUGUUUUUCUUUUGUUUCUUUGUGUUUUUCUCCUUGGGUGACGGCUCCCUCUUUUCCUUAUGAUGUGUGCUUCUUUUAUAGUUGAAAAUUAGGGUAAACGGAAGCCUAGGGCGCGCAUAAGUCAAAUUAGGAAACUGUAGAUCGCAAUUCUGCAAGUAUCCCGCGUGAAAUUUUCUCUGUCAUUGUUCCAGGAUUGCUACAGCAAUGGUUGCUACAGCAAUAUCUACAACAACUGCAUUGUUCCAGAUUUGUUUCAACUCUUUUUUAGCCAUGUUCUUUCCUUAUUUUUGCAACCCUAUUGCAUAGCAUUCCUUCCAUGAAUUAUAAACUUCUGGAAACCUACAAUUUUGCACACAAUUUGAGCACAAAUUACUUUAAAUCGAGCAAAACUUAUUAAGACUAAACUAAAAUGAAUAUUUAUGCAAAAUGUAACAAAAUACAAUAGAAACACAUCAUUUACUCUUUAAACAAUAUUGAUUUAAGUCUGAAAGUGCCAUAAUAACUCUCAUUUUAUAGAGUUAUCACACUCCCAAACUUAAACCAUCACUUGUCCUCAAGUAAUGACAAUAACACUAACACUUCAAUCACACAAUCAUUCAACAAAUAACUUAGCUCUGUCAUCAAAUUUGUAAGGAUUCUUCAACCCUCAUAUCACAUUCUUAAUCACACAAAAUAACCAUAAUAGUUUAGUUCUAGAACUAGGCUUCAUUCUGUCCAGAGUGUGUGUGUGCCACUUUGAUCAAGUUUCAGAGGUGCUACAACAUUACACAGGCAUAUAAUUCAGAGAUAGAACACAAAUAUAUUCACAUAUGAGGGAGUAGAAUUCACCAAUAAACUCAAACUGUGCUACAAUAAUAAUACUUUUUUUUUUCAGUUAAACCCUUCAAUGCAACAUUGAGCUUUCAUGUGAGUGCCCAUCACUUGUAAUGACGACACCCAAUUACUCACUCAAAAUAUUUGUUAGAGUUGCUGCAGCAACACAUUUAGGAUGUUAUAUCUAGGUCUUGCCUUUGGACGCCUUUGACUCAAGGCUGAACAUUGGGCUCAUGAACAGACCAAAUUACUCAGUAUCCUAGGGAGUGGACCUCUUUAUUUUUCAUUCCUUCAUCACCAUUUUUUUCUUUUUUUUCAAUAUAUAAUUGCUGCAGCAUUGCUCAUAACUCUUGCUGCCUUUGGACUCAAGUUUGUAUAUGGGGUACACACUCAACCUUGGUUACUCAGCAACUUAAGCCAUUGGAGCAAAAUUUAUUUCAUAACAAGCACAGUUCAACAAAAAUUUUCCCCCAAACUUGAGAUAUUUUCUACUCUUUUUUGGUUUUCCUGGCUCUGCUACUGCAUUUUCAUAAAACUCAACCAAAGUCUAAGUGUCGGGACAGAAGUUCAACCCCUAUCUAUAACUAUCUCUACUUGGCUUUCUCAUAAAUACUGAAUAGCACUCAAUUUAUCUUCAUGAGGUUUUCAAAUUCAUACACAAAUAUUAGAUAACAAAGCUUCAUACAACACAAGCAUAAAUACAUGCACUCAGAAACAUAACCCCCCCAAACUUGAGUGAUGUUGUGUCCUCACAAGCACACAAAACAAAACCACAUAAACCAGACAUGUAUACACUAAAUAAAAGGACAUGCAUAAUGAAUUAGAAAAUUAAAACUAAAUGAAAGAAAAUUUUUGCAGCAAGAAGUAAAAUAAACUAGCGGUUAGGGGUACUGCCCUGUUACUGGAAGCACUGCUGCAUCAUAGGCUGUAAAAGGUCACUUUUUCUUUGAUAUACUUCUCAAACGCUCCUUAUCAUAAAAUCUGAUCAAUCCAUUUACUGCUGCAAAAGCAAGAAAUGCCUCUAUUGUUUGAGAAUCUUCUGUUAUAUGUCAUGCUGUAAGUGAUGCUGCAACAAUUCUUUCCUGCUCUUUUUUUCGUAUUUUUUUGUUUUUUUUUACCUGUUGCAAUUUAACACAAAGACAUAAAAAACUAGAUGCACACUUAAAAUAACAACAAGACAAAUUCAAUAAUUUAAAAACUAAAUUUAAUGCUUUAAAAAGUUAAAAUAACUUUCCUUAUUGGGUUGCCUCCCAAUUAGCGCUUGAUUUUAGGUCUUUAAGCAUGACCUUUCUUGUUUCCUCAACCUCGAUCCUUUAAGAACCGAUCCUUCAUUAGGCUGUUCACCUCAUCUCCCAUAUAGUGCUUCACUCUUGGCCCAUUAACCACUAAGCCUGUUUAUCUCGAGACCCGAAAGCUCGGUCGAGAGAUUAUGUCUGCGAUCGGAUUUUUUAAGAAGCAUGGGAAGUGGGAAAAGACAACAUCCUCUAAGAAUGAAGACACUUUUAUUGCUCCAGAGGAUGAUCGCAUGCUAAAUGAUGUCUAUUUCAUGGGUGAGUUACCUGACUUCCGCCUUAGGGCUAGACCGUGUGCCCCUCGCCGAGCAACAGCAGCAGCAUCCGCAGCAGCUUCCUCUUCGGAUGACGAGCUAGCUGAGCCAGCUGUCCCUCCUGCAGCAUCUUCUGCCUCUGAGGACCGCUUUUAGCAGCUCUUCGACAAGAUGGAUACACUCUCCUAGUAGCAGCAGCAGCUUCAAUCUGAUUUUGUGACUUUUCGGCAGCAGAUAUUAAAUCAGCAGAUGGAGUUACUUGCUGGACAGUGUCGCAUUCUUGGUCACCUUGGCUAUGAUCCUGGAAGUUCCUCUUCACCACCCCCAUCUUAAUUUUCUGCCCCUAUGAUUUUUGCACAAACAUUACUCAUUUCAUGUAGUUUGUUGUGGUACUUUUCGUUUUUUUGAUUGUUCUUGUGAUGCUUUUAUGAUGUUUUUAUUGGAUAUGUGAAUUUUAUUUAUGCAACGACCUGCCCCGACCUCCACAGGGCGAAUCUUACUGAUAGAUGCUUAAAAAUAUAAUAAUAAUAAAUAAUAAUAAUCCUUUUACAAUCCAUAAAAAUUAUAUCCUUGAAAAUACAAAUAUAAAACGCAAACUGCAGCGGAAGAAUUUAAAAUUCAUGCCAAACCAUCUAAUUCCUCCAUUCAAGUCCUUCUCGACGAUCAUCACGAAUCAAUCCUAAUUUACGAAAACUGAAUUACAAUAAACUAUAAUGAGUACGAAACUCAAUAAGUAAACUAGUUUUGCAUAUACCAAAAUACAUACAUACAUAUAGAUAGUGCAAAUGAAUGGCGUGCCAUGAUAUUCGAAAACAUCGUAAAAAAAAUAAUUGAAAUCUCAUUAUGUCUUUCUCAAACUUUCACAUUCUCUUUCAAACCACUUACUUGAGCUACCUUUAUUCGAUUACCGCUUAGUAGGACACUCCCUUAACUUUCAUAAUUUUCAUAACUUUCAUACUCUUUGUGCUUCUCGCCAAUGCGUCCUUCGCCCACUUAUCUCAUAACUAUAUAAACAUCUAGAGUGUCUUCCACUAAGCCAAUAACGAAUUCAAGCAUCCAAGCUAAAACUGUAAAACAAUCUUUCUUUCUACAAAUUCCAUUUGGCUAAAAUUCACUUUCUCAUUUUAUAGAAAACAUAAUGCAUUUCGUGCUCAUGCCAAUGAAAUAUUCACACAUACGUAUGCCCAUGUCCAUAAACACACAUAACAACACAUCAUAUCAAAAUAUCGUAUAAACACAUGGGCAGAGCAUAUAAAUCAAUAUCCGUACUUAUAUAAAAAUAGGCUUUCCAAACAUGUCAAACAUAUAUAUUGUUUAUUGUGAUUCGUUUGGAAAUCUAGUUUACUUACCUCCCGGUAUCCUUGAGUAACAAAUGCACAUCGAUAUCAUCGGCCUAAAAAUAAAUAAAAAUACUCUCAUAAGAAUAAAAUUAAACCAUAAUCAUAUACUCCAAUAUUCUCAAAUUCCUCAAUAUAAUCACAUUCCAUACUUCACCUCAAAUAAUCUUAAUUUAAAUCAUAAAUCAUCAAAAUACUGAUAAUUCUUAAAAUUUCAAAAUUACCUGCAAAUAUCAAAAUUACCAAAAUGCCCUUGAAUUCAAUAUUACCAAAAUACACUCAAAUAUCAAAAUUACCAAAUUAACCUCAAAAUCAUAAAUUACCAAGUUUAUCCUCAAUUUCAAAUAUUACUAAAAAACCCACAAAAUUUGAAAUUACAAAAUUGCCCUUAGAUUGUGAAAUUACCGAAAUACCCUUGCUGGUCAACGGUCACCAGAAUUCAACCGACGGCAACGGGAAGCUUAGAACUGAAAGUUCAAGCGACGCUGAGUCCAAUGGUGGCGGUGGUGACCUCCCACGCGCGGUGAUGGCUCCAGAUCGAGCUCCCGAAGUCGUGAAUCCUUCAACGGCUAAUCAAUGACAAAAUGACGUCCCCAACGUGAGUGGUUAGUCGGAAAUGGUCAAAGGAACAAAACCCAAGUGAUGCCUUCACUAGAAACCAGCGAAAUCAUGGUGAAUCGAGGCGGCGAUUCCGCGGAACUUCAAAGCUUCGAUCGGUGGCUUUUCGAUUGAUUUCUGGUGGCAAGGACUGCAUGGAUACAUUGCUCGUCUCUCAAGCUUCAAAUCGGUACCAACCUUGACCGGAAUGGUGGCCAGAAAUGGGAGAACCGGCUGAGUCGCACUCACGGGUCGGGUUGGAUCCGGUUCGGUUUCUCCUCUCUCUCUCAAUUUAUAAGGGUAGUCAACAGGGUCAAAAUCGGGUGUGGGGUAUUACAAUUUAUGAUUUCGUUGAUUUUGAUGACAUGUUUGGUUAUUGUUCAUGAUUAUAUUGAAUUUGUUGGAAUGGAGGUUGGUUGAUAAGUUGGAAAGUAUAUAUGGGAGUGUUUUAACUAUUUGUAUUGUUGAGGAUAUGUUCAUUUUUAUAGGGAGAUUCUGCCAAAAUGUUUCCAACAUGGGUACUCUCUGAACUUCUCAUUUUCACUCUUUUCGUGCUCAUUUCUUUUUUAUGAUUAAGGGGGGAGAUAAUUGAUCAAUUCAAUCUGUUCUGUUUAAAUUUUUUUUAUGAGAUUAAAAAUUGAUGAUAUAAUUUAUCAAUUCAAUCUGUUCUAUUUAAUUUCUUUUUAUGAGAUUAAAAAUUGAUGGGCACAUAUUUAGGGGAAGUUAAAUUCCUUAAAUAUUUUACUUAGGGGGAGCACAUAUUUAGGGGGAGCAGGAGCAAAAUUGCACAAAUAUUUUCUUGAAUAGUUUGUCAUGAUCAAAAAGGGGAAGAUUGCUAACAUAAAUAUUUCUUUAUUAUUGAUUUUGUUGAUAACAAAUUUAAUUAAGAUUGAUUAAUCUUUUGAAAGCUCAAAAUAAUUUUCAUGUACUUUUAAAUCAUCACUCUCACUUUAUAAAGACUUUAUAUUCUAUGGAAAUAUUUUUGGUUAUUCUCAUGUUAAUGGUUUCAAUUGAAAAAGAUUUGAGAAUUUUGAAAAUAAAAAAUAUUGUUUCAAAUCCUAUAAAUGGAUCUAUUUAACAAGUUUUAUAAAGUGUUGGGUCAUAGUAUAAUUUUCUAAAGUUUUGGGGUCAAACUAUUAUUUUACAAAAUAGUUCCCUGUAGCAAUUACUGUAGAAAAUGGCUAUCCGACAUCUUGAUAACUGCUCGCCGACAUCGAAUAGAACUAAAGAUUAGCCUCUGGACUAACGGCGAUCCGACAACUUGAUAACGGCUAACCGACGUUGCACAGAAUUGAAGAUUAGUCUCUGGACACUAACGACGAUCCGACAUCUAGAUAACGGCGAUCCAACAAUUUAAGAAUUCAGCCCAACGGUCAUGUUGACUAUUUAAAACGGUGAUUCGACUGUGUGCAGAAAGUCAAUAAUGGCUAGUUUUCAGCUCCAACAAUAAAUAUACUCAAUCAAAUUCAAACUAAAACGAUUCCAACAAUUAUUAUUGAGCAAAGUCUUGAGCAUACAACAUUCAUUGAGCCUUAAAUUCCUGUAUUCAUCUCAUUUACUCACACUUUGAGUCUUCAUUUGUAAUCAAACACAUAGUGUGAGAGAAAUUUAUUUUGUAACAUUCUUUAAAAUCAAAUUGGGUGAUUAUAAGUGUUAGGAUACACUUGGGUUAAGAGAUUGGGGAUAAUCUCUUGUUGUAAAGGUUUAUUGACACCUUAGAAGUCAAGUGUGAGCAUUUGAAGCCUUGGAGGCUUGCUUAGUGGAAUCCUCAAGCCCAGAAAGCUUGGAGGCGUGGACAUAGGCGAGGUUGGCCGAACCACAUAAAAAUCCUCAUGUUUGAAUCUCUCUUACCUUUAUCUUUUUAUAUUGUGAUAAAUUUAUUUGUUAUUGCUUUAAAUUCGUUUUAUAUUUGCAUGCUUUAAAAAUUGAAUAAUUUUUAGAAUUCCAAUUCACCCCCCUCUUGGGUUGCAUAACUAGAAUUUCACUAAACAUGGCCUCUAUUUAUAAAUAAACAUGUGCCCUCCAUUUGGAUUGUCAUUUUUCAUGAUACCCAUUCAUUUAUGGUCAUUGGAUCAAGAUUUGAUUUUAAUCAAUUGUCUAUAUUGGUCCAUCACCAUUUCAAAUGAAAUGACAAUAUGAAAUGAUACAUUCUUAAGUGGAAAGAUACCUUUUAUAUGGGACAAUUACUUGGACAUGUUUUUAUAAUAAAACAUCAUUUAUUUUAAAUUGUUACAGCACUAAGAUUAUUCUAGGUUAAGUUAAUCUAUUAUAUAUAACUUCAGAAGGUUCAUCGGUAGAUUGUUUUAAGUUUUUGUCGUAGUUUACAAAUAUUUUGUUACUUAUAAUGUAAGAAAUUUACAAAUGUUGGUGCUGAGUAAUCUGCAUAAUUAUUAUGAAUUAGAGAAACAGGGCAGAUGUUGUACAAUUAUUGUUGUGGUGGAGCGGAAAGUUAGCCCGAGACGGUGACGGCUAUUGGGAUUUCUUUAAUUUGCAGCAUAAAAGCAUUUACAUUGACAUCGACUCAAGGGUAAAAAUUAAAUAUCUCAUGUAGCAUAAGAAGAAUGCAAAAAUGCUUGAAUGAGCAUUCUGACUGAAUACACAAAAGCUACUUUCCCUUGAGCACUUUCGCAACAAAAGCAAAUGUAAAAUUUAGCAUUUAAAUCUAACAUCAAAUGGCUGAUGCCAUCGUUUCCAUCCCUUGGGGGAACUGAAUUCCUCUACCUGACAUUACAGUUUGGAGCGGCUCUUACCUCAGGCAACUUAGGAUAAUUUAGGUGGUUGUUCAGGACCCCACAUUUAACCUAGGACCCCAUUAUAAAUGAAGGUUUCUAAUUUAAUUCCUAAAUUAUAGUUAUUAAUUAUUGAUUUAUAUUUAUUAUUUAUAACUAUAUUUUCCAUAAACAAACUACUAGAUUCUUACAAAAUCCCCUUUUAACAAUAUAAUUAACAAUUAUAAUCCAUUUAUUUCCUCCAUUUAUUUCAUUUAAAACUCUAUAAAGGCCACACCUUUUUUAAAUUAUUAUCCAUUAAUAUCUUUUUCCAAUAAAAAAAAACACAAAACCUUCAUUGCUUUGGUGAAAAAACUACUUUCUCUACCUUACUUUUUGCAUAAGAAAGAAAAGAAAAUUAAUUGUUUUACUUUCUUUUGAUCAUUGUUGCUCAAAGCCUCAAUCCAUCAAAGUUAAAUUUCUUAAAUUUUCAGGUUUUAUCUUCCAAUUCUCUUAUUAUUUUUACAAAGAAACAAAAACACCUAAAUAACACAAUUAAUUAAAUUUCUUAAAUUUUCAGGUUUUAUCUUCCAAUUCUCUUAUUAAUUAAUUGUGUUAUUUAGGUGUUUUUGUUUCUUUGUAAAAAUAUUAUUCUGCUCAUAGGUUGUUCGCUUUUAAUUAUCUAGCAUAAUUGUUUGCAUGAUUACUCUUGUUUCCUUAGAAAAAAAAAAAAUGUCUACUAAAAACUAUGCAUCAUGAUACAAAAAACUUCAUAAAAGGAGAAGAAUAGAAAAGUUAGCUUAAUCUAAAAACGUGCUAUUGAUAAAAAAUUAUUUAAGAUCAACCAUGUCAUAGGAAAGAUUAAAUAGGUUAACUAUAUUAUCUAUUGAGAAAGAUAUAUUAGCAAAAUUAGAAUAUAAAAAGUUGAUUAAUAAUUUUGCAUCUCAGAAAGGUAGAGAAAUUUAUUUUAAAUAAAUAAAGCUUUAAUAAAAUUAAUACACAUAUUUCAUCUCAAAUUUUUUAGAAGGUCUAAUUAAAUCAAUUUAUUUAAGACCUAAAAUAUGAUUGAGCCGCCUUGAAAUUGCAGUAAGAUAGAAAAGUGAAAUAGACAGAACACUCGCUCAUACGUAAAGAUGCGACGAAUUUGAGAAUAUUUAUUAUUAUGUGCCAAAUUCCUAAUGUGUAGGAAUUUAAAAAUGUUAGUGCAGAACAUGUGUUUAUCGGUGGAGUAGAAUCAGGGAAAUUAAAGAUAAGCAUAAUUUUUGCAUCCAAUGCCAAAUUCCCCCAGGUAGAGAGUGGGGACUCCUUUGCAUAAAAGUUGUUAAAAGUUUAUUGUUAACAAUAAAAAUAACAUGCAGAUAUAGUAUUUUAGGUUAUUGUUAAUAGUUUUACAAUAAUAAAAAUCAUUUUGUUAGAUCGUAAAAUGUAGUACUCACACUCUAUUUUGUGCAAAAGUCUGCGAGAAAGGAUUUUAGAUUUACCUAACGGUGAAGUUGGGAACUUGCUUUUUUACCUAGGCUAAAGUUAUUUCAAUAAAUUCUGAUCGUGGAGACUACCAAGAGUUUUCUUUAGUCAUAUAUAUUUAUUUUUUAGGGACUAAUAUGAAUAUUCCUAAUUUUAUCCAUUAUUAAAAAAACAAUGUGCUAAUUUACCAAUAUGAUUUCUCCAAUCUUUUUUCUUUUCGUCAUUUAUUCCUUUGUGAAUUUGAGUUAAUGCUUGAUAUUAUUUUUGUGCUCACUUUUUAAAGUAGAAGAUUAUGAAAAAGUGAACACACAAAAAGCAUAAAAAUCAUUAUUAGAUCCAAAUUUGUGCUAUUUCAUACAUAACUUGAGAAUAUUUAUAAUUACGCAUGAAAACUAGUGGAGUAGAAUCAGGGAAAUUAAACGUUCUACAAUCAUUGACGUGUGGGGUGGGGAUAAGCAUAAGCUUUUUCUAUGCAGUAUAAAAGAAUGCAAUAACUCCUUUUCUUUCAGUAUCAUCGCAACAAAAGCACAUCUAAUAACUCUUCAGAAUUCUCGUCUUCUUUGUCAGAAUGGUUGAUGCGAUCGUUUCCUCCCUCCUGGAGCAGCUGAUCUCUGUUGCGGCUGAUGAAGUGAAACAACAGGUGAGGCUUGUGACUGGUGUCCGAGAAGAAGUGAAAAAGCUUACCAGCAAUCUUCAAGCCAUUCGAGCUGUGCUGGACGAUGCCGAGCAAAGGCAAAUGCAGCAAGACAAAGCUGUUACUUUUUGGCUGGAUCAGCUCAAAGACGCGUCCUACGACAUGGAAGAUGUGUUGGACGAGUGGGUCUUUGCAAGGCUCAAAUUGCAAAUUAAGGGCGUUGAUGAUGACAAUGCUUUUUCCCUUGCUCCUCACAAGAAGAAGGUACGUUCCUUCUUUCCUGCUGUAUCAAACUGCUUUGGUAGUUUCAAACAACUCAGUCUUCGUCAUGACAUUGCUGUCAAGAUUAGGGAAAUCAAUGAAAAGCUAGAUGAUAUUGCCUCCCAAAAAGAUAGGUUUAAAUUUGUUGAGAAUGUGAGUAACCGUGUUAAAAAACCGAAACAAGCGCCAACCACCUCCUUGAUUGAUGAGGGAGAGGUCUGUGGUAGAGUUGACGAGAAAAACGAGCUCUUAAGCAAGUUGUUGUUUGAAAGUAGUGAACAACAAAAAGGCCUUCAUGUCAUCUCACUAGUUGGGUUAGGGGGCGUAGGUAAAACCACUCUUGCACCACUGGCCUAUAAUAAUGAUGAGGUGAAAAGAAAUUUUGAAAAAGUUAUAUGGGUGUGUGUAUCACACACUUUUGAGGAGAUUAGGGUUGCCAAUGUAAUCAUUGAAGGUCUAGGUGAGUCAGCUUCUAGUUUAAGCGAAUUCCAAUCUCUUCUAAGCCAUAUCCAUGGAUCAAUUGUAGGAAAAAUUUUUUUUCUUGUCUUAGAUGAUGUAUGGGAUGGGGAUUAUAAUAAAUGGGAACCAUUCUUCCAUUGUCUAAAGCAUGGUCUCCACAGAAGUAAAAUUUUGGUUACCACACGUAAUGAGUCAGUUGCACGUAUGAUGGGAUCAACAAAUAUUAUCUUCAUUGAGCAAUUGAUUGAAGAGGAAUGUUGGUUGUUGUUCAAGCAGUUAGCAUUUUCCGGUCGCUCUUUCGAGGAUUGUGAAAAAUUAGAACCAAUCGGGCGAAAAAUUGCACGCAAGUGCAAAGGCUUGCCUCUUGCUGCAAAGGUAACAGGGAAUCUCUUAUGCUCUAAAGUACAAUAAAAGAGUGGCAAAAAAUUUUAGAUAGUGAAAUGUGGAAAGUAGAAGAGAUUGGGCAAGGCCUUUUUGCUCCAUUGUUGUUGAGUUAUAAUGAUUUGCCCUCCAAGUCUAUGGUAAAACGAUGUUUUUCAUAUUGUUCUGUCUUUCCGAAAGACUACAAUAUAAAAAAAAGAACUAAUUUCACUAUGGAUGGUUCAAGGUUACCUUAAUGCAGAAGAAGACGAAGAGAUGGAGAUGACUGGGGAAGAGUAUUUCAACAUUUUAGCAGCAUGCUCUUUCUUUCAAGAGUUUAAAAAAGAUGAUGAUGAUGAUGAUGAUGAUAUUAUGAGCUGCAAGAUGCAUGACAUAGUACAUGAUUUUGCCCAAUUUGUAAGUAGAAAAGAAUGUUUGUGGGUAGAAAUUAAUGGUACCAAGGAAUCAGUCAUAAACUCUUUUGGUGAUAAAGUCCAUCACUUAGGGUUAAAUUUUGAAGGAGGAGCUUCAUUUCCUAUGUCCAUUCAUGGACUUAAUAGAUUGCGGACCCUCCUAAUUUAUUUCCAAAGUCGUUCCAAUCCGUCUCUUAAUAGUAGCAUCCUUUCGGAGUUAUUUAGUAAAUUGGCAUGUUUAAGGGCAUUAGUUAUAGGGCAACAGAACUUUAUAUUUGAUCCUUACCCAAAUUUGAUUAGAGAAAUUCCAGAAAAUGUCGGAAAAUUGAUACAUUUAAAAUAUCUUAAUUUUUCUGAAUUAUGUAUAGAGAAACUGCCUGAGACUUUGUGUGAAUUAUAUAAUUUACAAAAGCUAGAUAUUAGGUGGUGCGAAGAUCUUAGAGAAUUGCCGGCGGGGAUUGGGAAGUUAAAGAACAUGAGGAGUUUACUAAAUGGUGGCACUCCUUCGCUGAAGUACAUGCCAAUAGGGAUUUCCAAAUUAACCAGUCUUCGAACGUUAGAAAAGUUUGCUGUGGGCGGAGGUGUUAAUGAUAUCAGUACGUGUAGGCUUGAAUCUCUAAAAAAUCUUCAACUCCUUCGAGAAUGUGGAAUAGAAGGACUGAGUAAUGUGUCACAUUUAGAUGAGGCUGAGAGAUUAGGACAUCACAAUAUGAAAAACCUCCUUCGUUUAUCUUUUGAGUUUGACGAGGAAGGUGAAGAAGGGAGGAGGAAGAAUCAACAACUUCUGGAAGCCUUACAACCGCCUUUGAAUGCAAAAGAAUUAGGGAUUGUGUCCUACGGAGGCAACAUAUUUCCCAAAUGGUUGACUUCACUAACCAAUCUAAGGGAUUUAAGACUUAAAUCGUGCGUUAUCUGUGAGCAUUUUCCUCCCUUGGGAAAAUUGCCGCUGGAAAAACUCACCCUUUACGGCCUGUAUGGUGUGAAAAGAGUGGGUAAUGAGUUUUUGGGAAUCGAAGGAACCAGUGAGGAUGACCCAUCUUCAUCUUCAUCAUCAUCAUCAGUCAUUGCCUUCCCCAAAUUGAAAUCACUCCACGUUGGGGCAAUGGAAGAAUUGGAAGAGUGGAAUUAUAGGAUUACAAGAAAGGAAAACAUCUCCAUCAUGCCGCGUCUUUCUUCCUUGACGAUUUGGCAUUGCCCCAGAUUAAGGGUGCUGCCGGAUUACCUUUUUCAAUCGACGACACUGCAGAAAUUGAGUAUUUCUUAUUGUCCAAUUAUGGAAGAACUGCCCAUUCUAGAAAGACAUACCACGUCUUUCUUCCUUGGAAAUUGAGUAUUGCCCCAAAUUAAAGGUGCUGCCGGAUUACCUUCUUCGGACGACGACGCUGCAGCAAUUGAGUAUUCAGGGAUGUCCUCUUCUGGAAAACCGUUAUAGAGAGGGGAAAGGAGAAGACUGGCAUAGGAUAUCUCACAUUCCCCACAUCGAGUGGUAAAUUCAAACAACGACACUGCAGACAUUGACAAUUUGGGGUUACAGAGAAGGGGAAGGAGAAGACAGGCAUAAGAUAUCUCACCUUCCCCACAUCAUGCGAUCGGCGUAAGAUAUCACUCGCCGGUAAUUUCUCCUCCUCCACUGAUUUACUCUGUUGUUGCUUGCAAUAAAAUUAAUAAAAAUAAUCAUAUUUUGAAUUAAAAUUCUAUAUAUUGCCCAAUGUCUAACAGGAAUAUACAAUAUUUUCUAAUAUUUUGAUUUGCGUAUUGAAUUUAACUAUUUACUUCCACCAUUAAUUUAAUGGGUCACUUUAUGAUGCUAUUAUAAAAAUUACAGAAUCAAUCAUAGUAUAAAUAUGUAGUGUUAAAUUUAAUCAAUUGGUCAUAAAGGUUAGUUAGGAUAAUAUUUUAAUUUCAAUUAUUUAAAAUUUAAACUUCCUAGUCAUCAAAUUUGUUAAACUUGUUUUCUAAAGCUAAAAUAAUAAUAAAAUAAAAAACAAGUGCAGUCUGUUGAAAUUUCUAUAAUUUCUUUUAAAAAAUAUGUAGUCUUUUGUAAAAUUUCAUACAACAUCAUAGAAAAUCCUAACGUAUUUUAUUUUUUAAUGCACAAAAAUUUGUUGUGUAACUUCCUGAGAGACAAAAUCUCUGUGAUACAUUUGCAGUAAUGUUGAAAACUAAAUUAUCAAUGUUAUCUUGUAUAAUGAUAAUCGUGUUUUUUUAUACAUAAUUUAUGUGACAUUAAUUCUUUAAAGUAAUUGUGUGAUUGUUUUUAGUAGUACAUGAGCCCACUUUGUUUUAUUUCAUACGAGUUUAAUUAUGUUCACCAGUGAUUCGAGGAAAUGUCAGAACUACACUAGCAAUUCGCAGGUCCACGCUAAUUUGGUUCUAAUGAUGCACGCAGGAGAGCAAGAUUAUGAAAAUGAAUAGUUUAGCCAAAGGGUUGUGUUAGAGUGCAAUUUAUGCACUAGUUUUGCAUUGUUUACUUCCCUUAAUAUCGAUGUUUUGCAUUUAAUAAUAGUGAUUUACUUGUGUUUUACUUUUGUAGGUGCAAUUCUAUUGAUUGGUGAUAAAAUUGAGCUAUAAGAUGAUGUUUAAGGAUGAUUGUUCUCUUGAAGAAAUUAUGAGCGGCAGAAGAACUUUGUUGAUAAGGCGUGGGCGCGUGCUGUCAACUGCGGACCUGCAGUUUUUAGUUUAACGUGUUUUGUAUUUUUGGCUAUUUUUUUAAUUACGAAUUUAAUAUUUCAAAUAUUAGUAUUUUAUUUUAAAUAGAACUCUAAAAGAGAAGAGAGAGAGAGUAUUUAAGGGAGGAAUCUAUUGUGAAAAAGGGGGAUUUGGAUUGGAGAAAAAGAAAGAAACCCUAAAUCUAAUUUUUCUCUUCUCUCUAUGAAGAACUAAACCUAUUUUUCUGGUUGAAGGAUAAUGAAGCUUUGAUUCAUCACUACUGUGAGAUCUUUCUUGUGCUUUAAUUGUUUUAUUGCUUUUUGGGUAUUUGUUUAUUCUCUGAAUUAUUUUCAUGAUUAUGUUUGUUAAUUAGGUAAUUGGCCACUAUUUAAUUAUCAACUUAAUCUAUUGUCAAUUAAAGGAUUCAUCGUAUGAAGAAUUUAAUGUUUGUGACAAAUAACAUAGCAGAGAGUUGUGUUAUGAGAAUAAACAAUCUAAUUUAAAUGAAUCAUCAUAUGUGUUGAUUAUGAUUUGGGUCUCUCUGGUUUUUCAGGCUGUCAAUUGAUUAAAUCCUAUGAUCGUAUCUAGGGUUGUCUAUUGAUUAGGGAAAUAACCAACGGUCGUACCUUGGUUAUCGACUAGUUAAGGAGAGAUUGGCUAUUAGAGGGUCUCAGUAGCUAUAACCGGUCUAUUCAUAAGUAAUAAUAAUCUAUAUUUGAAUCAAUGAUCAGUAGUCGAAUCAAGCUGAGUUAAUUCCUUCAACCAGAGCUUUCUCCAAUUUGAAUCACAACUUUAAUUUACAUUCUCGUUAUUUUAAUUUGAUUUUUAUUAUUGUCAACAAUUCCCCCAUUUUACGUUUUACGUUUCAAAAGGUUUUAAAUAAUUACCGAUCUCUGUGGACACGACCCUGCUCAAUCACUAUACACAAUUUAUUUAGAGUAGGAAUUUAUUUUUGUUGGCUUCGACACCCAUCAGGUUGCCAAAAUGUUUUGCUGGUAAUUCACUUGCUUUUUUUUUUUUAUAGAAUUUCAUUUCCAUCUUCUUCUAUUGAUAUCUUGUUGUGAAUAAACAAGAAUAGAGAAGUAAAUAUAUAUAUAUAUAUAUAUAUAUAUAUAUAAAUUCCCUAUUAUGAUGAUGUUAAAGCAAGCUCAUGCUCAAGCAUUGCAUUUUUAUUUUAUUUAAUUUAUAGAAUUUUCAUUUCUACCUGCAUUGCAUUUUUAUUUCAUUUUCAGGUUGACUUUGAAAACUCUAUGGAGGACAUUAGGGUAACCAAGGAUUAUCACUGUGGUUAUUGAGCAACGUUUGGUUGCUGGACUUUGAAGAAGGAAGUGAUGGCCGGGUCUGCUCUGUUUCAAUUGAGGAUGGAUAGCUGCCUGAAAGACAUGAUGAUUAUUAUUGCAUGAUGUUAAGGUGCUAAGAUCAUCAUUUCUAUCUUGUUUCAUUCUUUGAUCGGUUUAUCCUAUAUAAACAUAUGGAAUUCUGCUAAUAUUAUCAAAUUUUUCACCUAAUUUUCACUGUUGUUGUGAAAACAAUUUCAGGCUCUCAAAAGCUACAAAGCAAAGCAUUUGUGGGUUGAUCAUAUGUUUCAAUUGAGGAAGGAGCUUGGUGUUGGCAAUAUUGUCCAGGUAACCACAGCUGAUAAUUUCCACAAAUUUGCAUUGUCAGAAUACACUUUAAUGUUCAUUGUGUUCCUCUGUGUUAUCAGGUUAUCGUGGUAUGUAAAGUAUCAUCUUUAAGGAUUCGUAAGAGACUUCGCAGUAAACUUAGUUGUCACCAUCUCCUGCAAUUGCUCAUUCAUUCAAGAGUACUUCAAAAUUAGAUUCUCAACGUUUGAAUGUUUAGUUGCAAUCAAAAUGUUUAGUCACUCAUUCGUAAUCUUUUCCGAUUUUCAAGUUCUUUAGGGCCAUAAACAGUUUUCCAACUCAUUCUUAAUUUUUAGGUUGAUUUCGAGUACCCUGUUAAGGACAUUCCUGAGACCAAGGAUUAGGCUGGCGAAGGAACUACUACCUCUGUUGUUAUUGUGCAAGGUUUGAUCAUUGGACCUUGAAUAAGAAUCCCUUACACACAUUCUGUACUUCAAGCAUUCUCUAAAGGAAAAGAGCAGUAGAAGGGAUAGUGAUGGCCGGAUCCGCUCUAUUUUAGUUCAAGAUCUCUGUGAUGUCGAUGAACUUAAAGCAGUUGAUACUUCUUGAAAAUUGUUGUUACGGAUGAAUUGAUUCCUGAAGAUGGGUAUCCAUCCAAAGGCAUAUUUUCAUAAACUUCCUUCUUUUAACAAAUGCUCCAAUGCUUGCUGUAGUAACAAUUUCGUAGAUUGCAUCUCUCGGGUGCAUCAUGUUCAUGGGUUGGAAAAAGCACUUGUGGUAAAGCUUCAAAGCUUGUAAAAUGGCUGUGAAAAGGCACAUUCAAUUCGGUAUGCUUUGGUGCGGUCUCCUAAUGCUAAUAUUAUGUUUCAAUGCUGGCCGUAGUAACAAUUUCAUAUCUUGCAUCUGUUGGGUGCAUCAUGUUCAAGGGUUUGAAAAGCAUUUGUGGUAACGCUUUAAAGCUUGUACAAUGGCUGUGAAAAGGCACAUUCAAUUAGGUACUUUUUGGUGCGGUCUCCCAAUGCUAAUAUCAUAUUUUGUAUAGCAAUUAAAAUUUAGCUAUACAAUCUUAAUAUGCAAUAAAUCAUUGUAUACAAAGUUUUCUAUUGAUUAUAUGGUGACUGAAAUUUUAAUUAUCAUAUCAAUUUAAAUUUUUUUGUAACUCUCUUUUACUUUGCUUGUACAGAGUACCUGUUUUGGCUGAUAUGUCUAAUUCGUAGAAAUUCAUUUACAUCGGUUUCCAUUGGCUUUAGCACAAACAGAAACAGAGCUCUGGGGAAAAGUUUUACUUCUUGUGGUAUUAUGCCUUUGUUUCUUCAUUCAUCAUAUUUUUCGAAUUCAUGCUCUCAUUCAGAGGGUAAAGCCUUUUCCAGGCUGCUUUGUAGCCAAACUUUGACGCCUUUGAUGCAUGACUGUCAUUUAGAUUUCCCAAAUAACUGUUAGAUUGGAGAAGAAUAAAAAGAUACUGUUAAAAGGGUAUUUAAUUAGCGCCCUCUGAAUUUCUUGGAGUUAAUGUAGUCAAUUGCCCAAUUUUGCUGCCUGUCGAAGAUACACUGCAUGGAAGUCCUCAUCAAACUCUGAGACACCUAAUAAAUAGUAGGAUAGUAGGAGGGGGUGGUAUUCGCCUGGUGUUAAUUUCCUGGCAAGUAUAGUUCACAGAUAGAGGGGUUCUUUUCUUGAUGUCUAAAUACCUUAUGAGAUACAACAUCGUGUAUUCCAAUUUUUCUCUAGUUAAAUUUUAAUAAGUUAGAAAAGUUAAUUUUGUUUUAGCAAUGAAUUGUUUUCUUAAUAAUAAUAAUUGCCAUGUUCCUCUAAAGUCUUAUUAAUGCCAGACCAACAACUACUAGGUUCAUCUCUCGUUCACUUCCUCAGGGAAUCUCGAGGGCAUUCAUUGGCAGGUAGCCUUUCUUGUUGAGCUCCUGGAAUUACUUUUAAUUUAUCAUUUGUUGGGUUUUGCUUUUUGAUUGCUUUGGGAUUUGUGUUAUUAUCGCUUUGUCGCUCAUUAAUCUUGGCUGUUUUGAAUCUGUGUUGGAUUUAGAAGUUUGGAGUUGAAAACAGUUAAAGCUUAGACUAGUAGAAGAGAUUUAUACAUUCAUUUAUCUUGGACAAAGUUUUUGGGGAUAAAAAAAAAUUAUAAGUAUACACUUUCCAAUGGUUCGGUGAUGUUUGAUUGGUUUAAAGAUGUUGGAUAUCUCAUCAGAUUUCUUAUGUAUUGACUGCUGUUGCCACAGGAUGCUCGCAGAUCCUGCUUUUUUGUAUAAACUUCUACUAGAGCAGGUUGCCACAAUUGGUUGCACUGUUUUGUGGGAGUUGGAGAAUCAUAAGGAGAGGUGUGUUUUUUCUCUCAUAACAAAGGAACUCUUCCCUUCCUUUUUAUUUUCAUCUUACAUAUUAAGCUAAUAAAUGGGAUGGGAUAAAGCAAGAAUGGGAUCAGCUUGGUUUUGGUGCUUUCCUUGGACUAUAUGCAAACAUGAGAUAUCAGCUAUUGUGUGGAUUUGAUAGAGCGGUCUUCAACCAUUUUGAUGUUACCAGGUUAUCUCUCCCUCUCCCUCUUCUGCGUAUUUGUUUAUUGAUCUACACCUCUAUAUACAUUGAUAGACUAUUCUGGACGUACCAAAUUACCCUUGUUUUAAUGUUUUGUUUGUUAAACUUUGACUGGGGAAUCUGUUUAUUUGUCUGAUAAGAGGUUAGUGUGGUUUCUAUUGAAGUGUGCAGAUCUAUCACCAAGUAUUAUUUCAAUUUUUCUUGACUUAAUCAACUUGCAUCAUUUCCAAGUCCAGAUCCUUAACAAUAGUGCGACAUCGCUACAAAAGUACAAUUUCUCUAUUUUGACAGUUAAAUACAUAAGAAUGGUUUUAAAUUAACUGAACUCUGAGAUAGUUCUCUAAGGAAAUACAAGUGGUGAAUACAGUUCCAACUUUUAAGUGCCUUAAUAUCUCCAUUUGUUCAGCCCUGUGCAUAAAAAAUCAGUAAUUGCCGUCCAAAUUCUUCUUUACUGCCUAUAUGUGUUGGACUUUGUCUAUUCUUCAACUUCUCAAAUGGAUUUUUUGAAUGUCCAAUUAGGAGAAAGAUCAAGGCUUGCUUGGCUAGGAGUGGAAGCGGAUCCGCUACUUCAAUCAUAUGACCUUUUGAAGAAGGCUUACAACGGGCGGCUCAGGAUGUCAAUCGCUCAACUCAAAAGUCCCCAAGGUGGUUGAUAUCAAAGAAUGCCAUUGUCUCUGGGCUUGGGCUCCUUGGCAUCAAACAAGGGAAUGUCGACUCUGUUGAAGGGGAAGCAAGGGCCCCUAAAAUGCGAAGAAAGAGGAUAGUCCGGAAGAAGGUGACCGCAUAAACUUUUUGGGAGUUAAUAGCCCAAUUUUGCUGCCUGUCGAAGAGAUACAACUCAGAAGUCCUCAUCAAACUCUUUGAGACAUCUAAGAACUAGGAGGGAGGUGGUGGUAUUCACACGUGUUUCCUGGCAAGUGUAGUUCCUGAUAGAGGGAUUCUUUUCUUGAUGUCUAAAUACUAUAUGUGAUACAACGUCGUAUAUUCCAAUUUUUCUCUAGUUAAAUUCUAGUAAGUUAGAAAAGUUAAUUUUGUUCUAGCGAUGAAUUGUUUUCUUAAUAAUAAUAAUAAUAAUGGCCUGUUGUUUUGGAAUCUUAUUCACUCUCUGUAACCUAGUUAAAUUGUGCAAAGUCUACUACAGAUUUGUCAAAAUGAGUGUCUUUGUGAUUGUUUUGAUACACUUUUGAUGGCAAGUUCAAGUUUGAAUCAUCUUGUAAUGCCAAAAAACCAUAGCAAUUAGUUACUAAAUCGUACUCGAGUUUUUGUUUGACUUUUAACUACGAGAUCAGCGUUUAGUAUUAGCUGUAGUUAUAAUAUAAACGUUAAUUAUGAAACUCUUACCAAAUUUUAGUUGUACUUUCUAGCCCGAUUGUAGAAAUCCAUACAAGAUGUUACUCAAUUUUACUUAAUCUUACUCGUCUUUGAUUUGUAAAUUUUAUGCCUAAAUUUUUGUCAACAAAUUGCUCCCAGUUCCAAGGUUCUUCAGCUUGGGUGAUCCCAGCAAAACCAUUACGUCCAUUCAAAAGGGUUCCACGUUGAGUGCACGAGAUCCACAAGUUUGAUUGGACAGAAAUAGCUAAAAAAAACUAAUGAAACCCACGUCCAAAGAUGCCGUUGUCGCGGAGGCCUAGACACGACUCCCCAUCCUCUUUUACCAUAUUUUAUAAUUGAAGAGGCCAUUAUUGAAUUGAAAAAUUAUGAUUCAACCAUUGGAAACCAACUUGGAGUUUUAAGUUGAUAUGAGAAAAGAUUUUUUCAUCAUCAUCAUUAUUAUUAGGGAAAAUAUCCACCGUCCACCUGUUUUUUCCAACUUUAUAAAAAAUACACAAUUUUUUUUUUUUGGCUGGAAUCCAUCUAAACUUACGUUUUGUUUCACUUCUCCACUUCUGUUUGCUGCCCGUUAUAACGUAACUGAUGUCGUAGGGGUAAAUCAGUCAUUUCAGCAUAGCAGCCAAAAACGACGUCGUUUACAACUUUAAUUGGACAAAAAAAAAAGAAAAGAUAAAGUGGUCCAGAGAAGCAAACGAGAACAGCCAUGUUUAUUCACGAGUGACCCACCACCACCCUGCAUGAAGAACCAACAAAUUCCCACCAUUCUUUCUGCAGUUUCCAUCGAUUUUCAUCAACAAACAACGCUUGAGUAUCAAAACUUUUGUUAAGUCAAAGAUUCAGAGGUAUUGAGGGAAGCUGUGAGCGGUUUAGAAAUCUCGACACUUAGGUUUUCUGGGGUUUGAAUCUAGUAUCAAGUAAGUUUAGUUUUAUUUAUUAAUUUUCAUUUAUUUUUCGUAUGAUAUAAUGUUAUUUAAGAUUUGUAUCGAGAACGUUGUUAAUCGUUGUUUCUUGAAACCCUAGAAUACAUAUUAAGUUGAUUUAUAGUAAACUGAGUCCGUUUUUUUAUGGUAAUGAUAAAUUGAGAAGUAAUAUGUUGUUUUAAGGCUGGUGAGAAGCACAUGUAUGAAAGAUUGCUGCUAGCAUGGUUGAAUGCAUGUUUAUCCCCUGCAUACUCAUGUACUUGUGCACGUGGUUUACAAAAUUUGGGGUUUUUGAAAAUUUGUAGUUGCUACACUAUGGGUCGUGAUUUUUAGAAAUUUUUUAUCUAUAUGCCCUAGCCCCCCUGGUGAAGGUUCGGCAUAUGCAUGUGAAAUUUGAAUCUCUCAAAGAUUAUAAUUUUUAAUCUGACAAAGUCCUCCAGGAUGUUUGUUCCUUUGGUGAAUCUAAUCGUUUGUUUUGGACAUUCAGGAUGCCACCUCUAGAGUUAGUGAUAUUCUUUCGAGGCACGAAGAAGAAUUUAGGGUUGCUUGAACCUGACUGUACUGUUGCGAAGAUAAAAGAGACUGCCGUAAACAUUACGAGUCCAUAUGGAUUAGACUCCACUUCAAAAAUUAUGUUGAAUGCCACGAACCCGGAGAAUAAGAUGAAAGUUGCACUGGAUUCGGAAUUUGCACUCGAAUUUUUGCGUAAAAUUCAUCACAUUGUGGGUGUCAGUACUUUAACUGUUGAAGUUGUACCAGUUCUUCACCCUCAGCAACAUGAGUACAAAGUAGGUGCCGAUGGGAAACAUAGGCUUAAAUUAGGGCAUGUAUUUAGAGAUGUUGGUCAUUUUAGGGAGAUAUUGCAUGAGGUAAUGAUUAGAAAAAGGUUUGCCAUUAAAACAAUAUAUAGUGAGCCAAGACGAUUCGUAGGUACUUGUAAAGAAGCUAACUGUCCAUGGUACGUGUCUGGUACAAAGCUGAAUGAUGGGACUGGUUUUAUAUUGCGAGAAUACAACAAAAACCACGAGUGUAGGCUUACUAACAAGACAGUGAAAGUUACAUCUGCUUGGGUUGCUUCUAAAAUAAAGGGUCAGGUUGCUGUUGACCCUAAUGUCAAGAUUGAUAUUCUGAAGAAUCAUGUGCAAGAGACGUAUGGUUUAAAGAUUGGGAAGCUGACACUGUAUAGGGCUAGAGCAAAGGCAAGACUUGAGGUAUUGGGGGAUCAUUCAAGGGGAUAUCAGAAAUUAUUUGACUAUGUUGCUGCCAUUCACAAGGCUGAUCCAGGAGCAAUAUGCAAGGUGUUAUGUGAUGCUAUUUCUAUUCCUAAUAAGGUAUUAUUCCAGAGGUUUUUUGUUGCCUUUCCAGCACAAAAAAAAUGCAUAUCUUAACGGUUGUAGACCUUUUAUUGGAGUAGAUGGAUGUCACUUAAAAGGUAAGUACGGUGGAGUGUUGUUAGCUGCUGUUGGCAUAGAUGGUAAUAAUGGGAUUGUCCCUUUAGCGCUAUGUGUUUGUGAGAUUGAGAAUACAGAGACAUGGGGAUGGUUUAUGGAGAACUUGAAUAAUUAUUUGGAUGAUGGAAGGCAGGUCACUUUCAUUAGUGAUAGACAAAGGGGUUGAUUAAUGCAAUUUCAACCACUUGGCCUACUGCCUAUCAUAGGGCGUGUUCUUGGCAUGUUUAUGCUAAUUUUUCCAAGUCGUUUGCUGGUGCACAGUUGAAACAAUUAUUUUGGAAAGCUGCCAAGAGCAGUAACAAGCAUGAUUUUGACGAGGCAAUGGCAGAGAUCAAGGCUGAAAAAGAAGCUGCAUUUGAGUGGUUGGAACGAGAACUAUAUAGUUAUAAUUGGUCGAUGCCCACAUAUGACAGAAAUUGCAUGGUAGAUCGUACCGAUAACAAUGCAUCGGAGUGCUUCAACAGCUGGAUAUUAGCUUACCGAGACAAACCUUGCUUGACAAUGCUUGAAGAAAUAAGAUGUAGACUUAUGAAACGGUUUACAAAACGAAGAAAUGAAGCAGCCACUUGGAAAAAACAGCUGACUCCUAAGGUUUUGAAAGACUUGGACAAAAAAAAUAAGAUUGCACAGAAGAUGAUUGUACAAGCUUCUGGUGAUCUUAAUUUUCAAGUCAUGGAUAGAGGCUAUAAUCCACCUAAGAGGUUUGUUGUGAAGUUAGAAUCUAGAACAUGUGAUUGCGGUUAUUGGGAAAUUGCUGGCCUCCCUUGUCAACAUGCUAUGGCUGCCAUGGGAUAUGCAAGACAUCAAGUUCAGGAAUAUGUUCCAACUUGCUUUAGCAGACAAGCUUACCUUAGCACUUAUUCAGUGAUGUUCAGCCCCCUUCCAGAUUAGUGUACAUGGAAGCCUACAGGAAGGCCGUUGAUUGACCCACCAAUUGUUGAAAGAAAGAUUGGAAGGCCCAAAAAAUCCAGAAAAAGAGCAGCAAAUAAGCCUCAGAAAUUAAGAGAAAAGAAAAUUCUUUGUCAUUUGCUCAUUUUGUGGUGGUUCUAAUCACAAUGUGAGAAGCUGUCUGUUGACGCCAUCUGUUGCAAGGUCAAAUAGAGCGAGGAACAAUAAUUUUCAGGUAUAUUUAAUAUACUAUUAUUAUUUAUUAUGUUUAUCAUUAUUUAUUAUGUUUAAUAUAUUUAUACUGUUGUUAUGUUUACUAUCAUAAUGGUUUGUAGGCAUCAACAACAUCAAGCCAGCCAUUAAAUGCUUCACAGCAGGCAAGAUUGAGAAGAAAACAGGUGCUGCUAGCAGUUCGUUUGUGCCUUCAUAGUUUGUUUUAUGUGUAAUAUAAAAUUCAUUUACAAAUCAACAUAUUUUAUAGGCAGCAGUAGCAAAGUCAAUUGGUUCAGGCCAGCCAGUAGCUACUGCAUCUGAAACAGCAAGAAAGGUGUUAUCUUGGUUCAAUAUUUGUAUAUUUUUGUAUUUUUUGUUCAAGUUCUUAAACUAACAUAAUAUAUAAUUUAGAUACCUAGUGGCCCAGGUCAAAGUUCGAAUGCUGGAACAAAGAAAAGAAGGGCUCUUCGAGGUGCUGGAACAAGGGAAAGACAAUCAAGUCCAAGACUGAACCAAUCCCAAAAUUCAUCUCAAGCUUCAAUUAUCACAGGUUCUUUGUAAUGGAACAAACUAAACUUGUUUAAACAAACUAAACUUGUUAACUUGCCAUUUUGGUUGUUAUUUUGGCAUAUUACUGGUUAUUUUGGAUAAUUAUGUGGUUGUCAAAGGUCAUUUAUAAUGUAUUUUGAUGAUAUGAUUAAUGGUUAUUUUGGUUGUACUUUUGGAUAACUAUGAUAUGAUAAUAUUUUCCAAUUAUUGUGGUUAACAAAAUGUUAUUUAGGGUGUAUUUAAAUGCAAUUGCAAAGAUCGAUACUAGGACUGUCAACAAUAAGCUUUUAUUUCAGUAAUGCAUGUUUUAUAGGAUACAUUACAUUUUAAUAAAUACAAUUGCACAGAGGCACACUAGCAGUAUUAUUAUAUAUUUAAGCUUUCCUUCAAUCAGCCUAAGCCUUUUCUUUAUCUUCACCAUCUCAUCAGCUCCAAGGUUUACUGCAUUUGGCUCCAAAUUUUGAUUAUCUACCAUUUGAUCACUUCUACUAGGGUAUAUGAGAGCUUCAGUAGUAAACCAUUGCCAAAACUUGCAUUUGUUCAACCUGCAUGACCAAAACAUUGCAUUAGGAUUUUGUGGUGUAGUGGAAACCAUAGCACACGCCUGCAUGCCACACCAGUAGUACUUGGGAAUGCAUUUAAUUUUUCUCUGUGGCUGUCCACUGGCUGCAGAACUUGAACUAUAACUUGAUGCCAUUUUAAAUGUGUAGAUGAUUUGUUUCAAUGAAUGGUUAAUCAAGUGAUGUGAGGAUGAUGGUUGAGCAGGUCUUGAGUUUGAAUGAAUGAAUGGUUGAGUGGCUGUAAUGUUUCUGAUUAGUAUUAAAAAUUGUUUAAUUAUCAAGCGAUAAUAUGUUAUUUUAUGCUUAUAUUAUAAUUUAUAUUUGUAUUUAUGUAAUUUAUUAUGAAUUAUGAAUUAUGUUUUAAAUAUAUUUAAUUUUUUGUAUUUUUAUGUGCUUAUUAGGAAAAAUAUUAAUUUCACGUACUUUGAGGCUCCAAACAGAUAAACGGAGGUCAAAUUUGGAUUCCGGAGGUCCGAAAACCUUAAGAUCAGUCAAGAUCGGCUUAAAAUUGGGCUUGUGUAAAAAAAGUUGACUUUUCCUGUUGACCGAGUACUGAUUGGAUGAUGAAAUGAGCUUACAAUAGAUAUGAGUGCAUGGGAUAGCUGGCAAUCUUGACCAAAUCUAAACCGUUCAUGAUUCAAUGGCCAUGAUUGUGCCACGUGGCAAUGGUUGGUGAAGCAAGUUGGAGGAUCCGAAUCUUUGUAUUCGGGUCGACCCGAUCCACCCAUUAACCCGCCAAAUCUCAACCGUUCUUUGGGUAAAUCGGACGAGUCAAAUGAUGCCAUGUGUGAUGUUGACUUUUAAAGUUUGACCAGCCAUUGGAUCUUGAUCUAAGGGUUGUGAGGAGCACAUGCUUGAAGCCUAUGAUGGACCACAAAGCACUGGAUUAUGAAUUUAAUUUUCUAUAAAUAGGGCCUCAUUUUUAUGUUUUAAUCAUCUCUCUACAACUCUCUUCUUCUCAAAUUCUCUUCAUCUCCUUGUAAUCUUCAUUUCCAGGUGUGUUUUUAAUAUUUUGUAUAAUUAUUUUCAUUAAUAAAAUUAGUUUUAUUUCCAAUUUUAGUUGUUUUUAUUUCUUUUAAUUAUAAGUAAUGCAAUUUUACUACUUCUUUUUAUUUUAAUUAUCCUUAACUAAAUAAUAUUAGUUAGGGGAAGGUGAAACUCUUAGGAAAUAAAUAUGAUUUAAUCAAAUUCUAUUUUUAAUUUUAUAAAUUAAAUUAUUUUCUAUUUAAUUUUAUACAUGUUUUAUAUUUUGAAAUUUUGAUUUAUUGUAGACAAACAAAUGAAUUUGGCACAAUAAAUUCUUAAGAUCUUAAUAUAAGGCAUGGUGAAAUGGUAUUUUGACUUAUUGUAGACAAAUAAAUUUUGGCACAAUAAAUACUUAAUCCAUCAUAAAAUUAAAGGGAAAAUAAUAAUAAUUUGUAUAAUUAAUCUUUUGGGUAAUAAAUCUAAAAAAAUUGGCAAAAAGAAUUUAUUAAGUUUUAUUUACUACUAAGAGUGGAUCCAUAACCCUAAUUAGUUCAAUUUCAUAGUUUCAUUUAAAUUAAGUUGUUUAUAUUCAAGUUUUAAUUUCAAUUUUUAGAUAAAAUAAAACAAUCAAAUUAAAUCUUUUCUCUGUGGAUCGACCUCGGACUCACCGAGUUAUAAUACAACAAGACACUCUUAUACUUGGGAGUUAAAUAUUACUUUUAAGUUGUGUCAAGUUUUUGGCGCCGUUGCCGGAGAAAUUUUUUUUUUAUUUGGUUUGUUUUUCCCUUUUUAUUUUUCUCUUAUAUGUAAAAUUUCGUUUGCCCCCUUUUCCUUUUCUUAAAUUUUGUUUUGUCCCUAUAUCUUUUAUAAUUCGCGUUUCAUCCCAACAAUUCUCGUUUCUAGCCCAAUCUUCUGGUAAUUACAUUCUGACCCCAACAUCUUUCAGUCGUUUCACUUUCAUCCCAAAAGGCUCAAUUCUAAACUUCUAAAAAUUACAGUUUGACCAUAAAAUUAAAAAUAAUUUGUAAUAAAAUACCUAGACGAAAUUCUCAAAAUAAUCAAGACUUGGACAUACUUUGGACAUAUUUUGGACAUACUUUGGACAUAUUUGGACUUAUUUUGGACCAAACUAACUUUAACUACUAACUCUAAUUACUAACUCUUAACUUACUAACUGCUAACUCCUAACUUUUUUUUUUAAUUUCAGUUAUUUAAUUUUCUGCAUUUAUUUUAUUUCGUAUUUAUUUAUUUAUUUUUGCUUCAUUGGUGGGUUUAACCACCAAACUAACUACUAACUCUUAACUUUAAUUUUCAGUUAUUUAUUUAAUUUUGUAUUUUUUAAUUGGUGGGUUCAACCACCAUUUUUUUUCUAUUAUUAUUUUGCAUUUAUUUUACUUAAUUGGUGGGUUCAACCACCAAAAUUGUUAUUUAAUUUUCUUUUGUAUACAUAUAUUAUUUGCUUAUUUAUUUUUUAUUUUGUUAUCAAUUUGUGUAAAUAUUAUCUUUAUAACAUAACCCUUGCAUGAGACGUUGGUCUCGAUCUUCAAGUAGCAGGUUAAUUCGUAGAUCUCAAUCUCCACCACCAAUCAUGGAUGAGAAUGAAGGCGAAAACGUUUUGGGCGAACUUAAUCCUCAAAUUGAUCAGGGAGACAACCAAUCUCAACAUGGGCAUGAUCAGAAUCAACCAAGGACUCUGAGAGACUACAUGAAUCCAACCAGAACCGGAGCACCGUCGUGUAUAGUAUUUCCUCCAGAAGCAUCUCGAUUCAACUUUAAACCAGGUAUUAUCCAGCUUUUACCAACAUUUCAUGGUUUAGAAUCUGAGAAUCCAUACUUGCAUCUAAGAGAUUUUGAGGAAGUUUGUAAUACAUACACGGACCAAAAUUGUAGCAUGAACAUAAUUAGAUUAAAGUUUUUUCCUUUUUCAUUAAAAGAUAAAGCUAAAACUUGGCUACAAAACCUUAGAUCUGGAUCAGUAAGAACUUGGAAUAACAUGCAAGAACAGUUUUUGAAAAAAUUCUUUCCACCUCAUAGAACAAAUUCUUUUAAAAGGCAAAUCACUUCUUUCACUCAAAAAAAUGGAGAAACAUUAUACCAAUGUUAGGAUAGGUUUAAAGAGUUGCUUAACAUAUGUCCACAUCAUGGUUUUGAAACUUGGCGAUUGGUCACUUACUUCUACGAGGGCUUAAUACCCCAAAGUAGACAGGUUGUUGAAAUGAUGUGUAAUGGUGAAUUUAGGGAUAAAAAUCCUGAAGAUGCACUAGAUUACCUUGACCAAUUAGCUGAAAAUGCACAACAUUGGGAUACUGUUGGAACUUUUGAAUUAACAAAUAAGCAACAAUCAUCCCCAUCUAGUGGAGGAAUCCAUAACCUUAGGGAAGAUCAUAAUUUACAAGCAAAAUUUGCAUCCCUAGUUAGGAAAGUUGAAGCUUUGAGCAUAAAAAGAGUGAUCAAGUCAAAUCUAUUUAAGAAAUUGCAUGUAACAUAUGUAGUUCGAAUGAUCAUUUCACUCAAGAGUGUCCUACUUUGCCUGCACUUAAAGAAUGUCUAAAUGAUCAAGCUAAUGUCAUUAACACUUUCAAUAAACCAAACCCAUAUUCACAGACUUAUAAUCCUAGUUGGAGAAAUCAUCCGAAUUUCAGUUGGAGGAAUAAUAAUAAUGCACAAUCUUCACAAGCACCACCUCCACAAAAUUUUCAAAAUCCUCAGCCUUAUGCACCAUAUGUUCCAUCACCCUGGAAAAAUCUAGAAGACACAAUGCAUUCAUUCAUCAGAAAGCAAGAUGUUAUUAACAAUCAAAAUGCACAAACUUUUUCUUAUUUGAAAGAUACUCUUGCUAAAAUUGCUUUUGCACUCACCAUUCAAGAAAAAGGAAAAUUUCCAGCUCAACCACAACCAAAUCCUAAAAUUCAACAAAAUCCACCCACGGACCAAGUCAAGUCAGUUAUAACUCUUCGUAGUGGUAAGGUUGUUGAUAGACCUAUGCCUGAACCUUAUGAAAAUGAUGAAAAUUCAAAGGGUAAGGAAGGACUAAAUGAACUUACACCUAGUGAAGAAAUAACUAGUGUUCCACCUGAACCACCAUUUCCGCAUGCAUUGAAUAAACCAAAGAAAUCAAACCACUCUUCUGAAAUUUAUGAAAUCUUUAAGCAAGUGAAAGUUAACAUUCCUUUAUUAGAUGCAAUCAAGCAUGUUCCUUCAUAUGCCAAAUUUUUAAAGGACUUGUGCACUGUUAAGAGGAAAUUGAAGGUAAGAAAGAGUGCUUUCAUGGCCGAACAGGUAAGUACAAUUCUGUCUACUAAUAAUAAGUUGAAAUAUAAAGAUCCUGGUUGUCCUACCAUUUCUUGUAUUAUUGGUAACCACAGAAUUGAACAUGCUUUAUUAGAUCUUGGUGCUAGUGUUAAUUUGCUUCCAUAUUCAGUUUAUCUUCAACUUAAUCUUGGUGAGUUAAAAUCAACUUCAACUACACUUUUGCUUGCGAUAGAUUAGUUAAAGUACCAAAAGGAANNNNNNNNNNNNNNNNNNNNNNNNNNNNNNNNNNNNNNNNNNNNNNNNNNNNNNNNNNNNNNNNNNNNNNNNNNNNNNNNNNNNNNNNNNNNNNNNNNNNNNNNNNNNNNNNNNNNNNNNNNNNNNNNNNNNNNNNNNNNNNNNNNNNNNNNNNNNNNNNNNNNNNNNNNNNNNNNNNNNNNNNNNNNNNNNNNNNNNNNNNNNNNNNNNNNNNNNNNNNNNNNNNNNNNNNNNNNNNNNNNNNNNNNNNNNNNNNNNNNNNNNNNNNNNNNNNNNNNNNNNNNNNNNNNNNNNNNNNNNNNNNNNNNNNNNNNNNNNNNNNNNNNNNNNNNNNNNNNNNNNNNNNNNNNNNNNNNNNNNNNNNNNNNNNNNNNNNNNNNNNNNNNNNNNNNNNNNNNNNNNNNNNNNNNNNNNNNNNNNNNNNNNNNNNNNNNNNNNNNNNNNNNNNNNNNNNNNNNNNNNNNNNNNNNNNNNNNNNNNNNNNNNNNNNNNNNNNNNNNNNNNNNNNNNNNNNNNNNNNNNNNNNNNNNNNNNNNNNNNNNNNNNNNNNNNNNNNNNNNNNNNNNNNNNNNNNNNNNNNNNNNNNNNNNNNNNNNNNNNNNNNNNNNNNNNNNNNNNNNNNNNNNNNNNNNNNNNNNNNNNNNNNNNNNNNNNNNNNNNNNNNNNNNNNNNNNNNNNNNNNNNNNNNNNNNNNNNNNNNNNNNNNNNNNNNNNNNNNNNNNNNNNNNNNNNNNNNNNNNNNNNNNNNNNNNNNNNNNNNNNNNNNNNNNNUUAGAAGAGUAGCAGGACAUCCUUACUACUGUUUUUAGAUGGAUAUAUAGGUAAUUAUCAAAUACCUAUAGCCCUAGAGGACCAAGAAAAGACCACAUUCACAUGUCCUUUAGGAACAUUUGCAUUUAAAAGAAUGCCAUUCGGGCUUAGUAAUGCUCCUGCAACAUUUCAAAGAUGUAUGUUAAGCAUUUUUUGUGAUAUGGUUGAACAUUGUUUAGAGGUCUUUAUGGAUGAUUUGACUGUGUUUGGGAAUUCUUUUGAUGAUUGCCUUGAUAAUUUGGAGAAAGUUUUAAAAAGAUGUAUUGAAAAAGAACUCGUGUUGAAUUGGGAAAAAUGUCACUACAUGGUUACUUCUGGAAUUGUUUUGGGUCAUGUUGUUUCUAUUAAAGGAAUUGAAGUUGACAAAGCAAAAAUUGAAGUCAUAUCUAAAUUGCCACAACCAAAAACAGUUAGAGAUGUGCGAUCCUUUUUAGGACAUGCAGGAUUUUAUAGGAGGUUUAUAAAAAACUUUAGUGCCAUAUCUAAACCACUUUGUAACCUCUUAUUAAAAGAUGCACCAUUUGAAUGGAAUGAUGAUUGCCAAAAAUCGUUUGAAAAAAUAAUUUGUCUUUUAACAUCUGCACUUAUUAUGCAAUCUCCUGAUUGGUCUUUGCCAUUUGAAUUAAUGUGUGAUGCGAGUGAUUUUGCUAUUGGUGUUGUUUUAGGACAAUGAAGGGAUGGUAAGCCUUUUGUGAUUUAUUAUGCAAGUAAGACUUUAGAUAGUGCUCAAAUGAAUUAUUCUACAACUGAAAAAGAAUUACUUGCUGUGGUAUUUGCAUUAAACAAAUUCCGUUCAUAUUUGCUUGGCUCUAAAUCUGUUGUGUUUACUGACCACGCUGCUGUGAGAUAUUUGAUGAGUAAACAGGAUGCCAAACCGAGACUAAUUCGUUGGAUUUUGUUACUACAAGAAUUUGACCUUACCAUCAAAGAUAAAAAGGGUGCUGAAAAUGUUGUUGCAGAUCAUCUAUCAAGACUCACAUCCGAAUUCUGCAAUGAUAUAACACCCAUAAAUGAUUCUUUCCCUGAUGAAUUUUUAUUUUCUGUUACUUCAAUGCCAUGGUAUGCUAACAUUGUUAAUUUCCUUGUUACAGGUAAAAUGCCUUUGCAAUGGAAUGCUCAAGAGAAGAAGAAAUUUUUUGUUGAAGUAAAGAAAUUUUAUUGGGAUGACCCUUAUUUGUUCAAAUAUUGCCCAGAUCAAAUUUUUCGGCGAUGUAUUCCUGAUAAUGAGGUAAGUAGUGUCAUUAAUUUUUGUCAUUCUGAAGCAUGUGGUGGUCAUUUUUCUUCAAGAAAAACUACUGCUAAAAUUUUGCAGUGUGGAUUUUAUUAGCCUACCAUGUUUAAAGACACAUAUGAAUUCUGCAAAAGCUGUGAAAAAUUUCAAAAAUUGGGAUCAAUUACAAAAAGAAUCAUGAUGCCCUUAAAUCCCAUACUUGAAAUUGAAAUAUUUGACUGUUGGGGAAUUGAUUUCAUGGGUCCAUUUCCAUCAUCUUUUGGAUUUGUGUAUAUAUUAGUUGCAGUUGAUUAUGUCUCAAAAUAGAUUGAAGUAAUUUCUUGUCGAAAUAAUGAUAGUAAAAAUGUGAUUAAAUUUUUAAGAGAAAACAUUUUAAGUCGAUUUGGAAUCCCUCGAGCCAUUAUCAGUGAUGGAGGUAAGCAUUUUUGUAAUAAGUCAUUUGAGUUUUUAAUGAAGAAAUAUGGAAUUACACAUAAAAUUGCUACCCCUUAUCAUCCUCAAACAAAUGGUCAAGUUGAAUUAGCAAAUAGGGAGAUAAAACAAAUUUUGGAAAAAACGGUUAACCCAAACCGAAAAGAUUGGUCUCUUAGACUUAAUGAUGCACUUUGGGCUUACCAUACUGCAUUUAAAACGUCCUUAGGAAUGUCACCCUAUCGGUUAAUUUAUGGUAAACCUUGUCAUUUACCUGUUGAACUUGAACAUAAAUCACUUUGGGCUAUUAAAGCUUUUAAUUCAAAUUUGGAUGAUGCUGGUAAUGUGCGAAAAUUACAAUUGAAUGAACUUGAGGAAUUAAGGAAUGAUGCAUAUGAAAAUUCAAAAAUUAUUAAGGCAAGAACAAAAGCAUUUCAUGAUAAAAGAAUUUUUCGAAAAACAUUUGAGAUUAGUCAAAAAGUGUUGCUUUAUAAUUCUCGUCUUCAUUUAUUUCCAGGGAAGUUAAAGUCAAAAUGUAGUGGCCCAUUUGUUGUAAAAAAUGUAUAUUCACAUGGAGCCAUAGAAAUUGAGAAUAAAAAAAACGGUGUCACAUUUAAAGUUAAUGGCCAAAGAUUAAAACCAUAUCUGGAACAUCACACACGUGACGAGGACACCGAAAUUAAUUUGGGUGACCCACCAGUUCUUGAUUAAGUCUUUAAUGAUUUUUUUUAAUUUUAUUUUACUAUUAUUUUACCGUUUCAUUGUUUGAUUUUUUUCCUUUUUCUCUAGAUUGAUGCACUGUACAUAGUUUUUUUUAACAUUGUUUUUCUUGUGUAAGCGUGUUUGUUUGACAGUUGUACAUUCUCUCAUCAAUUUCCAUUUUACAUCAUGAGCACCUCAAUGAGAAAAUUCCUGUUCGCACAUCUUAAAAGAUUUCUUCGUGUGAAAUUUCACUUAAGAGGCCUGAUACAAAGCUGUAAAUCACAUCCACUUUGGGAUCUGCAACCACCAGAAUUCGUGUCCUAUGUUGAGGAUCUAAAGGAACAACUCAGAACAGUAGAGAGUGGCAUAUAUAAAUUUCAAUUGGAGCUUGAGGUUAACUCAAUGAGAGGACGAAUGUAAGUUCAUUUUCCUUUUUAUAUUGUGUGCUUCUUUUUGCUCGCUUUCACGCUUGAUUUGAUUUUGCAGAUUUGAUUUUGGUGAGUUUUGAUUUAUUUUCCCGUAUAAAUGGCGGAUAACGGUACUCCGUGACUUCUUAAGUCGGUAUCUUCAGUUUCCCACAAUAACUGAAACCCCAAAAUCAAACAUGGAAAAAAUACAACAUAAACUGCAUAAGCACUUUCCUUCUCUCCCUCAGAAUGCCCUCAGGAAAAUUUACAAAGCUCGUUGUGAACGACUGCGUUUGUUAAUGAUCAAUGGCAUUCCUUUUGACAUUCGUUGGUUAAUUGAAGCAAAGGUCCGAUUAGCAGGUGAGUUUUCUGAUCCAUUUGUUUCUUACAUGCCUGGUUUUGGUAAAAGUACGUUUGCUAAGAAAAGGAGAGCUAAACGACUUGGCUCAAAAUGUCAUAACUGUGUAAGACUUGGUUGCAAACGACCAGAUUGUAAAUCUUUAGGAAUGGUUUCUGAUACUCGUGAAGAUAAAAUUAAAUUCGUUAAAGAUGGCAUGAGUAAAGAAUCGUUGGAUGAUAUCUUAUGAUCUCUUGAGACGCAUCGAAGCGGAUUUGUGCAACGAGAAAUUUAUAAUUUGUGGAUACUAUUCCAAAAACAAAGUGCACAGUUUAGUCUUAGGAAUUUGACUCAAAAAGACCCUGUUUGUCAGUUUGUAAGAAAACUGGAUGGGAAGCCAAUCCUCGACCCAUAGAGGGCGUUUAAGCCGUUACUGGACGUAAAACCAGAGGAAGAUGUGAGCCACAAUCACAACUACCAGUAAAUAUCCUUUCACUUCACUGUUAUUUUACUUUACUGUUAUUUUAUCAUUUGCAUUAUUGCAUUUAGCGGUGUGAUUUUGUAUUUAAUAAAUAUUUGUUUUCUUUUAUUGUUUGCUUUUUCUAAUCAUUAUUUUCUUUUUACUGUUUGUUUUUGAAUUAUUGAGCCACGAGCUUUACUCGUCAUUUGACAAAUAUGCCAACCCAUUUACAGCUGUUUCUCAUUAUUUAUGUCACCAAGAUCUUUAAAUAUGAGCUCGUUUUUCAAACACUCACAACCUGUUUUUGAAAAAUUAGUCCAAUGGCAGCAUCUUCGAGUAAACAAUUCAAAAAUAUUUGUGUGCUUUCUGGGUAUCACUAUGGAAAGUACAAAGAGUUUGUUCAGGCAGCAGUAGAUCUUGGUCGUGUCAUAGCAGAGAGGAAACUGCAUCUUGUAUAUGGAGGAGGUGAACGAGGGUUAUCAAGACUUGUCUCAGAAGCUGUUUUUACCAGAGGAAGUCAAGUACUCGGCAUUAUCCCAAAACCCAUGAAACCGCUAGUGUGCUUGUCUGGCCCACCAAUUGGGGAAGAAUUAGUGGUAUCAAGUAUGCAAGAGAGACUAUCUGAAAUGAUGAAUCAAGCUGAUGCUUUUAUUUUUUUGCCAGGAGAUCUUGCAACUUUUGAGGCACUAAUUACAUUUGCAUCUUGGGCCCACUUGAACAUUCAUCAAAAACCCAUCGGUUUGUUAAAUGUUAAUAACUUUUAUGACGGCUUGCUAACUUUUAUUAACCAUACAAUAAAGAAUCAUUUUGUUCCACAUUCUGUAAAAAAAAACUCUUUAUCUUUGUUUCUACUGCUAAUGAGUUACUUAAUCUCUUACAAGCUUAUACACCAGAGCCAGAUCCAAAGACUUUUGAAUUGAAUUGGUCGACUGAUGAUGGUAGCGGUAACAGUAGCAGUAAUAAGAAGCGCGAUUUAGAUUUAACUCUCCGUCUAUAAAUAUUUUCUGUUGUAGUGUUCAUGUACUGUCUUCUAAACUCUUUCUUUUUCCUUUUAAAACAUUAAGAACAAUGUCUUUUUCAGGUUGGGGGGAGGGAAUAGUUGAUAAUUGUGGAAUGUCUUAGUCCUGGUUAUGUUUUUACAAAAAAAAAAACAAAAACAAAAAAAAAACAAAAUUUUUUUUUUCUGUAAAGACUAACUUAGGACAAAUUUGAGUCGAAGAUGGCAGGAUAUAGAGAAUGUAGUCUCUCUAAAAACGCAUCUUCUUAAUCUUAAGGGUGUUGUUAAAAAAAAAAAAAUUUGACUUUUUCUUCAUUUUUGUUAUCUUCUUUUAAGCUUCUGCAUCAAGUUCAGGUAAGAUCUCCUCUUCUUCUUCUUUUAUUAUUCUCUUUUAUUUUUUAUUCAUUUUUUCUUUUUCUUUUUGCAUAUCUGUAAAAUUAUAAAAUGUUAAGAUAAUGUUUAGAUUAGGUUGUGGGGUGGGGAUAAUUGACGUAUGUUUUAAAUAUGUGUGUUGUUUUUCUCUUUUCUCUUUUCUUUUCUUUGUCAAAAAAAAAAAAAACAAAAUAUUUUUUUUUGGUCUAGGAUGGCCGUGUAAAGAGUCACGACUUUUGAGACGCAUCCUAAUAGUCUUAUUGUAUUAUAUUUUGAUUUUGAAAUUCAUAGUAAGUUGUUUUUGUUCCCUUUUCUUUGAAUUACUCAAAUUUGUGAACUCUCCACUUGGUUAUUAAGUUAUUUAAUUGUUUACUCAUUUAACAGGUAUUAUUGAAUCAUUCUUCACACACACAUUAUGACACAUACUAGUGGGUUGUAAGUUAAAAUUUUACAGCAUUUAGUUCUUUUGAUUUAUUAGGAAAAGUAUCUAAGGUAGUCGAAAGUGUAUAUUUCAAAAAAAAAUAAAAAAAAAGAAAAAAAUUAUUGUUUGUUAUAUCUAGAAACUCGAGUAAUUAAGUCCGUAGGGGUGUUUCAACACCUAGUGCCCUAAGGUCAACUGGUCUGGGAGUCACUGGCCUAAAGCUCGCUACAUGGGUAAUAGAUAUAUUGUUUGUUUAUUAGAAACCCGAGUAAUUAAGUCCGUAGGGGUGCUUCAACACCUAGUGCCCUAAGGCCAACUGGUCUGGGAGUCACUGACCUAAAGCUCGCUACACGGGUUAGAAAUAUAAUACAAAAAAAAAUAUGUGUGAAUAAUCUAUUGCCUAAAGAUAUAAUUUCUAAUGAAUUUUAGAACGAAAAUGUUGUUUUUCUUUUAAUAAAGCCCCAUAAGUAUUGUGUUAAUUACUUGAGCACAAAAGAAGGUUUGAUGAUACUCUGGAUAAUGAGUGAACAUCAAUGUGGUAAAGGAAUUUAGGAGAGUUCAUUUAUUUGGUAAUUUAGAGGAUAGAUGAACAAUUAUUAACUUGCAUGUGAAUUUUAUAAAUCUUAAUAUAACGCUUUAAUUGCUAGAGGGCUAGCAAUAAGCUGGUUGGGGGGUGUGAUUAGUAUUAAAAAUUGUUUAAUUAUCAAGCGAUAAUAUGUUAUUUUAUGCUUAUGUUAUAAUUUAUAUUUGUAUUUAUGUAAUUUAUUAUGAAUUAUGAAUUAUGUUUUAAAUAUAUUUAAUUUUUUGUAUUUUUAUGUGUUUAUUAGGAAAAAUAUUAAUUUCACGUACUUUGAGGCUCCAAACAGAUAAACGGAGGUCAAAUUUGGAUUCCGAAGGUCCGAAAACCUUAAGAUCAGUCAAGAUCGGCUUAAAAUUGGGCUUGUGUAAAAAAAGUUGACUUUUCCUGUUGACCGAGUACUGAUUGGAUGAUGAAAUGAGCUUACAAUAGAUAUGAGUGCAUGGGAUAGCUGGCAAUCUUGACCAAAUCUCAACUGUUCAUGAUUCAAUGGCCAUGAUUGUGCCACGUGGCAAUGGUUGGUGAAGCAAGUUGGAGGAUCCGAAUCUUUGUAUUCGGGUCGACCCGAUCCACCCAUUAACCCGCCAAAUCUCAACCGUUCUUUGGGUAAAUCGGACGAGUCAAAUGAUACCAUGUGUGAUGUUGACUUUUGAAGUUUGACCAGCCAUUGGAUCUUGAUCUAAGGGUUGUGAGGAGCACAUGCAUGAAGCCUAUGAUGGACCGCAAGGCACUGGAUUAUGAAUUUAUUUUUCUAUAAAUAGGGCCUCAUUUUUAUGUUUUAAUCAUCUCUCUACAACUCUCUUCUUCUCAAAUUCUCUCCAUCUCCUUGUAAUCUUGAUUUCCAGGUGUGUUUUUAAUAUUUUGUAUAAUUAUUUUCAUUAAUAAAAUUAGUUUUAUUUCCAAUUUUAGUUGUUUUUAUUUCUUUUAAUUAUAAGUAAUGCAAUUUUACUACUUCUUUUUAUUUUAAUUAUGCUUAACUAAAUAAUAUUAGUUAGGGGAAGGUGAAACUCUUAGGAAAUAAAUAUGAUUUAAUCAAAUUCUAUUUUUAAUUUUAUAAAUUAAAUUAUUUUCUAUUUAAUUUUAUACAUGUUUUAUAUUUUGAAAUUUUGAUUUAUUGUAGACAAACAAAUGAAUUUGGCACAAUAAAUACUUAAUCCAUCAUAAAAUUAAAGGGAAAAUAAUAAUAAUUUGUAUAAUUAAUCUUUUGGGUAAUAAAUCUAAAAAAAUUGGCAAAAAGAAUUUAUUAAGUUUUAUUUACUUCUAAGAGUGGAUCCAUAACCCUAACUAGUUCAAUUUCAUAGUUUCAUUUAAAUUAAGUUGUUUAUAUUCAAGUUUUAAUUUCAAUUUUUAGAUAAAAUAAAACAAUCAAAUUAAAUCUUUUCUCUGUGGAUCGACCUCGGACUCACCGAGUUAUAAUACAACAAGACACUCUUAUACUUGGGAGUUAAAUAUUACUUUUAAGUUGUGUCAGUUUCAAUGUGUUAUGAUGAAUGGUACAGUUAUGAUGUGUUAUGGAUUAUGGUUGUAUGAGGAGGUUUAUAUGUCUGGUUGGGAGCAGCUUGCAUGGUUGAAUGGCCUCUUCAUGCAUGCUGAUUCUUGUGUUUAUAUUCCCCAAAUUGUAGCCGUUGGCAGCUAACGGCUACAAUAACAAACUGCCAUUUUUUGCUUUUUUUGAGGGUGAAAUUGUUAUUUUUGUUCUGGGGGCAAAAUAGUCAUUUGACUAAGAAUCCGUUAGUUUUCGUAACGGGCAGCAAACGGAAGUGAAGAAGUGAAACAAAAUAUAAGUUUAGGUGGAUUCCAGCCAAAAAAAAAAGAAUUGUGUAUUUUUGAUAAAGUUGGAAAAAAUAAGUGGACGGUGGAUAUUUUCCCUUAUUAUUAUUAUUAUUAUUAUUAUUAUUAUUAUUAUUAUUAUUAUUUCCUUUUAACAAAAAUUAAGCUGAGACAACAAUAUAUGCCCAAAAUACCCCUCACAUUAUCCCAAACUUUCUAAACUCCCCCACUCCUCUCAACAUCAUCUCUUCCAAAUCUUUCUUCCUCCAAAAAGCAGCCAUGGCUUCAAAUUCAAUCACCUCAACACUCCAAUAUUGGCUUGUAAACCACCCCCAAAUCCUCAACUUCACAUGGACUCAAAACCAAACCCCAGCUUCCUCCCCACACUUCCUCAUUCUCUCCAUCCUCACUUACCUCUCCCUCACAUUCAUCCUCUACCACAAAUUAACGCCAACAUCACCAUCAUCAUCACCUCUCAUUGGACCCCACAUCCUCAAGCUCAUCACAGCCGUCCAUAACCUCACCCUCCUCCUCCUCUCCCUUGUCAUGGCCUUUGGUUGCACUCUCUCCAUCGUCCUCCAUUCACCCGACCUCCGUCACACCCUCUGUUUGCCCCCCACCAUUUCUGCCUCCGGUCCCCUCUUCUUCUACGCUUACAUCUUCUACCUCUCCAAAAUACUCGAAUUCCUAGACACCCUUUUGAUCAUUUUGUCAAACUCCAUCCAACGGCUCACGUUCCUCCACGUCUACCACCAUGCAACCGUCGUCGUAAUGUGCUACCUUUGGUUACAGACGAAGCAGUCUUUGUUUCCUAUCGCACUUGUCACCAAUGCAAGUGUGCACGUGAUCAUGUACGGGUACUAUCUAUUGUGUGUGAUGGGGUUGCGGCCAAAGUGGAAGAGAUUGGUCACUGACUGUCAGAUUGUUCAGUUCGUGUUUAGUUUUGUUGUUUCAGUUUUGAUGCUGUAUUAUCAUUUUGCGGGAUUUGGAUGCUCUGGGAUCUUGGGUUGGUGCUUCAAUGCUGUGUUUAAUGCUUCUCUUUUGACACUUUUUAUUAAUUUUCAUUCCAAGAGCUAUGCUAAGAAAAAGCAGGGAUGAUCAAAACAAAUCGUCGUUGUGAUUGUUCUCUGUGUGUUUUUUUUUUUUUUUUUUGGUUAAUUAUGACUGGUUGUGAUCGGUUCAUUGCAUUUGACAGAGAUGUUGAAGGGUUAUGUUCUGGAAAAUAGAAAUUAAACCAAAAUUAUCACUAGAACUGGUACAUUAUUACCAUCACAGAUCAAGAUCUGAAUGGACGCAUAGCAGCCAUCCUCAAAACCAAAGGAGGAGAAAAUUGAAAUAGAACAACCACCUUAAGGUGAAGAAGGCCAGAACAAGACACACAUCCUCAAAUCAUAAGGAAGAGGUGGGUGCAACCGAAAAAAAAAAAAAGAAAUCAAGAAUCCACUGGAGAAGGCAAGAAAGAUUUUUGCCUCCGAAGAUUUGGUGAGGAAGAGAUGAGGAGUUUGGAGAGGAAAAGUUUUCGGAGAGAUCUACAGAUUAGCUUUAAAAGUGUGUUUUAAAGAGAAAGUUGUUGAGAACUUGAGAGGAUACAGAGGACGGAACUACCUUACCUUCCUUAUACCAAACACCCAAUUUUAACAUUUUCUUUAACGGUCUUCAUUAUUUUUAGUAAAUAAUAAAAACUAUACAUUCUAAAAAAAUUAACACAAUAAGCCAUUAUAAAAAUAUAAUAAUUUUAGAAUUCUAAAAAUUUUAUUUAGCAUUUUCUUCAGCAAUCUCUACUAUUUUCUGUAAUAUUAAAAACUAUAAAUCUCAAUAAUAAAUAGACCCCAAUUAAAAUAUGAAAAUUUUAAAAUUCUAAAAAAAAUUUCUCUUUCAGUUUUCUUCUCAAUCAUUUUGUUUUGCUUUGAUCUUAAUUUAUUCAUUUAUCCAACAUAUAAUUCUUCUAAAAUAUCAAAAAAUAGAGAGUCUUCUAACUAAAUGAUUAGAUUAAUUUCUUGAACACAAAAUCUCAUAAAAAUAAUGCUUGCAUUCUCUUAAAAGAAAUCUAUUGUGUUUAUUUUUAUUUAUUUUUACUACUACAAUAAGAAAAGAACUAUAUCUUGCUCUCUAUAAUAAAAUCUCAACAAUUAGGGCAUGUUGAAUGCGGUUAAAGAUGGCGACAUACGUUUAUUUUAUUAAAAUUUAAUUUCAAUAUAGUGUUUGGCAUGAAUAAGUAAAUUAAGAAUAAUAGAGUUUGUGCCAAUCAAAUUAUCAUAUGAUAAUUAAUUUUUUGCCCUAAGGGGACCCUUUGAAUAAAAUUUUUAGACUAAAUUUAUAUCUUAUGCUAACAAUUAUAAGGUUAUUUGAUGUUGAGCAAAUUUAUAGAAAUAAAUAAAAGUUAAGUUUCAUUUAUUUAAUUAAAAUAAUUAUUUAUCCUUAUAAGUAACACUAUCUUAAAUGGUAAAACAUUAAAUGCGUAUUUUAUUUUAAAAAAAUUAUAUUAAAAAAUGGGAUUUUUUGUAAUUAAUAUUUUAAAUAAAUGGAUGUGGGGAGUGUUUUAACUAGAUAAAAUAAUCCAUCCAUAUUUAUGUAUAUCUAAAUUUAUUCAUUUAUUAAAUUACCUGGACUCAUAUAAAGAUCAUAAAAUAUUUUGAUGGACUUAUGUGUUAAAAUCUUGAAAUUUAAUCUUUUUUUUUUUUUUAUGAAACAAGAGGGACUGCACCAUUAAUAACCAAGUAAUUAUAUCCUUGCCGUGGGAAUAGCUUUUGCAACUCUUAGAUUGAAUUCAAUGGUUGGAUCACAAAAAGACAAAAAUUGGCUGGACCCGGAUACGUAUGCAAUCAAUCCUUUACUCUUCAUGUUUGUGGACUACGUGGAAUGUUUGUCCACUGAGUGUAAUCGUGACGGUUCGAUUGAGUGAUUAAAAUCACACGGCUGAUAUUAGUUGGUUCUGUGUUGGAGUUGAUCCAACAUAGCCUGAGCCUUUAAAUAAAAAACAUUACAACCCAUGCAUCCAAGCACUUAAAGUUGGCUUGAGUUCAUGGGUUAUUGUCAAUUUUCUUUCCAAUUAAAUUAGAUAGGGAUAAAAUUAUCUCUUUAUUAAUAAGAAUAAAGUAGAUAUUUCUCUCGAUUUUUCUUUUAAUUAAAUUGAAUAGAAGUAAAAUUAUCUAUUGAUUAAUAAGGAUAUAAUAUAUAUCUCUCUAAUAUUAUGUGACGGUAGAAAUUUAGGUUGUUCUGUAAUAUAAUUAUCAAGGAUAGUCUUAAUAGAAUUAAUGUAAAGAAUUAAGAUAAAGCCUCAAAGAUGGAACAGAGGUUAAAAAAAAAAAGAGUACAAGACAAAGAAAAAAGGAAACAAAAGAAGACCAAGAAUAAAAGAAAAAAUAAUUUGGAAAACAAAAAAAUGGAUUGCAAUUUUAAAUUUUAAUUAAGAAUAAAUUGUAGUGAAUGCCAUUGUUGGUAAUUUGUUAUAUUUCAAAGCUCAAAUAAGGAAUAAAAUUAUUAUUAUUAUUAUUAUUAUUUUGCAAUAACUCGUUUCAAAUUUUAAAAGAUUAUAACUUUUUGUUUUUUAACAUUUUAAUCAUAAAUUAAAAAGGAGUUACUAUUCAAGAUUCCUAAGAAUACUGAAAAAAAUGAUAAAUAUUAUUCUAAGAAAAUGAUAUAUAUUGGAUAUACUGAAAUAUUAUAAAUUAUAAAUUAUUUUACUAUUUUACCCCUUAGUUUUAUGUUUGGGGAAAAAAAUACUAAAAUGGCUUUCAAUAAAAAGAAUUAUUAUUAAAAAAUAAGAUUAAAAUUAUAACAAAUGAUAUUAAUAAGAAAGAAAUUGAUAAAAAUUUGGGAUUAGAAAUAGCCAAAUAGGGGUUAAGGCUUCGGUCCUUGAAUUUCUCUAAAUUUUAUAUAUUUUUUAAUUUUUAACCCGUCAAAUUACAUUAUUAAUGGAAUGUCAAUAAAUUUUGUGCGUUAAUUUUUCUUUUAGAUAUUUUGAAAGGUAAAAUGGUAUUUUGGAUGGUAAAAGUCAGCUAAUUAAUUAAAUAUUUAUAUUCCUAAGAUAUUUAAAUUCAAGAGAAGGGUAAAAAUUAUUUUUUAAAUUUUCAUUGUGGUGAUAUCAUAAAAUAAAUUUGUGAUUAUCAUACUUGUUUUAUAGAUUAAGAUAUAAGUAAAAGUUAAAUUAAUCUUGUAAUGGUUUUUUUACCUUUUUUUUUUCUAUAGGGAGUUUUUAUUAAUAAUUUUUUUUGUCGUCUAACUUGAAAUAUAAUAGACCUUAAGGGGCAAAACAAAAUUAUUCUUGUUAACUCCACGAAACUAUUAAUUAGUUAGAGUUAGAGGCAUUCUCGUAUUUUUCAAGUCAACAUCAGUUAACUAUUAAAAAUAGCAGUAUUUGGCAGGUAAAUUGAAAUUUUCAUACUUUUAGAGGGUAAAUUGAAGUAUUUUAAUCUAAUAAGGGUGUGGGACGAAAUUUAACUACAAGUAAAUUAUCCGUGAGGCAAGCUUUUUACAACUUUUGUUUUCUUCUUUUUUUUUUCUUUUGAGUUUUUGUUUUUGUUUUACAUGGCACUGGCCCGACCAGUACAAAUUAAUUUUAGAAUAUUUACAAUUAUGUACCAUAGUUGUGGAGUAGAAUCAUAGAAAUUAAAGAUGGUAAAAUUAUUGAUGUGUGGGGUGGGGUAGGAUAACUAUUAACUUUAUUCAUGCAACGUAAGAAGAAUGCAACUGCUCCUUUGAUUUGGUAUUUUCGUAACAAAAGCAUACAUAACAUCUUAUCAAAUUAUUUCUCCUUUUCCUUGUCAGAAUGGAGGAUGCGUUCGCUUCCCCUCUUCUUGGGCAACUGAACUCCUUUGCUGCUUAUGAAUAAGUGAAACAACAGGUGAGGUUUGUGACUAUUCUCCAACAAGAAGUGAAAAAAGCUUACCACAAAUCUUCAAGCCAUUCAAGCUGCUCGAAGAUACAUAGCAAAGGCAAGUUGAUGUAGGAUGGUUGCAUGGAAUGAGUAAGGUAUCUUCCGAAGGUCAUAACUUAGGAUACAAAUAUCCAUUCCGUUUUGAAUGUAUAGUAUAUCGUUUCAAAACUUGUAAUAAGUUGAACCAAAUGCAGAAUAGUCUACGCUAUCCUGCCCUGUGGUUGAGCAAAAAAUUUCACUUCUUUCUUGGUUGUUUUUCAGUUUAAAGAUAUUUUUCUAAUUUGUCGUGAUUCUUUUGGGAUUUUUAUCUUUUUUUUUUCUAGAUAUUGGAUUUGAGUUCCAUUUGUUUUCCUUUUCUUAUUUAGAUUAGAAGGAUUUUAUUAUCAUAUAAUAUUUUGGAUUUGCCUAUUUUGGUAAAUUCCUAAUAUUUAUGCUUCUAUAAAAGUGGUUCAAUACCCCAAUUUUGUUUGUUCAAAUUAUUCGCAAUAAAACUUAUUAUUUAAAAACCUAGUUUCUAUUAUCUAAUUGCCUUUUAAUGUUUUCUUAUCGUCAGCUGGUAUUAGAGUAAGUUCGCUUGUUAUCAUGAUGUGACCACACAAAGGAACAACUGUCCCGAAGACAUUCAAGGGAAGUAGACAACGACUGUGGAGGCAGAGGCGAAGCUCAGGGGACUUUUUGAAAAAAAAAAUUUAUAAUUUAUAAAUUUACUUUUAUUAAUAUUUAUUAAAAAAAAUAAAAACAAGCCCAAUAAUUAUAUGAAUCUUUAUUUUCCCCAAUCACAAUUCAUAAAACUCACCAGUAUCUAACUAAAUCCGAAUUUGAAAUUCACCAAAAUUCAAUUGCUCAAGUCUCUUACCGCUGCUGAAUACCCAGUCUCCUGCGCUCGAAUUGACGCCCAGCCGCUGCCUCAUGAGUGACGCCGAGCCACUGCUGCAAGGCCUGAACCUGCAGGUUGAAUCUCUGACCGCCGAGCCGACGCCGAAUGCCCAGUCUCUUGAUGCGCCCCUAGUACAAAGCACUUUGCCUUUUAAACUUUAGUUUAUAGAAUAUAAUAUGAUUUUAUGAUAAUGAUGGUUGGCACACAAAGUGGAAUUGUGGAAGGCUGGAAGUUGUUGAUUUUGUGAACUGUGAUUCAUAUUUUUAAAAUUAUAAAAUAAUAGAAUGUGAAAAACGGUGAUGAUAGCAUAUUAAGUGGAACUGUGAAAGGUGCUGAUUCAUCUUCUUGGAAUUAUAAAAUAAUGAUGGCAUGAAAGAAUGAGUGAAUAAAAUAGUAAAACAAUUAAUUUGAAUGUUAACUUUUUUAAUUAGCUUUUAACUUGCGAUUUUGUCAAAUUUUUUAUAAAAUAAAUACUAAAUUUUUAAUGUAUUUUAUUACAGAUUCAAUAUUAAAUAAACCAAGAAAAACUCUACUUUUUUUUUUUUUAAGAGAGUAAGUGAAAAUCAAUCAUCCACCAAGUCUUUAUCUCCAUGUCAAGUUAAUGCUCAAGAUUCCAGUGAGCAACAUACUUCCAAGUUUCAAAGGGUUGAAGUUGAAGAAACUAGAAAUACUUAUCUGGAGCGUGAUCCUGGAUUACGUCAUCAAAUAGGGACAUAUUUAGUAAAUCAACGUGAUGAUAUUAGAAGGGAGUACAUCAAAAUGAGACUUUAUGAGCCUAAACUACGAGAUUAUCCAGUAACUAAUGAUGACAUGCAAGAACGUAGGUUUCACUAUCACUGGUUUAAAAAAUUUCCAUGGCUUGAUUACUCUGAGGUGAAAGAUAGUGCAUUUUGUUUUCAAUGCUUUCUUUUUGAUGAAAUUCCAUCAAACAACCCAAAAUUUGUUAUUGAAGGAUUUUCUAGUUGGAAGAGAGUCAACAAUGGAAAACAAAAUGUCACUUUUUACAGCAUGAAGGGGGUCCAUUUUCUCAUCAUAAUAAGAAUAUGCAGAGUUGGGGUUGUUUGAGGAACCCAAUUCAACACAUUGAUAGAUUAAUUAAUGCCCAAACUUCACAAAAACUUUUGGAGAAUAGGCUACGAUUGAAGACCUCAAUUAUUGCUGUUAAAUGGUUAGCAAAGCAAGCAUGUACUUUUAAAGGUCAUGAUGAAUCAGUUAAUUCAAGAAAUCGGGGAAAUUUCAUAGAGUUGAUAAAGCAUUCAGCGGAGUGUAGUAAAGAAAUUGCUCAAGUUGUCUUGGAAAAUGCUCCAUCAUAUGCUAAGUAUACAUCGUCUGACAUUCAAAAAGAGCUUUUAAAUAUUCUUGCAAACAAAGUGCGAAACAAGAUACGCAAGGACCUUGGAGAUGGUAAGUUUUGUAUUUUAGUAGACGAAGCACUUGAUGAAUCUGAUAAAGAGCAAAUGGCUAUUAUUUUAAGGUAUGUUGAUUGUGAUGGGUAUAUUUGAGAACGUCUUUUUGAAGUUGUCAAUGUCAUGGAAACUACAACAGUAACAUUGGAAAAAGAAAUAUGUAAUGUUCUUGCACGAUAUGAUCUUUUAGUUGAAAAUAUCCGAGGGAUGGUGCUAGUAACAUGCGGGGUGCAUGGAAUGGAUUACAAGCAUUAUUUUUGAAAGAUUGCUCAUAUGCAUAUUAUAUACAUUGUUUUGCACAUCAACUACAACUUGCUUUAGUUGCAGCAUCUAAUAAUGUGCCAGAUGUAUGGCUUUUCUUUUUAGCAUUGGGUUCAAUUGUAAAUGUUCUGACUUCAUUUGCUAAACGGCUUUCUGAGUUAAAAUCUGUUUGGGAAGCAGAAAUAAUAGAUUUGAUAGCUUCAGGAGAAGUUCAAACUGGUACAGGGGCCAAUCAAAUUCAUACUUUGCAAUGGCCUGGAGCUACUUGGUGGAGCUCUCAUUUCCGUUCUGUCAGUAGGUUGCUUGAUUUGUUUAGUGUUAUUCGUAAAGUUUUUGGGAAGUUGGUAGAGUGUGGACUUAACAAUAUCAUACGUGGAAAGGCUAAAGGUGCAUGUGAAUCAAUGACAUCUUUUAAAUUUGUGUUCAUUUUGCAUUUAUUACAUAAAGUUUUGGGGGGUGAGUGAUUUACUUUGUCGAGCAUUACAAGUUAAAUCUCAAGAUAUUCUAAAUGCUGUUCACUUAGUCUCAACUACGAAAACACUUCAUCAAAGGCUGCGAGACAAUGGUUGGGAAAUUUUAUUGAGAACGUAGUUCUAUUUUGUGAAAAGAAUGAGAUAGAUAUGUCUGAUAUGAAAGCUCGCCAUAUGAAAGGCAGAGGACGUUCUUGUCAGUAGAAUGAUUAUAUUACAAUUGAUCAUUAUUAUCAUUAUGAUAUAUUUAAUGCUGUGAUAGAUUUUCAAUUGAUGGAGUUGAAUAAUAGAUUUACUGAACAGACUUUGGAACUCCUCACUCUUAGUUCAGCUUUAAAUCUUAUUGAUGCAUUUAAAUCAUUUAAAAUUGAAGAUAUUUACAGCCUUGCUGAAAGAUUUUAUCCUGAAGAUUUCACUAAGAUUGAGUUACAGGUUUUGAGAAGACAAUUAGAGUGCUUUGAGAUAGAUAUACACUCUCUUCAAGAGUUUCAGAAUAUUACUUUCCUUUCUGAAUUGUGUCGAAGAUUGGUUGAGACUAGAAAGUCACAGAUUUAUUUCUUGUUGGGUAGAUUAAUUCGUUUAGUGUUAACCCUUCCUGUUUCAACAGCAACAACAGAGAGAGCAUUUUCUGCCAUGAAACUAAUUAAGACAACACAUCGAAACAAGAUGGAGAAUGAGUUUCUUUCAGAUUGUAUGGUUAUUUACAUCGAAAGAGAAAUUGCAGACAAUAUUGACUCAGAUGCGAUAGUAGAUGAAUUUUCUUUUUUGAAGAACCGCAUGACACAGCUUCGUCAAUAGGGUUUUUCUUAUUUACAUUGUAUUUUUAUAGUUUUAUGGUUAAAUUUUUGCUUAUGUAGUGUGCUUAAUUUCAUUUAUAUAAAACAAAUUUUUUGAGAAAUAAAUUUCAUUUUUUUUAAAAUCUAGCCCACCCAAACAAAUGAUGCUAGCUUCGCCAUUGGAGGUUAUCAGAUAGAUGGUCAAAGAAGCAAUCUUGUAAGUCAUGGAGUACGCAUAUAAUGCGAGAAUGGCAACAGACAAAUAUUAGGUUAUCUCUUGUAAACCAUAUUGAUAAAUCUAAUGAGGGAAAGAUAUUUUUUUUCUUGUCCUAGAUGACGUGUGGGAUGGAAGUUACAAUCAAUGGGAACCAUUCUUCUAUUGUUUAAAGAAUGGUCUCAAUAGUAGUCAAUUUUUUAUUACUACAUAUUAUCAGAUAGUAGCAAGUAUGAUGAGAUUAACAAAUAUUAUUUUUAUUAAGGAAUUAACUGAAGAAGAAUGUUGGUCAUUGUUUAAGCAAGUAGCAUUUUUUGGUCAAUUUUUUGGUCAAUUUUUUAAGGAUAGUGACCAAAUGAUAAAAAAAUUGCAUGCAGGGCCUGCCUCUUAUUGCAAAGGCAAUUGGGAAAUUCUUACAAUAUAAAUGACCAACAGAAGAAUGGAAAAUAAUUUUAGAUAGUGAUAUGUAGAAGGUAGAAGAGAUUGGGAACAAUAUUAAUAGGGAAAUUCUUAUAAUAUAAAUGACCAAUAAAAAAAAAUGAAAACUACACUAUAGAUGGCUCAAAGUUACCUUAUUGUAUAAGAAGGCCAAGAGAUGAGGAUCCGAUCCAAUCUAAUAGUAGUAGUUCAUUUCAAUUUUUAUUCAUUUGAUUUUAUAGUAGUAGUUUUCAUUUUUUUUGGUUGAAAAUUGGUAAAAAAAUAUUCAAAUGAGAUAAUUACAAUAAAACCAUCUUCAAGAACUACAAUAAUUUUAAAAAAACUCAAAAUAAACAAAAUAGGCUCAAAAACACCCCUAAUCCCAACAUUAUCUGAAUCCAUCCUAGCUGACCGAAUCUGAUUUUAAUCCAACCCCAACUUGAUCCCCAUAUAAUUAUAACCUGAUGCAAUCCAAACUAAACUUGAGUUUUUGAUUUGAUACAAUCUAAUCUGAAUAUUCUAACCCAAUCAACCUAAAAGCCGAUUAAGUUAAUCUGAACACAAAUUUACCCACUCCUAGCGAGGAUCAUGACCCAACAAGCUUUGAAAGAUUUUGAGGUUUCGAAGUGAAAUAUUAAAAAUUAGGUAUAAAAAGACUGAUUAGACCCCUAAGAACUUGAUAUAUAAAAUUUAUACAUAUAAUAGAAAUUUGAUUUAUAUAUUAUUAAAAUAAAAUCAAGUAACUCGAUUUUUUUUAUUGUAUUAAUUAUUUUUCCAUUAUGACGAUAUGACAAAUAGCCUUUUAUUAAAAUUUUGAUAAAACUUGGGCCUAAGUCUUUGAUUUUUAUUUUGUUAAUUAUUUUUUUAGUUUUUACUUGCAACAGUACUUCAAUUAUGAAUCAAAGUCGCCAAAUAAAAUCGCUGCAGCCUGUAGCUACAAGCAAAAUUCUAAAAUUUCGAAAUUCCUAACAACUAUAUAAUCGCUAUAAAUAGAAAAACGGUCUAAAAUUAAAUCCUCAGCUAACAUUUUAAGUUUGAAGUUGGGCCUCCUGAAGAUUUACCCCAUAUGGAUCAAAAUAUUGGUUUCGCUACUAAAAUUGCGAACUAUGUUUUUCUUUGUAUUUUCCGCUCAAGGAUGAAGAAAUUUCCCUCAACACUCUUGGCCGAAUAUCUUGCAAACAUAUGAUACUAAAGUGUCAUUUUUUGUUUUAAACAAAAAAUGACACUUUAAGGCAAUAGGAGAGUUUAAUGUAUUAAAAUGGUAAACGGGUGGAUAAAACUCAAAAUAAUUUUUUAACGUUUUAUCUAUUUUAACAUUCGAAUUUUAAACUUGAGAAGUCAAGCAAUCAAUAAACCUUUUUGAGAGGCUAAUUAAAUUCUUAGUAAUUUCACAUAAUUUCAUUUCAUCAGAACAAUUUUAUCAAAAGCAAUUUUAUAAAUCGUUGUUGAAAGCUUUAUUCCUUAAUUAUCUUUCACAUAUUUUUCUUUGUAGUAUGAGCUAAGUCAUAGACCAUAGUAUGAUAUUUAUUAUUACGUUAAAGAUGCGACAAAUUUGAGAAUAUUUAUUAUUACGUUAAAGAUGCUACAAAUGUGUUCAUCGGAGGAGUGGAAUCUGGGAAUUUAAAGAUGCUACUACAAUUACGAACGUGUGGGUGGGGAUAAGCAUAAAUGUCGAUAAAAGUUUGACUAAGAUCUUAUAUAUUGGAAAUUAAGAUAUUCUCUCUCUGCAUGUUAUUUCUGUAGGAAAUAACAUGCAGAUAUAGUAUUUUAGGUUAUUGUUAAUGGUUUUACAAUAAUAAAAAUCAUUUUGUUAGACCGUAAAAUGCCGUACUCACACUCUAUUUUGUGCAGAAGUCUGCGAGAAAGGAUUUCCACAUAUAUAUAUAUAUAUAUAUAUAGAGUCGUGUACUACAGAUUUAACUAGUGGAGAAGUUGGGAACUUUUUUUUUUUUUUUAUCUAACACAGGCUAAAAAUAUUUCAAUAAAUUAUGAUCAUGCAGACUAAUAAGAUUUUUUUUGUUAUAUAUAUUAAUUUUUUAGGGACUAAUGUGAAUAUUACUAAUUUUUUUGAGAUUAUUAAAAAACAAUGUUCUGACUUACCAAUAUGAUUUUUCCAAUCUUUUUUCUUUUCGUUAUUUAUUCCUUUGAGCAUUAGAGUUAAUGCUUGAUAUAAUUUUUGUGCUCAUUUUUUAAAUUAGUAAUUAAAUCUGAAUCUUAUAGUAGAAGAUUAUGAAAAAGUGAAGACACAAAAAGCAUUAAAAUCAUUAUUAGAUCCAAAUUUGUGCUAUUUUCAUACAUAACUUGAGAAUAUUUAUAAUUACGUAUCACAACUAGUGGAGUAGAAUCGGGGAAAUUAAACAUUCUACAAUCAUUGACGUGUGGGUUGGGGAUAAGCAUAAACUUUUUCUAUGCUGCAUAAAAGAAUGCAAUAACUCAUUUUCUUUCAGUAUUUUCGCAACAAAAGCACAUCUAAUAACUCUUUAGAAUUCUCGUCUUCUUUGCCACAAUGGUUGAUGCGAUCGUUUCCUCUCUCCUGGAGCAGCUGAUCUCUGUUGCGGCUGAUGAAGUGAAACAGCAGGUGAGGCUUGUGACUGGUGUCCGACAAGAAGUGAAAAAGCUUACCAGCAAUCUUCAAGCCAUUCGAGCUGUGCUGGAAGAUGCAGAGAAAAGGCAAAUGCAGCACGACAAAGCUGUUACUUUUUGGCUGGAUCAGCUCAAAGACGCAUCUUACGACAUGGAAGAUGUGUUGGAGGAGUGGACCACUGCAAGGCUCAAAUUGCAGAUUGAGGGCGUUGAUGAUGACACUGCUCUUGCUCUUGCUCCUCAUAAGAAGAAGGUACGUUCCUUCUUUUGUGCUCUAUCAAACUGCUUUGGUAGUUUCAAACAACUUAGUCUUCGUCAUGACAUUGCCGUCAAGAUUAGGGAAAUCAAUGGAACGCUAGAUGAUAUUGCCUCCCAAAAAGAUACGUUUAAAUUUGUGGAGAAUGUGAGUAACAAUGUCAAGAAACCAGAGCGAGUGCGAACCACCUCCUUGAUUGAUGAGGGAGAGGUUUGCGGUAGAGUUGAUGAGAAAAAUUAGCUCUUAAGCAAGUUGUUGUGUGAAAGUAGUGAACAACAACAAGGCCUUUAUGUCAUCUCACUAGUUGGGUUAGGGGGUAUAGGUAAAACCACUCUUGCACAACUGGCCUAUAAUAAUGAUGAGGUGAAAAGAAAUUUUGAAAAAGUUAUAUGGGUGUGUGUAUCAGACACUUUUGAGGAGAUUAGGGUCGCCAAAGCAACCAUUGAAGGUCUAGGUGUGUCGGCUUCUGGUUUAAGCGAAUUCGAAUCUCUUAUGAAACAGAUUCAGGAAUAUAUUACGGGGAAGAAAUUUUUUCUUGUUUUAGAUGAUGUGUGGGAUGGAGAUUACAAAAAAUGGGACCCAUUCUUUUCUUGUCUAAAGAAUGGCCACCAUGAAAGUAAAAUUCUAAUUACCACAUGUGAUAGGUCAGUUGAGCUACGGUUGGGAUCAAUAGAUAUUAUCCCUGUCAAGGAGUUGGGUGAAAGAGAAUGUUGGUUACUGUUUAAGCAGAUAGCAUUUUUACGUAGGUCCUUUGAGGAUUGUGAAAAAUUAGAACCAAUCGGGUGAAAAAUUGCACACAAGUGCAAAGGCCUGCCUCUUGCUGCAAAGGUAAUAGGGAAUCUCUUGCGCUCUAAAAGUACAGUAAAAGAGUGGCAAAGAAUUUUAGAGAGUGAAAUGUGGAAAGUAGAAGAGAUUGGGCAAGGUCUUUUAGCUCCUUUGUUGUUGAGUUAUAACAAUUUACCCUCCAAUUCUAUGGUAAAACGGUGUUUCUCAUAUUGUGCUGUCUUUCCAAAAAACUACAAUAUGAAUAAAGAGGAACUAAUUUCACUAUGGAUGGCUCAAGGUUACCUUAAUGCAGAAGAAGACGAAGAGAUGGAGAUGAUUGGGGAAGAGUAUUUCAACAUUUUAGCAGCACGCUCUUUCUUUCAAGAAUUUAAGAAAAAUGAUGAUGAUGAUAUUAUGAGUUGCAAGAUGCAUGACAUAGUGCAUGAUUUUGCUCAAUUUGUAAGUAGCAAAGAAUGUUUGUGGCUAGAAAUUAAUGGUACCAAAGAAUCAGUCAUAAACUCUUUUGGUGACAAAGUCCGUCACUUAGGGUUAAAUUUUGAAGGAGGCGCUUCAUUUCCUAUGUCCAUUCGUGGACUUGAUAGAUUGCGUACCCUUUUAAUUUAUGAUAGAAGUGAUUUCAAUCUGUCUCUUAGUAGUAGCAUCCUUUCGGAGUUAUUUAGUAAAUUGGUGUGUUUAAGGACAUUAGUUAUAAGGCAAUCGUCCCUAUAUUUUCAUCCUUUUCAUCUUGACCCAAAUUCGAUUAGAGAAAUUCCAGAAAAUAUCAGAAAAUUGAUACAUUUAAAAUAUCUUAAUUUGUCUGAAUUAGGCAUAGAGAUACUACCUGAGACUUUGUGUGAAUUAUAUAAUUUACAAAAGCUAGAUAUUAGGCGGUGCCGAAAUCUUAGAGAAUUGCCAGCGGGGAUUGGGCAGUUAAUGAACAUGAGGAGUUUACUGAAUGGUGAAACUUAUUCGUUGAAGUACAUGCCAAUAGGGAUUUCCAAAUUAACCAGCCUUCGAACAUUAGACAGGUUUGUGGUGGGUGGAGGUGUUGAUGGUAGCAAUACGUGUAGGCUUGAAUCUCUGAAAAAUCUUCAACUCCGUGGUAAAUGUAGUAUAGAAGGGCUGAGUAAUGUGUCACAUUUAGAUGAGGCUGAGAGGUCGCAACUUUACAAUAAGAAAAACCUCCUUCGUUUGCAUCUUGAGUUUGGUAGAGUCGUAGAUGGGGAAGGCGAAGAAGGGAGGAGGAAGAACGAGAAAGAUAAACAACUUCUUGAAGCCUUACAACCGCCUUUGAAUGUAGAGGAAUUCGGGAUUGUAUUCUACGGAGGCAACAUUUUUCCCAAAUGGUUGACUUCACUAACCAAUCUAAGGGAAUUAAGACUUGUCUCGUGCGUUGACUGUGAGCAUUUGCCUCCUUUGGGAAAAUUGCCUCUGGAAAAACUCGAACUAGGGAACUUGAAAAGUGUAAAAAGAUUGGGUAAUGAGUUUUUGGGAAUAGAAGAAAGCAGCGAGGACGAACCAUCUUCAUCUUCAUCGUCAUCAUCAGUUACUGCCUUCCCCAAAUUGAAAUCACUGGAAAUUAAGGGAUUGGAUGAACUGGAAGAGUGGACUUACAGGAUUACGAGGAAGGAAAACGUCUCCAUCAUGCCCCGUCUUUCUUCCUUGCGAAUUGAUUCUUGCUUCAAAUUAAAGGCGCUGCCGGAUUACCUUCUUCAAACGACGGCGCUGCAGAACCUGAGGAUUUUUUUUUGUGAAAAUAUGGAAGAACUGCCCAUUCUAGAAGAUCACAGGACAACAGACAUACCACGUCUUUCUUCCUUGCGAAUUUGGUAUUGCCCCAAAUUGAAGGCGCUGCCGGAUUACCUUCUUCAAACGACGGCACUGCAGAAAUUGACAAUUUGGGGAUGUCCCAUUCUGGAAAACCGUUAUAGAGAGGGGAAAGGAGAAGACUGGCAUAAGAUAUCUCACAUUCCCCACAUCAGGUGGUCGGCGUAAGAUGUCACUAGGGAUGGCAAUUUGCGGGUUUGGGCCGGGCUUUUUAAAGCCCAGGCCCAAGCCCGCAUCAUUCAAAAGAAGCUUAGGCCCUUCAAAAGCCCGUCCAACUUAGACGGGCCGAACUCGGGCCGGGCCUAGACGGGCCUGGGCCGGGCUCGGGCCGGGCUUGGACUUUUUAAAUUAAUUAUAAAAUAUUUUUUAAAUUAAGAAAAAAUAUUUAAAUUAAAGAUAAUAAUAUAAUACAUAGAUAGAAUAAUGGUAAAAUACAUGAAAUAUUAGUAAUACAACCUAAUAAAAUAACAAAUACUAAUAUAAAAAAUUAAACUAAUUUAAUAUUUUGAAUUUUUUCUUUUUUAUUUAAAUUAAAUUUAUUUUUUAUUCAUAAAUUUAAAAAGCCUGGGCCAAGCCCGGGCUUUUUUGCUAAGCCCUUGUCCAGGCCCAACAUAUGCGGGCUUUGUAAUUUUUAGGCCCAUAUCCAUGCCCAUCUGUGCGGGCCGGGCUUUAGGCCCGCGGGCCUGGGCCGGGCUUGGCCGGGCCGGGCCAAGCCCGGGCUUUUUUGCCACCCCUAGAUGUCACUCGCUGGUAAUUUCUCCUCCUUCUCUGAAUUACUUCGUAGUUGCUUGCAAUGAAAUUGAUAAAAAUAAUUAUAUUUUGAAUUAAAAUUCUAUAUAAAAUCAAUCAUCGUAUAAAUAUGUAAAACUUCCUAGUUAUCAAAUCUGUUAAACUUGUUUUCUAAAGAUUAAAUAAUAAAAAAAUACAAGUGUAGUCUGUUUAAAUUUCUAUAUUUAUUUACUUUUAAAAAAUAUGUACUUUUAAAUUUCACACAACAACAUAGAAAAUCUCAGUGUAAUUUAUUUUUUAAUGUACGAAAAGUUGUUAUGUGUAACUUCCUGAGAGAAAAAAUCUCUGUGAUACAUUUGCAGUAAUGUUGAAAACUAAAUUAUUAAUUUUAUCUUGUAUAAUGAUAAUUGUAUUUUUUUAUAUAUAAUUCUUUAAAGUAAUUGUGUAAUUGUUUUUACUACGAGUUUAUGUUUCAUUUUAAUUAUGUUCACCAGGGAUUCGAGGAAAUGUCAGAACCACACUAGCAAUUCACAGGUCCAAUCUAAUUUGGUUUUAAUGAUGCAGGCAGGAGAGUAUGCUAAGAAAAUGAAAAGUUUAGCCAAAGGAUUGCUAAAAUGUUCUGUUGGUAAUUCACUUGCUUUAUUUUAUAGAAUUUCAUUUCCAUCUUCUUCUAUUGAUAUCUUGUUGUGAAUAAACAAGAACAGAGAAGUAAAUGAUUGAACCACAGAGAAGUAAAAAUAUAUCCAAAUUCGAUUAUUAUGAUGAUUAAAGCAAGCUCAAGCUCAAGCAUUGCAUUUUUUAUUUUAUUUAGUUUAUAGAAUUUUCAUUUCCACCUGCAUUGCAUUUUUAUUUUAUUUUUAGGUUUUCUUUGAAGACUCUAUGGAGAACAUUGGGGUAACCAAGGAUUAUCACUGUGGUUAUUGUAUUUUUAGGUUUUCUUUGAAGACUCUAUGGAGAACAUUGGGGUAACCAAGGAUUAUCACUGUGGUUAUUGUGCAACGUUUGGUUGCUGGACUUUGAAGAAGGAAGUGAUGGCCGGGUCCGCUCUGUUUCAAUUGAGGAUUGAUAGCUGCCUGAAAGACAUGAUGAUUGUUAUUGCAUGAUGUUAAGGUGCUAAGAUCAUCAUUUCUAUCUUGUUUCAUUCUUUGAUCGGUUUAUCCUAUAUAAACAUAUGGAAUUAUGCUAAUAUUAUCAUAUGCGUCAAUGGAGGCAGGAAUUUGGUGUUGACACUAUUAUGCAGGUAACCACACUUCAUAAUUUGCACAAAUUUGCGUCAAUGCAGGCAGGAAUUUGGUGUUUCUUUGUAUUAUCAGGUUAUCAUCUCCAAGGGUUUGAAAGAGCCUUUGCAGUAAAGUCAGCUGUCACCAGCUCGUGCAAUUGCACGUUCAUUCAGAGUACUUCAACAUUCGAUUUUCAAGUUUUGUAUGUUUAGUUGCGAUUAAAAUGUUUAGUCACUCAUUUUUAAUCAUUUCUGAUUUUCAAGUUCUUUAGGGCCAUAAACAGUUUUUCAAACUCAUUCUUAUUUUUUUGGUUGAUUUCCUAUUCGUGGAGAACAUUGGCAAGUCCAAGGAUUAGGCUGGCGAUGGAACUACUACCUCUGUUGUUAUUGUGCAAGGUUUGAUCGCUGGACCUUGAACAAGAAUGCCUUAAACGCAUUCUGUAAUUGAAGCGUUCUCUAAAGCAAAAGAGCAGUAGAAGGAAUAGUGAUGGCCGGAUCUGCUCUAUCUUAAUUGAAGAUCUCUGUGAUGUUGAGGAGCUGAAAGCAGUUGAUGCUUUUUGAAAAUUGUUAUUACAGAUGAAUUGAUUCCUGAAGACGAGUAUCUAAUGAUUGUUAAGGCGUAUUUUCAUGCUGUAGUAACAAUUUCAUAUCUUGCAUCUCUCGGGUGCAUCAUGUUCACGGGUUUGAAAAAGCAUUUGUGGUAAUGCUUCAAAGCUUGUACAAUGGCUGUGAAAAGGCACAUUCAAUUAGGUACGUUUUGGUGCGGUCUCCCAAUGCUAAUAUCAUAUUUUGUAUAGCAAUUAAAAUUUAGCUAUACAAUCUUAAUAUGCAAUAAAUCAUUGUAUACAAAGUUUUUUAUUGAUUAUAUGGUGACUGAAAUUUUAAUUAUCAUAUCAAUUUAAAUUUUUUUGUAACUCUCUUUUACUUUGCUUGUACAGAGUACCUGUUUUGGCUGAUAUGUCUAAUUCGUAGAAAUUCAUUUCCAUCGGUUUCCAUUGGCUUUAGCACAAACCGAAACAGAUCUCUGGGGAAAAGUUUUACUUCUUGUGAUAUUAUGCCUUUGUUUAUUCAUUCAUCAUAUUUUUCGAAUUCAUGAUCUCAUUCAGAGGGUAAAGCCUUUUCCAGGCUGCUUUGUAGCCAAACUUUGACGCCUUUGAUGCAUGACUGUCAUUUAGAUUUUCCAAAUAACUGUUGGAUUGGAGAAGAAUAAGAAGAUACUGUUAAAAGGGUAUUUAAUUAGCGCCCUCUGAAUUUCUUGGAGUUAAUGUAGUCAAUUGCCCAAUUUUGCUUCAAACUCUGAGACACCUAAUAAAUAGUAGGAGGGGGUGGUAUUCGCCUGGUGUUAAUUUCCUGGCAAGUAUAGUUCACAGAUAGAUGGGUUCUUUUCUUGAUGUCUAAAUACCAUAUGUGAUACAACAUCGUGUAUUCCAAUUUUUCUCCAAUUAAAUUUUAAUACGUUAGAAAAGUUAAUUUUGUUUUAGCAAUGAAUUGUUUUCUUAAUAAUAAUGAUUGCCAUGUUCCUCUGAAGUCUUAUUAAUGCCAGACCAACAACUACUAGGUUCAUCUCUCGUUCACUUCCUCAGGGAAUCUAGAGGGCAUUCAUUGGCAAGUAGUCUUUCUUGUUGAGCUCCUGGAAUUACUUUUAAUUUAUCAUUUGUUGGGUUUUGCUUUUUGAUUGCUUUGGGAUUUGUGUUUUUAUCGCUUUGUCGCUCAUUAAUCUUGGCUGUUUUGAAUCUGUGUUGGAUUUAGAAGUUUGGAGUUAAAAACAGUUAAAGCUUAGACUAGUAGAAGAGAUUUGUACAUUCAUUUAUCUUGGACAAAGUUUUUGGGGAAAAAAAAAUUAUAAGUAUACACUUUCCAAUGGUCCGGUGAUGUUUGAUUGGUUUUAAGAUGUUGGAUCUCUCAUCAGAUUUCUUAUGUAUCGACUGCUGUUGCCACAGGAUGCUCGCAGAUCAUGCUUUUUUGUAUAAACUUCUACUAGAGCAGGCUGCCACAAUUGGUUGCAUUGUUUUGUGGGAGUUGGAGAAUCGUAAGGAGAGGUGUUUUUUCUCUCAUAUCAAAGGAACUCUCCCCUUCCUUUUUAUUUUCAUCUUAUAUAGUAAGCUAAUAAAUGUUUGUUUCUGUCGUGAUGGGAUAAAGCAAGAAUGAGAUCUUGCCCUAAUAAAUGUGCUCACAGUAACAGCAUGUAAUUUUGUUGUUUGGUCGCUUGCUCCUUGUCGUUCUUAUGGAAACACCUUCCGGUUUGACUUGCAAAAUACAUUACAAAAGCUCCCAAACAAUAUAUUUGAACGGAGUUACCCAUUUCGAGAAUUUGACUUGCAAAAGAGAAUCCACCCCCUUUUUUACAAGGCUGCAGAGUUGUAUAUGGUGGGAUUAAAUGCUGGAGCAGUGCAAGGUUCUUUGUCAAACUAUCUUGCUGGUAAAAAGGACAGGUCAACAUGGUUGCAAAACUUCCUUUUCAUUCCUCAUUCACUUAUUCAUUAUAAAUAAAGAAAACUUAGAAGAUUGUUCUGUUUACUGUCUGAGCCUGUUUAGCAUUUGUUAAAUUUGGGCCACCUUUAAUGUCUGACAGGUUAUCUAUGACAAUCCCAUCUGUGAGUACUAGUGCGCUUGGUUAUGGUGCUUUCCUUGGACCAUAUGCAAACAUGAGAUAUCAGCUAUUUUAUGGAUUUGAUAGAGCCGUCAUCAACCAUUUUGAUGUUAUUGGAAUAGCACUGUUCUUAAACACUGCUUUGAGGUCUCUCCCUCUAUCUCUUUUACGUAUUUGUUUAUUGAUCUACAUCUCUAUAUACAUUGAUAGACUAAUCUGGUCGUACCAAAUUACCCUUGUUUUAAUGUUUUGUUUGUUAAACUUUGACUGGGGAAUCUGUUUAUUUGUCUGAUAUGAUGUUAGUGUGGUUUCUAUUGAAGUGUGUAGAUCUAAGGAUGGUUUUAAAUUAACUGAACCCUGAGGUAGUUUUCUAAGGAAAUACAAGUGGUGAAUAUGGUUCCAACUUUUGAGUGCCUUAAUUAACCCAUUUGUUAAGCCCCGUGCGUAAACAAUCAGUAAUUGCUGUCCAAAUUCUUCUUUACUGCCUAUAUGUGUUGGACUUUGUCUAUUGUUCAACUUCUCAAAUGGAUUCCAUGCAGGGUUCUUAAUGUCCAAUUAGGAGAAAGAUCAAGGCUUGCUUGGCUAGGAGUGGAAGCGGAUCCGCUACUUCAGUCAGAUGACCUUUUGAAGAGGGCUUACAAGAGGCCGUCUCAGGAUGUCAAUGGCUCAACUCAAAAGUCCCCAAGGUGGUUGAUAUCAAAGAAUGCCAUUGUCUCUGGGCUUGGGCUCCUUGGCAUCAAACAAGGGAAUGUCGACUCUGUUGAAGGGGAAGCAAGGGCUCCUAAAGUGCGAAGAAAGAGGAUAGUCCGGAAGAAGGUGACCGCAUAAAUUUCUUGGGAGUUAAUCCUAGUCAAUAGCCCAAUUUUGCUGCCUGUUGAAGAGAUACAACACGGAAAUCCUCAUCAAACUCUUUGAGACAUCUAAGAACUUGUAGGGAGGUGGUGGUAUUCACCGUGUUUCCUGGCAAGUGUAGUUCACUAAUAGAGGGAUUCUUUUCUUGAUGUCUAAAUACUAUAUGUGCUACAACAUCGUAUAUUCCAAUUUUUCUCCGGUUAAAUUCUAGUAAGUUAGAAAUGUUAAUUUUGUUAUAGCGAUGAAUUGUUUUCUUAAUAAUAAUAAUGGCCUGUUGCUUGGGAAUCGUAUUCACUCUCUGUAACCCAGUAAAAUUGUGCAAAUUUUACUGCAGAUUUGUCAAACAGAGUAUUUUGUGAUUGUUUUGAUACACUUUUGAUGGCAAGUUCAAGUUUGAAUCAUCUUGUAAUAAUAAUAUAUGUAUUGUAUUUAUGUAUUGUAUACUAUCCUUAGGGAUAAGGAUAAGAGUGUAUAAAGUGUGAUAAAACAUAAAGUAGGAUAUGAGUUGUAAAGUAGAUUUCUUUGUGAUAAGGAUCAUUAAUGCCUACAGUAUGUAAUAGUAGUUCCCUUGUGCCUAUAAAAGGAAACCCUUGGUUUCUAUCUAGGCAUCGAGUCUUGGAGUGCAAUCUUGUAUUUGUAAAUCUCUCAUUCCUCUUAAUAGAAGUAACAUUCUCUUGUUGGUUAUUUUGAAUUGGUAUCAGAACCAUAUUUCCCAAAAGGAAACCCCUGGGUGUGCAACAAUAUUAUGCUCUGUGGUUGCCGAAAUACUUCGGAUCCUUCACAUCAGAAAGUUGUUGGAUACUGAUCUAACUGUCCAAACUUUCCAUGCUAAAAUACUACAGAGUGAAUUCUGUAAGGUGUGGCGCCCCCUUGAAAAGGCUAGGAGAGCCGAGUUUAGGGUUUAUCACCCCAAAGAAAACCCUUUGAUUUCUUUUAGCCAUGGAAAACCAAAACAACAAUAGAUCAGGAAACCAACCAAUUUCUGAACAGGCAUCCACUUCGGCCAUCAGAGUUACUACUGAUAGCUCGCCCUCCAUAAACUUCCAUUAUGAGACCCGAGAGGAUGAAAGCAGUGAGAGAGCAGUCCAGUCCUUCAGACUUGAUCACCUAAGAGCCAUAAUCCCCAUCAAACAACCUAAGCUUAAAACCAUCUAUAAAUCAUCUGAAAUCACUGUCCAGUCCAUCUCCUCCAGCUCAAAAGAAACAUACCUUCCCAUAAUCUCUACUAAUGAGGUUACAAGGUACAAGAUGCAGGGAUACAAAGGCUUGCACCUUGGAGCAAUCCAGAUAGGAAUACAACCAUUAUUUCUAGUUGGAAAAGAUAUAACAUGUUUUAUUGCCAUUCUGGAUACUAGAUGACAAACUUUAAAAAAGGCCUUGAUAACUGUAGUUGAAGCAGGACUCAACCAAGGUCAUGUUGUCCUCCAAGUUGAACCAAACUUCACCCUUGACAUACACAAACCAUCCCUCACAGAUGACAGAGUCUUUCAACCCAAGACUUAAAGGCAAAACCAACUCAUUUUUCCACCACAAUGGAUCAAUGAGUAUGAGAAAAACAACAGACCUCAACAGAUCCAUGAGGUCCCAAAGAUAAGCAGGUUGCAGGAAGGAAGGGUAUUAGUCUCUUUUCCUACAGAGACCAAAGCCCUCUACCCAUGUGAGAAAUGCCAACUUGAAGGAAAGCAUCCCUCUUUGUGCACACACAUGCCAAGAAGGACGACCUCUUGUAGAAUCAUUGGUCCAGUCAACAUGAUCACCACCCCAGACCUUAAUAAUGAAUUUGUCAUGGAUAUUCCUGGCGGUAUAUAUGCAGCCAAAUGGGUUAUUCAAAAAACUAACCCAACUGAGUUUGGUCAAAUAGAGAAUGCACUCAAUUGGUCAAACAUCAAUGUUGUAGAGUAGAAUCAGGCUCUCGGAGAUAUCAUGGCCACUCAACAGCAAAUUCUUUCUGACUUAGCUGUUAUCAUAAAACAGCUAAAAAAGACCUGAAAGCAUCAUAAGAUGACUAAUCAGCAGUUCUCACAACAGCAUGAUGAUGCCGCCAGAUCAAUCAACAUGAUUGUCAUGACAGGAGCUGCAAAUGAAGAUGAAAUGGAAAGAACAAGGGAAAGCUGUACCAGAAAGAAAGUGUCCAGACACUGGAAGAGCAAAUCCACAAAACCAUGGCAUAUCUGGGAGGAAAAUGCAUCUGGCAACUAUCAGAAGGCAUUCUGGAGAAGUUAUGCUCAUCCUCUGCAAUAUCAGUGGCCUCAAAAGGCUACAAGAUGGAACGAAGAAGAUGAUACUGGCGAUGAGACAAGUGUCUCCUCAGAUGAUCAGUUCCCUCCUAUACCAGUCCUUAUGCAAAGAGCAAAUCCUGCCAAUUCAUUUUAUGUGAAUACUCGUGCAAGAUUUACUAACCCAACACAGGGUCAGACUUUUAAUCCGAACCGGCCAGAACCAACCCAAAAUCUGUCAGGAACAACCCAGUUCACUGCCCCAAAAUUCACUGGUCAGACUGAAUCCACUGCUCAACCAGCUACAUCCGGAGUAGAUUCAUCUAAUCCGGCAGAGCAGGUACCAUACAUGGAUGAGGUGUCUCAAGGAGAAGAGUGGGAAACCCGUGUACAAAUCGGGCACUCAACAACUAGCAAAAUAUUCUGGAACGUUGACGGCAUGAAGCCAAAAGAACGAUUGGCUUACUUCGAAAAAAUGGUGGCCUGGUACGAAGGCGAAUGUCAAAGAGCCCCCCAGUUGAGCAGAAGAUCAGUAGCACUAAGGCUGAUUGGUUCGUAAAUCUUGAGAUCGGCAAUGGCUCUGGAUGAUCUCCAUUGACAUCUGAUAUAGCUGAGCUAGGCUGAGCUGUGCUAAGUCAACAAUUGCACUUCAAGACUCGAUUCCUAGAUACAAACCAAGGGUUCCCUUUUAUAGGCACAAGGGAACCACUAUUACUUACUGUAGACAUUAUUGAUCCUUAUCACAAAGGAAUCUACUUUACAACUCAUAUCCUACUUUAUGUCUUAUCACACUUUAUACACUCUUAUCCUUAUCCCUAAGGAUAAUAUACAAUACAUAAAUACAAUACAUAUAUUAUUAUCACCAUUGCUUCUACUGUAGGGUUCACUAAGCUUCCGCUACAGUCCAGAGUUGCCACUUGUUGGCGUGCUUCUUCCUAACCUGUGGUUCCAUCGUUCUUCGGAUGCGGCAUCCAUGUCAUCUCCCAUAUUAGGCCAUAUGGGAUCUUUAACAUUGCCUGGUUGGGGGUUUAGUUCUGGUUGGGGCCAGUCUUGGAGGUCUAACCAAUGGGCCAUUUCUUCGAGGUCGUUCCUCCAUCUGUCAAUAUCUAGAGUGUCCAGAUAAGUGACUUCCUUUGGCCUGCCAUGUCGAGUGAGGUAGUCAUUAUACCUCAGAUGCAUGUCUGCUGCUUCAUCUUCUUCGUCAUGGAGCUUGAGAUUCCUAAUCUCUUCCCUGUAGUAGAGAUCUGAAGUAUUGCAGAAUUAUGGGGAAACUGGGCUGUGAGUAUUGUACAUAGGAACACUCCCAUAUACAUCUGCCAGUGCCCUUCUUGCAUUCCAGCAGUCUGUCCACAUGGAGUCUAUUUCUUCGUGGGAGUGGUCAUGCUGGACCAUUUGUACAAGCGGCUGCUUGUAUCUUCCCCAGAUAUCUGUGAGUUUCACAAUCACUAUAGUAGAGUGAGUGAUGUGAUACCCGUUGAUAAGCUUUAGCGUUAGGAUAUCCUCAAAGAUAGGAGCGAACAUUCGGUCGAACCAUUUUCCUUUGCCAUAUCUUCUGCUGGUGUGGAUGAGAUUUGGUUCGAACAAUAUCGCCGCCGAGUAGAUGUUAAGCCAAUACCACGUUAUGUAAUAGGCUUGUGGGGUUAUGUCACAGAUAAUAUAAUGUCCCCAGUUGGAGUUCUCAUCUAUUACAUAAUGGAAGGUGCAAUCGAUCUUGAAGACCGUUUCAUGCAUCUGGUCAGGAUUUGGAUGCAGAUCAAAAGCUCUUUGACAUCUUUUAUUAUGGGCAGGUCUAUGUUCUUGCAUGGCCAUGAGCUGCCAUACCUGCCAUGUUAGAGCUUGAUCUUCUGGAUCUCUUUUGUGGGUGAUGACUUUCUCAAAGAUAUCUUCCUGGACUUCUGAGGGAAGCCAUGCGAUGAAAGUGUUAAGAUCCUUGAGAAAGUGUGCUCUAGUUUCAUGAGCACUAGAGCUACCUUCUUCCCAUCUUCUUGGGAGAUUCCUCCUUCUGAUCAUAGAGAUUGGUCUGGAAAGGAAAUCCGCUACAGUGUUGGAUUCUCCUUUGAUGUGUCUUAUUUCGAACUUGAAUCUCGAGAGAGACUCAGACCACCUUGCAAGCUGUGGAUAUGAGAUUUCUCAUUCUUUUCUCCUGAGUAAUCCCUGGAGUAUUUAUAGUCUGUUUCAAUCACAAAGGGAGUUAAUGAGAGAAAGAACUGGAAUUUCUUGAUCCCUUUGACGACAGCUAAGACUUCUUUCUUAGAGGAAGGGUAGUGGCUUUGGGCAUCGUUGAACUGGCCAGAUUUAUAGCCACAUACUUUCUUGUUUCCCUCGGUUUCCUCUAUCAACAAUGCUCCCCAAUAAUGGUCACUAGCAUCUGUCUGUAGGAUGAGCUGUCAUUUGUCAGGUAUCUUUAAUGGCGGAAGUGACUGGCACUUUUGUUUUAAGUCUGUCACUGCUUUUGUCGCAUCUUCCGACCAUUGUGGGGCAUUCUUCUUUAAAUGCUUGAAUAUCUGACUCGUCAUCUUUGACAGGUCCUGCACAUGGUCUGCUGCAUAGUUGAUUAUCCCAAGGAAUUGCUGGAUCUACUUUCUUGUAAACAGCUGGUUAGGAAAUUGUGAUAUUUUCUCAGCAAUAUGUGGCUGAGGAAUAAUGAAUCCCUGCUUGAUGUGUAAUCCCAAAAAGUCUACCUCAUCAAGGCCUAUCUUCAUCUUUGGUUCGGACAGGGCUAACCCAUGUUUGUAGGUUAGAGCUUUGAAUUUAGAUAGGUGCUCAACAUGUUCUUCUUCACUGUUGCUGAAGAUGAGAGCAUCGUCGAUGUAGAUAAGGCAAAAUCCUGAGAUGGAUUUGUAUACCUCAUCCAUUCUGUUUUGGAAUUCUGACGGUGCAUUCUUUAGACCGAAAGGCAUCACGUUCCACUCAUAAUGCCCAUGGGGGACCACAAACGCUGUCUUGUGUCUGUCUUCUUCCUUGAUUCCAAUUUGCCAAAAGUCUGACUUCAUGUCAAACUUUAAGAACACCUUUGCUCCAGCAAUGCGUUUCAAAAGGUGUUUCCUGCGUGGAAUGGGGUAUCUUAUGUCCUGCAAGCAAUCAUUCAGUUUCCUGUAGUCUAUCACUAAUCGCUUCUUUCCACAUAUCUGUUCUGAAUGCUUGUUGACAUAAAAUGCUGGGCUGGCCCAAUGAGAUUUUGAGGGCCUGAUGAGCUUCAGAUCCAUAAGUGCUUGGAUCUCAGUUCUGCGUAGUCCUUCGUCAUGGGGCAUGUCUGGAUGUGAGGCUGUCUGGUGAGGAUGGUCCAUCCAUCCUUGUAGGGUAGAGACACAAAAUGCUGUUCUCUAGCCCAAAAUUGGUUAGGAGCUUCUGCACAACAUUCCAAGAGCUCGUUGAUCUGGGGUUCAUAUUAUGGAUAGGGUAAUUUUCUAGUUUUCCACCCUCCCCAAAAAUGGAGUGUUUUUCAACCCAAGGAACUUGGAAAGAAUGACUCGUACCAUCCAGAGGAUUGCGAAUGGUAUAAGAGAAUCCUUCGGGAAAAAAGGCAAAAGGGGCAACCAGACUAAAAAAGUCGGUUCCCAACAAGAUAUCUUCACCGGAAUAAUCAAAAGUGAAGAAACCAUGCAUGAUCAUGAAUGGUUGGAUUUCUAUUGGUCGAGUAAUCUUUUUGCUAUAGAAGUCUCUGCCACUGGCGGAUCCAAAAGAAACUUUAGUAGGAACAUAAAAGCUUUUUGGAAUACAAGCUUCUCAGAUAAACGAGCACAUUGCUCCUGUAUCAAUAAGAGCAGUUAGUGCUACUUGAGUAUCCUCUGUUAGAUUGAGGAUAAUUUUGAUAUGUGGCCUAAAAAGAGAUGAUGGUUGCAUAGCGAGCUUUAUCUGUAAUGGGUCAUGGACAACCAUAACAAGGUCCUCGUCAUCAGAACUGCUAUCAAGGCUUGUGAUGGAGUCGGUAUCCUCAAUAUCUGAAUAAGGAUACUCAUCUAAUGUGUAGACUGCUCCGAGUGGACUAUCCUACCAGGCAUAGAUUUCAUCGUCAAAAUCGUCCUGUUGGAUUAGGUGGAGGAGCUUUGCCGGAAGCUUUCUCUUAAAUUUGCAUUGUUUGGCAUAGUGACCUUUCUUUCCACAGAUAAAACAUCUACCAGAUCCCUUCUUCUGGUUUCGCUUUUUGAUGAAGCGGUGUUUCUUGCCUUUGUAGGGUUUCCAGGGCUGUUUUUCUUUUCUUCGUUUGCCAGUAUUGCAGGAGCACAUUUUGUCAGUAUGUUGGCAACCAAACUUGUUUGGUUCGUCGUUACAAAAUUUUUGCAGAGAGGAUUUCUCAAUCUGCUUCAUGUGCUUUCGUAAAUCUUGAGAUCGGCAAUGGCUCUGGAUGAGCUCCAUUGACAUCUGAUAUAGCUGAGCUAGGCUGAGCUGUGCUAAGUCAACAAUUGCAUCAGCUUUGAAUUUUGCCUCCAUCAUUUCUGCAACUAGUCCUGGCAUAUUCAGCACGAACGUUCUGUGGAUGGUGUCAGAUGUUUUAUCAAAGGUGUAGUACAACCUUUCUUGCUCCAUGUAGUACUCUUCCAUCCUUCGAACGUCACAGCAUUUGUUUUGGAGAAAUUACUUUUCUGCAACUUCCUCUUCUUUUGUGAACUGUCCUAGAAAAUCUAAUGAUAGAUUUUCUAGAAGACUUCCACAAGGAUCAUCUCUGUUGAGAAUGUGCUGCCGUUGUUCUCUUGUGAGCUUUCUUCCCCACCAUCGUCGUAAUGAGCCGACGAAUCCUGCAAUCAGCCUUAGUGCUGCUGAUCUUCUGCUCAACUGGGGGGCUCUUUGACAUUCGCCUUCGUACCAGGCCACUAUUUUUUCGAAGUAAGCCAAUCGUUCUUUUGGCUUCAUGCCGUCAACGUUCCAGAACAUUUUGCCAGUUGUUGAGUGCCCGAUUUGUACACGGGUUUCCCACUCUUCUCCUUGAGACACCUCAUCCACGUGUGGUGCCUGCUCUGCCGGAUUAAAUGAAUCUACUCCGGAUGCAGCUGGUUGAGCAGUGGGUUCAGUCUGACCAGUGAAUUAUGAGGCAGUGAACUGGGUUGUUCUUGAUGGAUUUUGGGUUGGUUCUGGCCGGUUCGGAUUAGAAGUCUGACCCUGUGUUGGGUUAGUAAAUCUUGCACGAGUAUCCACAUAAAAUGGAUUGGCAGGAUUUGCUCUUUGCAUAAGGACUGGUAUAGGAGGGAACUGAUCAUCUGAGGAGACACUUGUCUCAUCGCCAGUAUCAUCUUCUUCGUUCCAUCCUGUAGCCUUUUGAGGCCAUGGAUAUUGCGGAGGAGGAGCAUAACUUCUCCAGAAUGCCUUCUGACAGUUGCCAGAUGCAUUUUCCUCCCAGAUAUGCCAUGGUUUUGUGGGUUUGCUCUUCUAGUGUCUGGACACUUUCUUUCUGGUACAACUUUCCCUUGUUCUUUCCAUUUCAUCUUCAUCUGCAGCUCCUGUCAUGACAAUCAUGUUGAUUGAUCUGGUGGCAUUAUCAUGUUGUUGUGAGAACUGCUGAUUAGUCAUCUUAUGAUGCUUUCGGGUCUUUUUUAGUUGUUUUCUGAUAACAGCUAGGUCAGUAAGAAUUUACUGUUGAGUGACCAUGAUAUCUCCGAGAGCCUGAUUCUGCUCUACAGCAUUGAUGUUUGACCAAUUGAGUGCCUUCUCUAUUGGACCAAACUCAGUUGGGUUAGUUUUUUUAAUAACCCAUUUGGCUGCAUAUAUAUAGCCAGGAAUAUCCCUGACAAAUUCAUUAUCCAGGUCUGGGGUGGUGAUCAUGUUGACUGGACCCAUGAUUCUGCAAGAGGUCGUCCUUCUUGGCAUGUGUGUGCACAAAGAGGGAUGCUUUCCUUCAAGCUGGCAUUUCUCACAUGGGUAGAGGGCUUUGGUCUCUGUAGGAAAAGAGACUGAUACCCUUCCUUCCUGCAACCUGCUUAUCUUUGGGACCUCAUGAAUCUGUUGAGGUCUGUUGUUUUUCUCAUACUCAUUGAUCCAUUGUGGUGGAAAAAUGAGUUGGUUUUGCCUAUAUGUCCUAGGUUGAAAGACUCUGCCAUCACCAGCAAGAAAUCUGGUAAUAGGUUUGCCAGAGCUGUUCAUGGAGAACAGAUGGGUUUGGACAUUAUAGGUCAUGGUGUGGUGAAUUGUCAAGGCAGAUUCAUCAGGUUUCAUGGUUAAACCAUUGACCUGAAUUAGUACCUUUAUGGCAUCUGUGAGGGAUGGCUUGUGUAUGUCAAGGGUGAAGUUUGGUUCAACUUGGAGGACAACAUGACCUUGGUUGAGUCCUGCUUCAACAGUAGUUAUCAAGGCCUUUUCAAAAGUUUGCCAUCUAAUAUCCAGAAUGGCAAUGAAACAUGUGAUAUCUUUUCUAGCUUGGAACAAUGGUUGUAUUACUAUCUGGAUUGCUCCAAGGUGCAAGCCUUUGUAUCCCUGCAUCUUGUACCUUGUAACCUCAUUGGUAGAGAUUAUGGGAAGGUACGUUUCUUUUGAGCUGGAGGAGAUGGACUGGACAGUGAUUUCAGAGGAUUUAUAGAUGGUUUUAAGCUUAGGUUGUCUGAUGGGGAUUAUGGCUCUUAGGUGGUUAAGAGUAGGGCUAAAGAUGGAAGAGUACUUGUUGAGGGUUAGAAAAUGUAUAUUUAUAAAGGAGAAAAUCAUAAUUUUACACUACAACCUUUACUAACACCCUUACUUUUAUGCAUUUAACAUUUUUUUGAUUUAAUUCCGUGUGUUUUAUUUUAAUUAAGCAUUUUAUGUAUUUUAGGGGCAUCAUAGUCAUUUCACAAAAAACGAGAGAUCAGACGGCAAAACGGACAUCACUUUUGAACUCAGGACGGUCGAAAACCUUAGGAGGAGCAUAAAAGGAAAAAUGGCACUAUUCACAUGUACGAUACUAUUCACGUGUACGGUACUGUCUACGUUACUGUUCAUGACACUGUUCACAUAGACGGAUCGAUGACGUGGCAUUAACCGAUGAUGUGGCAUUGACUGAUGAGGUGUCACGAUCCUAUUGGGCUAAAAUUCUUAUGUACUGUCGAUGGUGACGUGACAGCAUAUUAGUGGACGAAAAAUCUCGCGUACGGUACAUGCAUCACACAGGAUUAUUUUCAACCAAACCGUGUCACUGUUCACCCAGGUCAAACUGUGUUACUGUUCAUCCGCGUGGUCAAACCGCGUACUGUUGACUGAUGACGUGGCGCAAUCCUGAGCGUCCAAACUGUUUUUAAUCCGAUUGCCAUGAUUUACUCCAUGUAUCUAUAAAAAGGGGGCUCCCCCCCCUAAUUUGAUAUCUCUGAAUCCAUUUUUGGGAUCCAUUUUCUGUAAUUCCUUCUCCAUCUUAUAUUUUCUAUGUAUUUUAAUAAAUUCUCUUUUUGCCCCUAGUUCAAUUAUGAGUGGCUAAUUUUCUUUCAAACUUGGGUUGAAGGUGAAGUCUCAACAUGUGUCAUGGGCUUUAUUUGGUAAAUUUAUUUUCUUUUCCCCUCUAAUUUUUGUGGAUGAUUUGACUUUUCGUCGACAAAUAAUAAUAAUCUUGUCUAGAUACCGCCUUGGUUACACCGGUUCUCUAGUACAAGGUUAUUAUUAUUUGGCACGAUAAGUUUUUAGCACCAUAUUGAUUAGAGUGUGGUUCAUGAGGUGUGGAUUCCCCCCUCAUGAUUUAACUGGCAUUAAUAAGGAUUAUUUAGCCUAUGAUGCAUGUUGAUACGGAUCCAGAUACCCAAGUACGUCAUUUCAAUAGAAUUCUCUUCAAUUUAUUCUUGCCAUUUCAAUUCCAAUUUUAGAAUUUAUUCUCGCCAUUUUAAUUUAAGUUUUAGCAUAUUCCAAUUCAUUUCCACCACAAAUCCAAUCACCCAUUUACAAAAUUAAUUCUACACACAAUUAAAAUCCACCUCCUCGUGGGAUCGACACUCGUCACCAUUGAUCUAUACUACAAUAGAUUCGUGCGCUUGCGAGUACAUUAAAAUUUGCACAACAAGUUUUUGGCGCCGUUGCCGGGGAGGUAAGUAAUUUUAAUUCAUAGAAUUAAUUUUUGUGAAUAAUUUCUUUUAUUUGUUUUCUUGUAUUUUUUAUAAAAAAAAAAAGUGAAUCCGCAUUUAGAGGUUAGUAUUUCUUUUCUUUUUCUCUUCUUUAAAAUUCUGUAAUUUAAUUUUUAAUUUAUUUUUCUUUGUAAUUUUUGUUUAUCUUAUUAAUUUAAUUUCUAGUUAAUUUAUUUCACGUAUUUAUUUUUGUAUUUUUAUGGUAAGGUUGUAAUAGCGCAAUAAGGUUAGUAUCGUAAUUUCUCCCUCUUAUUUAUUUUUAUUUGUUUUGUUCCCAUCUUUAUUUUUAUUUUUAUUUUAUUUUGCAUGCAUGGUCGUAGGUCAUUAUUACCUAAUCUUGAACCUAUAGACAUUGAAUUAGAAAAAACACUUCGCACACACAAACACGUUAAAAAUAAAAUGAAUUUGCAACCACAGGAGAGGCAAUUUAAGGACUAUUUUAGUCCCUUAGCUAAUUUGAGCACAUCAUGUAUUAGAUACCCAAAUGUAGCUGCUAAGAGCUUUGAACUAAAACCUAGUGUGCUAAAUUGUCUGCCCACAUUCUAUGGCUUAGAAAAUGAGGACCCAUAUAAUCAUCUGAAUGAUUUUCAUACUAUUUGUCAAACAUUUAAAUAUGAGAAUUUUUUAGACGAUGAUGUUAAACUCAGAUUAUUCCCAUUUUCUUUAAAGGAUAGAGCUCGUUCAUGGCUUAAUACAUUGCCUGCUAAUAGCAUUGCAUCAUGGGAACAAAUGGUUACAAAAUUUUUGAAUAAAUAUUUCCCAGUGCAUAAAACCAAUGCUAUUCGCAGGGAAAUCUCAGAGUUUACCCAGAGAGAGGACGAGCAGUUUUUCGAAACAUGGGAGCGAUUUAAUGGGCUACUCUUGAAGUGUCCACAUCAUGGGUACGAGAAAUGACACCAAUGCCAAUACUUUUUGGAGGGAUUAUUGCCGAAUGUGCAAGAAUGGCUAAUGGCAACAAGUGGAGGAGAGCUAAUGUCAAAAAGUGCAUCAGAGAUUUGGGAAUUUUUCCAGCGACAAGCAGAUAAUUCCCAACAACGGAGUCGAUCACUCAGGAAUACUAGAAGAAUUAAAGGAGUAAAUGAGGUUCACAUUGGCGAGUCAAGUUCAGAAAUCAAAGAAGUCAAGGAGAUAAUUGAAGGUCUCUCUCGACAAAUAACAUCAUUAUCAACUACUAAAUCAACAGAGCCACAUGAUUAUGACACAUACUCAGAUCAAGCCAAUGCCAUAGGUGUAAUGAGAAAACCAUCAAAUUACAACCCAUACUCCAACACAUAUAACCCGGGAUGGAGAGACCACCCCAAUUUUUCAUGGUCUUAGGGAUUCCAACAGAAUGGACCAACAGCUCCAGCUCCACCAAUGCAACCAAUUCCUCAAAAUCCUCAAGCCUCUCAGCCACCAUUUAGACCAUACAAUCAGAACCAGAACUACUCUCAACCCAGACCAUGGGAGGAUUCAUUCCAGAAUUUCAAGAAUGCUACUCACUCUACGAUUGAGCAACAGAAUCGCACCAUUGAUGGACUACGAAAUGAGUUAAGAGCAGGCUUCAACUCACAAGCUCUAUCAGUUUCAAGCCUGGAGAAAAUGGUGGGACAACUUGCUUCUUCAGUUCAGACUUUGGCAAUGACUGUUGAGAAAGGCAAGUUUCCAAGUCAACCAGUGCCUAAUCCUAAAGGAGUACAUGAAGCAAGUACCAGUUCACCACAGCAGCAUGGAGAGGUCAAAGCAGUCAUGACCUUGCGAAAAGGAAAGGAAGUCGACAACAAAGUGGAGAUGCCGGUGACAAAAGAAAAUCAAAUUAUACCUGUGAAUGUUGAGGACUCACCAUCGGAGGAGAAAGAAGAAACCAACCCGCGAGAAUAUGUUCCGAAAGCUCCAUUUCCUCAGAGGUUAGCGAAAGGAAAGAAGGGAAAAUCCACAGGUGAGAUUCUCAAAAUCUUCAAACAGGUAAGUGUUAACAUCCCUUUACUUGAUGCUAUUAAACAAGUUCCAUCUUAUGCCAAGUUUCUUAAAGACCUUUGUACUAAAAAGAGAAAUAUGCAUGUUCAAAAGAAGGCAUUUUUAACAGAAAACGUUAGUUCUAUACUCCAACAUAAAAUUCCUUUAAAAUGCAAAGACCCAGGCUCCCCCACUAUCUCAUGUAGUAUAGGGAACCACACAAUUGAGAAUGCUUUGUUGGAUUUAGGAGCUAGUGUAAAUCUUUUGCCUUACUCUGUAUUCGUGAAACUUGGACUAGGAGAAUUACACCCAACUCCAGUGGUGUUACAGCUUGCAGAUCGGUCCACGAAAAUACCUCGUGGUAUUGUCAAGGACGUGCUUAUCCAGGUAGACAAGUUUUAUUUUCCUGUUGAUUUCAUUGUAAUUAACACUCAACCAAUACAGGAUUCAAGGAAGCACAUCCCCAUUAUUCUAGGCCGACCUUUCUUGGCAACUGCGGAUGCUCACAUUCAAUGCAGGACUGGAAAUAUGCAGUUGUUCUUCGGCAAUAUGACUAUGGAGCUAAACAUUUUCAACAUUGCCAAACAACCUCACAAUGCAGAUGAUGAAGUUGUUGAUGUGGAUGAAAUUGAAGCAUUAGUUGAUGACACUUUUCUUUCAAACCUUAGUGAUGAUCCUUUACAGACAUGCUUAACUCACUUUGGUUUUGAUUUUGAUAUUGACAGAUCGGUCAAUGAGGUCAACGCCCUACUUGACUCAGCACCAUCCAUGGACACUAAUAAAUGGAAGUCAAGAGCUGAACAACUAGCACCAUCAGAAAAGAAACUCAUCCCAUCAUCAGAAUCACCACCAAAACUCAAGCUCAAACCAUUGCCCAACACAUUGGAAUAUGCAUUUUUGGGAGAAGAAAGUACUCUACCGGUAAUCAUCUCAUCAUCCCUAAAUGAUGAACAAAAAGGUAAGUUGUUGGAUGUUUUAAAAGAGCACAAAGGGGCAUUAGGAUGGACCAUAGCAGACAUAAAAGGUAUAAACCCAGUAGACUGCAUGCAUUACAUUCACCUUGAUGAAAAUGCUAAAUCUACUAGGGAAAUGCAACGUCGGUUAAAUCCUAAUAUGAAAGAAGUUGUUAGAACUAAAGUCCUUAAGCUAUUAGACGCAGGUAUCAUUUACCCAAUUUCUGAUAGUUCAUGGGUCAGUCCUGUACAAGUUGUCCCCAAAAAGUCAGGAGUCACAGUAGUUACGAAUGCUGAUAAUGAAUUGAUACCCACUAGAGUGACUACAGGAUGGCGUGUAUGCAUUGAUUAUAAAAAGUUGAAUUCUGUCACACGUAAAGACCAUUUUCCUUUACCAUUUAUUGAUCAAAUGCUUGAUAGAUUAGCAGGCCAUGAAUUUUAUUGCUUUCUAGAUGGCUACUCAGAAUAUAAUCAGAUUCCCAUAGCACCAAAAGAUCAAGAGAAAACUACUUUCACUUGCCCUUUUGGCACUUUUGCAUAUAGGAGAAUGCCAUUUGGAUUAUGUAAUGCACCUGCUACGUUUCAACGAUGCAUGUUAAGCAUUUUUUCUGAUAUAGUUGAACGAUUCCUUGAAGUCUUUAUGGAUGACGUUUCUGUCUUUGGUGAUUCGUUUGAUCAAUGUUUACAUCAUCUAACGCUAGUUCUGCAGAGAUGUACCGAGAAGAACUUAGUCUUGAAUUGGGAGAAGUGUCAUUUUAUGGUAAAACAAGGUAUUGUUCUAGGUCACAUCAUUUCGAGCAAAGGUAUUAGGUUGACAAAGCCAAGGUGGAUCUCAUUUCUAAUCUUCCUCCACCUAAAACAGUCAGAGAAGUAAGAUCUUUCCUUGGGCAUGCUGGUUUCUAUAGACGUUUCGUUAAAGAUUUUAGCAAAGUUUCUAGACCCUUAUGCAAUUUACUUGCUAAGGAUGUACCUUUUAUCUUUAAUGAUUCAUGUCUUAUGGCUUUUGAAAAAUUAAAGCAAUUGUUGACAUCAUCACCCAUCAUUCAGGCCCCAAACUGGAGCUUAUCAUUUGAGCUCAUGUGUGAUGCAUCUGAUUAUGCAGUAGGAGCAGUAUUAGGACAAAGAGUUGAUCGAAUUCCCCACGUUAUUUACUAUGCUAGUAUGACAUUGAAUGAUGCACAGUUGAAUUAUUCAACUACUGAAAAAGAAAUGCUAGCAGUAGUGUUUGCAUUAGAGAAAUUUCGAUCUUAUCUCAUUGGUUGUAAAAUAAUUAUAUUCACAGAUCAUGCUGCUCUUAAAUAUCUUCUCACAAAAAAAGAUGCAAAAGCUAGACUAAUUCGUUGGGUGUUACUUUUGCAGGAAUUCGACUUGGAAUUUAAAGAUAAGAAAGGCACAGAGAAUGUUGUGGUUGACCAUCUCUCUCGUCUCCAUUUUGACACAAUUAUAGAGCCAUUAAUAUUGAAUGAGUCAUUUCCAGAUGAACAAUUAAUGAGUGUGGAAGUAUUACCUUGGUAUGCUGAUAUAGUUAAUUAUCUUGUUACAAGUAAACUUCCAGAGCAUUGGACCAAGCAAGAUAAGGCUAAAUUCUUUGCAGAAAUAAAGAAUUUCUUUUGGGAUGACCCGUAUUUGUUCAAGUAUUGUGCAGACCAAAUUGUUAGACGAUGUGUCCCAGAAAGUGAAAUUCAGAAUAUCCUUUCAUUCUGCCAUGAACAAGCUUGUGGAGGCCAUUUCAGCGCUAAGAAAACAACGACUAAAGUUUUACAAUGUGGUUUCUAUUGGCCAACUAUAUUUCGAGAUGCUUACACUUUCUGUUCUUCAUGUGAUAGGUGUCAACGAAUGGGGAGCAUUACACGAAGGAACAUGAUGCCACUAAAUCCAAUUUUAGUGGUUGAGAUUUUUGACGUAUGGGGUAUCGACUUUAUAGGACCAUUUCCCCCUUCUUUUGGCCAUCAAUACAUAUUGGUUGGUGUUGACUACGUCUCAAAAUGGGUAGAAGCAAUUCCAUGUAGAACCAAUGAUCACAAAGUGGUGAUAGGAUUUUUGAAAAGCAACAUUGUCUCACGCUUUGGAUUCCCUCGAGCAAUAAUCAGUGAUGGUGGUGCCCACUUUUGUAACAAAGCAUUCAAAGCUCUUUUGACAAAGUAUUCAAUCACACACAAAGUGACGACUCCGUAUCAUCCGCAAACCAGUGGCCAAGUUGAGAUAUCCAAUCGAGAAAUAAAGCACAUAUUAGAAAAAACGGUGAGACCAGACAGAAAAGAUUGGUCAUUAAGACUUGAUGAUGCAUUAUGGGCAUAUAGAACGGCUUUCAAGACCCCGAUUGGGAUGUCACCCUACAGGCUAGUGUAUGGAAAAGCUUGCCACCUACCUGUGGAACUUGAGCAUCGUGCAUAUUGGGCCAUCAAGAAAUUCAACUUUGACAUGCAGCAAGCCAGCUUAGAAAGAAGAUUACAACUGGCAGAACUUGAAGAAAUUCGUAAUGAUGCAUACGAAAAUACCAAGAUUUACAAGCAACGGAUGAAAGUCUUCCAUGACAAGCAAAUUAUGAGAAAAUCGUUCACUCCAGGUCAGAAAGUGCUUUUAUUCAAUUCUCGCUUGCACUUAUUCCCAGGUAAGUUACGCUCUCGAUGGUCUGGUCCAUUUAUGGUUUAUACUGUUUUUCCACAUGGGGCAAUUGAAAUUAAGGACCCAAAGAACGGUGUCACGUUUAAAGUUAAUGGUCAAAGAUUAAAGCCAUAUCUAGAAUACCAACCACAUGGAGAAGACACCGAAAUAAAUUUGAGUGACCCACCAGAUUUGAAUUGAUUUUUAUUCUUCUUUUUGUUGAUUUGAUUUUUCUUUCUUUCUUUUUAUUAUUCUUUUGCUAAUUGAAAUUAUUUUUGCAUAAGUGUGUUUGUUUAAGUUUUCUCUUAUCACUUUUAAUCAUGAGUACCUUACUUAGACCGUUCCUCCUGAACAUUCUUAAACCACUUCAACGUGUCAAAACUCAUCUCAAAAGGCAGAUUCAAUUUUGUAAAACACAUCGCAUUUGGACUCUACAGCCACCAGAGUUAGUAGCCUAUGUUAAGGGUUUAGAAAGCCAACUCAGAGACAUUGAGAGAAGUGUUUACGACAUCCAGUUGGAGCUUGAGGUAAGUUCAAUAAGAGGACAAUUUUAAUUUUCUUUGUGUGUUUUAAUUUUUUUUCUGUUUGUGUGCUUUAGUUUGUUACCCCGGUGAAGUGGCGGAUAACGGUACUUCGUGACAAUCAAGUCCGUUACUUCAGUUUCCCAUAAUAACUGACAUUCUGAGGCGAAAGUAUGGACAGAAACGAGAUUCUAGCGAAGCUUCACAAGCGAUUCCUUUCACUUCCUCAGAAUGCCCUCCUUACGAUCUAUAAAGCUCGGUCCCAACGCAUGCGAUUACUCAUGAGGAAUAACAUACCUGCUGACAUCCGUUGAUUAAUCGAGGCUAAAGUACGAUUGGCAGGUGAGUUACCUCCAAAAUUUAUUGCAUACAUGCCUGGUUGUGGUAAAGGAAAUUAUGCAAGAAAACGACGAGCUCGAAGAAUUUCUGUUGCUUGUCAUAAGUGUGCCAGAAUGAGUUGCGAUAAAAACCCAUGUUCUUUAGGAAUGGUGUCUGAUAACAGGGAAGAUAAGAUUCAAUUCAUUAGGGAUGGCUUGAAUAAGGAGUCAUUGGAUGAUAUCCUUUUGUCUCUUGAAACGCAUCCCAGUGGAUAUGUGCAAGGAGCGAUUCUCCAGUUAUGGCCAUUAUUCCAGAAAGAGCAUGCACGAUAUAGUCUUGGGAAUCUGACUAUAAACGACCAUGUUUGCCAGUUUAUAAGAAAACUGGAUGGGAAGCCCAUCCUCGACCCAUAGAGGGCGUUCAAGCCGUUUCUGGACGUAAAACCAGAUGAAGAUGUGAGCCACAAUCGCAACUACCUGUAAAUAUCAUUUUACUUUACUGUUGUUUUAUUUUACUGUUGUUUUAUCGUUUGUAUUAUUGUCUUUAAUAAUUUUAUUACUGUUUACUUUUUCCUUUUUACUGUUUCCUAUUUGACUCGCGAGCCACGUGCUUUACGCGUUAUUUGACCCUGACAUGUUACCUCAUUCACAGCUGUGAUCCACUGUCACCAAGAUUCUUAAAUGUGAUUUAAUUUUUGUCAAGCACUUACAAAUUAUUUUUGAGAAGUAUCACAAUGGCAGCUACUCCCAAUAGACAAUUCAAGAACAUUUGUGUUCUUUCUGGAUUUACCUAUGGCAAACAUAAAGAGUUCGUGGAGGCAGCCAUAGAUCUUGGUCGAAGUAUAGCAGCGAGAAAAUUACACUUGGUGUAUGGAGGAGGUAACUGAGGGUUAUCAAAAAUGGUCUCAGAAGCAACUUUUAUCAGAGGAAGUCAAGUGUUAGGCAUCAUCCCCAGAGUCCUAAAACCAUUGGACAGUUCGUCUGACUCAUCAACUGGAGAAGAGUUAGUCGUCUCAGGUAUGCAAGAAAGAAUAACUGAAAUGCUUAAUUAUGCUGAUGCUUUUAUUUUCCUUCCAGGAGAUCUUGCAACACUAGAGGCACUUAUCACACUAGCAUCUUGGGCCCAUCUGCACAUCCACCAGAAACUCAUCGGUUUGUUAAAUGUCAAUAACUUUUAUGAUAGCUUUAUCGCAUUUCUUAACCAUGCAAUAAAAAACUAUUUCAUUCCUUCUAAUGUGAAAAAACUCUUUAUUUGUGCUCACACUGCUAAUGAGCUACUUGAUAUGUUACAAACUUAUAAACCGGAGCCAGACCUCUGGACCUUUGUGUUGGAGCGACCAAAUAAUGAUGGUAACAGUAGCCGUAGUAAGAAGUACAAAUUAGAUUUAACUCUCCACCUAUAAAUAUUUUCUUCUGUGUUGCACCACCCAGGUGAUGUCUUCUAAACUCUACUUCUUUCCUUUAAAACAUUGAGGACAAUGUUUCGUUCUGGUUGGGGGGAGGGAAUAAUCGACAAUUGUGGAAUCUUGGUUAAGUUUUUACUGAUUUUUUGUUGUAGAAACUAACUGUUGCUAACGUUUUAUGUUGAAGAUGGCUGAAUAUGGAGUGUAGUUGCUCUAGAAACGCAUCUUCAUCGUUCAAAAAGAAAAAAAAAACUGUUUUCUUCCUCUUUCUCCUUUAUAAAUAUAUAUUUUCAAAUUUUUGAGUCGAAGAUGGCUGAAUAUGGAGUGUAGUGCCUCUAGAAACGCAUCUUCUUAGUUUUAAAAAAAAUUCUUUUUCUAAUUAAUUUUUCUACAUCAUUUUCACAUUUCUGCAUGCAUAUUUUCCUUUCAUGUUUAGAAUAGGUUGGGGGGGGUAGAAUGUUGUUUAAAAAAAAAAACAAAAUUGUGUUAUUUGUUUUAACAUUGAAUGACAUGAUUAAUUUCAAAUUUUAGUAUUUGCAUUAUCUUUGGUCUUAAGUGAUGUUACGCUAUGUUUGCUACUUUACAUGUUGAUGUCGGAGACAAAUAUGAGUUGCUUGAAGGAAUGAACAUGUCAUAAAUAAGUGCCCAGUGAGUUGUUGAGCCUAUCAUUUUCUUGGAGAGUAGCCCUUUUGCCCAUUCUCUAUACAGCUUAGCAGUUUAUUAUUUUAUACAUGAUCUCUAGAUUUCUUUUGAGUUAACCCUUUAAAAAAAUGGUAAAAUUAAAAAAAAAAUGUGUGUUGCUACAUUGGGAGGCCCAUCUAACUAGUAGAUAUGGAUAAUUAUUUAGAGCCCUAAAAGACGAUGGAAAUGCCAUCUUUGAUUUGGUUGAGCCUUUCUAGCCAUCCCUUUUAUUAAAUAUCCAUAGUUACCCCUUUUGAGCCUUUAAAAAAAAAAAUCUCUGCUUUUCUUUGUCAACUUAUCAUCUUUACCCACUCCGAUUUGGAGUAUUACCCGAUGUCUUCUAAGUUCCAUCACCUAUUUAUGUUUGAUAAAAUGUAAAUAAUUAUUUUGUUCAGUGAAGUUAUGCCAAAAAAAAAACAACAAAACAAAAGUUGUUGUUUCAAAAGAAUAAAAAUAACAACAACAGGUGAAAUACACCUUGCAACUUAAAAAAAAAAAAUCUCUGUAUUUUUCUCAAACAUAUACUUUGUUUUCCUUAUUUCCCUUCUGUGUUAGCCAUGUCCCUAGCCUACGUUACGUCCUAAUAAAAGUCCUUGAUUUUAGGGAACUAUAGUUUGAAGUAGAAGCUAGUUAUAUGGGCUAAAAAGAUGUAGUGGUGCAUAAUAAUAAAAGAAAAAGAGAUAAAUAAAAUGGGUUCACUAGCAUUUUUGUUUGACUUGAGAUCAUAUUAUUUCUAAGCUGGGGGCAUAUUUCAUUCAUCUUGGUGAGAGCAUGUGAUAUCACUUCUUUAUUAUUUUCUCUCAAUUACCAUUCAUUGGAGUGACUAUUUUUAUUGGGUUUAAUUUCUUUGUGAGAGCGUCACUACUUCCAGUGAGAUUUUGGGGUUUGACAUGUCAUUCUUGAAAGUAGUUAUAACAAAGUCUACUGGGCUGAUUCAUGUGGAUGGUUGAUGUGGAUGUGAUGUUUCUUUAGACUGGAGAUAAUGCUUAUACUUUUAUUUGAUUGCUAUCAUUAAUCUGAUUGAAUAAACACGAGUGUUUCUAUAAAAAAAAAAAUCAUUUUGGAUUUGAAUUUUGUUUUCGCUUUAUUUGCUAGGGACUAGCAAUAAGCUGGUUGGGGGGUGUGUUGAGUGUUAGAAAAUGUAUAUUUAUAAAGGAGAAAAUCAUCAUUUUACACUACAACCUUUACUAACACCCUUACUUUUAUGUAUUUAACAUUCUUUUGAUUUAAUUCCGUGUGUUUUAUUUUAAUUAAGCAUUUUAUGUAUUUUAGGGGCAUCAUAGUCAUUUCACAAUAAACGAGAGAUCAGACGGCAAAACGGACAUCACUUUUGAACUCAGGACGGUCGAAAAUCUUAGGAGCAUAAAAGGAAAAAUGGCACUAUUCACAUGUACGGUACUAUUCACGUGUACGGUACUGUCUACGUUACUGUUCAUGACACUGUUCACAUAGACGGAUCGAUGACGUGGCAUUGACCGAUGAUGUGGCAUUGACUGAUGAGGUAUCACGAUCCUGUUGGGCUAAAAUUCUUAUGUACUGUCAAUGGUGACGUGGCAGCAUAUCAAUGGACGAAAAAUCUCGCGUACUGUACAUGCAUCACACAUGAUUAUUUUCAACCAAACCGCGUCACUGUUCACCCGGGUCAAACCGUGUUACUGUUCAUCCACGUGGUCAAACCGCGUACUGUUGACUGAUGACGUGACGCAAUCCUGAGCGUCCAAACUGUUUUUAAUCCGAUGGCCAUGAUUUACUCCAUGUAUCUAUAAAAAGGGGGCUCCCCCCGUAAUUUGAUAUCUCUGAAUCCAUUCUUGGGAUCCAUUUUCUGUAAAUUCCUUCUCCAUCUUGAAUUUUCUACGUAUUUUAAUAAAUUCCCUUUUUGCCCCUAGUUCAAUUAUGAGUGGCUAAUUUUCUUUCAAGCUUGGGUUGAAGGUGAAGUCUCAACAUGUGUCAUGGGCUUUAUUUGGUAAAUUUAUUUUUGUUUCCCCUCUAAUUUUUGUGGAUGAUUUGACUUUUCGUCGACAAAUAAUAAUAAUCUUGUCUAGAUACCGCCUUGGUUACACCGACUCUCUAGUACAAGGUUAUUAUUAUUUGGCACGAUAAGCCCUUAGCACCAUAUUGAUUAGAGUGUGGUUCAUGAGGUGUGGAUUCCCCCCUCAUGAUUUAACUGACAUUAAUAAGGAUUAUUUAGCCCAUGAUGCAUGUUGAUACGGAUCCAGAUACCCAAGUACGUCAUUUCAAUAGAAUUCUCUUCAAUUUAUUCUUGCCAUUUCAAUUCCAAUUUUAGAAUUUAUUCUCGCCAUUUUAAUUUAAGUUUUAGCAUAUUCCAAUUCAUUUCCACCACAAAUCUAAUCACCCAUUUACAAAAUUAAUUCUACACACAAUUAAAAUCCACCUCCUCGUGGGAUCGACACUCGUCACUAUUGAUCUAUACUACAAUAGAUUCGUGCGCUUGCGAGUACAUUAAAAUUUGCACAACAGUACUACCUGGAGCAAGAAAGGUAGCAGUGAGAGAGUGUUGAGUGUUAGAAAAUGCAUAUUUAUAAAGGAGAAAACCGUCAUUUUACAUUUCAAGUCUUACUAACAAUCCUUACUUUUAUGUAUUUAACAUUCUUGUGAUUUAAUUACGUGUGUUUUAUUUUAAUUAAGUAAUUUAUGUAUUUUAGGGGCAUUAUAGUCAUUUCACAAUAAAGGAGAGAUCAGACGGCAAAACGGACAUCACUUUUGAACUCAGGACGGUCGAAAACCUUAGGAGGAGCAUAAAAGGAAAAUGACACUAUUCACAUGUACGGUACUAUUCACGUACACGGUACUGUAUACGUUACUGUUCACGGCACUGUUCACAUAGACGGAUCGAUGACGUGGCAUUGACCGAUGAUGUGGCAUUGACUGAUGAGGUGUCACGAUCCUGUUGGGUUAAAAUUCUUAUGUACUGUUGAUGGUGACGUGGCAGUAUAUCAGUGGACGAAAAAUCUCGCGUACGGUGCAUGCAUCACACAGGAUUAGUUUCAACCAAACCGCGUUACUGUUCAUCCGGGUCAAACCGCGUUACUGUUCAAAGUCGGGUCAAACCGUGUUACUGUUCAUCCGCGUGGUCAAACCGUGGACUGUUGACUGAUGACGUGGCGCAAUCCUGAGCGUCCAAACUGUUUUUAAUCCGAUGGCCAUGAUUUACUCCAUGUAUCUAUAAAAAAGGGGCCUCUCCCCCCUAAUUUGAUAUCUCUGAAUCCAUUUUUGAGAUCCAUUUUCUGUAAUUCCUUCUCCAUCUUGUAUUUUCUUAGUAUUUUAAUAAAUUUUCAUUUUGCCCCUAGUUCAAUUAUGAGUGGCUAAUUUUCUUUCAAGCUUGGGUUGAAGGUGAAGUCUCAACAUGUGUCAUGGGCUUUAUUUGGUAAAUUUAUUUUCUCUUCCCCUCUAGUUUUUGUGGAUGUUUUGACUUCUCGUUGACAAAUAGUACUAAUCUUGUCUAGUACCGCCUUGGUUACACCGGCUCUCUAGUAUAAGGUUAUUAUUAUUUGGCACGAUAAGCCCUUAGCACCAUAUUGAUUAGAGCGUGGUUCAUGAGGUGUGGAUUCCCCCCUCAUGAUUUAAUUAGUAUUAAUAAGGAAUAUUUAGCCUAUGAUGCAUGUUGAUACGGAUCCAGAUACCCAAGUACGUCAUUUCAAUAGAAUUCUCUUCAAUUUAUUCUCGCUAUUUCAAUUCCAAUUUUAGAAUUUAUUCUCGCCAUUUUAAUUUAAGUUUUAGCAAAUUCCAAAUCAUUUCCACCACAAAUCCAAUCAUUCAUUUACAAAAUUAAUUCUAUACACAAUUAAAAUCCACCUCCUCAUGGGAUCGACAUUCGUCACCAUUAGUCUAUACUACAAUAGAUUCGUUCGCUUGCGAGUACAUUAAAAUUUGCACAACAAGUUUUUGGCGCCGUUGCCGGGGAGGUAAGUAAUUUUAAUUCAUAGAAUUAAUUUUUUUGUGAAUAAUUUCUUUUAUUUGUAUUUUUUUUAAUUAUUAAAAAAAAAGAAAAAAAAAGUGAAUCUACAUUUAAAGGUUAAUAUUUCUUUUCUUUUUCUCUUCUUUAAAAUUCUGUAAUUUAAUUUUCAAUUUAUUUAUUUUUUUCUUUUUAAUUUUUGUUUAUUUUAUUAAUUUAAUUUUUAGUUAAUUUAUUUCACAUAUUUAUUUUUGUGUAUUUUUAUAGAAAGGUUGUAAUAGCGCAAUAAGGUUAGUAUCGUAAUUUCUCCCUCUUCUUUAUUUUUAUUUGUUUUGUUCCCUUCUUUAUUUUUAUUUUAUUUAUUUUGCAUGCAUGGUCGUAGGUCAUUAUCACCUAAUCUUGAACCUAUAGACCUUGAACUUGAGAAAACACUUCGCACACACAAACAAAUUAAAAAUAAAAUGGAUUUGCAACCACAGGAGAGGCCAUUUAAGGAUUAUUUCAGUCCUUUAGCUAAUUUGAGCACAUCAUGCAUAAGAUACCCAAAUGUAGCUGCUAGGAGCUUUGAACUAAAACCUAGUGUGCUAAAUUGUCUCCCCACAUUCUAUGGCUUAGAAAAUGAGGACCCAUAUAAUCAUCUGAAUGAUUUUCAUGCUAUUUGUCAAACAUUUAAAUAUGAGAAUUUUUCAGACGAUGAUGUUAAACUCAGAUUAUUCCCAUUUUCUUUAAAGGAUAGAGCUCGUUCAUGGCUUAAUACAUUGCCUGCUAAUAGCAUUUCAUCAUGGGAACAAAUGGUUACAAAAUUUUUAAAUAAAUAUUUCCCAGUGCAUAAAACCAAUGCUAUUCGCAGGGAAAUCUCGGAGUUUACCCAAAGAGAGGACGAGCAGUUUUUCGAAACAUGGGAGCGAUUCAAUGGGCUACUCUUGAAGUGUCCACAUCAUGGGUACGAGAAAUGGCACCAAUGCCAAUACUUUUUGGAGGGAUUAUUACCGAAUGUGCAAGAAUGGCUAAUGGCAACAAGUGGAGGAGAGCUAAUGUCAAAAAGUGCAUCAGAGAUUUGGGAAUUUUUCCAGCGACAAGCGAAUAAUUCCCAACAACGGAGUCGGUCACUCAGGAAUACCAGAAGAAUUAAGGGAGUAAAUGAGGUUCACAUUGACAAAUCCAGUUCAGAAAUUAAAGAAGUCAAAGCAAUAAUUGAAGGUCUCUCUCGACAAAUAGCAUCGUUAUCGACUGCUAAAUCAACAGAGCCAAAUGACCCUGACUCAUAUCCAGAUCAAGCCAAUGCCAUAGGUGUAAUGAGAAAACCAUCAAAUUACAACCCGUACUCCAACACAUAUAACCCUGGAUGGAGAGAUCACCCCAAUUUUUCAUGGUCUCAAGGAUUCCAACAGAAUGGACCAACAACUCCAGCUCCACCAAUGCAACAAAUUCCUCAAAAUCCUCAAGCCUCUCAGCCACCAUUCAGACCAUACAAUCAGAACCAGAACUACUCUCAACCCAGACCGUGGGAGGAUGCAUUCCAGAAUUUCAAAAAUGUUACUCACUCCACGAUUGAGCAACAGAACCGCACCAUUGAUGGACUACGAAAUGAGUUGAGAGCAGGCUUCAACUCACAAGCUCAAUCAGUUUCAAGCCUGGAGAAGAUGGUGGGACAACUCGCUUCUUCAGUUCAGACCUUGGCAAUGACUGUUGAGAAAGGCAAGUUUCCAAGUCAACCAGUGCCUAACCCUAAAGGAGUACAUGAAGCAAGUACUAGUUCACCACAGCAGCAUGGAGAGGUCAAAGCAGUGAUGACCUUGCGAAAAGGAAAAGAAGUCGACAACAAAGUGGAGAUGCCGGUGACAAAAGAAAACCAAAUUGUACCUGUGAGUGUUGAGGACUCACCACCGGAGGACAGAGAAGAAACCAACCCACGAGAAUAUGUUCCCAAAGCUCCAUUUCCUCAGAGGUUAGCGAAAGGAAAGAAGGGAAAAUCCACAGGUGAGAUUCUCGAAAUCUUCAAACAGGUAAGUGUCAACAUCCCUUUGCUUGAUGCUAUUAAGCAAGUUCCAUCUUAUGCCAAGUUUCUUAAAGACCUGUUUACUAAAAAGAGAAACAUGCAUGUUCAAAAGAAGGCAUUUUUAACAGAAAACGUUAGUUCUAUACUCCAACAUAAAAUUCCUUUAAAAUGCAAAGACCCAGGCUCCCCCACUAUCUCAUGUAGUAUAGGGAACCACACAAUUGAGAAUGCUUUGUUGGAUUUAGGAGCUAGUGUAAAUUUGUUGCCUUACUCUGUGUUUGUGAAACUUGGACUUGGAGAAUUACACCCAACUCCAGUGGUGUUACAGCUUGCAGAUCGGUCCACGAAAACACCUCGUGGUAUUGUGGAGGACGUGAUUAUCUAGGUAGACAAGUUUUAUUUUCCAGUUGAUUUCAUUGUAAUUGACACUCAACCAAUACAGGAUUCAAGGAAGCACAUCCCCAUUAUUCUAGGCCGACCUUUCUUGGCAACUGCGGAUACUCACAUUCAAUGCAGGACUGGAAAUAUGCAGUUGUCCUUCGGCAACAUGACUAUGGAGCUGAACAUCUUCAACAUUGCCAAACAACCUCACAAUAUAGAUGAUGGAAUUGUUGAUGUGGAUUUAAUUGAAGCAUUAGUUGAUGACACUUUUGUUUCAAUCCUUAGUGAUGAUCCUUUACAAACAUGUUUAACUCACUUUGGUUUGGAUUUUGAUAUUGACAGAUCGGUCGAUGAGGUCAACGCCCUACUUGACUCAGCACCAUCCAUGGACACUAAUAAAUGGAAGUCAAGAGUUGAACAACUAGCACCAUUAGAGAAGAAACUCAUCCCAUCAUCAGAAUCACCACCGAAACUCGAGCUCAAACCAUUACCCAACACACUGGAAUAUGGGUUUUUGGGAGAAGAAAGUUCUCUGCCGGUAAUCAUCUCAUCAUCCCUAAAUGACGAACAAAAAGGUAAGUUGUUGGAUGUUUUAAAAGAGCACAAAGGAGCAUUAGGAUGGACCAUAGCGGACAUAAAAGGUAUAAACCCUGUAGACUGCAUGCAUUACAUUCACCUCGAUGAAAAUGCUAAAUCUACUAGGGAAAUGCAACGUCGGUUAAAUCCUAAUAUGAAAGAAGUGGUUAGAACUGAAGUCCUUAAGCUAUUAGAUGCAGGUAUCAUUUACCCCAUUUCUGAUAGUUCAUGGGUCAGUCCUGUACAAGUUGUCCCCAAAAAGUCAGGAGUCACAGUACUUACGAAUGCCGAUAAUGAAUUGAUACCCACUAGAGUAACUACAGGAUGGCGUGUAUGCAUUGAUUAUAGAAAUUUGAAUUCUGUCACACGUAAAGACCAUUUUCCUUUACCAUUUAUCGAUCAAAUGCUUGAUAGAUUGGCAGGCCAUGAAUUUUAUUGCUUUCUAGAUGGCUACUCAGGAUAUAAUCAGAUUCCCAUAGCACCAAAAGAUCAAGAGAAAACUACUUUCACUUGCCCUUUUGGCACAUUUGCAUAUAGGAGAAUGCCAUUUGGAUUAUGUAAUGCACCUGCUACGUUUCAACGAUGCAUGUUGAGCAUUUUUUCUGAUAUGGUUGAACGAUUCCUUGAAGUCUUUAUGGAUGACUUUUCUGUCUUUGGUGACUUGUUUGAUCAAUGUUUACAUCAUCUAACGCUAGUUCUGCAGAGAUGUAUCGAGAAGAAUUUAGUCUUAAAUUGGGAGAAGUGCCAUUUUAUGGCCAAACAAGGUAUUGUCCUCGGUCACAUCAUUUCAAGCAAAGGUAUUGAGGUUGACAAAGCCAAGGUGGAUCUCAUUUCUAAUCUUCCUCCACCCAAAACAGUCAGAGAAGUAAGAUCUUUCCUUGGGCAUGCUGGUUUCUAUUGACGUUUUAUUAAAGAUUUUAGCAAAGUUUCUAGACCCUUAUGCAAUCUACUUGCUAAGGAUGUACCUUUUGUCUUUGAUGAUUCAUGUCUUGUGGCGUUUGAAAAAUUAAAGCGGUUGUUGACAUCAUCACCCAUCAUCCAGCCCCCAAAUUGGAGCUUACCAUUUGAGCUCAUGUGUGAUGCAUCUGAUUAUGCAGUAGGAGCAGUAUUAUGACAAAGAGUUGAUCGAAUUCCCCACGUUAUUUACUAUGCUAGUAUGACAUUGAAUGAUGCACAGUUGAACUAUUCAACUACUGAAAAAGAAAUGCUAGCAGUAGUGUUUGCAUUGGAAAAAUUUCGAUCUUAUCUCAUUGGUUGUAAAAUAAUUAUAUUCACAGAUCAUGCUGCUCUUAAAUAUCUUCUCACAAAGAAAGAUGCAAAAGCUAGACUAAUUCGUUGGGUGUUACUUUUGCAGGAAUUCGACUUGGAAUUCAAAGAUAAAAAGGGCACAGAAAAUGUUGUGGCGGACCAUCUCUCUCGUCUUCACUUUGACACAAUUACAGAACCAUUACCAUUAAAUGAGUCAUUUCCAGAUGAACAAUUAAUGAGUGUGGAAGUAUUACCUUGGUAUGCUGAUAUAGUUAAUUAUCUUGUUACAGGUAAACUUCCAGAGCAUUGGACCAAGCAAGACAAGACCAAAUUUUUUGCGGAAAUAAAGAAUUUCUUUUGGGAUGACCCGUAUCUGUUCAAGUAUUGUGCAGAUCAAAUUGUUAGACGAUGUGUCCCAGAAAAUGAAAUUCAGAAUAUCCUUUCAUUCUGCCAUGAACAAGCUUGUGGAGGCCAUUUCAUUGCUAAGAAAACAGCGACUAAAGUUUUACAAUGUGGUUUCUAUUGGCCAACUAUAUUUCGAGAUGCUUACACUUUCUGUUCUUCAUGUGAUAGGUGUCAACGAAUGGGGAGCAUUACACGAAGGAACAUGAUGCCACUAAAUCCAAUUUUAGUGGUUGAGAUUUUUGACGUAUGGGGUAUCGACUUCAUGGGACCCUUUCCCCCUUCUUUUGGCCAUCAAUACAUAUUGGUUGGUGUUGAUUACGUCUCAAAAUGGGUAGAAGCAAUUUCAUGUAGAACCAAUGAUCAUAAGGUGGUGAUAGGAUUUUUGAAAAGUAACAUUGUCUCACGCUUUGGAUUCCCUCGAGCAAUAAUCAGUGAUGGUGGUGCCCACUUUUGUAACAAAGCAUUCAAAGCUCUUUUGACAAAGUAUUCAAUCACUCACAAAGUGGCAACUCCGUAUCAUCCGCAAACCAGUGGCCAAGUUGAGAUAUCCAAUCGAGAAAUAAAGCACAUAUUAGAAAAGACAGUGAGGCCAGACAGGAAAGAUUGGUCAUUAAGACUUGAUGAUGCAUUAUGGGCAUAUAGAAUGGCUUUCAAGACCCCGAUUGGGAUGUCACCCUACAGGCUAGUGUAUGGAAAAGCUUGCCACCUACCUGUGGAACUCGAGCAUUGUGCAUAUUGGGCUAUCAAGAAAUUCAAUUUUGACAUGCAGCAAGCCAGCUCAGAAAGAAGAUUACAACUGGCAGAACUUGAAGAAAUUCGCAAUGAUGCAUACGAAAAUGCCAGGAUUUACAAGCAACGAAUGAAAGUCUUUCAUGACAAGCAUAUUAUGAGAAAAUCUUUCACUCCAGGUCAGAAAGUGCUUUUAUUCAAUUCUCGCUUGCACCUAUUCCCAGGUAAGUUACGCUCUCGUUGGUCUGGUCCAUUUAUUGUUCAUACUGUUUUUCCACAUGGGGCAAUUGAAAUUAAAGACCCAAAGAACGGUGUCACGUUUAAAGUCAAUGGUCAAAGAUUAAAGCCAUAUUUAGAGUACCAAGCACAUGGAGAAGACACCGAAAUAAAUUUAAGUGACCCACCAGAUUUGAAUUGAUUUUUUUUCUUUUCGUUGAUUUGAUUUUUCUUUCUUUCUUUUUAUUUGUUAAUUGAAAUUAUUUUUGCAUAAGUGUGUUUGUUUUUCCAUUAAGUUUUUUCUUAUCAUUAUUAAUCAUGAGUACCAUACUUAGACCGUUCCUCCUGAACAUUCUUAAACCACUUCAACGUGUCAAAACUCAUCUCAUAAGGCAGAUUCAAUUUUGUAAAACACAUCGUAUUUGGUCUCUACAACCACCAGAGUUAGUAGCCUAUGUUGAGGGUUUAGAAAGCCAACUCAGAGAUAUUGAGAGAAGUGUUUACGACAUCUAGUUGGAGCUUGAGGUAAAUUCAAUAAGAGGACGAUUUUAAUUUUCUAUGUGUGUUUUAAUUUGUUUUUCUUUUUGGUGUGUUUUAGUUUGUUACCCCGGUAAAGUGGCGGAUAACGAUACUCCGUGACAGUCAAGUCGGUUACUUCAGUUUUCCCAUAAUAACUGAUAUUCUGAGGCGAAGGUAUGGACUGAAACGAGAUUCUAGCGAAGCUUCACAAGCGAUUCCCUUCACUCCCUCAAAAUGCCCUCCUUACGAUCUAUAAAGCUCGAUCCGAACGCAUGCGAUUACUCAUGAGGAAUAACAUACCUGCAGACAUCCGUUGGUUAAUCGAGGCUAAAGUACGAUUGGCAGGUGAGUUACCUCUUAAAUUUAUUGCAUACAUGCCUGGUUGUGGUAAAGGAAAUUAUGCAAGAAAACGACGAGCUCGAAGAAUUUCCGUUGCUUGUCAUAAGUGUGCCAGAAUGAGUUGCGAUAGAAACCCAUGUUCUUUAGGAAUGAUGUCUGAUAACAGAGAAGAUAAGAUUCAAUUCAUUAGGGAUGGCUUGAAUAAGGAGUCAUUGGAUGAUAUCCUUUUGUCUCUUGAAACGCAUCCCAGUGGAUAUGUGCAAGGAGCGAUUCUCCAGUUAUGGCCAUUAUUCCAGAAAGAGCAUACACGAUAUAGUCUCGGGAAUCUGACUAUAAACGACCCUGUUUGCCUGUUUAUAAGAAAACUGGAUGGGUAGCCAAUCCUCGACCCAUAGAGGGCGUUCCAGCCGUUUCUGGACGUAAAACCAGAGGAAGAUGUGAGCCACAGUCGCAACUACGUGUAAAUAUCCUUUUACUUUACUGUUAUUUUAUUUUAUUUUACUGUUGUUUUAUUGUUUGCAUUAUUGUCUUUAAUAAUUUUAUUACUGUUUGCUUUUUCCUUUUUACUGUUUCCUUUUUGACUCGCGAGCCAUGUGCUUCACACGUUAUUUGACACUGACAUGUUACCUCAUUCACAGCUGUGACCCACUAUCACCAAGACUCUUAAAUGUGAUUUCUUUUGUCAAACACUCACAAAUUGUUUUUGAGAAAUAUUCCAAUGGCAGCUACUCCCAAUAGACAAUUCAAGAAUAUUUGUGUGCUUUCUGGAUUUACCUAUGGCAAACAUAAAGAGUUCGUUGAGGCAGCCAUAGAUCUUGGUCGAAGCAUAGUAGCGAGAAAUUUACAUUUGGUGUAUGGAGGAGGUAACCGAGGGUUAUCAAAAAUGGUCUCAGAGGCAGCUUUUAUCAGAGGAAGCCAAGUGUUAGGCAUCAUCCCAUCUGCACAUCCACCAGAAACCCAUCGGUUUGUUAAAUGUCAAUAACUUUUAUGAUGGCUUAUCGCAUUUCUUAACCAUGCAAUAAAAAAUUAUUUCAUUCCUUCUAAUGUGAAAAAACUCUUUAUUUGUGCUCACACUGCUAAUGAGCUACUUGAUAUGUUACAAGCUUAUAAACCGAAGCCAGACCCCUGGACCUUUGUGUUGGAGCGACCAAAUAAUGAUGGUAACAGUAGCCGCAGUAAGAAGUACAAAUUAGAUUUAACUCUCCGCCUGUAAAUAUUUUCUUCUGUGUUGCACCACCCAGGUGAUGUCUUCUAAACUCUACUUCUUUCCUUUCAAACAUUGAGGACAAUGUUUCAUUCUGGUUGGGGGGAGGGAAUAGUCAACAAUUGUGGAAUCUUGGUUAAGUUUUUACUGAUUUUUUGUUGUAGAAACUAACUGUUGCUAACGUUUUGUGUUAAAGAUGGCUGAAUAUAGAGUGUAGUUACUCUAGAAACGCAUCUUCAUCGUUAAAAAAAAAAAAAAUUGUUUUCUUCCUUUUUCUCCUUUAUAAAUAUAUAUUUUCAAAUUUUUGAGUCGAAGAUGGCUGAAUAUGGAGUGUCGUGCCUCUAGAAACGCAUCUUCAUCGUUAAAAAAAUAUAUAUAUAUUUCUUUUUCUAAUAAAUUUUUCUACAUCAUUUUCACAUUUCUGCAUGCAUAUUUUCCUUUCAUGUUUAGAAUAGGUUGGGGGGUAGAAUGUUGUUAAAAAAAAAUUGUGUUAUUUGUUUUAACAUUGGAUGACAUGAUUAAUUUCAAAUUUUAGUAUUUGUAUUAUCUUUGGUCUUAAGUAAUGUUACGCUAUAUUUGCUACUUUACAUGUUGAUGUCGGAGACAAAUAUGAGUUGCUUGAAGGAAUGAACAUGUCAUAAAUAAGUGCCAAGUGAGUUGUUGAGCCUAUCAUUUUCUUGGAGAGUAACCCUUUUGCCCAUUCUCUAUACAGCUUAGCAGUUUAUUAUUUUAUACACGAUCUCUACAUUUCUUUUGAGUUAACCCUUUAAAAAAAAAAUGUGUGUUGCUACAUUGGGAGGCCCAUCUAACUAGUAGAUAUGGAUAAUUAUUUAGAGCCCUAAAAGAUGAUGGAAAUGCCAUCUUUGAUCCGUUUGAGCCUUUCUAGCCAUCCCUUUUAUUAAAUAUCCAUAGUUACCCCUUUUGAGCCUUUAAAAAAAAAAAAACCUUUUCUUUGUCAACUUAUCAUCUUAACCCACUCCGAUUGGGAGUAUUACCCGAUGUCUAAUAAGUUCCAUCACCUAUUUAUGUUUGAGAAAAUGUAAAUAAUUAUGUUGUUCAGUGAAGUUAUGCCAAAUAAAAGCUAAAUAAAAAAAAAACAAAAGUUGUUGUUUCAAAAGAAUAAAAAUAACAACGAUAGGUGAAAUACACCUUGCAACUUCAAAAAAAAAAAAAAUUCUCUGCAUUUUAGGGAACUAUAGUUUGAAGUAAAAGCUAGUUAUAUGGGCUAAAAAGAUGUAGUGAUGCAUAAUAAAAAAAAAAGAUAAAUAAAGUGGGUUGACUAACAUUUUAUUUGACUUGAGAUCGUAUUAUUUCUAAGCUGAGGGCAUAUUUAUUUCAUCUUGGUGAGAGCAUGUGAUAUCAUUUCUUUAUUAUUUUCUCUCUCAAUUACCAUUCAUUGGAUUGACUAUGUUUAUUGGGUUUUAAUUUCUUUGUGAGAGUGUCACUACUUCCAGUGAGAUUUUGGGGUUUGACAUGUCAUUCUUGAAAGUAGCUAUAACAAAGUCUACUGGGCUAAUUCAUGUGGAUGGUUGAUGUGGGUGUGAUGUUGCUUUAGACUGGAGAUAAUGCUUAUACUUUUAUUUGAUUGCUAUCAUUAAUCUGAUUGAAUAAACACGAGUGUUUCUAAAAUAAAAAAAAAAUCAUUUUGAAUUUGAAUUUUGUUUUCGCUUUAUUUGCUAGGGACUAGCAAUAAGCUGGUUGGGGGGUGUGUUGAGUGUUAGAAAAUGCAUAUUUAUAAAGGAGAAAACCGUCAUUUUACAUUUCAAGUCUUACUAACAACCCUUACUUUUAUGUAUUUAACAUUCUUAUGAUUUAAUUACGUGUGUUUUAUUUUAAUUAAGUAAUUUAUGUAUUUUAGGGGCAUUAUAGUCAUUUCACAAUAAAGGAGAGAUCAGACGGCAAAACAGACAUCACUUUUGAACUCAGGACGGUCGAAAACCUUAGGAGGAGCAUAAAAGGAAAAAUGACACUAUUCACAUGUACGGUACUAUUCACGUACACGGUACUGUAUACGUUACUGUUCACGGCACUGUUCACAUAGAUGGAUCGAUGACGUGGCAUUGACCGAUGAUGUGGCAUUGACUGAUGAGGUGUCACGAUUCUAUUGGGUUAAAAUUCUUAUGUACUGUUGAUGGUGACAUGGCAGUAUAUCAGUGGACGAAAAAUCUCGCGUACGGUGCAUGCAUCACACAGGAUUAGUUUCAACCAAACCGCGUUACUGUUCAUCCGGGUCAAACCGUGUUACUGUUCAUCCACGUGGUCAAACCGUGUUACUAUUCAUCCGCGUGGUCAAACCGUGGACUGUUGACUGAUGACGUGGCGCAAUCCUGAGCGUCCAAACUGUUUUUAAUCCGAUGGCCAUGAUUUACUCCAUGUAUCUAUAAAAAGGGGGCCUCUCCCCCCUAAUUUGAUAUCUCUGAAUCCAUUUUUGGGAUCCAUUUUCUGUAAUUCCUUCUCCAUCUUGUAUUUUCUUAGUAUUUUAAUAAAUUUCCAUUUUGCCCCUAGUUCAAUUAUGAGUGGCUAAUUUUCUUUCAAGCUUGGGUUGAAGGUGAAGUCUCAACAUGUGUCAUGGGCUUUAUUUGGUAAAUUUAUUUUCUCUUCCCCUCUAGUUUUUGUGGAUGUUUUAACUUCUCGUCGACAAAUAAUACUAAUCUUGUCUAGUACCGCCUUGGUUACACCGGCUCUCUAGUAUAAGGUUAUUAUUAUCUGGCACGAUAAGCCCUUAGCACCAUAUUGAUUAGAGCGUUGUUCAUGAGGUGUGGAUUCCCCCCUCAUGAUUUAAUUGGUAUUAAUAAGGAAUAUUUAGCCCAUGAUGCAUGUUGAUACGGAUCCAGAUACCCAAGUACGUCAUUUCAAUAGAAUUCUCUUCAAUUUAUUCUCGCUAUUUCAAUUCCAAUUUUAGAAUUUAUUCUCGCCAUUUUAAUUUAAGUUUUAGCAAAUUCCAAAUCAUUUCCACCACAAAUCCAAUCAUUCAUUUACAAAAUUAAUUCUAUACACAAUUAAAAUCCACCUCCUCGUGGGAUCGACACUCGUCACCAUUAGUCUAUACUACAAUAGAUUCGUGCGCUUGCGAGUACAUUAAAAUUUGCACAACAGAGAGCGGUCCAGUCCUUCAGACUUGAUCCGGUAGACCCUUAUAGAUACUACCUGGCAGGAUUUGCUCUUUGCAUAAGGACUGGUAUAGGAGGGAACUGAUCAUCUGAGGAGACACUUGUCUCAUCGCCAGUAUCAUCUUCUUCGUUCCAUCCUGUAGCCUUUUGAGGCCAUGGAUAUUGCGGAGGAGGAGCAUAACUUCUCCAGAAUGCCUUCUGACAGUUGCCAGAUAUGCCAGAUAUAAAAGUUACUUAUCUCUCCAUCCUCACUUACCUCUCCCUCACAUUUAUCAUCUACCACACAUCAACAUCAACAUCACCACCAUCAUCACCUCUCAUUGGACCCCAAUUCCUCAAGCCCAUCACAGCCGUCCAUAACCUCACCCUCCUCCUCCUCUCCCUCAUCAUGGCCGUUGGUUGCCCUCUCUCCAUCAUCCUCCAUUUACCCCACCUCUGUUACAAACUCUGUUUACCCCCUACCAUUUCUCCGUCUGGCAUGGCCUAAUUCCGACGGAAUCAACGACGGUCGUGAUAGGUUUUGGCUGCGACAAUUCGCGCUUCAAACGGCGGCGUUUCGGUUGGUUUUUGGCGACAGUGACGGUGGGAAAGUGAUGGCUGGCUUAGGAGCUUUCGUUGCUACCAUCCAUGGCCGGUGAGGUGGCCGAAAAUUGGAGAUAUGUCUGCGUUGGGUUCGCAGUUUUGGGUUGGGUUUUCCGGGUCGGUUUGACAGCUUCCUCUAUCCCUCUCCCCCAUAAAACAUUACGCAGCUUCCUCUUAUUAUUAUUAUUUUUUUCACAUACGUUAUAGAACAUUAAGAACAUUAAUGAGAUAUGUUUAGUAAGGACUAUUUUGAUAUUUCGAUGAGUAGUAAAAAGUAAUGUUAAAAUUUUAUAGACGAGUGUAUAGUAAGAUGCUCAAAGUACUAGAACAUAUAUAAAUAAUCCCAGCUCUAAUAAAUUUUUGCCACAUAAUGAGUUUUAUCCCUUAAGCAAAACAUAUCGAUAAAGUAAACAAAAGCACAAUGCAUGAGUACAUGUCAAUAACAAAUGAAAGUAAUUAAGAUAAAGAAUAUGCUUUAUUUUCUUUUAUUUUAGUUUUUUUUUUGGUUUCUUUUGAAAGGAGACCAACUAGAUCAUGCAAGAAGUUAAUUUUUUUUUUUAAAUAAAAAGGGAGAAAUGAUGGUCUUACAAAGUUCGAAUAUAAAGUUUAUAAUCUAAAAUUAAUGAUGUGACAAUUAACCUAAUGGAGUAAGAAGUCCCAAAUAGAUUAUAUUUUGCUAAAGAAGUCAAUUCUACCGAGAAUACCUCUUUCUAUUGAAUUUAAAUGAUGAUUAUUUGUUUAUAUCAUAAAAGCUAAAAUAAUUGUGUGAGUAAUUUGAUUCUUUUACAGUAUAAAAAUAAAUUCAGAAAAUGUUAGGGCAUGUUCUGUAAUAUAUUUUUAAAUUUAUAUUAUGAGAAUGAAAAUGGUGUUUUCAAGUUGAUAAAAUUUCAAUUGAAAUAUGUGUUUGUUAUUAUUUUAUUUAUCAUAUAUUUUCAAAAUGAAAAUAACCGAUAGAUAAAGUUAAAAAUGAUAAAAUAAUGGAUAUAUUAAGCAAUUUUACUACAUGCAAAUUAUUAUCUGUGUUUAAAGUUCAUAUAAAGCUUGUUUAUUUUUCAACAUACCAACUUACAAUAAUAAUAAUAAAAUUUUUGUGAUAUCCAAUAUUAACUUUUUAAAGUAAUUAUUUUUUGUUAAUGUGUCCGCUGUUCAAUCGAUCUUCCUACUUUCUAUGCUUGAGAUUAGAUCAUUUGCUUCAAAGAUUCGAACUGGACUUAUAGUAGGAAAAAGAAUUUUCUUCAAUAUGAACUCCAAUUCUCUUUUAUAUAUAUAUAUAUAUAUAUAAAUCUAAUUCUCCUUUCAACAUUUUAACAUUUUGAUGAAAUAAACAAUUAUUGGCGAAAGAUUACAUGCUUCCUUACAUUAGAGAACCAAAUACUCAGAUAGGUAGUGUAAAUCUCUACUGAUCGUUGGUGAUUUUAUCAAAAUAAAAUUCAAUACAAUGUAUAAGCACACUUAAAUCCGUCCAAAAAAACAUAAAUGACCCAGCAAAUAAAGAAAAGUACUGUGAAGUAAAAUUGAAAAGUACAAUCCGUCGAUCAUUUGAUACGUAUUUUUCUUCACAGAACCUCAAUUCAAUAGACAAAAGCUCCUCUUAAUUUUUCUUUUCUAUUUAAAUAAAAGAACAAAAGAAAUUGAUUACGGAGCCAUUAAUUUCCAAGAAUUAAUAAACGAAAAGGCCCAUAAUUUUUGUAAACCCACCCCACUCUCAAGAAAUAAUUACAAUAAGUUCAAAUUAUUUUUUAAAAAUUGAAAUAAAGAAGAUGUAAUUACAAUAAGUUUGGAGAUUGAAUCAAAUAAAAUAAAAUACCUAAACUAUUAUAUACAAGAACUCUUGAUUCUUGGGGUAUUUUAGUCAUUUUAUAUUAUCAUGGUAAAUUAGUCAAAUAAAACUUAUCUUGAAGCAACCUAAAUGGUCAAAGACACCUAAGUUAAAAAUAAAAAUUAUAUGAAUGAUUUAAUUUAUUGAUUGUCUAUACGUUUUAUUGAUUUAUGUAUUUUAAAAAUAGUAUGAACGUAUUACAAUUAUUUUCUGACAGCAAGGUAGAUUUGUAAAAUAAGUGGGUAGAAACUAUCCCCGUCCUCAAACAAAUAAAUGAAUUAUCGGUGAUGCAUGCUUUUUCCCAACUUUCCUUUUUUUUUUCUUUUGGUUUUUUGUUUUUGUUUUAAAUGUAGAAGAAGGAAGAGAUGAAGAUCCAAUCCAAUCUGAUAGUAGUAGUUUAUUUUAAUUUUUAUUAAUUUGAUUUCAUAGGAGUAGUUUUCAUUUUUUGUUGAAAAUUGGUAUAAAAAAAAACUGAAAUGAGAUGAUUACUUUAAAACAAUCUUCAAGAACUAAAAUAAUUUAAAAAAAACUCAAAAUAAACAAAAAGUCUUAAAAAUAACCCUAAUCCGAACAUUAUUUGAAUCCAUCCUAACUAGCCCGAAUAUGAUUUUAACCCAAACCCAACCUAACUCGCUUAUAAUUAUAACCCAAUGCGAUCCAAAUUCAACUCGAAUUUUUGAUCCGAUCUAAUACAAUUUGAAUAUUCUAACCCUAUCAACCAGAAACCCAAUUAGGUUGAUCUGAACCCACAUUUGUCCACUCCCAGAGGGGAUCAUGACCCUACAAGCUUUGAAAGUUUUUUGAGAUUUCUAAGUGAAUAUUAAAAAUUAUGUAUAAAAAGACUGAUUUGACCCCUAAACACUUGAUAUAGAAACUUUAUACAUAUAAUAGAAAUUUAAUUUUAUAUUUUGUGAAAUAAAGUCAAAGUAACUGAAUUUUUUUUUAUUUUGUUAAUUAUUUUUCUAAUAUGACAAAAUGACAAAUAGCCUUGUGCCUAGCUCUUUGACUUUUAUUUUGCUAAUUAUUUUUUUCAUUUCUCUUGCAACAGUAACUUCAAUUAUCAAUCAAAGUCGCCAAAUCAAAAUCUCUGCAGCCUGCAGCUACAAGCAAACUUCUCAAAUUUUGAAAUUCCUUAUGACUACAUAAUAGCUAUAAAUAGAAAAAGCGUCUAAAAUAACUAUGUUUUUCUAAGUUUGAGCUUGAGCCCCCUGAAGAUUUACUCCAUACGUAACAAAAUAUUGGUUUUGCUAGUAAAAUUGCUAACUAUGUUUUUCUUUGUAUUUCCGCUCAAGGAUGAAGAAAUUUCCCUAGACUUUUGUGGUGAAUAUCUUACGAACAUAUGACAAUUUAAUCUUUGGCUGAGACUUGUUUAACAUAAGAGAUGACACUUUAAAGCAAUAGGAGAGAUAGAUAACAAGCUUUGUUCCCCAAAAAAAAUCUAUCAGAUAUAUUAUGCCCCCGGUUGCUAUUGCUAAAUAUAGUCAUAAUUACUAAAAAAUAAGUAAUUCUUUUUUUAUAUAUUAAAAUGGUAAACGGGUGGAUAAAAUUUAAAAUAAAUUUUUAACUUUUUAUCUAUUUUGACAUUCGAAUUUUAAGCUCGAGAAGUCAAGCAAUAAAUAAAGCUUUUUGAGAGGCUAACUAAAUUCUUAGUAAUUGCAUAUAAUUUCAUUUCAUCAGAACAGUUUUAUCAAAAGCAAUUUUAUAAAUCUUUUUGGAAAGCUUUAAUCCUUAAUUAUCUUUCACAUAUUUUCUUUGUAAUAUGAGGUAAGUCGUGGACCAUAGUAUGGUAUUUAUUGUAAAUAAAAUCAUUAUGAAACUGAUUUUAUUCUUCUUUUUUUCACAAACAAAGUAUCUAGCUAACUGCAGAUGUAAUGAAUUACUAAUUACCAUUAUUUGAGUCGCUCUCUAAAUUAGAUCUUGGAGUCUGUCCUGGCAUAAUAAAAUUAACGACAUAAUGGCUUUUGAUUUUGCCUACCUGAUAAUAAAAGUUGUCUGCGAUAUAGACAAGAAAUGGAUCCAUACGUUAAAGCAAAAUUGAAAAAUAUAAAAACAUAAAUUGCUAGGAGAUGAUUUUAUCCGAAAUUUCACUUGCACGGUAUUGGCCACAUAUAAAUUUGUGAUGAAAUUCAUAACGGAUUAAUAUAAUUGAACGAAAUUACUCCAUACAAUUUCAUAAGUAUGUAUUAUACAAUUAAAAAUCUAUUGAUAUUUAUAAUAAAAUAAUAUAUCUACUAAGUGCUGGGAUAUAUAUUUGUGGGGAAAGACAAAUGUAGAGAAUUGCAGUAAUAAAGGUGGAAGUGAAACUUUAUAAUAAUUAAUUAAUGUGUUCACAAUUCUGUAAGUAUAAUAAAAUCAUAUUAAUAGGUAAAUUGUAGAAAAUUAAUGUGUACUUAAGGGCACAUUACAAAUGUCGCUUUCCUAAAGAUAUCAUUUGUCCCACCAAUUAAGUGAUGCAUAUAGGCUAAACAAAUAUACCUCCAGGAUACAAUGAAUCACUUAUUUGUUUGCAUGUGUUUUUCAUCGAUGAAAGCAAACUUGAAUACUUUUGAAUGUUGCAAGCUUUUCGAGAAUCAAUAUAUUAUUCCUAUAGUAAACAAUAUAUUAGAUAUUUGAUGCAUAUAGUAUAGAUGUUAUACAAUAAAAUUUGUUUCAGGAAAGAGGGUUGAGAAGAGAGUGAUGUAGUAUCAUUAUUUCCAUGUUUAAAAAUUAAUUCUAAAUUAGCUAUAACAUGCAAUCUUUUAAUAUUCACAUGUCCUAAAUGAAUAUGCUACAAAAAUAAUGAGUCAAUCAUGUAAGAAGAAGAAACAUUAAUUUUAUUAAUAUUGAGCUUGAACAUUCCCAAAUACAUGUAUCCUUUCCCAAUAAAGGUACCUGAAACGACCCGCCCCGAAAACCCCUAGGCGAGUCUAUCUAGUCUCAUCAAAACGGACUAGAAAAUCUAUUCAUAAAGAGUCUGCCGAAAAUUCGGCAGAGUCUCCUUUAUAUAUAUAACACUCCCAAUCUACAAAUAUGAAAAUAACACUCCCAAUACAAAUCUCAUAUACAACAAACUCCAGUACUCAACAUACUCAACCAAAAUGCUGAGUCUUAUAUUAUACAAUCCCAAAAGAACAAGAUGACCAAAAUGUCCCAACAAAAACAUUUACACAAUCUAGCACCAUCACGUGGCCAAGACUCAAAAUAUAUAUACAGUCGCUGGGUCAGUCUGGUGUACCUGCAACCUCCUGGUGAGGGGGGAAAAAUAUAAUAAAAGCAGGGUGAGUUUAAAACUCAGUGAGAUCAGUGAGUGGAUAGUAGGUUUGAAAAUUAAAUCUUACUUUAAAAGAAAUAAUCAUAUCAUUUCCAAAUACGGUUUCAUUAAACCAUAAGCGAGAAAUCAGAAAUAAAUCAUUAAACAUUUAAAUCAGAUUACCAACCAUAGAAAUCAUAUCACCAAAUCAUAUAGGAUUCACAAAUCUGAAAAUCAUCAUAAAACAAGUACCCAGGGAAAUAAUCUCGUCAUAUCCGGACCUCAACGGACGGGCAAUGACGUACUAUCUGGGUAACGUCACGCCCCGGAGCUACACAGAUAGACAGGGAAAUACCAUCUCAUAUCNNNNNNNNNNNNNNNNNNNNNNNNNNNNNNNNNNNNNNNNNNNNNNNNNNNNNNNNNNNNNNNNNNNNNNNNNNNNNNNNNNNNNNNNNNNNNNNNNNNNNNNNNNNNNNNNNNNNNNNNNNNNNNNNNNNNNNNNNNNNNNNNNNNNNNNNNNNNNNNNNNNNNNNNNNNNNNNNNNNNNNNNNNNNNNNNNNNNNNNNNNNNNNNNNNNNNNNNNNNNNNNNNNNNNNNNNNNNNNNNNNNNNNNNNNNNNNNCCAAAGCCUCUAUGUGUGUUUAGACGGGCCCCAAAGGCCUCUCAUCUCAUAUCAUUUAUAUCACUAUAUCUGGAGGGAAGGGUACUGUUUAAUGAUUUUAAAAACAAUCAUAAUACUCAUAUUCUCAUACCUCUUAACCAUAUUUUAAAUCAUACCACACAUUUUAAUAUAAUCUCAACACGUGAAUAAAAUCCAUUUCGAGGGAAUCACAUUAAAUCCAAUUCGAGAAAAAUCGCAUUAAACCCAUUUCGAGAAAUCAUUAAAUCAAAACAUUUAAAAUGCUUAUUCCGCAAACAUGCUUACUAUCAUCGCUAACUAUAAAAAUAAGUUUUAUAUAUUCCACUCACAGUGAUGGUGUUCAGGGUCGGUUAUCGUCCAUGUCCGCAGUCCGGUUCUCGCUCGCGGAUCCUCCUAAAUCAAGGAAACGACAUAAUUAUUUUCCAUAAAUCGGAAUUCCGACUCAAUAUAUGCCAUAAACUCGAAACGAACAUUUAUCCAUAAUUUACAACUCCCGUGUCGAUAAAAUUACUAAAAUGCCCUUGCCGGUGAACGGUCGCCGGAAAUUGGUCAACGACGAUGGGAAGCUUAGGUCUGCUAGUUCAGACCUCGGUGAGUCCAAUGGUGGUGGCUGUGAGUCCCCACGCGCGGUACCGACGGCGGAUCGAGCUUCCCAAGCCGUGAGCUUCCAAGUGGCUAUUCGUCGGCAAUCCGGCCGUUUCAGAUGACGAGGUUGGUCGGAAAAUGAUUCUGGUGACGUGAGGAGUAGAAACCAGCUAGAGGUGUGCCCAAACUCUGGCAAAAUCGACGGCGGCGAAAACGGGUCUUGGCCGCGACUUUUCAAGCUCAAACGCCGGCGUUCCAGUCGGUUUCCGGCGACGAGGAUGGCAGGGUUAUGAUGGCCGGCUUCCAAGCUUCAGAUUGGUACCAAGCUCGGCUGGUGAGGUGGCCGGAAUCGUGAAAUCCGUCCGGGUCAAAGUCGCGGGUCGGGUCGGGUUUCCGGGUAAAAAAUCGGGUCAACUCUCUUUCUCUGUGUUACACGUGCAUGUGUUUUCCUUUGUUUCCAACUUAUUCCUUUGCUUAUAAACUCCUUAACCGCCUCAUGCCAUUUUACAACCACAGGUGUUACAGUACCACCCUUAAACAAUGCAAAUUUGCUUUGACUCAAAUAAGGUACCACCCUAAUAUAGAUACAAGAUUUUUCCUACCUUUAGAUACAUGAUAAACAUCAAUAUGAGUUAAAGUUUUUCCACAAGUGAACUCUAGUUGCACAUUCCCUCUAAUUGUUGCAAUGGAGGAAUUUCCCAUCUAAAGAACACUUCAAUCAUCCAUUGCUUUGUAAGAUGUGAAAAGCCUACGAUUCUUGUACACAUACUUGAUUGCACCGGAAUCUAUUCACCAUGCAUUAUCAUGUUCGAGAAUAUUAAUCUAAGAUAUUACGGCCAUAAAUUUUGUCCACAAAAUUUGUGUUCGAGCACUUUUUUUCUUUCUUAAGAAGCUGACAGUCAUUUUUAAAGUGGCUAGGCUUUUCACAUUGGUCACAUGUACACCUUUCUUUUUUAUUUUGUUGGUUUGAUUCUAUUUGGAAUCAAAUUUUUGCUUUUGGUUAUUAAUGCGGGUAUUAGACUGCUUAAGCUCCUUCUCCUCCUCCACAACAUUAAUUUCAGAGGACAUAGCAGUCUGUUCCUCAAGACUAUUAAGUUUAAGUUUCUAUUCAAUAUGAAGACUUUGCCAAGCCUUCCAGGCUAACUUCCUCUUUGUUAUAUUUAAGACUUUUUUCAUAGUCUUUUCAAGAGGGGGGAAGUUUAUCAAUAAUUGAAGAAAUAAUAAUAAACUUAUUACUUUUCAUGUUGUGUUGGUUGAAUUGAUCAAGAAUGCAAAAAUCUCAUUAUAUUGUUCAAUCACAAGUCUAUUAUCAAUCUUUUUAAAACUAAAAAAAUUAGAAGUCAAGAAUUUCUUACUUGUGGUGUCUUCCAUCAUGUACUAAGACUCCAAUAAGUCUUAUAUUUCUUUUGCUGUGGAUUUUGUUGUGGUACUUAUGGAAACAAAGUACUAGACACGGCAUUGUAAAUGUGUCUUAUGCACACGUAGGCAUCUUGCUUCCACUUUUGCCACACUCGAGUUUCUCAUUCUCACGUUCUUCAGGCUUUGAUAUUGUAAGAGCAUUAACAACAUUGAGGCUUGUCAACAAGAAAUGUAAUAUUUUUUGCCAACGUAUAAAAGUUGUGACCAUAAAUAUUUAUUUAUUAUUGAUUUUGAUGAUAACAAACUUGAUUAAGAUUGAUUAAUCUCUUAAAAGCUCAAAAUAAUUUUCAUAUACUUUUAAAUCAUCACUCUCACUUUAUAUUCUAUGGAAAUAUUUUUUGUUAUUCUCAUGUUAAUGGUUUCAAUUGAAAAAGCUUUGAGAAUUUUGAUAAUAACAAAUAUUGUUUCAAAUCCUGUAAAUGGAUCUAUUUGAUAAGUUUUAUAAAGUGUUGGGUCAUAGUAUAAUUUUAUGAAGUUUUGGGGUCAAACUAUUAUUUUACAAAAUAGUUCAUUUUAGCAGUUACUGUAGAAAACGGCGAUCCGACAUCUUGAUAAAGGCUCGCCGACAUCGAACAGAACUGAAGAUUAGCCUCUGGACACUAACAACAAUCCGACAACUUGAUAACGGCUAACCGACAUUGCACAGAAUUGAGGAUUAGUCUCUGGACACUAACGGUGAUCCCACAUCUAGAUAACGACAAUCCGACAGUGUGCAGAAAGUCAAUAACAGCUAGUUUUCAGCUCCAGCAAUAAAUAAGCUCAAUCAAAUUCAAACUAAAACGAUUGCAACAAUUAUUAUUGAGCAAAGUUAUGAGCAUACAACAUUCAUUGAGCCUUAAAUUCUUGUAUUCAUCUCAUUUACUCACACUUUGAAUCUUCAUUUGUAAUCAAACACAUAGUGUGAGAGAAAUUUAUUUUGUAACAUUCUUUAAAAUCAAAUUGAGUGAUUGUAAGUGUUGAGAUACACUUGGGUUAAGAGAUUAGGGAUAAUCUCUUGUUGUAAAGGUUUAUUGACACCUUAAAAGUCAAGUGUAAGCAUUUGAAGCCUUGGAGGCUUGCUUAGUAGAAUCCUCAAGCCCGAAAAGCUUGGAGGCAUGGACGUGGGAGAGGUUGGCCGAACCACGUAAAAAUCCUCAUGUUUGAAUCUCUCUUACCUUAUCUUUUUAUAUUGUGAUAAAUUUAUUUGUUAUUGCUUUAAAUUCGUUUUAUAUUUGCAUUGAGUUUUGCUUUAAAAAUUGUAUAAUUUUUAGAAUCUCAAUUCACCCCUCCUCUUGGGUUGCAUAACUAGAAUUUCAUUUGGUAUCAGAGCCUUGUGCUUUUGUUAGGACGUAAUCGUCUAGAGUAAAAGAUCAAUGGCAACCCUAAAUGACUCAACCUUUAGAGAAGGACAAUCUACAACUAGACCACCGUUCUUUGACGGUAAUGACUAUGCAUAUUGGAAAACUAGGAUGAGAAUCUAUUUGCAAGUUUUAGAUUAUGAAAUUUGGGAAGUUGUUUAUGAUGGUCCAUUUAUGCCUAUGUUUAAAAAUGAAGAAGGAGAUGAUAUUCCUAAACCAUCAAGUCAAUGGAGUGAGUUAGAAAAGAGAAAGAUGUCCUUAAACUCCAAGGCAAUGAAUGCCUUGUUUUGUGCUCUUGAUAAGAAAGAAUUCCAUAGAGUAUCUAGCUGUGAAAGUGCACAAGAAAUAUGAAAUAAACUUGAAGUUGUCUAUAAAGGGACAAAUCAAGUUAAAGAGUCUAAAAUUAGUAGAUACACUCGUCAAUAUGAAUUGUUCCAAAUGGAAUAAAAUGAAAAUGUGUAUUCUAUGUAUAUUAGAUUUACGGACAUAGUAAACACCCUAGGAACUUUGGGAAAAACUUUCUCAAAUAGUGAGAAAGUAAAGAAAAUCAUUAGGUCACUUCCUAAGGAAUGGAGAUUUAAAAGGACUGCUAUUUAAGAGGUCAAAAAUUUAAAUACUUUACCUCUUGAUGAUUUAAUUAGCUCUCUUAUUUCAUAUGAACAAGACUUAGCAGCUGAAAAAAGGGAUGAGGAGAAGAAGAAAAGUAUUGUUCUCAAAGCUUCAAAAUUUAAGAGUGAUGAGGAAAGUGAACCGGAUGAUGAGGAGUAGGCCAUGCUAGCAAGGAGGUUUAGAAAAUUCUUUAAGAAAACCGGUGAGCGAAGAAGAUUUAGAAACUUCAAGAAUCAAAAGGAGAAGAAAAAGGCAAUCAUAUGCUAUGAGUGCAAAAAGUUCGGCCAUAUGAGAUCAGAAUGCCCACUUCUCAACAAACUCAAGAAGAAAGUCAUGGUUGCUACUUGGGAUGAUAGCGAUGAAGAUUCAAGUGAUGAAGAUGAAUUGCAUGAAGCAUCAAACCUAACACUUAUGACAUAAGAGAUGAUGAUGAUCUCAAUAAGGUAAGUGAUCCUACCUAUGAUGAAUUGUAUGAUGCUUUUAAAGAAUUACAUGAAGAGUUGAUGAAAAUUAGUAAAAAGAAUGCAUGCCUUAAAAAGAAAAUACUAGAACUUACAAAUGAAAGGGAUGCCCUAGAAAAAUGCAAUAAUGAGAAGAUAAAAGAAUUAGAAUUAGAGAAUAAAAUGUUGCAUGAUAAAACUUUAGCUCUUAAAGGUAAACAAAGCACUUAUGAACAUGAAAAGUCACAUGUGGAUGAGUUAAUGAAAGAGAAUGAAGUGCUUAAGAAGAAAAAUAAUGAACUAAAUGAAAUUGUGCUAAAGUUUACAAAUGGACAAAAGAUGUUGGAAAAUAUGCUCAAUUCACAAAAAUGUGUGUUUGAUAAAAGAGGUAUUGGCUAUAAGCCAAACUUGAAACAAAAAUAUUAUAAGAACUACUUUGUGAAAAGUACCUCUAUUAACAAUCAAAUUGUAUGUCAUCAUUAUAAUCAAGAUGGACACAUGAAAAAUAUAUGUCCAGUAAAAAGAAAUGCAUAUUAUGGUAUGAAAUGUAUUUGGGUUCCAAAAGGAACCAUUGCUAACAUAUAAGAACCUAAGAAGUUUUGGGUACCUAAAACUUAGAAACUUUUUCUGCAGGGAUCAAAGAAAAGGAAAAAUAAGUGGUUCUUGGAUAGUGGUUGCUCAAGGCACAUGACCAGAAACUAUGCAUGGUUUUCAAGUUUCACCAAAAUUGAAAAUGGUGGAGAUGUUUCUUUUGGAGAUAACUCAAAGGGAAAGAUUCUCGGAGUUGGAAAUGUCAGUAAAAUUUCGUCAACUUUAAUUGAAAAUGUAUGUUUAGUUGAAAACUUAAAACACAAUUUGAUUAGUAUUAGUCAAUUGUGUGACAAAGGUUAUAAAGUUGUUUUUGAUAAAUCUAAAUGUAUUAUUGAGAAUGCAUGUGAUAACAAGAUUUUAUUUAUUGGAAAUAGAUGCGGUAAUGUUUAUACCAUUGACAUAGAAUGUGCAUCCACUAAUGAUAAAUGUUUUUCGGCUGUGCAUGAUGAUAGUUGGUUAUGGCAUAGAAGACUAGGACAUGCAAGCAUGGAUUUAAUUUCAAAGAUUUCCAAAAAUGAUUUAGUUAAAGGUCUUCCAAAAAUUGGUUUUCAAGAAGAUAAAAUUUGUGAAGCAUGUCAAUUUGGUAAACAAAUCAAAACCUCUUUUAAAAGCAAAAAUCAUAUUUCUAGUUCAAAACUGCUUCAAUUACUUCAUAUAGAUUUAUUUGGACCUUUAAGGUAUGCUAGCUUGAAUGGAAAAUAUUACGCUUUUAUAAUUGUUGAUGAUUUUUCAAGAUACACUUGGUUAUUAUUCUUAACUAAUAAGGAUAAUGCUCUUGAUGCUUUUAAAGUACUUUGUAAGAAAAUUCAAAAUGAAAAAAAGGGUAUGGUAUUGCAUGCAUUAGAAGUGAUCAUGGAGAAGAGUUUGAAAACUAUGCAUUUGAAACCUUUUGUAAUAAUCUAGGCAUUGUGCAUCAAUUUUCAUCACCUAGAACUCCACAACAAAAUGGAGUUGUUGAGAGAAAAAAUAGGUCAAUUCAAGAAAUGGCUAGGAUUAUGUUGAAUGAAAAUUCCUUGCCUAAGUAUUUUUGGGCCGAGGCCGUCAACACCGCUUGUUAUGUUUUAAAUCGUGUGUUGAUUAGACCUAAUCUUAAUAAAACUCCAUAUGAGCUUUGGAAAGAUAGAAAACCCAAUAUUGGUUAUUUCAAAGUUUUUGGAUGCAAAUGUUUUAUUUUGAACACAAGAGAUAAUCUUGGCAAAUUUGAUUCAAAAUCCGAUGUUGGUAUUUUUCUUGAAUAUUUAAACUCAAGCAAAGCUUAUAGAGUUUAUAACAAAAGAACUCUAGUUGUAGAAGAAUCGAUGCAUGUUACAUUUGAUGAAUCUAACCCCUCUUCUACGGAGAAAGUUGUUGUUGAUAAUGAUGCAGAUGAAGACUUACAAAAAGAGUCAUCAAAAGAUAACCAAAAUGAUGCAUCUCAUGGGAAUCAAGAUGAGCAACAUGAAAAAAAAAAUGUAGAGCAAAAUGAAGGUACUUCUCAAUCACUCCCCAAAGAGUGGAGGUAUGUUUCUUCUCACCCUAAGGAUAUAAUUUUAGGAGAUCCCUCACGAGAUGUUACAACUAGAUCAUCACUUAGGAAUACCUGUGAGCAUAAUGCAUUUAUUUCUCAAAUUGAACUCAAAUCCUUUGAGGAUGCGGAAAACGAUAAAUCUUGGAUUAUGGUAAUACAAGAGGAGUUAAAUCAAUUUGAAAGAAACAAUGUGUGGGAAUUAGAUCCUAAACCGGAACAUUAAUCUGUCAUAGGUAUUAAAUGGGUAUUUAGAAAUAAGAUGGAUGAAUCCGGUGUGGUUGUAAGGAAUAAAGCUAGAUUAGUGGCUCAAUGUUACAACCAAGAAGAAGGAAUUAAUUUUGAUGAAACAUUUGCACCCGUAGCUAGAUUAGAAUCAAUUAGAAUGUUGUUGGCAUUUGCAUGUUAUAAAGAUUUCAUUUUAUUUCAAAUGGAUGUGAAAAGUGCUUUCUUAAAUGGUUAUAUUAUGGAAGAAGUGUAUGUAAAACAACCCCCUGAUUUUGAAAAUGAAAAAUUUCCAAAUCAUGUUUAUAAGUUGUUUAAAGCCUUGCAUGGAUUAAAACAAGCACCCAGAGCAUGGUAUGAUAGGCUUAAAAAUUUCUUAUUAGAAAAUAAUUUUUCUAUGGGUAAAGCGGAUACUACUCUCUUUGUCAAACAUAAGAACAAAGACAUACUUGCUGUUCAAAUUUAUGUGGAUGAUAUUAUUUUUUAUUCUACUAAUGAAUUGUUGUGUAAAGAAUUUUCAUCUUGUAUGAGUAAUGAAUUUGAAAUGAGUAUGAUGGGAGAGUUGAAGUACUUCCUUGGGCUGCAAAUAAAACAAAAUGAGAAAGGAAUAUUCAUAAAUCAAGCCAAGUAUGUAAGAGAUCUACUCAAACGAUUCGACAUUGAUGACUGAAAGACAAAAAAUACUCCGAUGAGCACAACAACCAAGCUUGACAAAGAUGAAAAAGGCAAAGAAGUAGAUAUCAAAAUGUAUCGAGGUAUGAUCGGAUCUUUACUUUAUUUAACUGCAAGUAAACUCGAUAUCAUGUUUAGUGUACGUUUGUGCGCAAGAUUUCAAUCAUGUCCCAAGGAAUCCCAUUUGCUUGCUGUUAAAAGAAUUUUUCGUUAUUUGAGUGGAACCAUAGAUAUUGGCCUUUGGUAUCCUAGAGGAACUCAUAUAGAUUUAACUUGUUAUUCGGAUGCCUAUUUUGCCGGUUACAAAGUCGAUAGGAAAAGUACUAGUGGAACUUGCCAUUUUCUAGGUCAUUCACUUGUUUCAUGGUUUAACAAGAAACAAAUUCGGUUGUACUCUCAACAACUGAGGCAGAAUAUAUCACCGCCGGGAGUUGUUGUGCACAAGCACUUUGGAUGAACUUAGAGAUUGUGGCAUUAAUCUUGAACAAAUUCCUAUUAAGUGUGAUAAUACUAGUGCUAUAAAUCUUUCAAAGAAUCCAAUUCAACACUCUAGAACCAAGCAUAUAGAAAUUAGACAUCACUUCUUGAGAGAUCAUGUUCAAAAGGGAGAUAUUGCAUUAGAGUUUAUUUAUACGGAAAAACAAUUUGCCAAUAUUUUUACAAAACCUCUUUGCGAAGAUUAAUUUUUAAAAAUUCGGUAUAAACUUGGGAUGAUGAAAUUUUCACAUUAACAUUUCUACUCAUGUUAUUUAGUCUAAUGAAAUUGAUUGAUUGAUUAUUUGAUGAUUUUGCUUUAAGUGUUUGAGCAUGAUUAAUAAGUGAGAUGUUUAUAUUAUUCAUUGAAUGUGUGUAUGAAUUAAUGGUUGAAAUUCUUACAUGUUCAUGAAUUAUGCAUUGAACUGGCACUUAAAACAUUUUGGAUCAAUGAAAUGAUCCUGAAAUGUAUUUAUUUUAGCCAAAUAUUAAAAUAAAUGUGUGAAAUCAUAAGUUGUAGAAAACGGGUAAUCGUUUUUCAAGCAGAAACCUUGCAAGUAUUCUGGACGCUGUCGGUUCAUCGACAUUUCACUAACGGCUCGCCAUUUUCAUGAAAAAUUUUGGGGAGCUCUCUGGACGCUGCUAGUUCGCCGACAUUUCACUAACAGCUCGCCGUUUUCAUGAAAAAAUUUUGGGCAGCUCUCUGGACGCUGUCGGCUCGCCGAUAUCUCUAUAACGGCUCGCCGUUAUCACGCGAUAAGUGAACAAUCUUUUGUCUCCUUCUUCAUUUCGUUCUUGCUCUCUCUCUCUCUCUCUCUCUCUCUCUCUCUCUCUCUCUCAAACCCGUGACUAUACCUGUUUUCCUCUCUCAAAUUCAUCAUUUUUUCUUGUCAUUUUUCGCCAAAUUGAAGUAUUAAAAACCAUCCUUAUCAUCUUUAGACCCUUUUUCACCGAUUAAAACCGGUUUUCACUUCAAAAAUUGAAAAAUCCCAAUUUAAAACCCUAGAACCAGCCGCACUACCUUUGCCAAUAUUGACCCGAAUUUCUUCCAUUUUCAAUCACUUUUCAACUUGUAAUCACUCUCUCGUCUCUCAAACUUCAUUUCUACUGAUUUAAAUUUCUCCAAAAUCAUCAAUGGCAGCAAGAUCACAGUCACAGAGGCGUGCUCGAACCAAGCACACUGCCCCACGACGUUCCAGUCCAGGCCUCCUUCUCAGGACUUCGAGAGCCUCCAUUUUUCCAAUGCUAACUUUGCUCAGCGAUUUCGUGACAAAUUCAUGGGCAAGCCGGUAACUCUCUCAUUUUCUCUUAACAUUGCAGAGUUUUCAGAUAUUUCAAUUUGUGGUAGUAAUAUUACUCACAUGCUUAGUCAUUAGAAUGAAGCUUUAAAUAUAAAAGAACCUGUUUAUGAAAAUCUUGUACGUGUAUUUUAUUCUAAUAUGGAACUCUCCUCUUCCCGACAAGUUGAAAUUUAUACAUCCGUAAGAGGAGUUCGUAUUGCGUUCAAUGAGGCAGAAUUAUGUGGUAUACUUGAAAUUCAUUAUGUUGGCUUAGACAUUUACACCAUUAGGAAAGAGUUUGAAUUUAGUGAUUUCUGUUAUGUGGAUGGCGUACAGAACAUUUGUAGACGUCGGGAUCUUUCCGAUGACCUCUGCUCUUUGCCCUUUAGGUCUCAACUUCUCCUUUUCCAGGUUCGCAUACUUCAUAUCAUUCUCCAACACAUGGUCACCCUUAGACAGGGCCAUACUGAUGAGGUAACUAGGCUUGAUGUUGGUUUAUUAGAUUCCCUCAUCCGUAGACGACAUGUGAGCUUAUCUUACACUAUCCUUUGUCAUAUGAUGUCCACACCUAAAGUGACCAACCGAUCCCUUCCAUAUGGCAGCAUCAUUACUAGGAUUUUGAAAUUCUUUAAAGUACCUAUCACUAAGCCUGUUUAUGUCGAGACCCAAAAGCUCGGUCGAGAGAUUAUGUCUGCGAUCAGAUUUUUUAAGAAGCAUGGGAAGUGGGAAAAGACAACAUCCUCUAAGAAUGAAGACUAAAACGACUCGUCCCGCACUCCCAGGACGAGUCUAUCUAAACUCGUAUAAUCGAAUCGAUAUUAAUUAUGAUAUCUAAGAAUUCUGUAAAAAAUUCGGCAAAAAUCUCCCCUAUAAAUAAAACAUCCCUAAACCUGCAAUUUAAAAAACAAUAUUUCCAAAAUAACUCAAUAUCCAUUCAUCCUUCAUAACCAACUUCUCAAGUCAACAUAUCAAAUAUCACCCAAAUCAUUCUAAUAUUAAAAUAUAAUGGUUAUCCUUAAUUACAAAAUAUAACAAAUAAAUACAAUUCGCAAUAUCCCAAAUAUCAAAAUAUUAAAUCUACGACUCCUAGCACCAUCACGUGGUCACAAUUUUGAAUCUAACUAUCGUUGCUGGGUCGACUGAUGUACCGACAAAUCUCCUGUGGGGGGGAAAAAUAUAAUAAAAACGGGGUGAACAUAAAACUCAAUGAGCUCAGUGAGUGCAUAGUAAUUUUUAAAAAAUAAAUUUAUUUAAAAUGAUUUAAUCUUUCUCAAAUCAAUUUCAUCAAAAUAUCAUAAGAACUUAUAUAAACAUAUUCAAUUCAAAUCAUGCACUGAAAUAACUAUAUUAUAUAAAUUUGCAUAAAAUCAAUGAAAUCAUAAUACUUAUAAUAUCAAUUACUGAAUACUAAAAACUAUCACCAAACAAGUACUCAGGGGAAUAGUCUCAUCAUAUCCGGACCUCGACGGACGGGCAAUCAGGGAACAAUCAUGCCCCGGAGCUACAAUAGAUAGAUGGGGAAAUCUCAUCUCAUAUCUCAUGUAUCUCAACAUCUGUAUCUCUGUAAUCAUUAUACUGCAUGCAUAAGCCCCCAAAAGGCAAAAGCGCCCAAACACACGGCCUAAAGCUUCUAUGUGUGUUCAGACGGGCCCAAAAGGCCUCUAUCUCAUCUCAUAUGUAUCUUUGUAUUCAUCUCGUAUUAUCUGUAUCUCUGUAUCUGGAGGGGAAGGUUACUAUCCAAUGAUUUUCCAAACAACAUUUAUACACAUGUUCAUAAACAUAUAAUCACAUCUAAAAUCUCAUUUUUUUUUAUUCAACAUAUCUCAAAUCUACUCAAUUCUAAUGUCAUGCGUUUACUCCAAAACGAUAAUAAAAUCAUUAAUCAAACUCAUUCUUAAUAACAAUAAAUAUCAACACAUAGAUAAAAAUCAAUUUUCUAGAAAAUCAUUAAAUCGAAGCAUCAAAUACUUAUUUAUCAAAACAUACUGCACUGUAUCAUAAAAUCAGCAUAUACUAUGAAAAUAGGUUUUGUAUAUUCCACUCACAGUGACGAAGUCCAGACUCAGUAUCAACAACGCCCGCUGGUUGAUUCUCGUUCGCGGAUCCUCCUAAUCAAGGAAACGACAUAAUCAUUCUCCGUAAAUUUGAAAUACAACUAAUCUUACAUAAUAAUUCUCGAAACGAAUAUCUAUCAAUAAUAAACUAUUCCCGCAUGCACAAAAUUACCGAAAUACCCCUACAUGCCAAAAUUCAUUAUUUUACCAAAAUUAUCUUCAGAAUCUUCAAUUACUAAAUUGUCUUCAAUUCAGAUCACGAAAUUACCACAAUGUCAGAAAUUACGAAAUUAUCCUUGGCACGUAAAAUCACCAAAAUAUCCUUAACAACUUAAAUUACCGAAUUACCCUCAAAAUCUCAAAUUACCUCGCUGCCCUAACCUAAAAUUACCAAAUUAUCCACUGAUUCCAUAAAUUACAAAUUCACCCUAAAGUUUUAUGAAUUUACCGAAUUGCCCCUGCCAAUCAACGGUGACCGGACUUCAGUCAACGACGACGGGAAGCUUAUGUCUGAUAGUUCAGACCUCGGUGAGUCCAAUGGUGCCGACGGUGAUCUCCCACGCGCGGCGAAAAGCGGUGGAUCGAAGCUCCAAAAUAUGUGAGAUUUUCGAUGGUCGUUUGCAGCAAAGACGAAAUCCCUGGUGGUCGUGGUCAGUCAGAAAGUGAUGAGUGUAAGUUGAGGAACAAGAUCAGAAUGGUGGCGUGCUAAAAAUCCAGCGGGAUUAACGGCGGCAAAAACGGGUCUUGGCCGUAAAUUUUCGAGCUCAAUCGCCGGCUUUUUGGUCGGUUUCCGGUGGUGAGGAUGGCAGGGUUAUGACGGUCGGCUUCCAAGCUUCAGAUUGGUACCAAGCUCGGCCGGUGAGGUAGCCGGAAUCGCGAGAUCCGUCCAGGUCAAGGUCGCGGGUCAGGUGGAAUCCGGGUCAAAAUCAGGUCAACUCUCUCUCUCUCUCUCUCUCUCUCUCACGUGCCCCUCUUUCUUUCCUUUUUUGGAAACCAGCUUCUCCUUUCCAUUUAUAGAAAUUGGCUUUUUUUUUUUGCACUUAAGCUUAAUACAAUUAAGUUUAUAUCGGACCCGUGACGAAAAUAAAAUCCGACUACUCGAGCUUUUAAUCGCGCUCAAUUUAUCUCGAUUUAAUGUUGUGACAAUUAAUAUCGAAGAGGAAAAAUUAAAUCAUACACUUAAUUAGAAAAAAUCAAAGUGCAUAUGUUACAAAGACACUUUUAUUGCUCCAGAGGAUGAUUGCAUGCUAAAUGAUGUCUAUUUCGAGGAUGAGUUACCUGACUUCCGCCUUGGGGCUAGACCGCGUGCCCCUCGCUGAGCAGCAGUAGCAUCCGCAGUAGCUUCCUCUCCGGAUGAUGAGCCAGCCGAGCCAGCCGUCCCUCUUGCAGCAUCUUCUGCUUCCGAGGGCCGCUUUCAGCAGCUCUUCGACAAGGUGGAUACACUCUCCCAGUAGCAGCAGCAGCAGCAGCAGCCUUAAUAUGAUUUUGUGACUUUUCGACGGCAGAUAUUAGAUCAGCAGAGGGAGUUACUUGCUGGACAGCGCCGCAUUCUUGGUCACCUUGGCUAUGUUCCCGAUAGUUCCUCUUCACCGCCCCCAUCUUAAUUUUCUGCCCCUAUGAUUUUCGCACAAACAUUACUCAUUUCAUGUAGUUUGUUGUGGUACUUUUUGUUUUUUUGUUUUUAUUGUGCUUGUGAUGCUUUUAUGAUGUUUUUAUUGGAUAUGUGAAUUUUAUUUAUGUAACGACUCGCCCCGACCUCCACAGGGCGAAUCUUACUGAUAGAUGCUUAAAAAUAAAAUAAUAAUAAUCCUUUUACAAUCCAUAACAAUUAUAUCCUUGAAAAUACAAAUAUAAAAUGCAAACUGCAGUGGAAGAAUUUAAAAUUCAUGUCAAACCAUCUAUUUCCUCCAUUCAAGUCCUUCUCGACGAUCAUCACGAAUCAAUCCUGAUUUACAGAAACUGAAUCACAAUAAACUAUAAUGAGUACCAAACUCAGUAAGUAAACUAGUUUUGAAUGACGUGCCAUGAUAUUCGAAAACAUCAUAAACAAAUCAUCGAAAUCUCAUUCUGUCUUUCUCAAACUUUCACAUUCUCUUUCAAACCACUUACUUGAGCUACCUUCAUUCGAUUAUCGCUUAGUAGGACACUCCCUUAACUUUCAUAACUUUCAUACUCUUUGGGCUUCUCGCCAAUGCGUCCUUCGCCCACUCAUCUCAUAACUAUAUAAACAUCUAGAGUGUCUUCUACUAAGCCAAUAACGAAUUCAAGCAUCCAAGCUAAAACUGUAAAACAAUCUUUCUUUCUACAAAUUCCAUUUGGCUAAAAUUCACUUUCUCAUUUUAUAGAAAACAUAAUGCAUUUCGUGCUCAUGCCAAUGAAAUAUUCACACAUACGUAUGCCCAUGUCCAUAAACACACAUAACAACACAUCGUAUAAACACAUGGAUAGAACAUAUAAAUCAAUAUCCGUACAUAUAUAAAAAUAGACUUUCCCAACAUGUCAAACAUAUAUAUUGUUUAUUGUGAUUCGUUUGGAAAUCUAGUUUACUUACCUCCUGGUAUCCUCGAUUAACAAAUACACAUCGAUAUCAUCGGCCUAAAAAUAAAAAAAAAAUACUCUCAUAAGAAUAAAAUUAAACCAUAAUCAUAAACUCCAAUAUUCUCAAAUUCCUCAAUAUAAUCACAUUCCAUACUUAACCUCAAAUAAUCUUAAUUUAAAUAAUAAAUCAUCAAAAUACUCAUAAUUCUUGAAAUUAUGAAAUUACCCUCAAAUAUCAAAAUUACCAAAAUGCCCUUGAAUUCAAUAUUACCAAAAUACCCUCAAAUAUCAAAAUUACCAAAUUAACCAAAAUCAUAAAUUACCAACUUUAUCCUUAAUUUCAGCAAUUACUAAAAUACCCACAAAAUCUAAAAUUACAAAAUUGCCCUUAGAUUGUGAAAUUACCGAAAUACCCUUGCCGGUCAACGGUCACCAGAAUUCAACCGACGGCAAUGGGAAGCUCAGAACUGAAAGGUCAAGCCACACUGAGUCCAAUGGUUGCGGUGGUGACCUCUCACGCGCGGUGAUGGCUCCGGAUCGAGCUCCCAAAGUCGUGAAUCCUUCAACGGCCAAUCAACGGCAAAACGACGUCCCCAACGUCAGUGGUUAGUCGAAAAUGGCAGAAGGAACAAAACCCAAGUGAUGGCUUCACCGGAAACCGGCGAAAUCACUGCGAAUCAAGGCGGCGAUUCCACUGAACUUCAAAGCUUCGAUCGGUGGCUUUCCGAUCGAUUUCCGGCGGCAAGGACGGUAUGGAUACGUUGCUCGUCUCUCAAGCUUCAAAUCGGUACCAACCUUGACCGGAACGGUGGCUGGAAAUGGGAGAACCGGUCGGGUCGUGCUCUCGGGUCAGGUUGGAUCCGGUUCAGUUUCUCCUCUUUCUCUCUUAUCUUCUCUCUCUCAAUUUAUAAGGGUGGUCAACAUGGUCAAAAUCGGGUGUGGGGUAUUACAAUUUAUGAUUUCGUUGAUUUUGAUGAUAUGUUUGGUUGUUGUUCAUGAUUAUAUUGAAUUUAUUAGAAUGGAGGUUAGUUGAUAAGUUGGAAUGUAUAUAUGGGGGUGUUUUAAUUAUUUGUAUUGUUGAGAAUAUGUUCAUUUUUAAAGGAAAAUUUUGUCGAAAUGUUUUUAAUAUAGGUAUUGUCUGAACUCCUCUUUUUUACUCUUUUCGCGCUUAUUUUUUUUUUUGUUAUGAAGGAGGAGAUAAUUAACCAAUUCAAUCUCUGGUGGAGCAGAAAGUUAGCCCGAGACGGUGACGGCUAUUGGGAUUUCUUUAAUUUGCAGCAUAAAAGCAUUUACAUUGACAUUGACUCAAGGGUAAAAAUUAAAUAUCUCAUGUAGCAUAAGAAGAAUGCAAAAAAUGCUUGAAUGAGCAUUCUGACUGAAUACACAAAAGCUACUUUCCCUUGAGCAAUUUCGCAACAAAAGAAAAUGUAAAAUUUAGCAUUUAAAUCUAACAUCAAAUGGCUGAUGCCAUCGUUUCCAUCCCUUGGGGAAACUGAAUUCCUCUAUGUGAUAUUACUGUCUGGAGCGGCUCUUAUCUCAGGCAACUUGAGAUAAUUUAGGCGGUUGUUCAGGGCUCCACAUUUAACCUAGGACUCCAUUAUAAAUGAAGGUUUCUAAUUUAAUUCCUAAAUUAUAGUUAUUAAUUAUUGAUUUAUAUUUAUUAUUUAUAACUAUAUUUUCCAUAAACAAACUACUAGAUUCUUACAAAAUCCCCUUUUAACAAUAUAAUUAACAAUUUUAAUCCAUUUAUUUCCUCCAUAUAUUUCAUUUAAAACUCUAUAAAGGCCACAUCUUUUUUAAAUUAUUAUCCAUUAAUAUCUUUUUCCAAUUAAAAAAAAAACACAAAACCUUCAUUGCUUUGGUGAAAAAACUGCUUUCUCUACCUUACUUUUUGCAUAAGGAAGAAAAGAAAAUCAAUUGUUUUACUUUCUUUUGAUCAUUGUUGCUCAAAGCCUCAAUCCAUCAAAGUUAAAUUUCUCAAAUUUUCAGGUUUUAUCUUCCGAUUCUCUUAUUAAUUAAUUGUGUUAUUUAGGUGUUUUUGUUUCUUUGUAAAAAUAUUAUUCUGCUCAUAGGUUGUUUGCUUUUAAUUAUCUAGCAUAAUUGUUUGCAUGAUUACUCUUGUUUCCUUAGAAAAAAAAAUGUCUACUAAAAACUAUGCAUCAUGAUACAAAAAACUUCAUAAAAGGAGAAGAAUAGAAAAGUUAGCUUAAUCUAAAAAUGUGCUAUUGAUAAAAAAUUAUUUAAGAUCAACCAUGUCAUAGGAAAGAUUAAAUAGGUUAACUAUAUUAUCUAUUGAGAAAGAUAUUAGGGGUGUUCACGGAUUGAAUUUUACGGAUUGUACAUCGAUCCAUAUCCGAUCCAUGAUUUUGCGAAUUAUAAUUUUUCAAUCCAAUCCAAUCCACGGAUUGAUAAAAUUCAAUCCAAAUCCAAUCCAUACAUCUGCGGAUCGGAUGCGGAUUUGACUCAAUCCAUAUCCAAUCCAUAUGUCUGCGGAUCGGAUGUGGAUUUAACUCAAUCCAUAUGCAAUCCACCAUUUUCCGCAUUAGUUUUCGAAUUAAAAAUUUUUAGUUCUCUCCAACUAAUGAAAUAAAAAAAUCUAAUAUAAAAAUAAUUUUGCUACCAAUUAAAUUUAAAAUUGAAUAAAAUUUAAAUAAAUUAAUUGUUUAAAUAAAGCUAAAAUAAUACAUUUAAAGUUUCAAAAUAUAACACAUCGAGACUAAUUAUUCAAAUAAAGUUACAAUAAUACGUUCAAAGUUUCAAAAUAUAACACACCAAGCUUAAUUAUUCAAAUAAAGUUACAAUAAUAUGUUAAUAUAACACCGAAAUUAAUUGUUCAAAUAAAUCCACAAUUAAUUGAAAUGGCGAAAUUUUGGAAACCAAACACAGUCUGAUCCCUCACCAGGGCUGUUGCGCCUGUCGAAAAGUAGUGAUUACGAAGCCAUCCACGAUGGGAACCAGGAGAAGCUGUACGGGUGGCGAUCUUGAUGGUUGUGAUAGUGAAAUUGUUUAGUUGGAACCAGUGAAUGUGAAGUGGCUCGAUGGACUUGGGAAAGAAGAUGGCUUGCUCUUGCCAGAAUCGCACGGCCGAUGUCCUUUAAAUCCGUGUCGAGAGUGUAUCCAACCCGUAUUGAGUGUUGCUAGUGUGUGUGACGGCGGGGAAGUUUAGGGUUUUUUGUUUGCAAAUUGUUGGUGACUUUGCGAUAUGUUACUUUGCUUUUGCUAGUGUGUGUGACUUUGCUUUUAUUUUGUUUUACAAUUUUUACAAGUUAUAUUUGUAUAUUUGUAUAUUUGAUUAUUUAAUUAUUUUUCAUUUUAUAUUAUUAUUGGCUAAUGGUUAAGAUAUGUUAUAGUGCUUAGUAACUAUGUAAUGUCACAUUUAUAAUUUUUUAAUUAAAUUUAUAAUAAUUUUUUAAUUAUAUAUAUAUAUAUAUAUAUAUAUAUAUAUAUAUAUAUAUAUAUAUAUUUUGCGGAUUCACGGAUUUCUGCAGAUUUACAGAAGUAAAUCCAUAUCCAAUCCAUCGACUGCGGAUUUUUAAAUUUUCAAUCCAUAUCCAAUCCACGGAUCGGAUUCAGCGGAUCGGACGGAUUGAGCGGAUCGGAUUGGAUUCUGAACACCCCUAAAAGAUAUAUUAGCAAAGUUAGAAUAUAAAAAGUUGAUUAAUAAUUUUGCAUCUCAGAAAGUUAGAGAAAUUUAUUUUAAAUAAAUAAAACUUUAAUAAAAUUAAUACACAUAUUUCACCUCAAAUUUUUUGGAAGGUCUAAUUAAAUCAAUUUAUUUAAGAUGUUAAAUAUGAUUGAGCCGCCCUGAAAUUGUAGUAAGAUAGAAAAGUGAAAUAGACAGAACACUUGGUCAUACGUUAAAGAUGCGACGAAUUUGAGAAUAUUUAUUAUUAUGUGCCAAAUUCCCAAUGAGUGGGAAUUUAAAAAAGUUAGUGCAAAACAUGUGUUCAUCGGUGGAGUAGAAUCAGGGAAAUUAAAGAUGAGCAUAAUUUUUGCAUCCAAAGCCAAAUUCCCCCAGGUAGAGAGUGGGGACUCCUUUGCAUAAAUGUUGAUAAAAGUUUGACUAAGAUCUUAUUAGAAAUUAAUAUAUUAUCUCUCUACAUAUUUCUGCACGAAAUAACAUGCAGAUAUAGUAUUUAGGUUAUUGUUAAUAGUUUUACAAUAAUAAAAAUCAUUUUGUUAGAUCGUAAAAUGUCGUAUUCACACUCUAUUUUGUGCAAAAGUCUGCGAGAAAGGAUUUCAGAUUUGCCUAAUGGUGAAGUUGGGAACUUGCUUUUUUUCUAGGCUAAAAAUAUUUCAAUAAAUUCUGAUCGUGGAGACUAACAAGAGUUUUUUAGUCAUAUAUAUUUAUUUUUUAGGGACUAAUAUGAAUAUUACUAAUUUUAUCGAGAUUAUUAAAAAAACAAUGCGCUAAUUUACCAAUAUGAUUUCUCCAAUCUUUUUUCUUUUCGUCAUUUAUUCCUUUGUGAAUUUGAGUUAAUGCUUGAUAUUAUUUUUGUGCUCAUUUUUUAAAGUAGAAGAUUAUGAAAAAGUGACACACAAAAAGCAUAAAAAUCAUUAUUAGAUCCAAAUUUGUGCUAUUUUCAUACAUAACUUGAGAAUAUUUAUAAUUGCGCAUCACAACUAGUGGAGUAGAAUCAGGGAAAUUAAACAUUCUACAAUCAUUGACGUGCGGGGUGGGGAUAAGCAUAAACUUUUUCUAUGCUGCAUAAAAGAAUGCAAUAACUCCUUUUCUUUCAGUAUUCUCGCAACAAAAGCACAUCUAAUAACUCUUUAGAAUUCUCGUUUUCUUUGCCACAAUGGUUGAAGCAAUCAUUUCCUCUGUCCUAGAGCAGCUGAUCUCUGCUGCGGCUGAUGAAGUGAAGGUGAGGCUUUUUGUGACUGAUGUCCCACAGCAAGUGAUAAAUCUUACCAGAAAUCUUCAAGACAUUCGCGCUGUGCUGGAAGAUCCAGAGAAAAGGCAAAUGCAGCACCACAAAGCUGUUACUUUUUGGCUGGAUCAGCUUAAAGACGCAUCUUACGACAUGGAAGAUGUGCUGGAGGAGUGGACCACUGCAAGGCUCAAAUUGCAGAUUGAGGGCGUUGAUGAUGACAAUGCUCUUGCUCUUGCUCCUUAUAAGAAGAAGGUACGUUCCUUCUUUUGUGCUGUAUCAAACUGCUUUGGUAGUUUCAAACAACUCUGUCUUCGUCAUGACAUUGCUGUCAAGAUUAGGGGAAUCAAUGAAAAGCUAGAUGAUAUUGCCUCCCAAAAAGAUAAGUUUAACUUUAAAUUUGUUGAGAAUGUGAGUAACAAUGUUAAGAAACCAGAGCGAGUGCGAACCACCUCCUUGAUUGAUGAGGGAGGGGUUUGUGGUAGAGUUUAUGAGAAAAAUGAACUCUUAAGCAAGUUGUUGUGUGAAAGUAGUGAAUAAAAUGAAGGCCUUCAUGUCAUCUCACUAGUUGGGUUAGCGGGUAUUGGUAAAACCACUGUUGCACAACUAGCCUAUAAUAAUGAUAAGGUGAAAAGAAAUUUUGAAAAAGUUAUAUGGGUGUGUGUAUCAGACACUUUUGAGGAGAUUAGGGUCGCCAAAGCAAUCAUUGAAGGUUUAGGCGAGUUAGAGUCAGCUUCUAGUUUAAGCGAAUCCCAAUCUCUUAUGAGCCAUAUCCGUAGAUCAAUUGAAGGAAAAAAGUAUUUUCUUGUCCUAGAUGACGUGUGGGAUGGGAAUUACAAAAAAUGGGAACCAUUCUUCCUUUCUCUAAAGAAUGGUCUCCACGGAAGUAAAAUUUUGGUUACCACACGUGAUGUGUCAGUCGCACGUAUGAUGAGAUCAACAAAGUCAGAUAUUAUCUUCAUUAAGCAAUUGAGUGAAGAGGAAUGCUGGUCAUUGCUCAAGCAGUUUACAUUUUUCGGUCGUUCUUUUGAGGAUCGUGAAAAUUUAGAACUAAUCGGGCGCAAAAUUGCACGCAAGUGCGAAGGCCUGCCUCUUGCUGCAAAGGUAAUAGGGAGUCUCUUGCGCUCUAAAAGUACAGUAAAAGAGUGGCAAAUAAUUUUAGAUAGUGAAAUGUGGAAGGUAGAAGGAGUUAGGGAUUGGACUCCUAUGUCGUUGAGUUAUAAUGAUUUGUCGUCCCAUUCUAUGGUAAAACAAUGUUUCUCAUAUUCUUUCAUCUUUCCAAAAGACUACAAUAUGUAUAAAGAGGAACUAAUUUCACUAUGGAUGGCUCAAGGUUACCUUAAUGCAAAAGAAGACGAAGAGAUGGAGAUGAUUGGGGAAUUGUAUUUCAACAUUUUAGCAACGCGCUCUUUCUUUCAAGAGUUUAAGAAAGACGAUGAUGAGGAUGAGAUUAUAAGUUGUAAGAUGCAUCACACAGUACAUGAUUUUGCCCGACGUGUAAGCAGAGAAGAAUGUUCGUGGGCAGAAAUUAAUGGUUAUUUGUCGGUAGAAAUUAAUGGUAACAAAGAAUCAGUCAUAAGCUCUAUUGAUGACAAAGUCCGUCACCUAGGAUUAAAUUUUAAAGGAGGAGCUUCAUUUCCUAUGUCCGUUCUUGGACUUAAUAGAUUGCGUACCCUCUUAAUUUAUGACGAAAGUCCUUCCAAUCCGUCUCUUAAUAGUAGCAUCCUUCCGGAGUUAUUUAGUAAAUUGGCAUGUUUAAGGCCAUUAGUUAUAAGGCAAUCGUUCUCACUUUUUCGUCCUAGCCCAAAUUUCAUUAGAGAAAUUCCAGGAAAUGUUGGAAAAUUGAUACAUUUAAAAUAUCUUAAGUUGUCUAGACUACGUAUAAGGAGACUAUCUGAGACUUUGUGUGAAUUAUAUAAUUUACAAAAGCUAGAUAUUAGGUGGUGCCGAAAUCUUAGAAAAUUGCCUGGGGGGAUUGGGAAGUUAAUGAACAUGAGGAGUUUACUGAAUUUAGGCACUGUUUCGUUGAAAUACAUGCCAGUAGGGAUUUCCAAAUUAACCAAUCUUCGAACAUCGGAAAAGUUUAUGGUGGCUGGAGGUGCUGGUGAUAGCAGUAGGUGUAGCCUUAAAUCUCUGAAAAAUCUUCAACUCCUUCGAGAAUGUGGAAUAGAAGGGCUAAGUAAUAUGUCACAUAUAGAUGAGGCCAAGAGAUUAGAACUCGACAAUAAGAAAAACCUCCUUCGUUUUCGUCUUGUGUUUGGUGAAGUUGUAGGUGGGGAAGGUGAAGAAAGGAGGAGGAAGAAUGAGAAAGAUGAACAACUUCUUGAAGCCUUACAACCGCCUUUGAAUGUACGGGAAUUAGAAAUUUUGUUAUACGGAGGCAACAUUUUUCCCCAAUGGUUGACUUCACUAACCAAUCUAAGGAAUUUACAUCUUCACGGGUGUCUUAACUGUGAGCAUUUGCCUCCUUUGGGAAAAUUGCCUCUGGAAAAGCUCGAACUAUGCAGCUUGAAAAGUGUAAAAAGAGUGGGUAAUGAGUUUUUGGGAAUAGAAGAACUAUGCAACUUGAAAAGUGUAAAAAGAGUGGGUAAUGAGUUUUUGGGAAUAGAAGAAAGUAGUGAGGAUGGCCCAUCUUCAUCUUCAUCGUCAUCAUUGGUUAUUGCCUUCCCCAAAUUGAAAUCACUCGAAAUUACAGACAAGAAUGCAUUGGAAGAGUGGGAUUACAGGAUUACAAGAAAGGAAAACAUUUCCAUCAUGCCAUGUCUCUCUGUCUUGCGGGUUUAUCUUUGCCCCAAAUUAAAGGUGCUGCCGGAUUACCUUCUUCAAACGACGAAAGUAGUGAGGAUGGCCCAUCUUCAUCUUCAUCGUCAUCAUUGGUUAUUGCUUUCCCCAAAUUGAAAUCACUCGAAAUUACAGACAUGAAUGCAUUGGAAGAGUGGGAUUACAGGAUUACAAGAAAGGAAAACAUUUCCAUCAUGCCAUGUCUCUCUGUCUUGUGGGUUUAUCUUUGCCCCAAAUUAAAGGUGCUGCCGGAUUACCUUCUUCAAACGACGACACUGCAGAAAUUGAGGAUCCUUCAGUGUCCAAGUGUGGAAGAACUGCCCAUUCUAGAAGACCACAUCUUUCUUCCAUGUCUUUCUUCCUUGCGAAUUGAGUAUUGCCCCAAAUUAAAGGUGCUGCCGGAUUACCUUCUUCAAACAACCACGCUGAAGGAAUUAAGGAUGGAGGGAUCUCCUCUUCUGCAAAAACGUUAUGGAGAGGGGAAAGGAGAAGACUAGCAGAAGAUAUCUCACAUUCCCCACAUCAUGCGGUCAACAUAAGAUAUCACUCGCCGGUAAUUUCUCCUCCUCCUCUGAUUUACUCUGUUGUUGCUUGCAAUGAAAUUAAUAAAAAAAAUUAUAUUUCGAAUUAAAAUUCUAUAAUUAUAUGCAAUGUUUUCUACUAUUUUGAUUUGCUUAUUGAAUUUAACUAGUUACUUCAACCAUUAAUUUAAUGGGUCAUUCUAUGAUCCUGUUAUAAAAAUUAUAGAAUCAAUCAUGGUAUAAAUAUGUAUGGUUAAAUUUAAUCAAUAGUUCAUAAAGUUACAAGUUAGUUAGGAUAAGUUAGAAUAAUACUUUGAUUUGAGUUAUUUAAAAUUUAAACUUCCUAACUAUUAAAUCUGUUAAACUUGUUUUCUAAAGAUUAAAUAAAAAAAAAAAAACAGGUGUAGUAUGAUUAAAUUUCUAUAUUUUCUUUUAAAAAAUAUGUAGUCUUUGUAAAAUUUCAAACAACAUCAUAGAAAAUCCUAAUGUAAUUUAUUUUUUAAUGUACGAAAAUUUGUUAUGUGUAACUUCCUGAGAGACAAAAUCUCUGUGAUAUAUUUGCAGUAACGUUGAAAACUAAAUUAUCAAUUUUAUCUUGUAUAAUGAUAAUCUUACUUUUUUAUAUGUAAUUUAUGUAACAUUAAUUCUUUAAAGUAACCGUGUAAUUGUUUUUACAACAUUAGCCCACUUUGUUUUAUUUCGUACGAGUGUAAUUAUGUUCACCAGUUAUUCGAGGAAAUGUCGGAACUACAUUUGGUUUUAAUAAUGCAGACAAGAGAGCAGGACUAUGAAAAUGAAAAAUUUAGCGAAAGGAUUGCUAAAAUGUUCUGCUGGUAAUUCUCUUGCUUUGUUUUAUAAAAUUUCAUUUCCAUCUUCAUCUAUUGAUAUCUUGUUGUGUAUAAACAAGAACAGAGAAGUAAAGAUAUAUCAAAAUUUACUAUUACGAUGAUGUUAAAGCAAGCUCAAUGUCACGGGAUCAGUGUUUUGCGUAGCUAACCCGUGUGGCACUUAGACAACUUUGCUGAAUGCUGCUACGUAAGCCUUGAGAUUCUUGAACUAGAGAAGAGAGCAAUGGAGCCGAAUAAGAGAAAUUGUAUUGCACAAAAGAGAGAUUACAAGAAUGCUUGAGUUGCUUGCUCAAUGCUUGUUGUGUGUACAAAUGCCUAUUGCCAUCCCAUAUUUAUAGUGGAGGCUUGCCAAGCUCUAGAGAUUCUAGAGAAAUCUACCAACUAUCUAGAAUUUACAUGUGCUGGAAAUGCAUAGAGAAUUCUAGAGUAUUUACAAGCUCAAUGUGCUAGAGUUGCCUAGAACUUUCCGAAAUUGGGCCAAGCUAGCACUCUUGGCCUUAUGUUGGGCUCUUGGUGAGCAAAUUGGGCUAGCGAAUUGGGCGGUCCGCAACAUCCUCCCCCACCUAAGCUCGCGGCGUCCUCGUCGCGAUCUCGUGCUUGAAAUUCUUGAUGUGUUCAACGAAUUGCCACAAUCCUCUUCACGUUCCCAAGUGGCUUCGCUUUCGAGGAGGUUUUUCCACUUUACCAAGUACUCGCUAUGUGCUGGCACGCCCCUCCUCGAAACCACGCGGUCCGCAAUGAUGUAGUCCACAUCUUUGUCGAACGCGGUGACAACAGCGGUUGGCGCGCGCCUCGAUUCUCCACGACUUGGGUCUCCCAUGUCUUCGUGAUAUGGCUUGAGAAGGCUCACAUGGAAGACCAGAUGGAUCUUGAGUCUUGGUGGAAGUUGGAGUUGAUACGAGACGUUGCCCAUACGUCGAACAACUCGGAAGGGUCCCUCAUAGCGCCUCACUAACCCCUUGUGGACUUUGUGCAAUGUCUUGAAUUGUUGGGGUAGGAGCUUGAUCAUGACUUGAUCACCUUCCUUGUACUCAACAUGCCGUCUCCUUGUAUCCGCCCAUUUCUUCAUUUUCCUCGCGGCUUUGUCGAGGUAGGCUCGCUUGAUAUUUCCUUCCUCAUGCCAUUCGCGGGCGAGCUUGUGGACUUUUUCCUCCGUAAGUCGAGGCUAUGGCGUUGGGGGUCAUGGGCUGGAAUCCCAUGAUGAUCUCGAACAGACUCUUGCCCGUAGCCUCACUUCGCUGCAAGUUAUAAGAAAAUUGGGCAAUGUCGAGUAGUUUCGCCCAAUCCCGCUGAUGAGCGCUCACAUAAUGCCUCAAGUACAUCUCGAGGAGGCCAUUAAUGUGCUCGGUCUGCCCAUCCGUUUGCGGGUGGAAGCUUGUCGAGAACUUGAGAUCGGUCCCCAACAUCUUGAAGAGCUCCGUCCAAAAACGCCCAGUGAACCGAGGGUCUCAGUCGCUCACAAUGCUCCUUGGAACUCCCCAAAGCUUCACAAUAUGCUUGACGAAUAGGCGGGCUGCCUCGUCCGCUUUGCAAUCGACUGGUGCGGCAAUGAAUGUGGCGUACUUGCUGUAUCAGUCAACAACGACCAUGAUGCUUCCGCAACCUUCGGACUUGGGCAGCGAUGUGAUGAAGUCCAUGGAGACACAUUCAUCCUCUACCACACAUCAACAUCAACAUCAACAUCACCACUAUCAUCACCUUUCAUUGGACCCCACAUCCUCAAGCCCAUCACAACUGUCCAUAACCUCACUCUCCUCCUCCUGUCCCUCAUCAUGGCCGUUGGUUGCACUUUCUCCAUCAUCCUCCAUUUACCCCACCUCCGUUACACCCCUGUUUCCCCCUACCAUUUCUCCGUUUGGCCCUCUCUUCUUCUACGCUUACAUCUUCUACCUCUCCAAAAUACUCGAAUUCUUAGACACCCUUUUGAUCAUUUUGUCAAACUCCGAACAACGGCUCACGUUCCUCCACGUAUACCACCAUGCAACCGUCGUUGUAAUGUGCUUCCUUUGGUUACAGACGAAGCAGUCUUUGUUUCCUAUUGCACUUGUCACCAAUGCAAGUGUGCAUGUGAUCAUGUACGAGUACUAUCUGUUGUGUGUGAUGGGGUUGCAGCCAAAGUGGAAGAGAUUGGUCACUGAUUGUCAGAUUGUUCUGUUUGUGUUUGGUUUUGUUGUUUCAGUUUUGAUAUUGUAUUAUCAUUUCACGGGUCUUGGUUGCUUUGGGAUUUAGGGUUGGUGCUUCAACGCUGUGUUUAAUGUGUCCCUUUUGGCACUUUUUGUUAAUUUUUAUUCGAAGAGCUAUGCUAAGAAAAAGAAGUAGGGAUGAUUAAAACAAAUAGUUUAUUGUCCCUUUUGGCACUUUUUGCUAAUUGGUUGAAUGCAAUUGAAGAUAUCCUUUCUUUUUAUUAAAGGGGGCUCUUCAGAGAGAGCUAGACAGGAACAAGACGGGGUUGAAUAAAUCCAAACAUGUCUUGUGAAAUAAUAGAAUAAAUACCCACAGACUGGUUAGGGAACAAGUGUAAACCAACAGGAAUUGAAUGAGCCAUAUUAGCCAUGAAGUCCGCAGCUGAAUUCGCUUCACGAUAGAUGUGAGUGAUAGAAACUUGCCAAUUUCUACUUAGUAACUCUCGGAUAGCCACAAUUAAGGCAUAGAAAGCAUUAGGCACAGUCGCCUGCUUAGCGGUCAUCUGAACUACACAGCUGCUAUCCACUUCCACCAAGAGGCGGCUGAUGCCAACGUUCAAGGCAAGAUUUAAGCCUUAAUAAAGCCCCCAAAGUUCAGCCAUGGUCACUAAACUUUCCCCAAUAUUCAUACAAAAACCAUAUAUCCAAUAGCCAAAUGAAUCCCGAAGAACGCCACCAGCUCCCGCAUCCCCUGUGUUUUUACAGGAGCCAUCCGUGUUCAAUUUGCACCAUGGCCAUGGAGGAGGUGACCGGCCAAUAAACAUCUCCUUAUGUCUUGGUUCCUGACUGAUGUGGGAGUUGUUAACUCUUUGAAUUGUAUUAGCUCUAGCCAUAAUGUCCAUAUGAAUCGUAGUGCUAUCCACAAUCUCCCCACCGAAGCAGAAGUGGUUCCGCCAGAACCAUAGCCUCCAAACAGCCACACUGAAGAUGCACUCCCAUGGGACAUUAGACACAAUCUUCCACUUGUUAUAGAGAUUCGCAACAAUCCAGUCUCUUAAGCUAGAGUGGAAGAAAGUGUAAUGAUCACAAGCCGGCACAAGUCGAAUCCAAAUUCUCUUGAUACAACAACAGCCUCGUAACACAUGAAGAAUAUCCUCAGCCGAAGCUCCACACCUAUCACAGACAUUAGAAACUGGAAUGUGCCGCUUCGCUAGUUCACUGUGAGUCUUCAAUUUCCCAUGCAAAAGCUUCCAUAUAAAGUGGCGAACAAAUUGACGUCCCUUCCAAGACCAUGGUAGGUUCCAAACUUGAUCUUGAGUGUGGCUGCUUUGAUGACAAAUAGAAGCAUAUGUUGAGCGGACGGUGAACAAGCCUCUUGGGUAAAAACACUAGUAGAUUCGAUCAGGGCCAAGAUGAAGAGCAUGAGGCAUGACCGACGCAAUUUGCAUGAGAAUAUAGCUUGGCAGCAAGUGUUCAAAACUGGACCAUCUCCAGCCACCAUGAUCAUUGACAAAAGCAUUCACAGUUGCAUUAACCAAAUCAUAAGGAAUCGGCUGGAGGGCUAGCCUUAUCAAAGGAUCAUGCUUCGUUACCCAGCAAUCCAACCAGAAAUGAACUUGAGCACCAUUACACACAGACCAGCGAACCCCAUGCACCGUGAUGGUUGUCGAAGCCAAUAAAAAUAAAUACCUACUCUAAAUAAAUUGUGUAUAGUGAUUGAGCAGGGUCGUGUCCAUAGAGAUCGGUAAUUAUUUAAAUCCUUUUAAAAUGUAAAAUGCAAAAUGGGGGGAUUGUUGACAAUAAUAAAAAUUAAAUUAAAAUAACAAGAAUGCAAAUUAAAAUUGUAAUUCAAAUUGGGAAAAGCUCUGGUUGAAGGAAUUAACUCAGCUUGAUUCGACUACUAAUUAUUGAUUCAAAUAUAAAUCAUUACUAUUUAUGAAUAGACUGGUUAUAGCUACUGAGACCCUCUAAUAGCCAAUCUCUCCUUAACUAGUCGAUAACCAAGGUACGAUCGUUGGUUAUUUCCCUAAUCAAUAGACAACCCUAGAUACGAUUAUAGGAUUUAAUCAAUUGACAGCCUGAAAAACCAGGGAGACCCAAAUCCUAAUCAACAAACGCAUACGAUGGUUCAGGUAAAUUAGAUUGUUUAUUCUCAUAACACAACGCACUACUAUGCUAUUUGUCACAAACAUUAAAAUCUUCAUACGAUGAAUCUUUUAAUUGACAAUAGAUUAAGUUGAUAAUUAAAUAGUGGCCAAUUAUCUAAUUAACAAACAUAAUCAUGACAAUAAUUUAGAGAAUAAACAAAUACUCAAAAAGUAAUAAAACAAUUAAAGUAUAAGAAAGAUCUCACAGUAGUGACGAAUCAAAGCUUCAUUAACCUUCAACCAAAUAAUAAGUUUAAUUCUUCAUAGAGAGAAGAGAAAAAUUUAGAUCUAGAGUUUUUUUUUUCCAAAAAAAUAUCCCUUUUUGGCAAGAGAUUCCUCCCUUAAAUUCUCUUCUCUCUCUUCUCCUCUAGAGUUCUUUUUAAAAUAAAAUUCUAAUAUCUAAAAUAUUAUCUAAAUAUUAAAUUCGUAAUUACAAAAAUAACCAAAAAUACAAAACACGUUAAACUAAAAACUGCAGGUCCGUAGUUGACAGUACGAGCCCAUGCCUUAUCAACAAAGUUCUUCUGAAGCUCAUAAUUUCUCCAUGAAAACAAUCAUCCUCAAACAUCAUCUUGUAGCUCAAUUUUAGCACCAAUCAAUAGAAUUGCACCUACAAAAAUAAAACACAAGUAAAUCACUAUUAUUAAGUGCAAAACAUCGAUAUUAAAGGAAGUAAAUAAUGCAAAACUAGUGCAUAAAUUGUACUCUAACACACCGUUGCUGCCCAUGUUUUCCUUAUAGCCAUCCAAAUCCUUGACCCUGGUUUGUUAGGAAGGGAAAUCGGAAGGUUACCCAUAUCCAGGCCAUAUUUAGAACAUAUAACCUUCACCCACCAUUUAUCCAAGUUGGCAAUAAUUCCCCAGCUAAUCUUCAUCAACAUGCAUUGUUUGAAGUAUACUAAGCAUCCCAUGCAAACAUAUUGAAUAACAAAGAGUCAAAGUUUUCCUAAGCAUUAUGUGUGAACAACGUAAUAAAAGACAUAGAAUCAAAGAUAAUCAUGUAUAAACUUUAUAGAUCCAAGCAUAGAUUUAAUCGAAUAUUAAUCCUAACAAUCAAUAAUGCAUGACAGAAUUGAUGAAAAGAUUUUAAUUACAUCCAACUAAUCAUGUGAAAUAAAAACCAUAAUUAUCAAAGAAUAUAUAUAAGGAAUUAAUUAAAUAAAAAAAUAAUUAUUUUAUUGAAUAGGGUUUCAUCCUUAACCUCAGUAUAAGAAAAUUAGCUAGACAUACUUGAAUAGGAAGCAACAAAAUUAAUAAAACCAGCCAUGGGAAAAUUUGAAACUCUGCUGCCACUCCUGUCUCUCCCGAAUUGUGUCUGCUUCUUUCUCUUCCUGGUGAUUGCUCUCUUUCUCCAAAAGCCAAAAGCUUGCUUUUAUAUUUAGGUGGCGUUUGUUUUUUAACUUAAUGACUUAAAGUGACUUAAUUUAAUUAGUUAAGUUAAUUAGAGGUGUUUGUUUUUAUAACUUAAUGAGACUUUUUAGAUAAUUUUGACUUAAUAAAAUAAGCCAAUUUUUUUUGGCUUUUUAUUUAAUGGAGACAUUUGAAUUAAGUCAAUUACUUUCUAAUGUCAAAAAUAUCUCUGCUUUAUAAUUUAUUUUUAAUGUCUAUCUAAAAACUCACCCAUAGACAUUUACCCCACAUAAUAAUCUCAUCAUUAUUUUUUUAACCGUCAUGGAAUCCCUCCUCACUUUGGUAUCAACUCCUCAAGUAUUGAAGAUCAAAAUUACAUGCGACAACUUCGAGAUGAAAUGACAAAUCAACUAUUUCAAGUAUCUUAUUAGUUUUUUCUUUCUUAUAUUAUAUACGAUAAAAUUUGAAAUUUAUGGUAUUUUAUAUAUUAAAAUUCUAAAAUCAUUAUGUAUUCAUUUGAAUAUAGUUUUACUUAUAAAUGUUAAAAUAUUGUGGUAUUUAAUAUAUUAUUUAUUUGACAUUCAAAUUUAAUAAGGAUAUAAAUGUAAAAGUACAUAUUUUCAAUUUUUUAAAUUUUAAAAAACAAACAACUUAAUAAUUAAUUUCCGAGAUUCAGACGAAAAAACAAAUAUAUUAUUUAGUUUCAGACAUUCAGAUCUUUUCAGAAUUCAGACUAAUUCAGAUCUAUUUAGAUUUCAAACAAAAAAACAAACGUCACCUUAAGCUUUAAAAUGGGCCCCACCGACUUUUCCAACUCUAAAGCCAAAAGGUUUGGCCUUUUAAUUUGUUUUGGCUUUACUCACGUGCUCACCCAGCCGCUUUUAAAUUGUUUCCUCAUUAAUGUUUGAAAGUAAGCCACUUGUUUGACUUAAAAGCACAGGGCCAAUUAAUAAUGUUUUUUAGAGCUUUAGCUUUAAACGUCUUCUUGGUUUGCAUGAGCAUGGCUGAUUUAAUUUAUUGGCUUCGGUUUCUUUCAUCUUGAAUAUCAUGCACAUUUGCUUAAUUGCUUCCACAAAUUGAUUUGAUCUUCAAUGCUUUCCAAUUAUUAUUCUUUAUGCACUUUUCAUCCAUAAUCUUCAAUUAAUCCCCUAUCCAAUAAUAAUUCAAUUAAUUAAAAAUAAUAAAUAAAAAUAACUAACAACUAUAUAAUAAAGAGUAAAAUAUGUAUAUAAAUUAUGCUCUAUCACUUGGAUCAAUGUAUGCUUGGCAUGGCCACGCGCGUCUAUAGGCUUACUUGAAAUGGUCACUUACAGCGGCCAUGGUUUUGCUAGCGUAGCCAUGGGUUUUGCUGGACAUGGAAGUACGAGACCAUGGGUUUUGCCAUGCAAUGGGCAUGGGUUUUGCUGGGCUGAUUUGGAAUUAACAGUGGCUGUGGAGUUGUUCAGUGUGUGAAAGAGAAAAACAAAAAUGCACGAAGAAGAAGAUGAACUGGGAAUAGAAUGAAGAAGAUGAAGAAAGUAGAAGAGAGAGAAAAAAAUAUUUCCCUUUUUUAUAAAUUGUGGGAAUUUUUUUUCAAAAUUUAUAACUUUUUUUUUUAAAUUUGAGAAUCUUAAUGCAAUACGGUGAGAUUUUCUUAGUAACUAUGUGUAGAAGGAACUAGGAAGUUUUUGGUUAGGUUAACAUGAAAUAUGCUUGUUUUAUGAAAUUUAUUAUUGAGAUUUUGUUUUAUUUUCUAAAAAAUAGCUUAGAGGAUGAUUUUCAUUAGUGACAGACAUAAAGUUUGAAUUAGUUAUAUUUUAGAAAUAGUAGAGAUAUAAAUGAUAUAUCUUUCCCACAUAAAUAUAUCAGUAACAUAAGUUAUUCUAUAAUUAAUAAGGAUAUUAUCGUAUUUUAGUGAGUCAACAUUGGUUGAUAGUUAAAUUUAACAAUUUUUAGAGAGUAAAUUGAAGUUUUAUAUUUUUGACAGUAAAUUAAAGUAUGUCAAUCUCAUAAGCAGUUAAAAUGUAAUUUACUCAAAAAUUAGUGUUAAAAUUUUAUAGAUGAGUGUAUAUUAAGAUGUUCGAACUAUUAGAACAUAAAUAAUCUUAGUUUUAAUAAAAUUUUGCUACAAAAUGAAUAUUAUCCCUCAAGAGAAACAUGUCAAUAAAAUAUAAAAAAAUAGAAUGCAUUAGUACAUGUCAAUAACAAGACCGAUUAGAUCAUGUCAUAUUUGUCAUGCAGUUAUUUUUAUUUUUUCAUUUCUUUUGAAACAAGACCAAUUAGAUCAUGCCAGAAGUUAAAUUUGUAUCAUUUUUAAAUUAAGAAAAGGAACAAAGUUUAAAUAUAAAAUUUAUAAUCUUUUUUUUUUAAUGAAAGUAAUCAUUUCAUAAGUCAAACAACACUGUUUAAUACUUUCAAUAUCUCUGCUGGAAUUUGAUCCAGCUAGAUAGCUGAAGUAUUUGCUCCUACAACAAGCUUUGCCAAGGAAUGGGCACAAGUGUUACAGGUUCGAGAAACAUGUCUGAACUUGACCUCUUUAAAAUCUUUUCGUUGCUCCUGGAUGUCUGAGAUAACCCAGCUUAUACCUGUUCUACUGCCCUUGGUGUUGUUAAGUAAGUCCACAACUUCUUUGCAAUCUGUCUCCAUGAUCAUAGCAAAUAGGGAGAAUUCUUUUUCUACCUGGAGGCCCCACUCCAUCGCUUCAGCUUCUGCAAAGCUCACUCCCUCCCUUAGUGGAACUUUCUUUAUGCCUGCAGCCACUAUCUUGCCACCUGGGUCUUUUAUAACAGCUCCCAAACCUGAUACUUGGUUCCUGCUAUUUAUUGUUGCAUCCACAUUGACCUUGAGAAGAUUUCCAGGCGAGGGCUUCCACUUUUUCUACAUAACCCUUUUGACAUUAUGAAUGUGAGAUGCAUCCGUUUUCCUAGCUCUGUGAUAGGCCUCUAAGAGUGAUUCAGCCUUUGCUGCUGAGACUCUUGGGUCUGACUUUUUUCCUUCGAAAAUCCUUUUAUUUCUUGCAAACCAUACUGCCCAACAGUAAGCUAUUGUUUGUUCAGCCUCUGUUUUCCCCGAGUACUCCACAACUCAUAGAUGAAGUCUAGAAUAUCUUGGUUUUGAGUAUUUGAUAUUUGGACUGGAAAAGCGGCAUGAUACUAGAUUUUCCUUACUACUUUGCAAUCCAAGAGUGCAUGUCUGAUUGUCUCCACCUCCUUGUUGCACCCCUGGCAUAUUGGAUCUUUCAGACAUUUUCUUUUUCAAAGAUUUUCAGUCGUUGGCAAUAAAUUCAUAGCUGCCCUCCACAUGAAGAUUUUCAUUUUUUCCGGUAACUCCAAAGAUCAUACAGCAUUCCACCUUUUAGAGUUUGAUCCUAUUAAGAAAAGGAAGAUUUCGGCACUUAACUAACAGCCAAGAUUCACAAAGAUCAACAAAGAACAGUGUAUAAACUAGAAACAAGUAGAAAACAAAGAGAAGGAAUUAACGUGGUUCGGUACCAGAGUACCUACAUCCACGGCUGAAGAACCCCAAAGGGUGUGAAACUUUAUUGCUAAAGGUUGAUUACAAUGUGACUACAAAUGUCAGAGAACAAAUCUCACUCAACCAAGAAUCCUUACUCUCAGUCUUGGUCACUCAACUUAGCCGAAAAAAGAUUUCCCAUGAUCAGCCCUGGCUCUGCUAUUUAUACGGUCAUAACUAAUUAACCACCAGCUGGCCCACACAAGCUGACUCACUGCCGCCUCACCAAUAACAAAAUGUUACUAACUCUCGACUUCACAAAUCUCCACCUUAGUUCAUUCUGAAACCGCUCCACCUUCCUCUCCAGCAACUACUAGUCUAGUUUUACAAGCUACCAACACCAACCAAGUUCAGAGAGUUUCUAAACUUGAUUGCAGGUACUGCUUUGGUUAGAAUAUCUGCAGGAUUAGUCUGAGUAGGAACUUUAAUAGCAUUCACAACACCAUUUGCAAUUUCAUCACUGACAAAGUGUAACCUAAUAUCAAUAUGUUUUGUUCUUUCAUGAUACUUAGGAUUCUUACUAAGCUUAAUUGCACUAGAGCUGUCACAACCAAUACAAACUGACUCCUGCUUUAACCCAAACUCAGAAACCAAGCCACUUAGCCACUUUGCUUAUUUCACUGCUUCUGUCAAUGCAAUGUACUCAGCCUCAGUUGUGGACAAAGCAACUACUGACUGAAAAGAUGCCUUCCAGCUCACUGCUCCUCCAUUUAAAAUGAAAACAUAUCCAGUAAUAGACCUUCUCUUGUCCAGAUCAGCAGCAAAAUCUGAUUCCACAAAACCUGAUACCUGACAUGAGUUAUUUUCAGAACCACCAUACAAAAUUCCAUGAUUUGCAGUACCAUUCAUAUACCUCAACAACCAUUUAACAGCACUCCAAUGUUCCCUCCCUGGGUUUCCCAUAAACCUGCUAACAACUCCCACACUGUGAGCUACAUCAGGUCUAGUACAAACCAUAGAGUACAUUAUGCUGCCAACUGCACUAGAGUAAGGCACUGACUUCAUAUGCUCAAGCUCAUGGUCUUCUUCUGGUUCCUGAAGUUUUGACAAUUUGAAGUGUGCUGACAAAGGUACUGACACAGGCUUUGCACCACUCAUCUCAAAUCUGCUGAGGACCCUUUUAGUAUACACAGCUUGAGUCAGAAACAAGGUUCCUUUACUUCUGUUCCUCACUAUUUGCAUUCCCAAAAUUCUUGUGGUAGUCCGCAAAGCUUUCAUUUCAAAUGCAGUAUUUAACUCCAUUUUAAGCCUUUCAAUCUCAUCUCUUCUUUUGCAUGCAAUAAGCAUGUCAUCAACAUAAAGAAGGAGAUAAAUUCUAACUUCAGAGGACAAAGUUUUAAAAUACACACAGCUAUCAUAUUGACUUCUACAAUAUCCAUGACUGAUCAUGAAUUCAUCAAACCUCAGAUACCAUUGUCUUGGAGACUGUUUUAGCCCAUACAAACUUCUUUAACAAACAUACCAUGUCUUCAGUCCCUUCUUCAAUGAAUCCAUCAGGCUGAUCCAUGAGGAUUUAUUCUUCAAGAUUCCCAUGUAAGAAGGCUGUCUUCACAUCCAUUUGAUCCAAUUCCAGGUCAUUGUAAGCUGCUAUUGCCAAUAGAAUUCUUUGGAACUGUAUUUUACUACAUGGAAGAAUACCUCAUUGAAAUCCACUCCAUGCUUUUGGGUAAACCCCUUUGCUACCAGCCUUGCCGUAUACCUGGGAGGCUCACCAUCCACAGUCCCUUCUUUAAUUUUAUAGAUCCAUUUGCAACCUACCAGCCUUUUGUUUUGAGGUUUCUUGACCAACAUCCAUGUUUUAUUCUUCUUUAGGGAGAUAAUUUCUUCAUUCAUGGCAUCCAACCAUUUCUCUCUAAUUUUACUGCCCAUAGCUUGUUUGUAGCUAACAGGCUCUUCACCAAUGACUUCUUCAGCUACAGCCAGGGCAUAAGAAAUCAUAUCAGCUAUGCCAUAUCUUUUGGGUAGUUUAAUGACUCUCUUUUCCCUGUCUCUUGUUAGCUGAUAGUCAUUCAUUUGAGAAGUGAUGUGUGUUUUCUGACAAGGCUUGGGAUCCAUUUCUGUAGUUUUCUUUUCUUCACUUGACUCCACCUUAAAGUUGUGUUCCUUAACCUCAUUUGUAUCAGGUGUAGUGAGCUCUGUUUCUACUUUCUGAUGCAACAUAGGCUCUUCAUCAAACACAACAUCUCAGUUGAUCAAAGUUCUUGAAGGUUUUCCAUCUAUGCACCAGAUCUUAUACCCUUUGACACUUUCUGGAUAGCCUAUGAUGUAACCCUUGACAACUUUUGGCUCUAAUUUUCCCUGGUUUAUAUGAGCAUAAGCAAGACAACCAAAUACCCUGAGGUUGCUGAGAUCUGGAGGCUUUCAUGACCAAACUUCUUGGGGGGUCUUGAAAUGCAAAGCAAUUGAAGGGCUCGUGUUGACUAAGUAGGCUGCAGUGGUGACAGCUUCUGCCCAGAAGUGUUUUGAAAGGUUUGCAUUAAACAACAUGCAUCUUACCUUUUCAACUAAGGUCCUAUUCAUCAUUUCUGCUAGUCCAUUCUGUUGAGGUGUGUGCCUCACAGUUUUGUGCCUGGCUAUCCCCUUCUUGAUGAAGAAUUGUUCAAAAUCAUUGCAGCAAUACCCGAGUCCAUUAUCUGUUCUUAGUCUCUUUACCCUCCUUUCUGUUUGAUUCUCUAUUAAAGUCAGCCAAUAUUUAAAUUUCUCAAAAGCUUUACUCUUGUGCUUCAGUACAUAUACCCAGACUUUCCUUGAAAAGUCAUCAAUGAAAGUGAUGAAAUAUCUAGCUCCUCCAUGAGAGGGCACUUAAGAGGGCCCCCAUAGGUCUGAGUGAAUAUAAUCCAGUGUGUUUUUUGUUUCUUGUUUCCUUAUAUUAAACUUCUGCCUAGUUGCUUUACCAAAUACACACUUUUCACAGAAUUCAAGUGCUGAAAUUUGGUCAGUUCCUAGUAGACCUUGUUUACUUAACUCUUUUAAACCUUUCUCACUCAUGUGUGCUAAUCUCAUGUGCCUUGGUUUUAUCACUGUUUACAUUUGUAAUAAUACCAGGUAACUCAACUGAGCCUUUAAGCACAUACAAUCCAUUUCUUCUACUACCUUUCAUUAUGAUUGCACCAUCUUUAAGGAUCUGAAGUUCACCAUUUUCUGCCUAUAUGCAGCAGCCUAAUUGGUCUAUCAUCCCUAAUGAUAUGAGGUUUCUUUUAAGCUCUGGAACAUAUCUCACUUGUUCCAAGCCUUUUACUGAACCAUCAUACAUUUUAAUCCUAACAGACCCUAUUCCAGCAACUUUACAGGCUAGAUUAUUUCCAAGCAAAACUUUUCCGCCAUCAAUACUCUCGAAAGUCACAAAAAAGUCUUUAUGUGGACACAUAUGGAAGGAAAAACCUGAGUCAAGUAUCCACUCACCAGAAGAUUUCUUAUCUGCUACAAUAAGGACAUCUGCAUCUUUUGACUCUCCUUCAUCUACAGAUGCAAUGUCAGCCUUCCCACUUGAUUCUUUUUCUAACUUUUCAAGCUUCUUAUUUUCAAAGCAGUCUUUUAUAUAAUGUCCUUCCUUCUGACAGAAGUAACAUUUUCUUUUCUUCUUCAUCUUAUCAGUCUUCUCUUUCUGAUUUUUGUUCUUCUUAUCUUUGUACAUCUUCUUUUCUGUCUUUGCUUUGGCAAUUAAUCCAUCCCUAGUGAUCUGAUCUUUGCCAUCUGCUCUUUUCUUUAAGUCUUUAGAUUCAAGAGCAUUCUUGAUAUCUUUUAGGGUGAGGGUUUGCCUACCAUAGAGCAGAGUGUCCACGAAGUGUUCAUAAGAAUCUGGUAAGGAGCUUAGUAAGAUGAGAGCCCUAUCUUCAUCUUCAAGCAUUACAUUAACAUUUUCAAGAUCGAGUAUGAGCUUGUUGAACUCAUCAACAUGGUCUCUCGUAGUUGUUCCCUCUUUCAUUGAAAAUGUGUAAAUCUUCCUUUUCAUGUACAACCUCUUGGCCAGAGAUUUCUUCAAGAAAAGCUCUUCUAAUUUUGCCCAUAACCCAGAUGCUGACUUCUCUUUUGCUACUUCUCUUAGUACCUCAUCAGACAGGUGAAGGAUGAUUGUACUGUGGGCUUUAUUGUUCAUGGUCCUCAAGUCUCCACCUGAACUUGAAGAACCUUCCUCUCUCUCUUUCUUGGACUUUUCUUCCUCACCAUCAAGGGCACUGUCUAAGCCCUGUUGAAUCAAGAUUGCCCUCAUCUUAAGACUCCAUAGGUAGAAGUCGUUUUCUCCAUUGAAUUUCUCAAGGUCAAACCUGGUGGUUCCCAUCUUUGAAGAUCAAGAACAGAGAGCAUCGUAGCUCUGAUACCAAUUUGUUAAGAAAAGGAAGAUUUCGGCACUUAACUAACAGCCAAGAUUCACAAAGAUCAACAAAGAACAAUGUAUAAAAUAGAAACAAAUAGAAAACAAAGAGAAGGAAUUAACGUGGUUCGGUACCAGAGUACCUACAUCCACGGCUGAAGAACCCCAAAGGGUGUGAAACUUUAUUGCUAAAGGUUGAUUACAAUGUGACUACAAAUGUCAGAGAACAAAUCUCACUCAACCAAGAAUCCUUACUCUCAGUCUUGGUCACUCAACUUAGCCGAAAAAAGAUUUCCCAUGAUUAGCCCUGGCUCUGCUAUUUAUACGGUCAUAACUAAUUAACCACCAGCUGGCCCACACAAGCUGACUCACUGCCACCUCACCAGUAACAGAAUGUAACUAACUCUCGGCUUCACAGAUCCAGAGCUGCUAGGCUCAUCAGGGGCUUUGAUUUUAAGGGCUAUUUGAUAUCCGCUCUUUACUGAGUAUUCUUCACGCUUGUCAUAAUGCCACAACAUCUCAUCCUCCUUUUGGCUUCUUGGAAGAGGAAUUUUGAGAAUAGCCUCUGUAUCUUCUUGCAUAAAAUGCUGGUUCAGCUUUGCCACAUUCCAGUUGUUUUCAUCAUCAAUCAGAUCAGCCACAGUUGUAUCAAUUGGCAAGGUUGGGGGAGAGAUUGGUUUAAAAGUGUCCAGUCUUCGUAUCCAAUUGUCUUUAUACACCAGAAUGUUGCUGCCAUUUCCAAUACGCCACCCCGCUCCUUUUUGAAUAACUUGCCUUCUCCAUAAAAUGCUCCUCUAUAUAAACGAUGGGUUGGACCCAGAUUUUGCAUCUAAAAAAGAGCAGCUUCUAAAGUAUCUUGCCUGAAGAACUUUGGAAACUAGGGAGUUUGGGAAUUGAAUCAGCCGCCACCCUUGCUUUGCCACCAUAGCUUGAUUAAAGCUUGUGAAGUGUCGAAAUCCCAAUCCUCCCCUACUUUUUGCACAACUCAGUUUGUCCCAUCGAGCCCAAUGGAUGCCCCGCUUAUCUUUUUUAGCCCCCCACCAGAAUUUUGCGAUUGCACUUUGAAUUUCCUCACAUAAGCCUUUAGGGAGCUUGAAAACACUCAUGGCGCAUGCAGGGACAGCUUAAGCAACAACUUUUAUAAGGAUUUCUUCGCCUCCAUUUGAAAACAUUUUGUACUGCCAAUUAUUAAUCUUGCUUAAGACCUUUAGCUUGACUUCUCUAAAAAACCUUGUCUUCUUCCAUAAAAUUUAUAAUCUAAAAUUAAUGAUGUGACAAUUAACAUACGUGUUAUUAAGUUAAUAGAGUAAGAAGUCCCAAAUACAUGUACAUCAUAUAUUGCUAAAGAAAUCAGUUCUGCCAGAAUACUUCUUUCUAUUGAAAUUAAUGAUGAUUGUUUGUUUACAUCAUGAAAGUUCAAAUAACUUUGUAACUAAUUGUUAGAGUGUAAUUUAUGCACUAGUUUUGCAUUGUUUACUUCCUUUAAUAUCGAUGAUUUGCACUUAAUAAUAGUGAUUUACUUGUGUUUUAUUUCUGUAGGUGUAAUUCUAUUGAUUGGUGCUAAAAUUGAGCUACAAGAUGAUGUUUGAGGAUGAUUGUUUUCCAAGAGAAAUUAUGAGCUUCAGAAGAACUUUGUUGAUAAGGCAUGGGUGCGUGCUGUCAACUACGGACCUGCAGUUUUUAGUUUAACGUGUUUUGUUUAACGUGUUUUGACUUUUUGGUUAUUUUUGUAAUUACAAAUUUAAUAUUUAGAUAAUAUUUUAGAUAUUAGUAUUUUAUUUUAAAAAGAACUCUAGAGGAGAAGAGAGAGAGUAGAAUUUAAGAGAGGAAUCUAUUGUGAAAAGAGGAGAUUUUUUUGAAAAGAAAGAAACCCUAAAUCUAAAUUUUUCUCUUCUCUCUAUGAAGAACUAAACCUAUUAUCCUAGUUGAAGGUUAAUCAAGCUUUGAUUCGUCACUACAGUGAGAUCUUUCUUAUGCUUUAAUUGUUUUAUUACUUUUUGGGUAUUUGUUUAUUCUCUGAAUUAUUGUUAUGAUUAUGUUUGUUAAUUAGAUAAUUGGCCACUAUUUAAUUAUCAACUUAAUCUAUUGUCAAUUAAAAGAUUCAUCGUAUGCAAAUUUUAAUGUUUGUGACAAAUAGCAUAGCAGUGCAUUGUGUUAUGAGAAUAAACAAUCUAAUUUAAAUGAACCAUCAUAUGCGUUUGUUGAUUAGGAUUUGGGUCUCUCUGUUUUUUCAGGCUGUCAAUUGAUUAAAUCCUACGAUCGUAUCUAGGGUUGUCUAUUGAUUAGGGAAAUAACCAAUGGUUGUACCUUGGUUAUCGACUAGUUAAGGAGAGAUUGGCUAUUAGAGGGUCUCAGUAGCUAUAACCGGUCUAUUCAUAAGUAGUAAUGAUUUAUAUUUGAAUCAAUGAUCAACAGUCGAAUCAAGCUGAGUUAAUUCCUUCAACCAGAACUUUCCCCAAUUUGAAUUACAAUUUUAAUUUGCACUCUUGUUAUUUUAAUUUGAUUUUUAUUAUUGUCAACAAAUCUCCCAUUUUACAUUUUACAUUUUAAAAGGAUUUAAUAUUACCGAUCUCUGUGGACACGACCCUGCUCAAUCACUAUACACAAUUUAUUUAGAGUAGGUAUUUAUUUUUGCUGGCUUCGACAACCAUUACUAAUUUCAUUCUUUAAUUUACGGUAUACAAAUAAAUUCAAAAAAUGUUAAUUUCUCUCAUACUUUUAAGACUAAAAAAUAACAAAAAGUCUUAACAUAUUUAACGGUUAUAUAUAAAUCAUCCGUACAUAUUUUUCUUGUGAGAAGCUCAAUUCGAUAGACAACGCUCCCCUUAAUUUUCUUUUCUAGUUAGAUAAAAGAACAAAAGAAAUUGAUUACAAGAAUUAACGACGAAGUCACCUUGGACUACCUGAUAUAUAUUACAGAGGUAAGCUUUUUUUUACUGCCUAACUAGAAUAACAAACUUUAAUUUACUUCUUAAAGUGUAAAAGCCUCAAUUUAUCCUUAUAUUUGUUCAAAAUAUAAGGGAAUAUAUAUAUAUAUAUAUAUAUAUAGUCAUUCUUCAGUGCACGCGCCCUCAUUUUUUUCAUACGGACACACUUUAAAACUACAGGGUUUAAGAGAGUUAAUUUUUUAAUUCUUUAAACUCGAAUCAUUGUAUAGUUCAUCCAAUAACUAACUCUUUUAAACUGCACGGUUUUAAAAUGUGUCCGCAUUAAGAAAAAUAUGGGCGUCUGCACCUGAGAAUGAUUACAUACACAUAUAUUGUUUUCUUGAUAUAAACAAGUUAAAUUGAUGUUUCACAUUUUUUUAGGAAUAAAUUAAAAAUUGUCAUUCUAAGUAGGAGGUAAAUUUCAAAUAAAACAUGUGUUCAUAUGAUAGAUGUGCAUUUCACAAUAAUUAAUAAAUAAAAAGGGUAGUGAUAUUUUCACCCGGCAAUUUUUGUAAAUCCACCCCACUGCCAAGAAAUAAUUACAAUAAAUUCACAUAAUUUUUUAAAAAUUCAAAUAAAGAAACAUUUUGGAGAUUUAAACUAUUAGAUACAACAGGAUAAGCGUAAACAUUUUUCAUGCAGUAUAAAAGAAUGCAACAGCUCCUUUUCUUUCGGUAUUUUCGCAACAAAAGCACACUUAAUAACUCAUCAAAUUAUUUCUCAUUUUCUUUGAUCGCUUCGCCUUUCCUAGAGCUGCUGAACUCCUUUGUUGCUGGUGAAGUGAAACAACAUGUGACGCAUUUCAAAAGACCACAAUAUGUAUAAAGAGGAACUAAUUACACUAUCAAUGGCUUAAGGUUACCUUAAUGCAGAAGAGGAAAAAGAGAUGGAGAUUCGAUUUGAUCCGAUAAUAGAAGUUUAUUUUAAUUUUUAUUCAUUUGAUUUCAUAGUAGUAAUUUUUAUUUUUCAAAAAUUGGUAAAAACGAACUAAAAUGAGAUAAUUACAUUAAAACAAUCUUCAAUGACUAAAGUAAUUUGAAUAUAAAAAACUCAAAAGAAAUAAGCUCAAAAUUUACCCCUAAUCUGAACAUUAUCCGAAUUCAACCUAACAAACCCAAAUAUGAUUUUAAUCCAAACCCGACAUGACUGGUAUAUAAUUAUAACCCGCUCAGAUCCAAACUCAACCUAAAUUCUUAAUUCAAUUUGAUCCAAUUCAAAUAUUCCUACCCAAUCAAAUUGAAACUUGAUCAGGUUGAUCCGAAGGAAGGGUUAUGUACUGGCAAAUAGAAAUUAAACCAACAUUAUCACCAUAAUAGGUACAUUAUUACCAUCAAAGAUCAAGAUCUGAAUGGAUGCACAGCAGCCAUCCUCAAGACCAAAAGAGGAAGAAAUUGAAAUAGAACAACCACCUUAAGGUGGAGAAGGCCAGAACAAGACACCCAUUCUCAAAUCAUAAGGAAGAGGUGGGUGCAACCAAAAAAAAAAAAAAAAAAAGAGAAUCCACUGGAGAGGGCAAGAAAGAUUUCUGCCUCCAAAGAUUUGGUGAGGAAGAGAUGAGGAAUUUGGAGAGGAAAAGUUUUCGAAGAGAUCUAGAGAUUGGCUUUAAAAAUGUGUUUUAAAGAAAAAGUUGUUGAGAGGAUAAAUAUGCAAUCAAUCCUGUACUCUUCAUGUUUGUUGACUGUGUAAUGUUUAUCCACUAAGCGUAACCAUGACGGUUGGAUUGAGUGAAUAAAAUAAAGAACAUUACAACCCAUGAGUCCAAGCACUUAAAGUUGGCAUGAGUGCAUGGGUUAUUGUCGGGACUCGAUUUCCUUCCUAAUUAAAUUGGAUAGGGAUAAAAUUAUUUCUUUAUUAAUAAAAAUAGAAUAGAUAUUUCUCUCGAUUUUCCUUCUAAUUAAAUUGGAUAGGACUAAAAUUAUCUUAUGAUUAAUAAGGAUAUAAUAUAUAUCUUUCUAGUAUUGUGUGAUGGUAGAAAUUUGGGUUGUAUCAUAUUAAAAUUAUCCAGGAUAAUCUUGAUAGAAUUAAUGCAAAGAAUUAAGAUAAAGCCUCAAAGAUGGAACAAAGGUAAAAAAAGAAAAAAGAGUACAAGACAAAGAAAUUAGAAAAAAAAAAGAAAAAAAGAAGACGAAGAAUAAAAGAAAAAAUAAUUUGAAAAAAAAGGACUGCAUUUUUAAAUUUUAAAUAAGGAUAAAUAGUAGUGGAUGCCAUUGUUGGUAAUUUAUUAUAUUUCAAAGCUCAAAUAAGGAAUAAGAUUAUUAUUAUUAUUGUUUUUGCAAUAACUCGUUUCAAAUUUUAAAAGAUUAUAACUUUUCAUUUUUAACAUUUUAAUCAUAAAUUAAAAAGGAGUUACUAUUCAAAAUUCCUAAGAAUAAUGAAUAAAAAUGAUAAAUAUUAUUCUAAGAAAAUGAUAAAUUUGGAUAUACUUAAAUAUUUAUAAAUUAUUAAUUAUUUUACUAUUUGCCCCUUAGCUUCAUGUUUGGGGAAAAAAUAUACUAAAGUGGCUUUCAAUAAAAAAAUUUAUUAUUAAAAAAAGUAUGAUUAAAAUUAUAACAAAUGAUAUUAAUAAGAAAGAAACUAAUAAAAUUUGGAAUUAGAAAUGGGAGUUAAGGCUUCGGUCUUUGAAUUUCUCUAAAUUUUACAUAUUUUUUUAUUUUUAUUCCGUCGAAUUACAUUAGUAAUGGAAUAUCAAUAAAUUUUGUGGGUUAAUUUGUCUUUUAAAUACUUUGAAGGGUAAAAUGGUAUUUUAGAUGGUAAAAGUCAACUAAUUAAUUAAUGAUUUAUUUUUUUAAAUUUAAAGCACCAAGUGGUGGGGGGUUAGGAAAGACCCCUACUUGUGAUAUAAAUCAAUAAUGAAGAAGUACAUAGGAGGGGGAUAUAAACCAAAACCUCCUCAAGUAAAUACAAACACAUAAGAAUGAAGGCAAGAGAAUAAAACAACAACUGAAAGAAUAGCACGAGUAAUCCUAUCGCCUGAUAUGAGGAAUCUCCUUAGCAUCCAAAUGAAGAAUGCUAGAUAGGCCAGCGAGAAGUUCCCGAAAAGACAAAAAAACAUCAGUUAACUCGAUGAGUGUAAGCCCAAUUAGCCAGAAAAUCAACAGCAUAAGUAGGUGGAGUCUGACUCUACUUUUAGCACGGAGUGUCCAAGCUGAACUGCGAGAUCUAAUCCCUCAUAGACAACCAUAAGCUCAACAUAAAUUAUUGGUUGGUUACCAAGGAAAGAUCCAAAAGCAGCCAAAACCUCCCCCUGAUGAUCACAGAGAAUACCACCCGAAGCAGCCAUCCCGGGAUUGCCCCCGAGCAACCAUCCACAGUCAGUUUAACAAACCCCAAAGGCAGCCGAAACCAAGAGACUAAAUGAAUUGGCCUUUUUGGUGGUGUGAUUAUUCGCAAACCCUCUGUAAUCCUAGAAUCCAACACUCCUCGAAGCUGGGAAGUUUUGAAACCAAAAGCAGAACUAGCAAGCCCAAGGUCCAAUCCCACCUGGUGGACAAUUGCAACGAGAAAUAUUGUGAAUCAAAUUUGAAAGCAUUACGAGCCUUCCAAAUAUACCAUAAGAUAAAAGAAGGUAGGAGAACUUGAAGAUGGCUCCGAAAAAGGAUGCACCAUCACCAAUGAAGAAGCAGAGCAUGAGGGGUCGGAAACACAACUGCAUGCAUACCUAGAAUCUGUCAAAACUAAUCCCAAACCAACCUAAUCUGCGGGCAAGCAGGGAAUAAGUGACGAGCAGUCUCAGCCACCUGACCACAAAUGCGUCAAGAAACCAUGUAAAAACCCCUUGAACAUAAGGCGUCAUCAGUAGCCAAAAAUCCAUGCAACAUCCGCUAGAGAAAGAAGGAAAUCCAAGAAGGGGUGAGCCACUGGCAAAUAAGAGAAAAGACCUUAAUUCUUAGUUUAGUACAACGCACAAGCUCCCACGUUGAUCGUAAUUAAAAAGUGCCAUCGGUAGUGAGAUCCCACCUAAUCAAGUCUGGCUCCGACCUAGAAAUAGGAACUAAAAGAAUCUAUGCCAUGAUAGAGAGGGUAACACAUCCUGGAGUUUACCUUGAUCCCAGACUGUACCCUGCUAGUAAAAAGAAACUGGAACUAUAGAAGCCGCUGCAGGGUUAUAAAGUGCUAAAGGGCAAGACCCUAGUCAACAAUCAUACCAGAAGCUACACUCCCCCCGGCCUAUCAACCAAUGCACAUGGGGCCCUACAAUACACUGAAUCAAAUAGAGGCAUCUCUAAAGUGGAAAAGCAAGAUAACGAAACUGAACUAGGCUCAGAUGUGUGGCUAUACAAUACUUAGACUUCAUAUACGAAGCCCAUAGUGAACUCUGCUCUUGAAAGCGCCACCAAAGUUUAAGUUCUAAAGCCUUAACCAUAUCAUUAGAAGACCGAAUACCCAGACCACCCUCCUCUACCAGGUAACAAACCGUCGUGCAUCUACAUCAGUGAAUCCGAUGCUUUGUAUCGGAAUCUCCCUAUAAGAAUCGUUUAAAAAUUCUCUCUAAGCGGUGGAUCACAACAUAUGGAGGGCUAAGAAUGUCAAACAAAUGCAUCAUAAUAGAAGAUAGAACAUGGCGAAUAAGCAUCAAUUUCCCUCCAAAAGAGAGCAAUCGAUUGGCUCAUGCUGAGAUUCUAUUCCUGACAUUCUGAACCAUAUCGUCAAAAAGAGAAAUCUAACGACAACCCUUAAAGACAGGGCACCCAAGAUAAGUAAGCAGAAGUUUGCGUCUCUGAAAACCAGUAACUGAAUGGAGAAUAGUCUGGCGUGAAGCAGUAGCUGAGUCCCCAAUAUACAAAGUAUUGUUGUCCUGAUUGAUACACUAUCCGGAAAUAGUCUCAUAGUGGUGGAGGAAAUUUGAAAGACGCUGCAAACUGGUCCUACUCCCAUUAACAAAGAUAAAAAUAUCAUCUGCAAAGCUCAGAUGAGACUGUCAUAAGGGUCGAGGUUCUAUAUGCCAUGGAAGGAUACCGAGAAUAAAGGGAAUCUAGACUUCUAGAGAGAAACUUAGCUGUAAUAAUAAAAAGACACGAGGAUAUAGGAUCGCCUUGUCGCAGGCCUCCAUGAGACUGAAAGAAUCCAUGGCAAGAAUCAUUGACCAGAAUAGAGUACCAUGGACCAGAGAUGGCCCGGUAAAUGAGGGAAAUCCAUCGCUUUGAAAAACCAAGGCUCCGAACCAUCAAAAGAAUGAACGACCAUGACAUCCUAUCAUAAGCCUUAGCCAUAUCUAAUUUAAAAACAACAUUAUUCCCAUGGGUCCUCCUAUUUAAAUCAUGAACAGGCUCCUACACCAACAAAAUAUUAUCAUGGAUUACCCUACCUAGAACAAAGCCACUCUGUGAAAGAGAGAUAAUCUGAGGCAGAAUGUGCGAGAGUCGUGUAACUAGUAACUUCGUAACGAUUUUGCUACUGAUGUUGCAUAGGCUAAUAGAUCUGAAGUUUGCCCGUGUUAAUGGAGAAGUCUUCUUCGGUAGAAGGACCAGAAGUGUACUCUAAAAGCCUCGUGGUAUAGCUGAACUUGAGAAAAAAUCAAUCACAAGAGCCAUCAAAUCACAACAAAUAAUUUCCCAACAAAUUUGAUAAAAUCUGCUACAGAAACCAACAGGCCCGGGCGCACUUAAAGGAUCUAUAGAGAAUACAACUUGGCAAACCUCCUCUAUGUUAUGAACUCUAUAUAGCUCCACAUCCUCCUCAUCUGAAACUAAAGAUGGAAUAUCAUCAAAGUCUGAUAAUUGAAACUAGCUGGUACCUCCAGAAAGCAAAUCUUAUUAGAAAUGAACAGUCGAAGCAACAAUAUCUGUAGAAUUAGCAUCCUGAAUCCUGUGAAUAAAACACUGCUGACGCUUCUUUCUAACCACAGCAUAGUAGAAACGAGUGUUCGAAUCCCUCUCUCGGACCCAUCGAAUACCUAACUGCAAUCUAAGAAAAGUCUCAUCACUGGAUAAAGCAUGUAGUAAUCUCGCUCUAGCCUCAGAAAAAAAAUGGUUCUAUCCUCUGCCGACGCAGACAUAUAAAAAAGGAGCUCCCGAUGAGCCACUUCCACUUCAGCCGCUCUAACUCUCUGAAAGACAUCUCUGAAAAUGUCUUUGUUCCAAGACUUUAAACAAAGUUUCAACCAAACUAACUUCUUCUGAAAGGCCCGCAUCCCUCUACCUAUCACUGGUGCUGACUAGGACUGCCUUACCAUGUCGAAAAAGCUUGAAUGUGUGAUCUAAGAAUGAAGGAACUUAAAUCUUGACUGUCCCCUAACCCACUGUCAAUCAAGAGAUAAAAGGAGGGGAGCAUGGUCUGAUAUAGUACGAUUCAUAUGAGUAACCCUGAAGACUGUAAAAAGACUAGACCAUUGUAAGUUGCAAACCACCCUAUCCAGAGUCGCCAAGUAUGCCCAUUAAUCCAAGUGAAUGAGCUACCUAAAAAGCCAACAUCCUCCAAACUACAGUCUAGUACAGCCAAAUUAAAGGCAUCUAUAAGGACUUGAGUCUGGUUAUGUCCACCGGAGAUCUCAGAUAAAGACUGAACAACAUUAAAGUCUCCCCCAACCAUCCAAGGACCAUCCAUACCAUCAGCAAAAGACACAACAGCAUCCCAUAAUUGUUCUCUUACAGAGAUGAACAACUGGCAUAAACAAGUGAGAUAAAUACAAUAUCAGGAAGAAAUUAGUGACUGGCCCGAUAGUGCAGAACCUAUCCCACAUCCUGAAUAACCUCCAAUGUAAAAGAAGCCAACCAGAAAACCCAAAUCUUCCCAGAAGAAGAGGAAAUAGCUGAUUCUAUUCCUAGUCGAUUCCGAGUGGACUCAAGUUUGUCUAAAUAAAGAAAAUGCUCCAACACACAAACUAAGGACAAAUAGUGCAUGUGAAUAAGUUUCUUCAAGCAACUGCAGGGGCUUUACCGAUGCCCCGUAUAUUCCACAUAAUGGAAUUAAUCAUCUAUGUAAAUAGAAGCGAGAAUUGUCCCCUUAAUUAUUUAAUAACUCAGGUAUUUAUUAUCAAGUACAUCAUCUUAUUCAACAUUUUGGCUAUAUAUAAAGAUUAUAAUUUCUAACAGUUGUUUCGGAUUCUUGUGUACUCAGGUUAAUAGGGCAAAUGUCAGAAUGAAGACUGUUCAGUUUAACCGGUUUAGCAAGGAUGAUAUCGGUGAAGAAGAUUGUUGGCAGGCCAAAUAGAGCCCUCCAUUUUGAGAAAUAUCAUCCGCAAAUUUGAAUUGUUGAGCAUGUGAAGUUAACCUUCUUAGUGAGUGAGAAAUUAAGCAUAUAUCAGUGAUUUUGGUCGUCAGUGAAUGUUUUCAUUUAAUAUUAAUACACUGUCGUUUCUUAGUAAAUUCUCUUCAUGUCACUUCCUCCUUGUCGUUCUUAUGGAAAUACCUUCCUUUUUGACCAGUAGCGGCUCGACCUCUAGGCAACUUAGGCGAUUGCCUAGGGCCCCGCUUUACAUGAAGGCCCCACGAGAUGAUUAUUUUGUAUGUAAAAGGGGAAAAUGGAUUUAAAAGUCAUUAUUAUUCAUUUAAUUUAUUAUUAUUUUGUCAUUAUCUUUUCCUAAAUAAACUAUCAAAUUCCUAUAAAGUUUAUUUAAUGUAGUACUUAGUAGUUUUAGUUUCUGCAAAACUGAUAAAUUAAUAGUUUCAAUUCUACAAAUUCUCUAUUUCAUUGUUAGAAUUAAUAUAUUAUAUUUUAAAAGUUUUAUAUUCAUUUUAAACCUCUAUAAAAGCCCCACAUUUUAUUACUUAUCCAUUGAAUUUUUCCUCCAACAAUCAAGAUAUGAUAUGUUCUUGGUGUUCGAGAGAAAGAAAGAGAGAGAGGGAAAAAGAUCCUGCUUCCUCUACUUUCCACGCAAGAAGAAAAAGAAAAAAUCUAAUAGUUUUCUCUAUUCUCUAUGACUAUUGGUCAUUACUUAAAUCCUCAAACAAUUAAUAUAAACAUAAUUUAUGAUUUCAUCUCAAUUUUCAGAUUUUAUCUUUUUAUUAUUCGUUUAAUUAGUUGUGUUAUUUAUUUGUUCUUAUUUCUUUUUAAUAUAUUCUUUUAUUCAUCUACUUUUUUGUGUGUACUUGUUUUAUCUAUUUUAAAAUAAAACUAUAUUGAAAAACUUUAAAGAAUAGAAGAAUAGAAAAAUUAGUUUAAUUUAGAAAAUGAGUAGUAAAAAAGAUAUAAUUUGAGUUAAAAAAAUAAGUGGAAAUAUUAUAAUUGAAUCAAAAUUUAAUGCAUUAGCAACAUUAGAAUAGAAUUUUAUUUAAUAAUUUUAAAUUUUAGAGUGUUUAAAGAAUUGAUUUUCAAUAAAUAAUAUAUAUAUAUAUAAUCUUAAAUUUUAAGAAAAACUAAUUAAAAUCAUUUGCCUAAGGCCCUAAAUAUGGUUGAGCCGGCCUUGUUUUUGACAUGCAAAAUACAUUACAAAAGCUCCCAAACAAUAUAUUUGAACGAAGUUACCCUUUUCGAGAAUUUUGACUCCCAAACAAGCCUGCAGAGUGGUGUAUGGUGGGAUUAGCUGCAGGAGCAGUGCAAGAUUCUUCGUCAAGCUAUCUGGCUGGUAAAAAGACUGUUGCCAAACCUCCUUUUCAUUCCUUUGUUCACUUAUUCAUUAUAAAUAGAGUAAACUUAGAAGAUUGUUCUGUUAACUAUCUAAGCCAGUGUAACAUUUGUUAAAUUUGGGCCAUCUUGAAUGUCUGACAGGUUGUCUGUGACAAUCCCAGCUGUAAGUACUAAUGCAUUUGGGCCAUCUUUAAUGCACUUGUGCUUUCAUUGAACUGUAUGCAAACAUGAGAUAUCAGCUAUUGCGUGGAUUUGAUAGAGCGGUCACCAACCAAUUUGAAGUUAUUGGAGUAGCUCAAUGUUCUCAAGCACGGCUUUGAGGUCUCUCCCUGUCUCUUUUACGUAUUUGUCUAUUGAUCGACAUCUCUAUAUAUACAUUAAUAGACCAAAUUACUCUUGCUUUAAUGUUUUGUUUGUUGAACUUCGACUGGGGAAUUUGUUUAUUUGUCUCAUAUGAUGUCAAUGUGGUUCCCAUUGAAGUGUAUAGAUCUAUCACCUCAAAUUCUGAUUUCAAUUUUCCUUAAUCAACUAGCAUCCUUUCCAAGUCCAGAUAAUUACCAUUUCUCUUAUUUUACAGUUAAAUAUGUAAGAAUAGUUUUAAAUUUACAGAAUUCUGAUAUAGUUCUCUAAGGAAAUGGGAGUGGUGAAUAUGGUUCCAUCUUUUUAAUAGGCUUAAUAGGCCCAUUUGUUGAGCCACAGAAUUCUGAUUGCGGUCUAAAUUCUUCUUUACUGUCUAUAUGUGUUGGAGUUUGUCUAUUGUCCAACUUCUCGAAGGGAUUCCAUGCAGGGUUUUGACUGUCCAAUUAGGAGAAAGAUCAACGGAUGACCUUUUGAAGAAGGCUUACACAAGAGGGCAUCUCAGAAUGUCAUGGCUCAGCUCAAAAGUCCCUAGGUGGUUGAUACCAAAGAAUGCCAUUGUUUCUGGGCCUGGGCUCCUUGGCGUCAAACAAGAUAAUGUUGACUCUAUUGAAGGGCAAAUAGGGGCAACUAAAGCAUAUAAUGUGUUUUUGUCACUUUUGUGAUACACUUUUGACCGCAAGUUUCCAUUUGAAGUAGCCGAUAUUCUUUACAGACUAAUUAUCUAAUGAUUAUUUUGUACAAAAAAAAUCAUAACUUUAAUUAAUUGAUCAUACUCAACUUAGGUCUUGUUUGAUAUUACUAGUUGUUGUGAAAAAAAAAAAAAACUGAAAGCUGACAAUGUGUAGUAAAUGUAUGACUUUUAGAUAAUAAUUUUAAUAAAAUUAAUAAAGAUAUUAUAAUUUUUUUAUAAUAAAGUAUGAGAUCAAAUCAAAUUAAUUUUUAAGUCAUAAUAGCAAAUGUUUAUCAAAACUGUUUAAUUACGUGGCUUAAAAAGUAUAGUUGUCCAACCUCAACAUUAUAUAAGGAUUUACCAGACUCUACCCGACUUUAGUUGUCCUUACUCGAUCAUGCAAGUCCAUACUCGAUAUGCUUGACCAUAUAAGAUGUUACUCAACUUUAAUUAAUCUUGCUCGACUUUGCAAGUUUGGCAUGUGGGAUGGAAUAUGAUAGUAUAUGAUGUGAUAGAAUAUUAUAGAAAUAGUUGUAACAGGAUUACAUUUAGUACUAUUUAAUAUUUUAUGUAAUGCAGUAGAUGGUUGAAUUAUAGGAUCUAGUUAUGGUGCAAUUGUUGUACCAUACCACAGUUGCUUUCAGCCAUUGGAUCUAUUCAUCUUUAGUAAAAUUGUAAUAUCUUAAAUAAUAGUUAUCUUUAGUAAGUAUUUUUUGUAAUGAAUUAUACUUUUAAAAUAUAAUCGAAAAUUCUUUUACUAAACUAAUAAAAAAUAAUUAUUUGAGUUAUCUCCUAAACUACUUAGCUCAGGUGAACGAAACAGUAGUUUUACGUGGGAGCCACAUCCUUUCCACAUCAACCUCAACAUCCAAACAUGAAAUUGGACUAAAAAUAGUUCUCUCCCAUGAAUUUAUGUACCCUCCUGCCACUAGGGGUGUUCGCGGAUCAGAUUUUAUGGAUUGAACCUCAAUCUAUAUUCGAUCCAUGAUUUUACGGAUUAUAAACUUUCAAUCUAAUCCAAUCCAUGGAUUGAUGAAAUUUAAUCUACAUUCAAUCCAUACAUCUAUGGAUCAGAUGUGGAUUUGACCCAAUCCACCAUUUUACAGAUUGGUUUGCGGACUGAAAUUUUUUAACACUACUAGAAAAAUGGUCUUUACCGACACUUGGUUUGUGACACUUUAUUACAAAGUAUCAGUAUUUGUAUACAUAUGGGCCAUUUUCCAUGUUUAACACAUAAGUAUUACAAAUUAAUGAUACUAUGGUGUCUGAAAUUUGGACAUCAGAAAUCACUGACACUAAAGUAUCAGUAAUAAAAAUAAAAUAAUUCUAAUCAUGUAACGGAUGGAAUCCGAACCGGGGACCUCGAACAUCGGAACAUUUAAGUGACACUAAGGUAUCAGUAAAAGAAAAUAAAAUUUAAAUUUCGUUCCAAACUGAUAUUCGAACCUAGGACUUUUCAAAGCCAAAGCUUUUAAGUUGAAAAUUGAAACCGUUAUGACUUUUUGUUAGUUAUGGUACUGAAUUAGUAGAAUAUUAUGUUUUUAAUAUGAAGAACUUGAAAUGUAUUGAGCGCGGCUGAGUGAAAAUUUUAGCGGGUUUUGGCUGAAAAUUUACUAGUAAAUAAUAUAUAAGUGACACUAAGGUAUCAGUAAAAGAAAAUAAAAUUUAAAUUUCGUUCCAAACUGAUAUUCGAACCUAGGACUUUUCAAAGCCAAAGCUUUUAAGUUAAAAAUUGAAACCGUUAUGACUUUUUGUUAGUUAUGGUACUGAAUUAAUAGAAUAUUAUGUUUUUAAUAUGAAGAACUUGAAAUGUAUUGAGCGCGGCUGAGUGAAAAUUUUAGCGGGUUUUGGCUGAAAAUUUACUAGUAAAUAAUAUAUUUUCAGUUAGAAACGGUAUCGUUUCACUUAGAAAAAAUAAAGAUAAGUAAAACGCAUCGUUUUAUUCAACUCUAAGACCAAAAUCGAAGCUAAUUUUUUUCUAAGUCAUUCACUCAUCAGUCUUUCACCCCUCGGUUCUCCUUCUCUGUCAAAGCUAAGUAAACCAAACCCUAAAAUCAUAUCCCUCACUGUAAUCAAACUUCACGUCGAUCCCAACCAAGCUCGAAGCAGAGGAAUUCAUUUCUAUCAUGAUUUGGUUCUCUCUCUCUCUCUCUUCACUGCGAUAAAUUCGUUUAUGAAGGGGCAUUUUAUUCAUUUUUUUCUUUUUAAUUAUUAUGUUUCCAAUUUACAGUGCCUAUUUUCCUCAUGCAUGUUGUUUUGUUGCGGUUUAACUAUAGAAUGAGUUUUAAAAUUCUUAGUUUUAUAUUGUAAUCUUGAUUGUUUAUAAUUUGGGACCUGGGAAAACCUAAUAGAGAGGUAAAGGUAACUAAAGUUGAAUUAUUGUACUAGAUUAUUUAACUAAGAGUAGUUUUAUAAAUGCCUGAUUCAAAUCAGUUUUCUUUCGUCUCUUUCUUUAGUUGCCAUGUCACUGGACUUUGAAUUUCAUGUACACUUUAACUGGAAUUGAUGGAUACAAUGUCAAUGCAGAUUUGGGUUUUUCUCAUUUUCCCCAUUUCUCGAAAUUGCAUUUUAAAUUUUGCAUGAUGCUUUUAAUUUUGGGCCUAACUUGUUCCAUUUAAUUAGCGCUUGAUAAAGAUACAUAUUAACAAAGGGUCAAUUCAUUAAUCCUUUCCCUGUAAUGCACUUGCUAGACUUAGUAUAAAUGCAAUAUCUCACAUGCAAACCCUUCGACAACAACAAGUAUUGUCCUUAAUUUUUUUUUAUGUGAUUUCCCUUGUACAGCUCUCUGACAUAGUAAUUAACAAUCUCUCGCUUUUGAAGAAUCACAAAAGUUUACGGGGUAACAGCUGUCUUCAUUUGGUAAUUCUUUUAAAUCACUCACUUUCUUUCAAUUUCUAUCAUCGUUGUGUUCUGAGUUUUACUUGUACUGACAUGUUUUAAAUAUUGACAUGCAUGGUUUUACUUUCGUUUUUGUUGCAUAGACUGUUCUGGAAUAAAAUUUUUUAUUCUAAUAUAUACUUUUGUUUGUUCUAAUAUGAAAAUGAAAUUUUGAAAAAUGUGGAUGUGGCAUGUUUUGUUGGCUUGGUGAAUGUGUACAUGUAAGUUAGAUUUGCUGGCUUGGUGAAUGUGUACAUGUAUGCUCUGUUGGCUUGUUGAAUGUGUACAUGUAUGCUUUGUUGGGUUGCUGAAUGCUUACGUAUAUGCUCUGUUGGGUUGCUGAAUGCGUACAUAUAUUUAAGUGACUCUAAACAAAUAGAAUUUAGAUUUAUUUUGCAAUUUUUAUUUUUUUAUUUAAACCUAAAAGUUUGGAGUUAUUUGUGCAAUUUAAGUAAACUUAUUAAACUAACAACAUCUAACAAAUGAACAGGUAACAAUACAUAUUAUGGACAAAACUUGGAUAUUCUGUGAUAGAUUGUCUGAUGAGUAUAGUGAUGGGGUUGAUGAUUUCUUGGAGUUUUCCAUUCUUAAUUCUGAAAAUAGAAUGUCAAUUAGAUGUCCUUGUACUACUUGUUGUAAUAUGGAGUUUUUGAGUCCUCAACAAGUGAGGCUACAUCUAUUUAAAAAAGGUUUUCUAGAAAACUAUUUAGUUUGGAAUUGGCACGGUGAGGUGGACCGGAAACCUGCCUCUGUAAAAUGCCAAGACCAGCCACAAAAUCAACGUUUUAGAUGUCCGGAUUAUAGUUAUGUAGACGACUUGGUUCAUGAUGCUUUUGAGCAUUGUGAUAAAGAUUCUAGUUCUUUUAAGAAUGUGCUUGAAGAUGCUGAAAAGCCCCUAUAUCCAGGUUCAAAGCAUUCAAAGUUAUCGAGUCUAAUGAAAUUGUACAAUAUAAAAGGACUUUAUGGCUGGUCUGAUGGUGGGUUUUCAGUUUUGUUGGAAGUGCUUAAUGAGAUAUUGCCAAAUGAUAAUAGUUUGCCUAAGUCCAUGUAUGAGGCCAGAAAAAUAAUGAAGCUAUUAGGCUUAGAUUAUGAGAAAAUACAUGCAUGUUGAAAUGAUUGCAUUCUUUAUAGGAAUGAGUUCGAGAAUCUUAGUGAAUGCCCAAGGUGUGGAGCAUCUAGGUGGCAAAUAAGAAAAGAUGGAUAAAAAAAAAUUAGAAAGGGGGUCCCUAAAAAGGUGUUAUGGUAUUUUCCUUUAAUUCCUAGGUUGAAAAGAAUGUUUCAAUCACCACAAACUGCUGAGAACUUAACAUGGCAUGAAAAUAAAAGAAUUAGAGAUGGCAAGCUUCGCCACCCAGCAGAUUCACCAGCUUGGCAGUUAAUUGAUAAGAAAUGGCGUGAUUUUGCCCAAGAGCCAAGAAAUCUUCGGUUCGCUUUAUCAUCUAAUGGGAUUAACCCACAUAGCACACUUAGCACUACUUAUAGUUGUUGGCCUGUUACAUUGAUAACAUAUAACCUUCCUCCGUGGCUAUGUAUGAAGAGGAAAUUUAUGAUGUUGUCUCUACUGAUAUCUGGCCCUAAACAACCUUGGAAUGACAUAGAUGUAUACCUAGCACCAUUGAUUGAGGACUUAAAAACCCUAUGGGAUGUAGGCGUCGAUGUGUUUGAUGGUUAUAGGAAAGAAACUUUUAAUUUACAAGCUGUGUUGAUGUGGACAAUUAGUGAUUUUCCAGCUUAUGGAAACCUGUCUGGGUGUACUGUUAAGGGGUAUUAUGGUUGUCCAAUUUGUGUGCUAAACACAUGUACAUGUUGGCUACCGCAUAGUCGGAAAAUGUCAUAACACCAAGUUUGGGAAAAAGGUCUAAAAAAAGUGAAAACGGGGUGAGGUUGAGGGUCACAAUAAGGAUCAAGGUGAGGGUAACAGUAAGGGUAACAGUAAGGGUAAAGGUGAGGGUGAGGGUGAGGGUGAGGGAGAUGGUGAGAUUGAAGGUGAGGGUGAGGGUAAUGGGGAUGUAGCUCAGUUGCUAUACAAAAAGAGAUCAAUCUUCUUUGAUUUAGAAUAUUGGGAACAUUUGUUAGUUCGCCAUCAACUAGAUGUGAUGCAUAUUGAGAAAAAUGUAUACGAGAGCAUCUAUGGCACAUACUCCAUCAAGCGGGGAAAACAAAAGAUGGAAUUAUUGCUAGAAAAGAUCUUACACAUCCAGAGCUUAGAGAAAAAAUUAACAAAGCAUUGAUUGUAUUAGCUCCUAUUGAACAAAACAAAGUCCUGCCCCCUGCCCCGUACACUUUAAGUAAGAAGGAAAAAAAAUUGUUCUGUGAAACCUUGCAAAGUGUUAAAGUUCAUGAUGGCUAUUGUUCUAAUUUUAGAAAUAUUGUUUCAAUGGAUGAUUGUCGUCUUCACGGGCUUAAGUCUCAUGAUUGUCAUACCUUGAUGCAACAACUGCUACUAUUAGCAAUUCGAAAUUGUUUACCUCAAAAUGUCAGAUAUGUCAUAAUCAGGUUGUGCCUCUUCUUUAAUUCUUUAUGUUCUAAGGUAGUAGAGCCUAAUUCUCUAGACCAAUUGCAAAAAGAACUUACAACCACCUUAUACAAUUUAUAACAAUCUUUCCUACCUGCCUUCUUCGAUAUAAUGGUCCAUUUAACAGUCCAUCUAGUUGAAGAAGUUAGAUUAUGUGGUCCGGUUUACCUUCGAUGGAUGUAUCCAUUUGAAAGAGAAAUGAAACCUAUAAAGGGCUAUGUACGCAACCGAUACCGUCCUGAAGGUUGCAUUACAGAGUGCUAUAUUACUGAGGAAGCACUUGAAUUUUGUGCUGAAUACCUUUCAAAUUGUAAUUCAAUCGGAAUACCUACUGGUUGUCUAAUUGAUUUUACAGUCGAAAGGCCACUCGGAGGUGCAAAUAUUAAGGUGGUUGAUGGCCUUACAUUGGCGCAAGCGCACCGAUGUGUUUUGGUGAACACCCCCGAGAUUCAACCAUACAUAGAGUAUGUGACUGAAAAUUUGAACCUCUUUUUCGUUCAUUUUUUUUUCAAUUUUAUUAAUUCCGUUGGUAUAAUUUUAGGGAGCAUUUGGCCUUAAUGCAAUCAACACACCCUCGCCAAUUAAAAAAGCCUUUAUGGUUGCCAACUGAGCACUCCCGUAUGUUUGUUGAUUGGCUGAAACAAAAGGUUAGAUUAACUUCAUUAGAUCUAAUAAAAGUAUCCAAGUAAAAGCACACAAACUUUUCUCUUUCAACUAAUUAUUGUGAUUUUAUUAAUUAAACAAUAGGUAACAACUGAUGAAGCAAAUAAUGUAGUGGUUGACGAAAAAGUAUGGCGGCUGGUAAACAAACCCCACUCAAGCGUGGUUACAUAUGAUAGCUACUGUAUUAAUGGUUUUAAUUUUGCUACAAGAGAUCAAGACAACAACCACAUAACACAAAACAAUGGCGUUUAUGUAGUUGCUAACACUUUACAGAUUUCAAGUUCGAAAGACAAAAAUCCUCAUUCUGGGGAUAUGCCUUUUUAUGGGGUUGUCAGUGAAAUUUGGUAGCGUGAUUAUCUGGGGGUUAAGAACGUAGUUUUCAAGUGCGAUUGGGUAGAUGAUAGAGGGGUUAAUGUUGAUGAGUUAGGGUUCACUGUAGUCAAUUUAGAUCGAAUAGGCUACAAAUCUGAUUGUUUCAUUCUAGCUGGUCAUGCAAAGAAAGUGUUUUAUGUGAAAGAUCAGUUAGAUAAUAGUAAAUCAGUUGUUUGUUCAGUGAGCUCAAAAUGUAAUUAUUCAAAUGAGGCCUUGUGUGAUGGCAUCGAUGAGUAUGUACCAUUAUCUAACAAUUUUCCAGAAUUUAAUUUAGGUUUGGGUGAUGAGGAGUUUGUGUAAGAGUAGUUGUUGAUGUUUUUCUUGUAAAUAUUGGUGCGGAAAAUGAAUAAUCCAACUACUAUGCCUUAUUACCACUACUUCCCAUAAGUCACCAACAAAUUUGUUUUUUAUUAUUUUAUUAUUAUAUUGGGAUAUUAGAUUGGUAUCUGGUGCACUCAUCCACUUUGAUGUAUUUGCAGGUUUGUUGGAGACAUGGCAGAUAAAAAAGAGCCAACAUUUGAUCCAUAUCUAGAAGGAAGACCAAGACGAAACCUUACAAAGAAGAAAGACCUGCAGAGAGGAGCUACCACACUGAGGUUAUGUACAAUUCCUACGGAGUUUCGGUUGGAAAAAAGAUAAACGAUCUGAGGAACUACAUUGGGGUGAUUGUACGGGAAAGAGUUCCAAUUAUAUAUGAUGAUUGGAGGAAAGUGCCACUAGACAUCAAAGAGAAGUUAUGGACUCAUUUUCAGGAAAUGUUUAAGUUGAGUCUUAAGGCGAAAACCCAAGUGUUCAAGUGGAUGGGAAUUGCAUUAAGGGGCUUUAGAUGUAAGUUGGCCAAUGAAUAUAUUCUGCCCAAUGCAAACAACUUGAGUUCACUUAAAAAACCUCCUCUUGAGUAUGAAGGCAUUAGAAAAGAGGACUGGAAGAGCUUUGUUGAUAAGAUUUUAUCCGAAGACUUUCAGGUAUGUUUAAAAUUAUGUUAGUUAGAUAAUAUUAUUGAGUUUGUAUAACCAUUUUAAUCAAUAUCCGUUGUGUGCAGGAAAAAAGUAAGGCAGCUGUUGUGCAAAUUUUAAUGUACUCGCAAGCGCACGAAUCUAUUGUAGUAUAGACUAAUGGUGACGAGUGUCGAUCCCACGAGGAGGUGGAUUUUAAUUAUAUGUAGAAUUAAUUUUGUAAAUGGGUGGUUGGAAUUGUGGUGGAAGUGAUUUAAAUUAUCCUAAAAUUGGAAUUGAAAUGGCGAUAAUAAAUUCUAAAAUUGGAAUUGCAAUGGCGAGAAUAAAUUGAAGUGAAAUCUAUUGAAAUAACGUACUUGGGUAUCUGGAUCCGUAUCAACAUGCAUCAUGGGCUAAAUAAUCCGUAUUAAUGCCAAUUAAAUCAUGAGGGGGGAAUCCACACCUCAUGAACCACGCUCUAAUCAAUAUGGUGCUAAGGGCUUAUCGUGCCAAAUAAUAAUAACCUUGUACUAGAGAGCCGGUGUAACCAAGGCGGUACUAGACAAGAUUAGUAUUAUUUGUCGACGAGAAGUCAAAACAUCUACAAAAACUAGAGGGGAAGAGAAACUAAAUUUACCAAAAUAAAGCCCAUGACACAUGUUGAGACUUCACCUUCAACCCAAGCUUGAAAGAAAAUUAGCCACUCAUAAUUGAACUAGGGGCAAAAUGGGAAUUUAUUAAAAUACGAAGAAAAUACAAGAUGGAGAGAGAAUUACAGAAAAUGGAUCCCAAAAAUGGAUUCAGAGAUAUCAAAUUAAGGGGGGGAGGCCCCCUUUUUAUAGAUACAUCGAGUAAAUCAUGCCCAUCGGAUUAAAAACAGUUUGGACGCUCAGGAUUGUGCCACGUCAUCAGUCAAUAGUACGCGGUUUGACCACGCGGAUGAACAGUAACACGGUUUGACCCAGGUGAACAGUGACGCGGUUUGGUUGAAAAUAAUCCUGUAUGAUGCAUGUACCGUACGCGAGAUUUUUCGUCCACUGAUAUGCUGCCACGUCACCAUCAACAGUACAUAAGAAUUUUAGCCCAAUAGGAUCGUGACACCUCAUCGGUCAAUGCCACAUCAUCGGUCAAUGCCACGUCAUAGAUCCGUCUAUGUGAACAGUGUCGUGAACAGUAACGUAGACAGUAUCGUACACGUGAAUAGUACCGUACAUGUGAAUAGUGCCAUUUUUCCUUUUAUGCUCCUCCUAAGAUUUUCGACCGUCCUGAGUUCAAAAGUGAUGUCCGUUUUGCCAUCUGAUCUCUCGUUUAUUGUGAAAUGACUAUGAUGCCCCUAAAAUACAUAAAAUACUUAAUUAAAAUCGAACACACAUAAUUAUAUUGCAAAAAGCUUAAAUACAUAAAAGUAAUGGUUGUUAGUAAAACUUGAAAUGUAAAAUGAUGAUUUUCUCCUUUAUAAAUAUGCAUUUUCUAACACUCAACACACCCCCCAACCAGCUUAUUGCUAGUCCCUAGCAAAUAAAACGAAAACAAAAUUCAAAUCCAAAAUGAUUUUUUUUUUAAUAGAAACACUCGUGUUUAUUCAAUCAGAUUAAUGAUAGCAAUCAAAUAAAAGUAUAAGCAUUAUCUCCAGUCUAAAGGAACAUUACACCCACAUCAACUAUCCACAUGAAUCAGCCCAGUAGAUUUUGUUAUAGCUACUUUCAAGAAUGACAUGUCAAACUCCAAAAUCUCACUGGAAGUAGUGACACUCUCACAAAGAUAUUAAACCCAAUAAAAAUAGUCACUCCAAUGAAUGGUAAUUGAGAGAAAAUAAUAAAGAAGUGUAUCACAUGCUCUCACCAAGAUGAAAGAAAUAUGCCCUCAGCUUAGAAAUAAUACGAUCUCAAGUCAAACAAAAAUGCUAGUCAACCCAUUUUAUUUAUUCAUUUAUUUUUAUUUUAUUUUUUUUUAUGCAUCACUACAUCUUUUUAGCCCAUAUAACUAGCUUUUACUUCAAACUAUAGUUCCCUAAAAUCAAGAAAGACUUUUAUUAGGACGUAACGUAGGCUAGGGACAGGGCUAACAAAGAAGGGGAAUAAGGAAAACAAAGUAUAUGUUUGAGAAAAAAUGCAGAGUUUUUUUUUUUUUUUUGGAAGUUGCAAGGUGGAUUUCACCUAUUAUUGUUUUUUUUCCUUUUUUUUUAAGAAAAAAAAUUUUUUUUUUUGAAGCAAUUUUUUUUUUGGACAUAACUUCACUACACAAAAUAUUUAUUUACAUUUUUCUCAAACAUAAAUAGGUGAUGGAACUUGUAAGAUAUUGGAUAAUACUCCAAAUCGGAGUGGGUCAAGAUAAUAAGUUGACAAAGAAAAUAUAUAUAUAUUUUUUUUAAAGGCUCAAAAGAGUUAACUAUGGAUAUUUCAUAAAAGGGAUGGGUAGAAAGGCUCAAACGGAUCAAAGAUGGCAUUUCCAUCAUUUUUUAGGGCUCUAAAUAAUCUUCCAUAGCUACUAAUUAGAUGGGCCUCCAAAUGUAGCAACACACAUUUUUUUUCUUUUUUUUUUCUUUUUUUUGUUUUAUAAUUUUUUUUUAAGGGUUAACUCAAAAGAAAUCUGGAGAUCGUAUAUACAAUAAUAAACUGCUAAGCUGUAUAAAGAAUAGGCAAAAGGGUUACUCUCCAAGAAAAAUGAUAGGCUCAAAAGCUCACUUGGUACUUAUUAUGACAUGUUCAUUCCUUCAAGCAACUCAUAUUUGUCUCCGACAUCAACAUGUAAAGUAGCAAACAUAGUGUAACAUCACUUCAGACUAAAGAUAAUACAAAUACUAAAAUUUGCAAUUCAUCAUGUCAUCCAAUGUUAACACAAAUCACAAUUUUUUUUUUAAUUUGAAACAACAUUCUACCCCCCAACCUAUUCUAAACAUGAAAGGAAAAUAUGCAUGCAGAAAUGUGAAAAUUAUGUAGAAAAAUUUAUUAGAAAAAGAAAUGUUUUUUUUUUAACUAAGAAGAUGCGUUUCUAGAGGCACGACACUCCAUAUUCAGCCAUCUUCGACUCAAAAAUUGGAAAAUAUAUAUUUAUAAAGGAGAAAGAGGAAGAAAACAAUUUUUUUUUUCAAACGAUGAAGAUGCGUUUCUAGAGUAACUACACUCCAUAUUCAGCCAUCUUCAACACAAAACGUUCGCAACAGUUAGUUUCUACAACAAAAAAUUAGUAAAAACUUAACCAAGAUUCCACAAUUGUCGACUAUUCCCUCCCUCCAACCAGAACGAAACAUUGUCCUCAAUGUUUGAAAGGAAAGAAGUAGAGUUUAGAAGACAUCACCUGGGUGGUGCAACACAGAAGAAAAUAUUUACAGGCGGAGAGUUAAAUCUAAUUUGUACUUCUUACUGCGGCUACUGUUACCAUCAUUAUUUGGUCGCUCUAACACAAAGGUCCAGGGGUCUGGCUCCGGUUUAUAAGCUUGUAACAUAUCAAGUAACUCAUUAGCAGUGUGAGCACAAAUAAAGAGUUUUUUCACAUUAGAAGGAAUGAAAUAGUUUUUUAUUGCAUGGUUAAGAGAUGCGAUAAAGCCAUCAUAAAAGUUAUUGACAUUUAACAAACCGAUGGAUUUCUGGUGGAUGUGCAGAUGGGCCCAAGAUGCUAGUGUGAUAAGUGCCUCUAGUGUUGCAAGAUCUCCUGGAAGGAAAAUAAAAGCAUCAGCAUAAUUAAGCAUUUCAGUUAUUCUUUCUUGCAUACCUGAGACGACUAACUCUUCUCCAGUUGAUGAGUCAGACGAACUGCCCAAUGGUUUUAAGACUCUUGGGAUGAUGCCUAACACUUGACUUCCUCUGAUAAAAGCUGCUUCUGAGACCAUUUUUGAUAACCCUCGGUUACCUCCUCCAUACACCAAAUAUAAAUUUCUCGCCGCUAUGCUUCGACCAAGAUCUAUGGCUGCCUCAACGAACUCUUUAUGUUUGCCAUAGGUAAAUCCAGAAAGCACACAAAUGUUCUUGAAUUGUCUAUUGGGAGUAGCUGCCAUUGGAAUAUUUCUCAAAAACAAUUUGUGAGUGUUUGACAAAAGAAAUCACAUUUAAGAGUCUUGGUGAUAGUGGGUCACAGCUGUGAAUGAGGUAACAUGUCAGUGUCAAAUAACGCGUGAAGCACAUGGCUCGCGAGUCAAAAAGGAAACAGUAAAAAGGAAAAAGCAAACAGUAAUAAAAUUAUUAAAGAUAAUAAUGCAAACAAUAAAACAACAGUGAAAUGAAAUAAAAUAACAGUAAAGUAAAAGGAUAUUUACACGUAGUUGCGACUGUGGCUCACAUCUUCCUCUAGUUUUACGUCCAGAAAUGGCUUGAACGCCCUCUAUGGGUCGAGGAUGGGCUUCCCAUCCAGUUUUCUUAUAAACUGGCAAACAGGGUCGUUUAUAGUCAAAUUCCUGAGACUAUACCGUGCAUGCUCUUUUUGAAAUAAUGGCCAUAACUGGAGAAUCGCUCCUUGCACAUAUCCACUGGGAUGCGUUUCAAGAGACAGAAGGAUAUCAUCCAAUGACUCCUUAUUCAAGCCAUCCCUAAUGAAUUGAAUCUUAUCUUCUCUGUUAUCAGACACCAUUCCUAAAGAACAUGGGUUUUUAUCGCAACUCAUUCUGGCACACUUAUAACAAGCAACAGAAAUUCUUCGAGCUCGUCGUUUUCUUGCAUAAUUUCCUUUUCCACAACCAGGCAUGUAUGCAAUAAAUUUAGAAGGUAACUCACCUGCCAAUCGUACUUUAGCCUCGAUUAACCAACGGAUGUCUGCAGGUAUGUUAUUCCUCAUGAGCAAUCGCAUGCGUUCAGAUCGAGCUUUAUAGAUCGUAAGGAGGGCAUUCUGAGGGAGUGAAGGAAAUCGCUUGUGAAGCUUCGCUAGAAUCUCGUUUCUGUCCAUACCUUCGCCUCAGAAUAUCAGUUAUUAUGGGAAAACUGAAGUAACCGACUUGGUUGUCACGGAGUACCGUUAUCCGCCACUUUACCGGGGUAACAAACUAAAGCACACAAACAGAAAAACAAAUUAAAACACACAAAGAAAAUUAAAAUCGUCCUCUUAUUAAAUUUACCUCAAGCUCCAACUGGAUGUCGUAAACACUUCUCUCAAUGUCUCUGAGUUGGCUUUCUAAACCCUCAACAUAGGCUACUAACUCUGGUGGUUGUAGAGCCCAAAUACGAUGUGUUUUACAAAAUUGAAUCUGCCUUUUGAGAUGAGUUUUGACACGUUGAAGUGGUUUAAGAAUGUUCAAGAGGAACGGUUUAAGCAUGGUACUCAUGAUUAAUAAUAAUAAGAGAAAACUUAAUGGUUAAACAAACACACUUAUGCAAAAAUAAUUUCAAUUAGCAAAAGAAUAAUAUAAAGAGAAAAAAAAUCAAAUCACCGAAAAGAAGAAAAAAAAUCAAUUCAAAUCUGGUGGGUCACUCAAAUUUAUUUCGGUAUCUUCUCCAUGUGCUUGGUACUCUAAAUAUGGCUUUAAUCUUUGACCAUUGACUUUAAACAUGACACCGUUCUUUGGGUCUUUAAUUUCAAUUGCCCCAUGUGGAAAAAUAGUAUGAACAAUAAAUGGACCAAACCAACGAGAGCGUAACUUACCUGGGAAUAGGUGCAAGCGAGAAUUGAAUAAAAGCACUUUCUGACCUGGAGUGAAAGAUUUUCUCAUAAUUUGCUUGUCGUGAAAGACUUUCAUUCAUUGCUUGUAAAUCUUGGCAUUUUCGUAUGCAUCAUUGUGAAUUUUUUCAAGUUCUGCCAGUUGUAAUCUUCUUUCUGAGCUGGCUUGCUGCAUGUCAAAAUUGAAUUUCUUGAUGGCCCAAUAUGCACGAUACUCGAGUUCCACAGGUAGGUGGCAAGCUUUUCCAUACACUAGCCUGUAGGGUGACAUCCCAAUCGGGGUCUUGAAAGCCGUUCUAUAUGCCCAUAAUGCAUCAUCAAGUCUUAAUGACCAAUCUUUUCUGUCUGGCCUCACCGUCUUUUCUAAUAUGUGCUUUAUUUCUUGAUUGGAUAUCUCAACUUGGCCACUGGUUUGCGGAUGAUACGGAGUCGCCACUUUGCGUGUGAUUGAAUACUUUGUCAAAAGAGCUUUGAAUGCUUUAUUACAAAAGUGGGCACCACCAUCACUGAUUAUUGCUCGAGGGAAUCCAAAGCGUGAGACAAUGUUGCUUUUCAAAAAUCCUAUCACCACUUUGUGAUCAUUGGUCCUACAUGGAAUUGCUUCUACCCAUUUCGAUACGUAGUCAACAACAACCAAUAUGUAUUGAUGGCCAAAAGAAGGGGGAAAAGGUCCCAUGAAGUCGAUACCCCAUACGUCAAAAAUCUCAACCACUAAAAUUGGAUUUAGUGGCAUCAUGUUCCUUCGUGUAAUGCUCCCCAUUCGUUGACACCUAUCACAUGAAGAACAAAAAGUGUAAGCGUCUCAAAAUAGUGUUGGCCAAUAGAAACCACAUUGUAAAACUUUAGUCGCUGUUUUCUUAGCACUGAAAUGGCCUCCACAAGCUUGUUCAUGGCAGAAUGAAAGGAUAUUCUGAAUUUCAUUUUCUGGGACACAUCGUCUAACAAUUUGGUCUGCACAAUACUUGAACAAAUACGGAUCAUCCCAAAAGAAAUUCUUUAUUUCCGUAAAGAAUUUAGCCUUGUCUUGCUUGGUCCAAUGCUCUGGAAGUUUACCUGUAACAAGAUAAUUAACUAUAUCAGCAUACCAAGGUAAUACUUCUACACUCAUUAAUUGUUCAUCUGGAAAUGACUCAUUUAAUGGUAAUGGUUCUGUAAUUGUGUCAAAGUGAAGACGAGAGAGAUGAUCCGCCACAACAUUUUCUGUGCCUUUUUUAUCUUUGAAUUCCAAGUCGAAUUCCUGCAAAAGUAACACCCAACGAAUUAGUCUAGCUUUUGCAUCUUUUUUUGUGAGAAGAUAUUUAAGAGCAGCAUGAUCUGUGAAUAUAAUUAUUUUACAACCAAUGAGAUAAGAUCGAAAUUUCUCUAAUGCAAACACUACUGCUAGCAUUUCUUUUUCAGUAGUUGAAUAGUUCAACUGUGCAUCAUUUAAUGUCAUACUAGCAUAGUAAAUAACGUGGGGAAUUCGAUCAACUCUUUGUCCUAAUACUGCUCCUACUGCAUAAUCAGAUGCAUCACAUAUGAGCUCAAAUGGUAAGCUCCAGUUUGGGGCCUGAAUGAUGGGUGAUGAUGUCAACAAUUGCUUUAAUUUUUCAAAAGCCAUAAGACAUGAAUCAUUAAAGAUAAAAGGUUCAUCCUUAGCAAGUAAAUUGCAUAAGGGUCUAGAAACUUUGCUAAAAUCUUUAAUAAAACGUCGAUAGAAACCAGCAUGCCCAAGGAAAGAUCUUACUUCUCUGACUGUUUUGGGUGGAGGAAGAUUAGAAAUGAGAUCCACCUUGGCUUUGUCAACCUCAAUACCUUUGCUUGAAAUGAUGUGACCGAGAACAAUACCUUGUUUUACCAUAAAAUGGCACUUCUCCCAAUUUAAGACCAAGUUCUUCUCGAUACAUCACUGCAGAACUAGCGUUAGAUGAUGUAAACAUUGAUCAAACGAGUCACCAAAGACAGAAAAAUCAUCCAUAAAGACUUCAAGGAAUCGUUCAACCAUAUCAGAAAAAAUGCUCAACAUGCAUCGUUGAAAUGUAGCAGGUGCAUUACAUAAUCCAAAUGGCAUCCUCCUAUAUGCAAAUGUGCCAAAAGGGCAAGUGAAAGUAGUUUUCUCUUGAUCUUUUGGUGCUAUGAGAAUCUGAUUAUAUCCUGAGUAGCCAUCUAGAAAGCAAUAAAAUUCAUGGCCUGCUAAUCUAUCAAGCAUUUGAUCGAUAAAUGGUAAAGGAAAAUGGUCUUUACGUGUGACAGAAUUCAAUUUUCUAUAAUCAAUGCAUACACGCCAUCCUGUAGUCACUCUAGUGGGUAUCAAUUCAUUAUCAGCAUUCGUAACUACUGUGACUCCUGACUUUUUGGGGACAACUUGUACAGGACUGACCCAUGAACUAUCAGAAAUGGGGUAAAUGAUACCUGCAUCUAAUAGCUUAAGGACUUCAGUUCUAACAACUUCUUUCAUAUUAGGAUUUAACCGACGUUGCAUUUCCCUAGUAGAUUUAACAUUUUCAUCGAGGUGAAUGUAAUGCAUGUAGUCUACUGGGUUUAUACCUUUUAUAUCCGCUAUGGUCCAUCCUAAUGCUCCUUUGUGCUCUUUUAAAACAUCCAACAACUUACCUUUUUGUUCGUCAUUGAGGGAUGAUGAGAUGAUUACCGGCAGAGAACUUUCUUCUCCAAAAAAUGCAUAUUCCAAAGUGUUGGGUAAUGGUUUGAGCUCGAGUUUCGGUGGUGAUUCUGAUGAUGGGAUGAGUUUCUUCUCUGAUGGUGCUAGUUGUUCAACUCUUGACUUCCAUUUAUUAGUGUCCAUCGAUGGUGCUGAGUCAAGUAGGGCGUUGACCUCAUCGACCGAUCUGUCAAUAUCAAAAUCCAAACCAAAGUGAGUUAAACAUGUUUGUAAAGGAUUAUCACUAAGGUUUGAAACAAAAGUGUCAUCAACUAAUGCUUCAAUUAAAUCCACAUCAACAAGUCCAUCAUUUGUAUUGUGAGGUUGUUUGGCAUUGUUGAAGAUGUUCAACUCCAUAGUCAUGUUGCCAAAGGACAACUGCAUAUUUCCAGUCCUGCAUUGAAUGUGAGCAUCCGCAGUUGCCAAGAAAGGUCGGCCUAGAAUAAUGAGGAUGUGCUUCCUUGAAUCCUGUAUUGGUUGAGUGUCAAUUACAAUGAAAUCAACAGGAAAAUAAAACUUGUCUACCUGGAUAAGCACGUCCUCCACAAUACCACGAGGUAUUUUCGUGGACCGAUCUGCAAGCUGUAACACCACUGGAGUUGGGUGUAAUUCUCCCAGUCCAAGUUUCACAAACACAGAGUAAGGCAACAAAUUUACACUAGCUCCUAAAUCCAACAAAGCAUUCUCAAUUGUGUGGUUCCCUAUGCUACAUGAGAUAGUGGGGGAGCUUGGGUCUUUGCAUUUUAGAGGAAUUUUAUGUUGGAGUAUAGAACUAACGUUUUCUGUUAAAAAUGCCUUCUUUUGAACAUGCAUGUUUCUCUUUUUAGUACACAAAUCUUUAAGAAACUUGGCAUAAGAUGGAACUUGCUUUAUAGCAUCAAGUAAAGGGAUGUUAACACUUACCUGUUUGAAGAUUUCGAGAAUCUCACCUGUGGAUUUUUCCUUCUUUCCUUUCGCUAACCUCUGAGGAAAUGGAGCUUUCGGAACAUAUUCUCGUGGGUUGGUUUCUUCUCUGUCCUUCGGUGGUGAGUCCUCAGCAUUUACAGGUACAAUUUGAUUUUCUUUUGUCACCAGCAUCUCCACUUUGUUGUCGACUUCUUUUCCUUUUCGCAAGGUCAUGACGGCUUUGACCUCUCCAUGCUGCUGUGGUGAACUGGUACUUGCUUCAUGUACUCCUUUAGGAUUAGGCACUGGUUGACUUGGAAAUUUACCUUUCUCAACAGUCAUUGCCAAGGUCUGAACUGAAGAAGCGAGUUGUCCCACCAUCUUCUCAAGGCUUGAAACUGAUUGGGUUUGUGAGUUGAAGCCUGCUCGCAACUCAUUUCGUAGUCCAUCAAUGGUGCGGUUCUGUUGCUCAAUCGUGGAGUGAGUAAGAUUCUUGAGAUUCUUGAAUGAAUCCUCCCAUGGUCUGGGUUGAGAGUAAUUCUGGUUCUGAUUGUAUGGUCUAAAUGGGGGCUGAGAGGCUUGAGGAUUUUGAGGAAUUGGUGGAGCUGGAGCUGCUGGUCCAUUCUGUUGGAAUCCUUAAGACCAUGAAAAAUUGGGGUGGUCUCUCCAUCUAGGGUUAUAUGUGUUGGAGUAUGGGUUGUAAUUUGAUGGUUUUCUCAUUACACCUAUGGCAUUGGCUUGAUCUGAGUAUGAGUCAUGGUCAUGUGGCUCUGUUGAUUUAGCAGUUGAUAACGAUGCUAUUUGUCGAGAGAGACCUUUAAUUAUUGCUUUGACUUCUUUAAUUUCUGAACUGGAUUCGCCAAUGUGAACCUCAUUUACUCCCUCAAUUCUUCUAGUAUUCCUGAGUGACCGACUCCGUUGUUGGGAAUUAUCCGCUUGUUGCUGGAAGAAUUCCCAAAUCUCUGAUGCACUUUUUGACAUUAGCUCUCCUCCACUUGUUGCCAUUAGCCAUUCUUGCACAUUUGGUAGUAAUCCCUCCAAAAAGUAUUGGCAUUGGUGCCAUUUCUCGAACCCAUGAUGUGGACACUUCAAGAGUAGCCCAUUGAAUCGCUCCCAUGUUUCGAAAAACUGCUCGUCAUCUCUCUGGGUAAACUCUGAGAUUUCCCUGCGAAUAGCAUUGGUUUUAUGCACUGGGAAAUAUUUAUUCAAAAAUUUCGUUACCAUUUGUUCCCAUGAUGAAAUGCUAUUAGCAGGUAAAAUAUUUAACCAUGAACGAGCUCUAUCCUUUAAAGAAAAUGGGAAUAAUCUAAGUUUAACAUCAUCGUCUGAAAAAUUUUCAUAUUUAAAAGUUUGACAAAUUGCAUGAAAAUCAUUCAGAUGAUUAUAUGGGUCCUCAUUUUCUAGGCCAUAGAAUGUUGGGAGACAAUUUAGCACACUAGGUUUUAGUUCAAAACUCCUAGCAGCUACAUUUAGGUAUCUUAUGCAUGAUGUGCUCAAAUUAGCUAAAGGACUAAAGGAGUCCUUAAAUGGCCUCUCCUGUGGUUGCAAAUCCAUUUUAUUUUUAAAUUGUUUGUGUGUGCGAAGUGUUUUUUCUAGUUCAAGGUCUAUAGGUUCAAGAUUAGGUGAUAAUGACCUACGACCAUGCAUGCAAAAUAAAUAAAAUGAAAAUAAAGAUGGGAACAAAACAAAUAAAAAUAAAGAAGAGGGAGAAAUUACGAUACUAACCUUAUUGCGCUAUUACAACCUUUCUAUAAAAAUACACAAAAAAAAAUACGUGAAAUAAAUUAACUAAAAAUUAAAUUAAUAAAAUAAACAAAAAUUACAAAGAAAAAAUAAAUUGAAAAUUAAAUUACAGAAUUUUAAAGAAGAGAAAAAGAAAAGAAAUACUAACCUUUAUAUGUAGAUUCACUUUUUUUCUUUUUUCUUUUUAAUAAUUAAAAAAAAUACAAGAAAACAAAUAAAAGAAAUUAUUGACAAAAAUUAAUUCUAUGAAUUAAAAUUACUUACCUCCCCGGCAACGGCGGCAAAAACUUGUUGUGCAAAUUUUAAUGUACUCGCAAGCGCACGAAUCUAUUGUAGUAUAGACUAAUGGUGACGAGUGUCGAUCCCACGAGGAGGUGGAUUUUAAUUAUAUGUAGAAUUAAUUUUGUAAAUGGGUGGUUGGAAUUGUGGUGGAAGUGAUUUAAAUUAUCCUAAAAUUGGAAUUGAAAUGGCGAUAAUAAAUUCUAAAAUUGGAAUUGCAAUGGCGAGAAUAAAUUGAAGUGAAAUCUAUUGAAAUAACGUACUUGGGUAUCUGGAUCCAUAUCAACAUGCAUCAUGGGCUAAAUAAUCCGUAUUAAUGCCAAUUAAAUCAUGAGAGGGGAAUCCACACCUCAUGAACCACGCUCUAAUCAAUAUGGUGCUAAGGGCUUAUCGUGCCAAAUAAUAAUAACCUUGUACUAGAGAGCCGGUGUAACCAAGGCGGUACUAGACAAGAUUAGUAUUAUUUAUCGACGAGAAGUCAAAACAUCCACAAAAACUAGAGGGGAAGAGAAAAUAAAUUUACCAAAUAAAGCCCAUGACACAUGUUGAGACUUCACCUUCAACCCAAGCUUGAAAGAAAAUUAGCCACUCAUAAUUGAACUAGGGGCAAAAUGGGAAUUUAUUAAAAUACGAAGAGAAUACAAGAUGGAGAGAGAAUUACAGAAAAUGGAUCCCAAAAAUGGAUUCAAAGAUAUCAAAUUAGGGGGGGGAGGCCCCCUUUUAUAGAUACAUCGAGUAAAUCAUGGCCAUCGGAUUAAAAACAGUUUGGACGCUCAGGAUUGUGCCACGUCAUCAGUCAACAGUACGCGGUUUGACCACGUGGAUGAACAGUAACACGGUUUGACCCGGGUGAACAGUGACGCGGUUUGGUUGAAAAUAAUCCUGUGUGAUGCAUGUACCGUACGCGAGAUUUUUCGUCCACUGAUAUGCUGCCACAUCACCAUCAACAGUACAUAAGAAUUUUAGCCCAAUAGGAUCGUGACACCUCAUUUUUCAAUGCCACAUCAUCGGUCAAUGCCACGUCAUCGGUCAAUGCUACGUCAUCGAUCCGUCUAUGUGAACAGUAACGUAGAUAGUACCUUACAUGUGGAUAGUGCCAUUUUUCCUUUUAUGCUCCUCCUAAGGUUUUCGACCGUCCUGAGUUCAAAAGUGAUGUCCGUUUUGCCAUCUGAUCUCUCGUUUAUUGUGAAAUAACUAUGAUGCCCCUAAAAUACAUAAAAUACUUAAUUAAAAUUGAACACACAUAAUUAUAUUGCAAAAAGCUUAAAUACAUAAAAGUAAUGGUUGUUAGUAAACUUGAAAUGUAAAAUGAUGAUUUUCUCCUUUAUAAAUAUGCAUUUUCUAACACUCAACAACAACAAAGGAAAAAAGAGCAAAGAAUAUGUACAAUCAUCACUUGGACAGCACAGGAUAUGCUGGGUUGUUGCAUAAAAGAGUAAGUAUAAUAACCACUCUAUACAAACUGAUGACAUUUUUAAUACAAAUAAUAGGAUGAUUCAUAGCAGUUUUCAAUUCAAUUUUUGUUGAAUUAUUACAACAGUUGGACCUCAGAGUUACUGAGUGCGAGAUUGACCGCAAUGAAGCCUGGUUAUUGGCUCACAGGAGAAAAGAUGGAACUUAUACACCUGAAGUGCAUCAAGUGGCUGAGAGAAUUGUAAGUUUCCACCACCAUAGUCAUUAUUUAACUUAUUUGUUUUUUUAUUCCUAAUUUUGAUCAAAUUAUUUUUGUAUUUAUUUUGUAGAGUGAGCUAAGAAGUCAAGUUGAGUAGGGAACGUUCCAAUCCCAAGGACCGAAUGAUAUCCUAGGUGAAGCACUUCAAAAGAAGCCUAAUGGAAGUCGGGUGCAAGGAUUUGGUCAAUUCAUCACCCCAUCCAUGUAUUUCAAUGUUCCUGACCCCACGGAGUUGGCGCGAGAACAGAGAAUGUAUCAGGAGAGUUUUCAGUUUAUGCAAGCUCAAUUAGAUCAAAUGAAUGCAAGGAUAAAUGCCUGCAACAACACUGAAGUUGGCAGUUCCAACUUUCCUAACUCCAAAGGUGAUUUGCAGUGUUAAGAUGGAGAUAGAUCGUCGAUCACCCAGCAAAGUUACUCCAAAGUCAGUGACUAAAAACCCCAAAGCAACUCCAAAGUCAGUGACCAACAACCCCAAAGCUACCCCAAAGUCAGUGACCAACAACCCCAAAGCUACCCCAAAGUCAGUGACCAACAACCCCAAAGCUACCCCCAAGUCCAUGACCAAAGUUAGUCCAAAGUCAGUGACCAAUGACCCCACUAUUUGUCCAAAACCUGACAAAAACAUCAACACACCUCCCCUGCCAUCCCCUGCACAGAAUCCACCUCUAGUAGUUUGUGAAGCCACUUCAAAAAUCACCCCAAGAAGAUCUCCAAGAUUAACUCCUUCAAAGUGAAAAGUGGAUGGCCGAAAGUCUCCUACAAAUGCCGUGGUAUAUCUGUAUGAAUAGAAACGAACAACAAAGGAACCCGUUGUUGUAAAACCAGUGACAGCAAGGAAACUAGUUUUGAGAAUGAAUACCUGUGGAGCUGUGAAAGCAAGAAAAGAGAACAAAAGUUCACAAAUGAACAUCUUUUCUUUGAUGAUUGAGAGCUCCCUGCCACGGACGAUUAUGAUUGCCCAUGAUUUGAAGACUUUUGGUGUCUACUGGGAGAGUAGAUUGGACGAGCAAAUUUGCAAUGAAGUCAUUGAGUUUACAGAGCUCUCAAAUUCUGUUUUGGAGAUAUGGAUUAGGUAAGAAAUAAAAAACUUGAUUUAUGUUUUUACUAUGUUUUCUAAUUUUGCAAACUGUCAUUAAUUUAUUUCUUAUAUUCAUGUCAUGAAAGUUUCUUUUUUUAAUAGACACUUGUAUGAAGAGAUGGAUAAUGGUAGUGGUGUUAUUCGAAUUCAAUUUGGAUGCAUAGCUAAGUUACAGCCAAGUCAAGCAAGCUACCCAAAUAGGUGUUCUUAUAUUUCAGACCUUUUGGACAAGAUUCAAAUAGCCCAAAUAAUUGUCUUCCCAUAUAACCCAGGGUAUAGUUUAUUUAUUUUUUGUCUAUUUUAUUUUUUAACAUAAAUGAUUUAAAUUUAUCUUGUAAUCUGUUUUUUUUUUUUUACUUGUUUGUUUAGUGGCCACUGGGUGCUAGUAACAAUUGGUAUGGUGAGGCGAAAAAGUUAUUAUCUUGAUCCAUUAGGUGAUAAUCUUGAUGAUGAGUUGAAGCAAAUGGUGAAUGAGUAAGUUUAAUUAGUAUACUUAAUUCUUUGUCAAAUAUUUAUGUUGUAGAUUAAUUUGUUGCAUCUGUUAUUUAUUAUUUAUAGUGGGAUAACAAUGCAUCAAGUGAAGAGUAAUAAAAAGAAGGCUGUGCAGUGGGUCUCUGUGAAGGUAUUAAUGAAACAAAGUUUUGAUUUCCAUUGUUACUUCAUCAGUAUAUUUGAAACUAAGUUUUUUUUUUUUAGUGUCCGAAACAACCUGGAACCUUUGAAUGUGGUUACUAUGUGAUGAAGUACAUCCAGGAUAUUGUUCGCGAUUUGUGCAUUCUUGAAAACAAUGUGAGUUUCUCCAGAACUUGUUUAAUAUUUUUUCGAAGAAUGCAUUGUGAAAUGGAUUUUCUUAAGUGAAUUGUGAAGAUGGUUAAUGGGUGAACAGUUUGCUGCUUUAUGCUUGAAACUAGCAAUAUAAUCAUAUCUUGUGCUAGGGAUUAGAGGAAGUGUUGUGUAUGUUUAGGAUAAUCACAUACACUUUAUUUGCCAUAUUUAUUAUAGGUAAAAGCUAUAACGCUAUAUACAUUUUACUGAAUGCAUUCAACAUGUUUGGAAAAAUUAAUGCCAAUUUUUACUGUGUUCUACUAUGUAUUUAAGGCACUUUAGUGUAAACCAAAAUGACUGGAGCUGUUGCAUGUACAAAUAGAAUACAUAUAAAUCUCAGUGUUCAGAGUUAAAGUAUUAUUGAGCAAUCAUUGGAGCUGCUGCAUGUACAGAUAGAAAGCAUAUAAAUCCCAGUGCUGAGUGUUAGAAGUAAUAUUGAGUAAAGCAAAUUAUAUAUUAUAAAUUAUCAGCUUCUUAGAUAGCUUUGGUAACUGUUGUUUGCUAUGGUGAUACAAUUUAUUUGCAUGUUCUUCAGUUUUAAUGUUAAUCGUAGCAAACUUAAAAAUAUAUGUUUUUAUUGUGUUGUUUUAUUUUAGGACAGAUUCUAUAAUAUAUGAAUACAUUUUGUUGCUUUAUUUUUUAAGUUCAAGGGCUGUAAUGAGUACACUAUGGACGAUCUUUCGCAACUUCGCGAUCAGUGGGCCAUGUAUGUUGCAAAGUUACUUGUAGCAUACAAUAAUGAGGUAAAUUAUAUUUUUGCUUGUAAAUAUCAAAGAAUUGAUUUUUGUAGCAUAGUGGCUAAUUGAUUCUAUAUACUACAAUUAUAGGUGGGAAAGGUGAAGGGAAAGGCAAAGGUCAAAGAGUAGAGAUGUACUGAUUGUUUCCUGCAAACUGUCAUUAUGUGUUCAUGUAAAUAUUUGACAUGUUUUCAAACAAUAUUUUAGAUAUUUGUAUUACUAUUUUAUUUGAUACCUAUUUAAAUGUUAGUAGGAAUGUUAUAUACUUAUAUUUAAUUAUUCAAAUUUGUCCUUUAGUUUAAUUUGAAUAGAUUUUCUUUGAAUACCAAUAUUUGUUUGGCAAAACUAAAAGAAUAAUGAAAAUAAUCGAGUAACAACAAUAAUUUCAGCAUCUUUUCUUUGAAGCCAUUGACGCUAAAAAAUGUUUCAGCAUCAUAAUAUUAGUGAUGCUAUAGUAUUGCAAAUUGCUGACACUGAAGUAUUAGUAUUCGUUCAUUCUAUCAUGUCAUCUCCCAGUGUAAAACAAACUAAUGACGUGUAAUAAUUGUUAGUAAAUACUAUCACUAUAGUGUCAUAAUAUUUUGUGAUACUAUGGUGAAAGUAACUUUUAACAAGCGAUCAUUAUCAGUAAUUACUAAUACCAUAGUGUCAUAAAUCUGGUAAUACUAUAGUAAUAGUAAUCACUAACACCAAUUACAAGUGUCACUAUUUUUCUGACUCCCAGAUUACUGACACAAUUAAUAAGUGUCAGUGAAAGUAAUUUCUGACACUAUUCUAAAGUCAGUAAAAACCAUUUUUCUAGUAGUGUAAUUUUGUCCAAUUCACGAACUAACUAAAUAAAUUAAUAUAAAAAUAAUUUUACUGCCGAUCAAAUUUAAAAUUAAAUAAGAUUUAAAUAAAUUAAUUGUUUAAAUAAAGCUAGAAAAUACAUUUAAAGUUUCAAAACAUAACACACCAAAAUGAAAAAAAAAAUCUCAUCUGUUUAGAUCAGUAUAUGGAAAUUAACUGUUUACAAAGCUAUAUUUGUUUAUUUAAUUAUUUUUAUUUUAUAUUAUUAUCGGAUAAGAUGUAAUAUAGUGUUAAUGUAACUAUAUUUUAACUUAUUUAUCUACUAACAAGUACUAAUGACAUAUUUACAAGUUUUAAUUUUUAAUUAAAUAAAUACUUCUUAUUUUUUUGCGGAUUCGCGGAUUUUAGCGGAUUUGCAGAAGUAGAUCCAUAUCUAAUCCAUCGAUUAUGGAUUAUCAAAAUUUCAAUCCAAUCCAAUCUAAUCCAUCAAUCCGCGGAUCGAAUUUUUACGGAUCAUAUUUUUACGGAUCAGACGGAUUGAGCGGAUCAACUUAGAUUCUGAACACCCCUCCUUGCCACUAAACGCAAUUGUAUAUUCUCGACCUUAUAAUUUUCUCCCAUUUCCGUAUUGUCGACGUUGAGUGCAUGUAAUUCACGAGUUUGAUUCAGCAGAAAAUAGCCAAAAAUCUAAUGACACCCACGUCCAAAGAUGCCGUUGUCACAAAGGCCUGGACUGCAGACCUGAAACCCAUCCUCUUUUACCAUAUUUUAUAGUUAAAGAGGUCAUUGUUGGAAAGAAAAGAAUGAUAUGUUGGUAUGAAAUUACGUUAAAAUGUAUAUAUCACUUUUUUUUUUUUUUGCGUGAGUGAUGGCUUCGUUUAAUGACAAUUGGUCGACAAUGGGUCAUCUUUUAAUCUCAUAAGGGGUUAAAAUACAAUUUACCCAAAAAUUAGUGUUAAAAUUUUAUAGAUGAGUGUAUAUUAAGAUGUUCAAAGUAUUAGUUUUAAUAAAAUUUUGCCACAUAAUGAAUAUUAUCCUCAACCUCAAGAGAAACAUAUCAAUAAAAUAUACAAAAAUAGAAUGCAUUAGUACAUGUCAAUAACAAGACCAAUUAGAUCAUGUCAUAUUUGUUAUGUGGUUAUUUUUAAAUUAAGAAAAGGAACAAUGAUAGUCUUACAAAGUUUGAAUAUAAAAUUUAUAAUCUAAAAUUAAUGAUGCGACAAUUAACGUGUUAUUAAGCUAGUAGAGAAAGAAGUCCCAAAUUCAUUUACAUCAUAUCUUGCUAAAGAAAACGGUUCUACCCGGAAUACUUCUUUGUAUUGAAAUCAAUUAUGAUUGCUUGUUUAAAUCAUGAAAGUUAAAAUAAUUUUGUAAAUAAUUUCAUUCUUUAAUUUACGGUAUACAAAUAAAUUAAAAAAAAUGUUAAUUUCUCUCAUACUUUUAGGAUUUAAAAAAUAGCAAAAAGUCUUAACAUAUUUAAUGGUUAUAUAUAAAUCAUCCGUACGUAUUUUCUUGAGAGAAGCUCAAUUCGAUAGACAAUGCUCCCCUUAAUUUUCUUUUCUAGUUAGAUAAAAGAACAAAAGAAAUUGAUUACAAGAAUUCACGACGAAGUCACCUUGGUCUACCUGAUAUAUAUUACAGAGGUAAGCUUCUUUUUAAUGCCAAACUAGAAUAACAAACUUUAAUUUACUUCUUAAAGGAUAAAAACCUCAAUUUGUGCUUAUAUUUGUUCAAAAGAUAAGGAACACACACACACAUACAUAUUGUCUUCUUAAUGUACACAAGUUAAAUUGAUGUUUCACGUUUUUUAGAAAACAAUUAAAGAUUGUCAUUCUAAGUAGGAGGUAAAUUUCAAAUAAAGCAUGUGUUCAUAUGAUAGAUGUGCAUUUUACAAAUUACAAUAAUUAAUAAACAAAAAGGGUAGUGAUAUUUUCACCCUGCAAUUUUUUUAAAUCCACCUCCACUCCCAAGAAAUAAUUACAAUAAAUUCACAUAAUUUUUUAAAAAUUCAAAUAAAGAAAAAUUUUGGAGAUUUAAACUAUUAGAUACAAGUGGAUAAGCGUAAACAUUUUUCAUGCAGUAUAAAAAGAAUGCAACAGCUCCUUUUCUUUUGGUAUUUUCGCAACAAAAGCACACUUAAUAACUCAUCAAAUUAUUCCUCCUUUUCUUUGAUCGCUUCCCCUCUCCUGGAGCUGCUGAAACUCCUUUGUUGCUGAUGAAGUGAAACAACAGGUGAGGCUUUUUAAGAGACCACAAUACGUAUAAAGAGGAACUAAUUACACUAUCAAUGGCUCAAGGUUACCUUAAUGCAGAAGAAGGCAAAGAGAUGGAGAUUCGAUUCGAUUCGAUCCGAUAAUAGUAGUUUAUUUUAAUUUUUAUUCAUUUCAUUUCAUAGUGGUAAUUUUAUUUUAUUUUAUUGUUGAAAAUUGGUAAAAACAAACUAAAAUGAGAUAAUUACAUUAAAACAAUCUUCAAUGACUAAAGUAAUUUGAAUAAAAAAAACUCAAAAUAAACAAGCUCAAAAUUUACCCCUAAUUUGAACAUUAUUCGAAUUCAACCUAAUUGACCCAAAUCUGAUUUUAAUCCAAAUCGGACAUGACUGGCAUAUAAUUAUAACCUGUUCAAAUCCAAACUCAACCUAAAUUCUUAAUUCAAUGCGAUCCAAUUCAAAUAUUCCAACCCAAUCAAAUUGAAACUUGAUCGGGUUGAUCCAAACCUGAAUUUGCCACUUACAUAGGAGACCAUGACCCUAAAGGUUUUGAAAAAAUCUUUGAGGUUUGUAAAUGAAAUAUUAAAAGUUGGGUAUAAAAAGAUUGAUUCGACCGUAAGUAAACUUGAUAUAUAAAUUUCAUACAUUAUAUUUUGUGAAAUAAAAUCAAAGUAACCCGGCUGUUUGAAUUUUUUAUUAAUUACUUUCCAUUAUGACAAAAUGACAAAUAGGCUUUAUUAAAAGUUUAAUAAAGUUUGUGCCUAACUCUUAAUUUUGUUUUCAAUUAUUCUACAUUUUGUUUCUUACUUGCAGCAAUAGCUUCAAUUAUCAAUCAAAGCCUCCAAAUCAAAAUCACUGCAACCUGUAGCUACAAGCAAAAUUCUCAAAUUUUGAAAUUUCUAAUGACUACAUAAUAGCUAUAAAUAGAAAAAUCAUCUAAAAUUAAUCCCCCAGCUGGCAAAAAUAUUAGUUUUGCAGGUAUUGCGAACUAUGUUUUUCUUUGUAUUUUCUGCCCAAGGAUGAAGAAAUUUCCUUCAACUUUUAUGGUGAAUUACGAACAUAUGACAGUUAACCGUUGGCAGUGACUUGUUUAAAACGAAAAAAACACUUUAAAGCAAUAGGAGAUAUAAUAACCUUUAUUCCUUAGAAAAAUCUAUCAGAUAUAUUAUGCCUCCGACUGCUAUUAAUUGCUAAAAAUAAUCAUAAUUAAUGAUUACUGAGAAAUAAACUGCUAUUAAUUGCUAAAAAUAAUCAUAAUUAAUUAUUACUGAGAAAUAAGUAGUUAUUUUUUUAUAUAUAUUACACUGGUAAAAGGUUGGAUAAAAUUUAAAAUAAUUUUAAUUUUUAAUCUUUUUUGCCAUUUCGAAUUUGAAACUCGAGAAGUCAACUAAAUAAACCUUCUUCAGAGGCUGAUUAAAUUCUUAGUAAUUUCAUAUAAUUUCAUUUCGUCAGAACAAUUUUCCAAAAGCAAUUUUAUAAAUGGUUGUCGAAAGCUUUGUUCCUUAAUUAUCUUUCAUGUAUUUUCUUUGUAAUAUGAGGCGAGUCCAUAGACCAUAAUAUGAUAUUUAUUGUAAUUAAAAUCAAUAUGGAACUGAUUUUAUUCUUUUUUCUCAAACAAAGUAUCUAACUGCAGAUGUAAUAAAUCACUAAUUACCAUUAUUUGAGUCGCACUCUUUGAAUUAGAUCUUGGAGUUUCAAAUGACCAAUUAAUUAGUGAGAUAAUGGCUUUUGCUUUUGUCUACCUGAUAAUAAAACUUGUCCACCGUAUAGAGAAGAAAUGGACCGGAUCCACACGCUAUACACGCUAUAGCUAAAUUAAAAAAUUUAUGUGGAGUUUUAUUGCAAGACAUUUUUAACUGAAUAGACAAAGUAAAAUUUCAUCACUUUUAUUUGAACGAUAAAAUGUCUGAAUUGAAAAUGAGUUUUCUUCUUACAAAUACACUCAUUAAAUAUAUUUAUUUCCUGCUUAGCUAUUAGAUGUCAUAUUAGAAUUUCCCUUGAUCUCAAAUUUUACUUGGUAUUAAAUACUUAACAUGCGUUCAAUUGAAAUUUUAAAAAAUUUUCUUUUGUUAUUAGAUAACAACUUUUUUACAUAUAAAUAUUAUCCUAGAUUGUAAAAAAUAAUUUUUCAUAAACUAUAUAUCAAAUGCUUCCUUUAUAAAUAUUUAUAACAUAUAAAAAUUAUUGUACCAUAUACUACUGGAAAUGUAAAUCUAUUUAAAACUUCAAGUAUAUACACUACCUUCUAGCUCAUAAGAGUAAAAAUAUUAGAUUUAAGAUGCUUUAAAUUUGUAAAAACAAUCAACUUACCUCUUAUACUCAUACAUCAAAAAAAAAAAAAAAACAAGCAUAUUGAUUUGAUAUAUGCAUUCAAAUCUAUUUAGACUUCAGUAACAUUUAAACAUGUUUAGAUUUCAAAUAAAAAAACAAGUUAUAUAAUAGUUGGGGAUAUAUAUUUGUGGGGAAUGACAAAUAUAGAUAGUUGCAAUAACAAAGGGGAAACUUUAUUAUAAUAAAGUAAUGCAUUUACAACUCUGUAGGCACUACAAGAUAUAAUAGCAAUAGGUAAACUACAGAAAAUUAAUGUGCAUAUCAAAGCACGUUACAAAUGCUGCUUUCCUUAACAAGGGAUGUCCUAUUCUAGAAGAACAAUACAGAGGAGAAGACUGGCAUAAGAUAUCUCACAUUCACCACAUUGAGUUGGAAAUUCUUGAACGGUUGCAAUUACUAUCCCCAGCAGGUAAUUUCUACUCCUCUAUUUUACUUCGUUGUUUCUUGUAAUGAAUUUAAUAAUGAUGAUGAUGAUUAUAUUUUGAAUUAAAUUUCUAUAUUUUUCCAAUGUCUCAUAGGAAUAUGCAAUAUUUUCUAAUAUUUUGAUUUUCAUAUUGAAAAUAAUUAUUUACUUUAACCAUUAAUUUAAUUUUUUUUUUUAGUGCACGAUAAUUAAUUUGUUAUGUGGAACUUCCCUAGAGACAGAAUUUUCGUGAUGCUUUGCAGUAGUGUUGAAAUUCUGUAAUUAACUUAAUAAUAAUAAUAAUAGUAAUAAUUAUAUUUUGAAUUAAAGUUCUAUGAAAAUGUUCUGCUGGUAAUUCACUUGCAUUAUUUUGUAGAAUUUCAUUUCCAUCUUCUUCUUUGUUGUGUAUAAACAAGAACAGAGAAGUAAAUAAUUGAACCACAGAGAAGUAAAGAUAUAUCAAAACUUGCUAAUACUAUGAUGUUAAAGCAAGCACAAGCACUCGAUUCACUACUAAUAUUGCGUUGCAUUUUUAUCUUAUUUAAUUUAUAGAAUUUUCAUUUCCACCUGAGUUGCAUUUUUAUUUUAUUUUUAGGUUGAUUUUGGAGACUCUAUGGAGAACAUUGGGGUAACCAAUGAUUAUCACUGUAGUUAUUGUGCAACGUUUGGUCUGCUCUGUUUCAAUUUGGAUGGAUAGCUGCCUGAAAGAUAUGAUGAUUAUUAUUGCAUGAAGUUUAGGUGCUGAAAACAUCAUUUCUUUCUUGUUUCAUUCUCUGAUUCAUUUAUCCUAUAUGAACAUAUUGAAUUAUGCUAAUACUGUCAUCUUUUCACACAAUUUUCACCGUUGGUUGCAAUAACAAUUUGAGUUACUCAAAAGCUACAAAGCGAAGCACACGUGGGCUGAUCAUAUGCUUCCAUGGAGGAAGGAAUCCGGUGUUGACGUUAUUGUGCAGGUAACCACAGUUCAUAAUUUGCCCAAAUCUACAUUGCCAGAAUAACCUUUAAUAUUCAUUGUGUUUGUUUGUGUUACCAGGCUAUCAUGAUCUGUAGGAGCGUUUGCAAUAAAGUUACCAGCUCGUGCAAUUGCACAUUCAUUCGGAGUACAAUUUUGGAUUUUCAAGGUUUGUAUGUUUAGUUGCGAUUAAAAUGUUUAGUCACUCAUUCGCAAUCUCUUCUGAUUUUCAAAUUAUUUAAUUUGGGUCCAUAAACAGUUUUCAGCUCAGUGAGAAUUUCCUUUUUUAUUUUUUUUUCAAAAUAUGUUUCAAUGCUUGUAGUGAUAACAAUUUCAUAUCUUGCAUCUCCAAAGUUCAUCAUGUUCAAGGGUUUGAAAAACUUUUGCAGUAAAGCUUCAGUGCUUCGACAAUGGCUGUGAAGAGGCACAUUCAAUCCGGUACGUUUUGAGAGUGGUAAUAAUUGAAGAAAGUUAUUAUCUUAACUGAAUUACAGGUGAUAAGAUGUUGCUUGAAUUCAGCAAGCAUCUCAUCUCAAUUCAAAAAAAAAAAAUUGUGUUUUUCUGUUUUUACGUGAAAAGCCAAUAAUAAGAACUUGAUUGACAAUGAAUAUGGUUCUUAGAAAGGGUUAAAUAUUGUCUUAGUUUAUACUUAAUUCUUGUGUUAGUUUCUCUUGAUUGAGAUUCUUUACACUAUGAGCACUAAUAUCAAUUCUUUCAUAAUUUUGACUUGAAAUUUGAAAUUGACGCAGCUUGAGUUGAGAAUUUUAGAUAGAGUAAAUGACUGUUUGUCUUGAUUCUUAUCUCCACAAUACACAAUAGUAUACACAGGCGCCAAAGUCAGAAAUAGCUACCUAUAACCCUUAAGAGUGAAGCUAUCCUUGAGUAAUUUGGGCCUAUGUACCACAAGUAUGUAGAGGAUAAUCUACCAUGAGAAGAAGGCUACCUUAAGGGGUAGAGUGAAAGCUCCUGACUAUGGUUAAAAAAAAAAAGAGAAAGAAAAAAAAUGAAAUCAAGUGCAUGUGCUAAAAAAAAUCAAAAGAAAAUGCACAUAAAAGCCUGUGAGAGGAAAAAAUUGGAGAUCAAGAUGAUAAGAUUAGUUUGACCUAUUCUUUUCUUUGUUUGAGGCGAAGGCUGUUGAUGUUGAAGAUUUUUGGGAAUGAAUUUGAUUGAAUUGAUUUCACACACACAUACAAGAAUUGAAAGAGAGAUGGGAUUGAUUAUUAAAUUAAAGUUAGAACUUUACCAAUAUUUGAAAUUUUCUUUGAGCUAUAUAAUUUAUGCAAUCUUUUAGGCCAUCUUCAUGUUUUGUUUAAAGCUCGUUGUUCUUUUCAUUUUAUUUUUAUUUUUUUAAAAAAUAAUGUUUGUGGGUAUUAUGACUGAAGCCCUCACGAGACUAUAACUCGUCCACUAGGGCCGCCUAGGGGUUUAAAAGCUUGUUGCAUACACUAAAUGCAAUCGCGAUUACCUGUGAAAAUAGUUUAGUUAGGAUUUACUUUUUGUUUCAUUAUUUUUAUUUUUGCUUUUAGUUUUAGUUUUGCUCGAGGACUAACAAAAUCUAAGUUUGGGGGUAUUUGAUGAGCAUAAUUUAUAUACAUAUUUUAUCUUUUAUUAUAUAUUUGCUAGUUAUUUUAUUUCUUAUUUUUAAUUAAUUGUAUUAUUUUAUUGAAUAAGAAAUUAAUUGGAGAUUGUGGAUAAAAAAAGGCAUGAAGAAGUUCAAAUUGAGAAGGAAUAAAGAUUAAAAUUGGAAGAUAAAAAUACAGUCAAGAAUUGAUAGAACCGAGCGGAAGAAAUCAAAACAAUUAAUCCAAUUGAGAAAUGUUGAAUAAUUAAAAGAUUUAAUUUUUCCAAUUGGCAAUUGGAGUGCACGUGCAUGGCAUUGCAAAAGUGGAAAGCAAUUUAAAUGGGCCCGUAAUUGACUUUCAAAAGUUGGAAUUAAUGGCUUUUGGUGGCGUUAAAUUGGAAAAGGAUUUCAAUUAGAAUUGAAAAAGGAUUUCUUUCGAGUUGUUGGAGAAGAAUUCGGUCAACUAGCAUUAUAAAAGGAAGGCCGCCAGAGGACAAAGGGAAAAAAAAAAGGGGAGACGCAAGGCUGGGCAGAGAAGAAGAAUAGCGAGAGUAGCAACAAUUCGGCUUCUCCAUGGCUGUUUUUAUUUGUUUUGUUUCUCCCAAUUCAAGUAUGUCUAGCUAAUUUUCUUAUUCUGAUGUUAAAGAUGAAACCCUGUUCAAUGAAAUAAUUAUUUUAUUUAUUUAUUUAAUUUCCUAUAUAUGUUCUUUAAUGAUUAUGGUUAAUUUUUAUUUCACAUGAUUAAUUGGAUGUUAUUAAAAUCUUUUCAUCAAUUCUGUCAUGCAUUAUUGAUUGUUAGGAUCAAUAUUCGAUUAAAUCUAUGCUUGGAUCUAUAAAGUUUAUACAUGAUUAUCUUUGAUUCUAUGUCUUUCAUUAAAUUGUUUACACAGAGUACUUAGGAAAACUUUGACUCUUUGUUAUUCAAUAUGUUUACAUGGGACACUUAGAUAUCAUAUUAUUAAGCAGAAAAAGAACCUACACAAGAUUAAUUUUAUUUGGGCUUAAUUGUUAUAUCCAUGAGAUGAUAUAGAUUGAUUUCGAGAUGUCACUCUAAAAUUGAGGAUUAAUGAAUAUUUAGAUAAUUACUAGUUGAAUAGUGGUGGAUUAUAAAACCUUGGUAAUUCUUAUCUUAUUGAAUUCUCCUUUAUUUUAAUUGCUUCCUUAGUUUAAUUGGUUUAAUUUUCUUAGAAACUCAAUUUUGUCAACUAGGUUAGAAGUAAUAUUAAGUUUAGAUUUAAAUUAGACUUUUCAAUUUAUAACAAUCCCUGUGGAAUCGACCUCGUUACCACUAUUCUAUCUCUAGAUUCGUGCGCUUGCGAGUACAUUAAAAUUUUCAAAACAUUAGGCUUUUGGCUUUAUAUGUUAUUAGAGCUAUCCCUUUUGAGAGAUGUCUCAUCAAAUUUGAGUAGAGAAUCUUUGAUAAGAAUUUUGUGUGAAGAGUUUCACUAUAGUGAUAAUUGAGAGCUUGAAGUCUCUUGAGAAGAAGAAAGAAUCAUUAUCCUUCCAAUAUUUGUAAGCUCUCGCUUGUUAGUAAAAUCAUCUUUGUAUAUUGACUCUGCUUUUUUGUUAUCAGGUAGAGUAUGAUCUUCAAGGUUUUGAGAAAGUCUUUGCAGUGAAGUUUCCACCACAUGCAACUGCUGCGGAGAGGCAUAUACAUUUGAGUAAUUCAGUUUUCGAUUUUCAAGGCGUGUAUUUUUAGUUAGUUUCGAUUAAAAUAUUUAGUCGCUCAUUCUAGAUCUUUUCUAAUUUUCAAGUUCCUUAGCGCCACAACCAAUUUUUCAAGUCUGUAUGUGGCUGCAAAAAGAUUGAUGGCCAUAAAAUUAUCUUCGGCGUUGAGGCAUCGCGUUUGAGCACACACAAAAACCGAGCUAGGGGAAAAGAGCUUGAAAGUACAAGAUACUCAAAAUAUAGCAGAAGUAUAUUUCUACUUAUUGUGGCUAUUUUACUUUUGUUUCUUCCGUCAUCAUAUUUGAUUAAUUCGUUCAAAUUCACACUCUCAGUCAUUAUUUAAAACCAUUUUCAGGUGGCUUGCAAGCUAAAUAAGUUAAUGCAAAAACAAUACUCUAGACAAAGAUGAGCAAAUUGAAGGUGAUCAAUGCAUAUAUAGUUGCCAAGUCACUUAUUCUACUUCAUUCCUUACGUGAUUCUGGAUUUGAAUUUCCAUAACUGAUUGUUGGGUUGGUGCAGAUUUUCUUAAAAGGGCCGUUAAGCUACCUUCUGAAAUUGGAAAGUUCUUAUUGCUUGAAAGCAAGCAGCAUCUUCUGUUGCGAAGGCUUUCCCUGAAACGACCCACCCCGAAUCCCCCCAGGCGAGUCUAUCUAGUCUCAUCAAAACGGACUUGAUAAUAAUUCUAUUACUAAAGAUUCUGCCGAAAAUUCAGCAGAGUCUCCUUUAUAUAUAUAACACUUCCAAUCUACAAAUAUGAAUAUAACACUCCCAAUAUAAUUCAAUAUACAACAAACUCCAGUGAUCAACAUCCUCAACCAAAAUGCUGAGUUUUAUAUCUCCAGAGUCUCAAAAGAUAAUAUUAUAACUAAUAUUAAUAUCUCAGUUUAUUUUUAAUCCCAAAAGAAUAAUAUAACAAAAUUAUACAAUCCAACAGGAUGAAAUAACCAAGAUGUCCUAAUAAAAACAUCUAUAUCUUCUAACACCAUCACGUGGCCAAGACUCAAAAUAUACUUACAGUCGCUGGGUCGGUCUGGUAUACCUGCAACCUCCUGGUGAGGGGGGAAAAUAUAAUAAAAACGGGGUGACUUUAAAACUCAGUGAGAUCAGUGAGUGGAUAAUAGUUUUUGAAAAUUAAUUCUUACUUUAAAAGAAAUAAUCAUAUCAUUUCCAAACACUAUUUCAUUAAACCAUAAGCGAGAAACCAGUAAUAAAUCAUUUAACAUUUAAACCAGAUUACUAACCAUGCAAAUCAUAUCACAAUAUCAUUUAGAAUACACAAAUAUGAAAAUCAUCACCAAACAAGUACUCAGGGGAAUAAUCUCAUCAUAUCCAGACUUCAACAGACAGGCAAUGACAUACUAUCUGGGUAUCGUCAUGCCCCCGAGCUACACAGAUAGACAUGGAAAUACCAUCUCAUAUCUCAUCAUAUCUGUGCAUGCAUAAUCUAGUCCCCAAGGGACAAAAGUGCCCAAACACACGGCCCAAAGCCUCAGUGUGUACUCAGACGGGCCCCAAAGGCCUGUAUCUCAUCUGUAUCAUCUAUAUCUCAAUAUCUGUCUGUAUCUCAUAUUUGUAUAUCUAUAAUCAUCAUACCGCAUGCAUAUGCCCCCAAAAGGCAAAAGCGCCCAAACACACGGCCCAAAGCCUCUAUGUGUGUUCAGACGGGCCCCAAAGGCCUCUCAUCUCAUAUCAUCUGUAUCACUGUAUCUGGAGGGAAAGAUACUGUCCAAUGAUUUCAAAAACAAUCACUAUACUCAUAUUCACAUACCUUUUAACCAUACUUUAAAUCAUACCACAGUUGAAUCCACUUUUCUUAUCUUUAAAAUACUAUCAUGCUUAUUCAAAGUCGAUCCGCAAAAUCAUUGAUCAAACAUUUUAAUAAAAUACCAAUGCAUGAAUAAAAUCCAUUUCGAGGAAAUCAUUAAAUCAGGACAUUUAAAAUACUUAUUUCGCAAACAUGCUUUACUAUCAUCUCUAACUAUGAAAAUAAGUUUUGUAUAUUCCACUCACAGUGACGGUGUUCACGCUCGGUUAUCGUCCACGUCCGCGGACCAGUUCUCGCUCGCGGAUCCUCCUAAAUCAAGGAAACAACAUAAUUAUUUUUCGUAAAUCGAAAUUAGGACUAAAUUUAUGCAAUAAACUCGAAACGAACAUCUAUCCAUAAUUUACAACUCCUGUGUCGAUAAAAUUACUAAAAUGCUCUCGAGUCCGUAAAUCAUUAAAAUACUCCGAAAUCAGAAAUCAUCGAAUUACCCUCGGAAUCGUAAUUACAGCCAAUCCUCAAUUCUAGGAAUUACUAAAAUAUCCACAGGUUUAGAAAUUACAAAAUUGCCCUCGGAGUGUGAAAUUACCUAAAUGCCCUUGUCGGUCAACGGUCACCGAAAUUUGGUCAACGCUGGCUGAGAAGCUCAAGUCUGAAAGUUCCAAUCAUGCUGAGUUCAAUAGUACCGGCGGUGAGCCGGAAUCUAGCUCGGCAACCGUGAAUUCCAACAAUUGAUCGGCGGCAAAACAAUGAAUCUCGGUGGCUAUGGAUGGUCGGAAAUGGAAGCGGGAGUCGUGAGGAACAAAAUCCAAUCAGUAGUGUCACCCAAAACCGGCAAAAAUCUCGGCGGAGCAAAGUGAAACAGUCGCGGGUUUCCAAACUUUGAUCACCAGCGUUCCGAUUGGUUUUCAGCGGCAAGAAUGGCAGGGGAACCACGGUGGCUUCUAAGCUUCAAAUUGAUACCGAGCUCGGACGAAACAGUGGCCGGAAAUGGCAGAUAUGGUCGGGUCAAGGUCGCGGGUUCCGGGUCGGGUUUCGGGUCUGUUGUUGGGUCGGUUUGGCAGCAUCUCUCUCACUCUCUCACACGUGUAUCUUCCCUCUGUUUUCCAGCUCUUUUCUCUUUUGCUUUUACUAACUUCUUCACCGCCUCUUUUGAUUCAUUUUUAAUUCACAUAUGUUACAUUCCCCACUAGGGAUGGCAAAAUCCGGAUCCGGGUUUAACCAUUCCGGAUCUGGACCCAGACGAAUAUUUUCUAUACUGGACCCGGAAAUAAACUCGCAUUUUUCCACUUUAGGUCCGGUAUGGGUUCAACCUGGAAAAAUCCGGGUUCCCGGACUGCAGGUUUCCAACCCGGAAUCAUGAAUCCAAUUGAAAAAAUAAAACUAAAUUCGACUUAAAAAAAUCAAAUAGAAAUACAUAUCCAGGAUUUCAGCAAAUCAAAGAAAAAUUAUUUCAUCUGGAAACUAAUUAACAAAAACAACAAUUUUGUUUGGCUGCCCAGAAUCAGCAACCCAAUGUGGCGGCUCGUUCAAAACAUUAGUAAAGAGAACUAAAGAACUAGCUUUAGUUGCGAGCAGGAAGUCAGGAGUCAAGGAGUAGCCAAAGCACUUUUAAUGGUGAUGGGAAAGCUGGAGGGGUAAUGCAAAUAAGUUUACAUUGAUUGGAUAUUCAGAAGAAGUAAUACGCCAUUAAAAGCAACAAGUUUUCCAAAAAGCUAACAAAGACAGACACUACCACACCACCCCGCACUGGAUGAAAAAAGAUGAAACCAUGAUAAGUGGCAUCGAGUAAGCCACAUUCUCUCUCUCUCUUUCACUCGCACUUGCACACACUGUUACUAAAAUGACCAAAAACAAGAUUCCCAUCAAAAUAUUUUCGAGUAUCGUUCUUGAAAGUGACGGCUACUGAUGAUGAUGUUGAACAGCCACGAAGAUGGGCAAGUGAUGCGACGAUGAUUUGAUGAAGAUGAAGAUGAGUUGAAGAGGGAAUAAGAGAGGAAAUGUUUGUGCGGCUGGGAAAGUGUAAUGAGCUGCUAGGGCACCAUUUGGGUUUUUUUGGUUUCCUAUUUAUAUUAAAAAUAAUUUUAAAAAAUUAAUAUAUAUUCGGGUCCGGGUUCCGGAUGUACGGGUUUACCUAAAUCCGGAACCGGACCCGGACACAUGCGGGUUUUUAAAAUGACAUCCGGAUCCGGAUUUUAUUUAAUCCGGUACGGGUUGAACCCGGACCGGAAAAUCCGGGUUUCAUCCGGGUCCGGGCCGAGUGCGGGUUGAAAUGCCAUCCCUAUUCCCCACAUGAUGAGAUGCUGCGAUUGUUACCAGACCUGUAUUUAUUAACUCAGAUCAGUAUUAUCAACUACAUCAUCUUCUUCACCAUUUUGGCUAUAUAUAAAUACUAAAAAUUUAGAACAUUUGUUUUGGUUUCUUGUGUAAUCAGGCUAAUAGCGCACACGUCAGAAAUGAAGAUUGUUUAGUGCAACUGGUAUGGCAAGGAUGAUGAUGGUGAGGAAGAGUGUUCACAGGACAAAUAAAGCCCUCCAUUUUGUGACAUAUCUUCCUCAAAUUUUAUUUGCUGAGCAUAUGAAGUGAAGCUAAAGCCUUUGAUUAGUGUUAAAUAUUGUAUGUUUAUUAAGGAGUAAAAAUGUUAUUUUGUGCUUAUAUUAUAAUUUACAUUUGUAAUUAUGUAACAUAUUGUGAAUUUCUAAUUAUUUUUCUAGAUAAUUGAUUUUGUGUAUUUUUGUAUUUUUUAAUGUAAAAAUAAUAAUUUCAUGCAAUCUGAGGCUUCAAACUAAUGUACGAAUGUCAAAUUUGAAUUCCGGAAGUCCGAGAAGUUGGGUCAUUGUCGACAAAGAUCCGUGACUUUUGUUGUAAAAUUAUAAAAUUUUACCACGGUAAAUGUGGUAAUUGUGAAAUUGUAAGUUUUUGCCAUAUUAGGUGUGGUAAUUGUUAGUGGAAUGAGUUGAGUGUUCUUGAGUGCAUUAAGUUAAGUUUAUAUUUUGUUAGUGGGAUAAAUGUAUGUUUAAGAUGUAAUUAGUUUUAUUUAUUUGUGUGGUGUGGAUUAAUCAUGUAUUAGUAUAAAUAGAGGGGGGGCACACCUCUCUACACUUUUUCUUCUCUUCUUUCCCCUCAAAUUCUUCUUAUCAUCUCUCUUUAUAAUAUAUUUUGAAUAAAUAAAAUUAGUUUUAUUUUCAAUUUUCAAAUACUUUUUUUAAUUAUUUUUAUAAUUUUAAUAAUUACCUUUGUUUCAAAUAUGUUUAAUUGCACACUAAUAAUUAGGGGAAGGUGAAACUGUAACGUCCAAAUUUUCACUAGUUUAUUUAUAUUUUUUAUUGGAAUUUAUAAAUGACAUUAUUGCCCUAACAAAUAGGGGUUAUUUAUGAGAUAAUUUUUGGGAAAAAGGUUAUUUUUCCAUAUUCAAUGGAGUUUCUUAAGACUCCCUAUAAAUUCAUAAUUUUUCCCUUCCAUAACCCUAAGUCCACAACGUUUCUUCUUCUUCUUCUCUGCUGCUCAUUACGCUUUUACCCAAACCAUAGGAUUCAAACCUUUGUUGAGGAGAGAAUCAAAGCGAUUGGUAAGUUUACUCUCCUUAUCCUCCACAGGCUUUUCAACCACUCUAUCUAGGGUUUGAAUUGGCAUGAUUUUAUAUUGCUAUAGAUUAUAAUGCAUGCUUUAGGAUGUGUUUAGGCUUUGUUUAGGGCUCUGAUUUAUUAUGAGUCUAGUUAAUCAAUCCUUGAUGCGUUAAGCGCACAAGAUAAUUCUAGACAGCGUGAGUACCUCGAAUUUAUAUUUUUGGAAACUAGACAUGUAGGGCUUCUUGAAUAAAUUUUGUUUCAUUAAAUUUGAAUUCGUUUUCGAUUUUAUAUGUAUUUUUGAAACGGACACUGGUGCACUGGAAAACUGCGAUUCCAGUCCAGCGACCAGAUUCACAAAAUUAUUUGUACUAUCAAAUGAACUCAAAAACUUCUGAAAUUCUAUUUUGAAGUUAAUAUAUGUGUCUAGUAUUUAUAGUUUUAAUUUUAUAAGUUUCUGAUAAGUAUCUGAUUUUAUAAAAAUCUCAGAAUCGGCUUUGUUCAAUUAAGGUAUUGUGAAACAGUUUCUAAUUCUUCAAGUAAUAAAUAGUUUUGAAAAGGUUUCUGUUAUCGGAUCCUCUUGAAAGUUUUACAUGAGGUACCUAUGGAUGUCCAGAAUAGUUUUGUAUAUUUGUAUGUCAUUCCAAUUUUUAUAUUAAGAGUUAAACUUCUGAGAAUCUGACUAGUACGGGUAUGAAUGAGAAAAUCAGAUUCUUAGAAUUAGUCAUUGAUAGUAAUAUCUUGUAUUUUUUUAACGUGGUGGAGGUGUUUGAGGCUCUUAGAGGCUUAGAGGUGUGUUAAUUCAAAUUCUUUUUUGAGGUAAGUAACUUCAUUCCUAAUGUACUGGAUAUAUAUGAUUAUUUUGAUAUUAUUAUAAGUAUUUUAUACUAUUUAGAAGAUUAAUUGGUUUUCAUAACAAAAUUAGUUUAUGUAAAUGUUUUCAAACCUAAAUUCCUUUUAACGAAGUAUUUUAUAAAUGUUUUUAAAUAUGUAAAUUAUUUUAUGACACGACUACAUUUUAUGAUUUUAUCUAUAAAAUAUUUUGUAAGCCUAAAUUGUUGUUAUGGACAUUUAUGAAACUGAUAUGAAUGUUUUGUGUCUAUGUAUGAUUUUAAUUAUUUAUGAUUGUAUGGGGGCCACCUUUUGAGGGCUAAAGUGUUGCAAAGUGCCACAUAUAAGUCAUUAUGUUUUGGCUCAUUGUCCGUAGUUAUUCUGAUUCUAAUUCUAAUUCUGAUUAUGAUCGUAUUGUACGAUAUAUAUAUAUAUAUAUGUUAUGGACCAGUAUUGGGUUUCUGUUCUGAGGGUGCACACGAUAUUCUGAUUCUGAUUCUGUUUCUGGUCGGGUCAUCGGGACUAUAGGUGACACUAUGUGACAUGAGCUAAUUAUUUGUUUUUUUUUUUGUGGAUGCGUUAUACGAUUUAAUUUUAUAAUUGAUUAUUCUUUUGAUAUUCUGAAUUACCAUGUAUUUAUGUUAUCUAAUUGAAAUAUGUUGUUUUAUGAAAUUUAUGAAUUAUAAUAAAUGUUUUUAAAUCAAAGAAGGCUUGCAAUAUUUUUUGUAUCAAUAAGCCUAGUGGGUUAGGAAUGGUUUUACUUACCGAGUUGAUGGCUCACCCCUCGUCAUUACUUUUUGCAGAUUAAAUUCCUUUUGAGAGGUGUGCUUAGCUUCAGAGUUAGAGAUUUCAUUUUCGUUUGCUAUUUGAAUAAGAGGAGGAAUAGACUCAUGUUUCUUUUUAGUUUAAUUUCUGUUAUGAACUUGUAAUUUAGAGUUUUGAGACUUUUGUUAUUUUUAUGUUUUUGGAGAGAUUAUUUAGUGUUAGACAUAUGAAAUUGUGGAUUUAUUUGAUAAGAAUGUGAGGUAUUCAAUUUGGAGUUUGUGAGUAAGGAUUAUAAUUUGUAAGUAGCCUCCUUCUUCACGUGCUCCGCACGUGUUAGAUUUGGGGUGUUACAGAAACUCUUAGUAAGAAAAUAUGAUUUAAUCAAAUUUUACUUUUAAUUAUAUGAAUUAAAUUAUUUUCCAUCUAAUUUUAUCUAUAUUUUAUAUUUUGAAAUUUUGAUUUGUUGUAGACAAACAUGGGGUUUGGCACAAUGAAUUCUUAAUAUCUUAGUAUAAAGUAUCGUAAAAUGGUAUUUUGACUUAUUGUAGACAAGUUAAAUUUUGGCACACUAAGUACUUAAUCCAUAAUAAAAUGAUUGGGAAAAUAAUUGUAAUUUACAUAAUUAAUCAUUUGGGCAAUAAACAAAAAAUAAAAAGAAUUUAUUAAAUUGUAUUUGUUACUAAGAGUGCAUCCAUAACUCUAACUCAUUUAAUUUUAUAGUUUUGCUCAAAUUAAAUUGAAUAUAUUUAAAUUUUAUUUUCUUUUUUUAAGAUAAACUAAAAUUAACAAAUUAAAUAUUUUCUCUAUGGAUCAACCUCAAACUCAGCGAGCUAUAAUAUAACUAGGCACUCUUAUACUUGCGAGUAAAUUAAAUACUUUUGAGUCGUGUCAGCCUUAAUAAUAAGAUUUUCCUGUGAAAGCUUCAUUAGAGUGAAUUUUGGGAGAUUGAAUAUUCCUAGAUGGAAUGAGAUAUUAAGGACAUAUCAAUGAUUUAGGUCAUCGGUGUGUGUUUUCCUUUAACAUUCAUACACUCUCAUUUCGCAGUAAAAAUCUCUUCACGCUUUGGCCGUGAUGCAGGCCAAUAGCCGAACCAUGUAGAAUUAUAUUGUGAUUUCUUUAUACCAGUUUCUAUAUAUCAGUUCUGUACAAUCAAGAAUGUAAUUUUGUAAUUAUUUAACUCCGCUUCCGCAAACAUGCAGUAUUACAAGUGACAUCUUGCAUAUUUUUUUUGCUCUUUUUCUUUCUCCAUUAAAAUUGCCAGAAAAGGAAGUGAUUGGCCUGAUUUUAGCUCCUGCAGAAUGUUCUGGGGGCAAUGUCUUUUGUAUCAGCAAGUUAUCAAAGAUCGUAGUCUAAAUAAAGAAUCCUAAAAUUGCUAUAUGAAAGUCCAGGUCUUUCAUCUUUCAGUUUCUUAAUAGCUACAAAACAAACUGCAUGUGGGCUGAUAUACUUCCACGGUUCAGGAAAGAAUUUGGUGUUGACACUAUAUAUUACGCAGGUAACCGCAGUUGACAAUUUACUCAAAUAUGUCAUAGUUGACAAUUCGCUUACAGUCUUUCCUUCUGUUAUCAUGUGUGAAUUGAAAGAUUGAGAAAGGAUGAUUUUAACUAACUUAUGCAAUUAAAGAGUUUGAAAAAGCAUUUGCGCUAAAGUUUGCCGCUCGUUUAAUUGCUGUGAAGAGCCGCAUUCAUUCUGAGUACAUAAGUUUUAGAUUUCCAAGUUGUGUAAGUUUAGCAGCCACUUAAAUGUUUAGUCACAUAUUCUUAAAAUCUUUUCUAAUUGUCUAUUUUUUUGGGCCAUCACAAAUAGUUUUACGAGUGUGCAAGUGGUUGCUAAAGAUUGAUGGUUAUAAAAAUUAUCUUGAGGUAUGAAAUCUUAAUUUUCUAUAAGUAUCUGUAUUUUGAGUACAAAUUUUUUUCUAUAAGAUUGAUGCAUAUGGUGCAUGAUUUUUUUCCAAUUUGUAAGCAGAAAACAAUGUGUUUUGUUAGAAAGUUAUCAUGGUAGUGAGGAAUCAGUCGUAAACUCUUUUGAUGAGAAAGUCCAUCACUUAAUGUUAACUCUUUAGUGUUAAAGUCUUGGUUGGGAGGUGCCGCCCAAAGAAAGAAACAAAAGAGAAAGAAGAAAAAGAAGAAAGAAAGAAGAAAAAAUGGGUUGGCCGAAAUGCUUGAAAAGGAAAAUGAAAAAGAAGUAGUUUGAAGAAGAAAAGGAGGAACACGGUUUUGAAAAAGAGGAACACGGUUUUGACUUUCUUGGCCAUCAUUUUGUUAUAAAUAGAAGUGCAAAUGAAGAGCUGUAGUAUUCCAUCGAGAGACAAGCAUUUCCUUCCUUUAGAGUUGAGAGUAUUAAGAGUUUAAUAAACUCUUGAGUGAUUAGUGUUCUGAGAGUUUGGGUGUAUUGGGAUUUUGGGAAGUGAGCUAAAAUACUACAAUACUUGUAACUCCUUUUCACUAGUAAAAUAUUUCUUUCUGUCUUCGCCCGUGGACGUAGGCUAAAAGCCGAACCACGUAAUUUCUGGUGUCCUCUCUUGUGCUUGUUCUUUAUUUUAUUUCAAUUUCACUUUAGUUGCAUGUCUGCUUCACCCACCAAUUUCCUAACAGUGGUAUCAGAGCUAUUGGUUGUAUUUUUUGGAGUCGAGUACUAUUCAUGUAAAGGUACUAUUCCUAGGGAUGGCAAAAUUCGGGUCCGGGUCCGGGUUUGGCCUUCCCGGUUCCGGACCCGGACGACCAAUUCAUUAUACCAGACCCGGGUAAAACCCGUAUUUUUUUAAUCCGGGUCCCAUCCGGGUUAAACCCGGCAAAGUCCGGGUUCCCGGAUUGCGGGUUCUAAACCCGGAUUUUUUUCCCCCAAAAUCAAUAUCUUCAGCACGUUGCAUCUUGGUAAAAACAAAUAAAAUGCAAAGACCAGUCCAUUAAAUCAACAAUCAUACUGUAGUUCAAGUAACUAAGCAACCUUUUUAAAACAGUAAAGAAAACAAGUCACAAAAGCAUUCAUAACAAACAGAAGAAGAAUUUCCCAUUCUUAAGUGACCCACAAAGCCUCAAUUACUACAAUACCUCCUGCCAUUACCGAACAAAAAACUGGAGUAGAGAAGAGAGACAAUGAAGCAGAGAAGCUUCAGACAUCUAGAGGUUGCAGAGCUGGUGUGGUUAGAGGAGGUGGCUGCCUUGAUGAUAGGAGAUGAGGAAGAUGAAAGAUGCGGCUAGUUUGAGCCCGUGAGGCUUAGAUUUUGAGGGCUGCUUUUGUUUUUUCACUUACUUUUUGUUCUUAUAUUUAUAACUAACAAUUAAAAAUUAUUUAUUUAAAUAAUUAAAAACAUUAAAAUGCGGGUCCGGGUUCCGAAAAUCUGGGUUAGAAAAAAUGCAUUCGGAUCCGGAUAUUUCAUAAAUCCGGUACGGGUUAAACCCGGUCUAGAUCAUCCGGGUCCGGGUUUAUUUGCCAUCCCUAACUAUUCCCAUAUACGAUACUGUUCACGUAUACGGUACUGUUCACGUAUAUGGUACUAUUCACGUGAAACAGUGGGAGCGAUCCAAGAAUUUUGCGGUGCAAGGCAGGGAAUAGUGGUGUGAGUAAAACAACUGUGUGGUUUUGUACAUGUCUAGGAAAGUUCUGUCACAAAGGCGAUAAGAGCUUAAUGAGUCUGGGUUUUAAGUGGGACCAUUGUGACCCCUCCAGUCUUUCCUGGGAACUUUCCUGAUGUGCAUUCUCACACAUACUUACAACUAUUCAAGGUGGUAUACUAGCUUGUGUGCAGUAUUUAUCAAAAAAAUAGCGGCAAAGUAUGAAAUUGAGAAAUUUAACGGAAACAAUUUUUCGUUGUAGAAAAUGAAGAUGAAAGUUGUAUUGAGGAAAAAUAAUUGCUUGGCAGCAAUUGGAAAAAGGCUCAUGGAGAUAACUGAUGACAAGUGAAAUGAGAUAGAUGGCAACGCCAUUUCUUAUCUACACUUGGCACUUGUAGAUGGAGUAUUAUCUAGUGUGGCAGAGAAAAAUCAACGAAGGAAAUAUGGGAUACUCUCACAAAAUUGUACGAGGCCAAGUCACUACACAACAAAAUCUUCUUGAAGAGAAAACUCUAUACUCUUCGAAUGGUGGAAUCUACAAUGGUGACCGACCAUAUCAACACCUUGAAGACUCUAUUUUCAUAACUCACAACGUUGGGUUAUAAUAUAGAGGAAAAUGAAAAUGCAGAGCUUCUACUUCAAAGUCUACCAGAUUCGUAUGAUCAACUCAUUAUCAACCUGACAAACAACAAUCCAGUGGACAGUCUAGUUUUCGACGAUGUUGAGCAGGUGGAAAAAUAAGGAAAAUAGACAAGCAAGUUCGCAGCAAGCGGAGGCGCUAUGGGUGACGAGAGGGAGAUCAAUGGAACGUGGCCCCAGUGGGAGUCAAAAUCAUGGUAGAUCAAAAUCCAGAAGUAAAAAGAAUGUUAAAUGCUACAACUGUGGCAAGAAAGGACACGUCAAGAAAGAGUGUUGGAGUAACCAGAAGAGAAGAGAGGGCAAAGAACUUGCGUCAUCAAAUGCUUAAGGGUGUGUAACAAGUACCUCGGAUGAUGGCGAAAUUCUUUACAGCGAGGCAAUAACUGUUUCAGAAGGCAGAAAACGAUUAUCUGAUGUCUGGCUUAUAGACUCAGGAGCUACCUGGCACAUGACCUCUCGGAGAGAAUGGUUCCACACAUAUGAACCUAUCUCAGGAGGAUCUGUAUAUAUGGGUAAUGAUCAUGCCUUGGAGAUCGCUGGUAUUGGUACUAUCAAAAUAAAAAUAUUUGAUGGUAUAAUUCGCACAAUUGGGGAGGUACGACAUGUAAACGGCCUAAAGAAAAAUCUAUUGUCUUUAGGACAAAUAGACAGUCAUGGGUGCAAAACUCAUGUGGAGAAUGGAAUUAUGAAGAUCGUUAAAGGCGCGCUUGUAUUGAUGAAGGCAAAAAAGAUCGGUGCUAAUUUAUUCAUGCUUAAAAGAGAAACACUACAGGAGGCUGAUGCGUGUGUCGCAUCAAAUGGAGAAGAGUCAACAAUGAUGUGGCAUCUCAAAUUUGGCCACAUGUCAGAACAAGGUUUGAAGAUUCUCUCUGAGCGAAAAUUGCUUUCAGGACUCAAAUCGGUAAGUUUACCAUUUUGCGAGCAUUGUGUUACAAGUAAGCAGCAUAGAUUAAAAUUCAGUAGAUCUAUUGCUAGAAGUAAAUGCAUUCUAGACUUGAUUUAUUCUGAUGUUUGGGAAUCACCGGAUAUAUCCAUGGGAGGUGCAAAGUACAUGGUGACUUUCAUUGAUGAUUAUUCCUGAAGAUGUUGGGUGUAUCCAAUUAAGAAAAAGUCAGAUAUAUUUUCAAUAUUUAAAGAAUACAAAGCGCGGGUGGAACUUGAAUCUGGUAUAAAGAUCAAGUGCUUGAGGACAGAUAAUGGUGGAGAGUAUACAGACGGCGAGUUUCUUGCUUUCUGUAAGCAAGAAGGUAUUCAGAGGCAGUUCACGGUGGCAUACACUCCUCAACAAAAUGGAGUGGCAGAGCAGAUGAACAGAACUCUUACAGAAAGAAUAAGAGCUAUAUUGAGGACCACUGAUCUACCCAAUUCAUUCUGGGCAGAAGCAGCCAAAACUGCCUGUUAUAUAGUAAAUCGAUCGCCAUCUACAACUAUUGAGCUGAAGACAGCGAUGGAGAUGUGGACUGAAAAGCCAGCUGAUUAUUCCUACCUACAUGCAUUUGGAUGUCCUGUGUACGUGAUGUACAAUACCCAAGAAAGAACAAAACUGGAUCCAAAAUCUAGAAGAUGUAUCUUCUUGGGAUAUGCUGAUGGAGUAAAGGGGUAUCGUCUGUGGGACCCCACUGCCCACAAGAUCGUCAUCAGCAGAGAUGUUAUUUUUGUAGAAGAUCAACUACAAAGGAAAAAUGGAGAUGAUAGCACUGCAAAAGAAAAUUCAGAGACCGUGCUGGUAUAUAUGGAAAAUAAUUCAGAAGAUUCAGAUUCUUCGGAAGCAGCACCAGAGCAUGAGGAACAAGAACUAGUCGAGUCCGAGGCUCCAGAAGUUCAUUGGUCAACUCGUGAGAGACGACCGCCAACGUGGCACUCGGAGUAUAGAGUUCAACGUUACAUACUGUCUUCUAACAGAGGAUGGAGAGCCUUCAACUUUCCAUGAAGCUUUAAACAGCUUAGAUGUUGCUUUGUGGAUGACAGCAAUGCAGGAAGAAAUUGAAGCUCUACACAAGAACAAGACAUGGGAACUUGUACCACUACCACACGGAAGAAAAGCCAUUGGAAACAAAUGGGUCUACAAGAUCAAGCGUGAUGGCAAUGACCAAGUGGAGCAGUAUCGUACAAGAUUGGUGGUGAAAGGAUAUGCUCAAAAAGAAGGUAUUGACUUCAACGAGAUAUUUUCUCCGGUGGUUCGACUCACAACAGUCAGAGUAGUCUUGGCGAUGUGUGCUACACUUGACUUACAUCUUGAGCAGUUAGAUGUGAAAACUGCAUUUCUUCAUGGAGAACUUGAAGAAGAAAUAUAUAUGCUCCAACCAGAAGGUUUUGCAGAAAUAGGAAAGGAGAACUUGGUUUGCAGGUUGAACAAAUCUCUAUACAGUCUCAAACAGGCACCGAGGUGUUGGUAUAAGAGAUUUGAUUCCUUCAUCAUGAGCCUUGGAUACAACAGACUAAGUUCAGACCAUUGUGCAUAUUACAAGAGGUUUGAAGAAAAUGAUUUCAUUAUUUUGUUAUUGUAUAUGGAUGACAUGUUGGUAGCAGGCCCCAACAAAGAUCGAAUCCAAGAAUUAAAGGCACAGUUGGCUAGGGAGUUUGAAAUGAAGGACUUGGGACCAGUAAACAAGAUUAUAGGGAUGCAAAUUCACCGAAACAGAAAUAACAAGAAGAUUUGGCUUUCACAGAAGAAUUACUUGAAGAAAAUCUUGCGACGCGUCAACAUGCAAGAUUGUAAGUCAAUUUCUACGCCACUUCCUGUUAAUUUCAAAUUAUCCUGAAGUAUGUGUCCUAGCAAUGAAGCAAAGAGGAAGAAGAUGUCUCGAGUACCGUAUGCUUCAGCAGUGGGAAGUUUGAUGUUCGCUAUGAUAUGUACUAGACCGGACAUUGCACAAGCAGUGGGAGCAGUCAGUCGAUACAUGGCGAAUCUUGGAGGAGAGCAUUGGAUAGUUGUGAAGAGGAUUAUGAGAUAUAUCAAAGGAACCUCAGAUGUUGCAUUAUGUUAUGGAGGAUCAGAAUUUACUGUCAGGGGCUAUGUGGAUUCAGAUUUUGCAGGAGACCUUGAUAAAAGGAAAUCCACUACUGGUUAUGUGUUUACACUUGCGGGAGCAGCUGUAAGCUGGGUUUCGAAACUGCAGACCGUUAUGGCCUUAUCUACAACAGAAGCAGAGUACAAGGCAGCUACACAAGCUUGCAAGGAAGCUAUUUGGAUACAAAGGUUAUUGGAGGAGCUCGGGCACAAACAAUAGAAAAUUCUUGUAUUUUGUGACAGUCAGAGUGCCUUGCACAUUGCAAGGAAUCUAGCCUUUCAUUCCAGAACAAAGCACAUAGGAGUUCAGUAUCACUUCGUUCGAGAAGUAGUGGAAGACGGAAGUGUGGAUUUACAGAAAAUCCAUACGAAGGAGAACCUAGCAGAUGUUUUGACCAAGCCAAUCAAUACUGAUAAGUUUUUCUGGAGUAGAUCCUCUUGUGGCCUAGCAGAAACGUAGGCAACAUGAUUAUGGCGAAGCAGAAAGGAUGGUGUGGAGAUUGAUUGAUUUUCAAUCUAAUCUCCAAGUGGGAGAAUGUUAAAGUCUUGGUUGGGAGGUGCUGCCCAAAGAAAGAAACAAAAGAGAAAGAAGAAAAAGAAAAAAGCAAGAAGAAAAAAUGGGCUGGCCGAAAUGCUUGAAAAGGAAAAUGGAAAAAUAAGCAGUUUGAAGAAGAAAAUGAGGAACACGGUUUUGACUUUCUUGGCCAUCAUUUUGUUAUAAAUAGAAGUGCAAAUGAAGAGCUGUAGUAUUCCAUCGAGAGACAAGCAUUUCCUUCCUUUAGAGUUGAGAGUAUUAAGAGUUUAAUAAACUCUUGAGUGAUUAGUGUUCUGAGAGUUUGGGUGUAUUGGGAUUUUGGGAAGUGAGCUAAAAUACUACAAUACUUGUAACUCCUUUUUACUAGUAAAAUAUUUCCUUAUGUUUUUGCCCGUGGACGUAGGCUAAAAGCCGAACCACGUAAUUUCUGGUGUCCUCUCUUGUGCUUGUUCUUUAUUUUAUUUCAAUUUCACUUUAGCUGCGCGUCUGCUUCACCCACCAAUUUCCUAACAUUUAGGAGAUUGUUGGUUUCCUAACUCCAUUCAUAGACUUAGUAGAUUGCGUGCCCUCUUAAUUUGUGAUGUUAACAAUUUGUCUCUUGAUAGUAGCAUCCUUCUAUAGUUAAUUAGCAAAUCGUUUUAUCGUGAUACAAGACGAUUAAGUUUUGGUGAGACAAAUUAAUUUGACUGAAGAGAUUCCAGAAAAUGUAGGAAAAAUGAUACAUUUAAAAUACCUUAAUUUGUCUAGUCUGGAUAUAGAGGGACUACCUGGGACUUUGUGCGAGUUAUACAGUUCACAUGGGCUAGAUAAAAGAGCAUACCGAGAUAUCAGAGAAUUACAUUCAGGAAUUGGCAUGUUAAUGAAAAUGAGGAGAUUUCUAAGUGGUGAAACUGGUUCGUUGAAGUGCAUGCCAAAAGGGAUCUUAAGAUUAACCAAUCUUCGAAGAUUGGAUAAGUUUGUUGUGAGUGGAGGUGUUGAUAAUGGCAUACCAAGUCGUCUUGGUUCUAUGAAAAACCUUCAACUCCUUCGAGACUGUGGUAUGGAAGGGCUGGGUAAUGCGUCAUAUUUAAGUGAUGCUAUGAGACCAGAACUUGAUAAAAUGAAAAACCUUCUGCUUUUGAAACUGUCCCUUGAUGGGGAAGAUCGAGAAGGAGUUGUUAAGGUGCAUUUCUGAAAAUCCUUCUUUCUUCACACACGUUUCAAUGUUGGUUGUAAUAGCAAUUUCAUCUCUCAGGUUAUCAUGUUCAAGGUUUUGAAAAAGCUUUUGCGGUAAUGUUUCAAAUUAAGCUUGUACAAUGACUGUGAAGAGGCAUAUUCAAUUCGGUACGUUUUGGUACGAUCUCCUUAUGCUAGUAUCAUGUUGUGUAUAUUUAAUUGCAAUUAAAAUGGUUUAAUCUCCCAUCCUUAAUCUUUUCUGAUAUUCUACAGAAGAUUAACGGUGACAAUUAUUCUUCAAGUAUGCAGUCUCAAUUUACAAUAAAUCAUGAGUACUUGUGUACAAAGCUUUAUAUAUUAGCUAUAUGGGGAAUGAAAUUUUAAACAUCAUAUCGAUCUUCAAUUUUUGGUAAUUCUCGUUUAUUUGCUUCUACAGAGUGCCUGUCUUGGCUGAUUUGUCUAAUUCGUAGAAAUUCAUUUCCAUUGGUUGGAGCACAAACAAGACAAGAGAGCUCUGGGGAAAAGUAAUCUACUUCUUGUGUUACUACGCCUUUGUUUCUUCCUUCAUAAUAUUUGUUUGACUUCAUGCUCUCAUUCAAGAUUAUGAAGCAAUUUCCAGGCAGAAUUAGAGAAGGUGUUGUUAAAAGGGCGUUUAGCUUCCCUACGAUUGAAUAUGGAACUACUGAGAAUAAAAUUGAUCAAUUGACGACGUUAGUUUGGUUGGGUGGUUUACUUAUACUCAGUCUGACAUUCAAACUACGUAUCAUCAAAUGUCCGAUGUAUUGGUAUCCUUUUCAUGUUUUUUCUUCGAUUUUGGGUUAAUUUGUGCGGUUGAUUUUAGUUUAGAUCUCUGCCUGUUUAUUAUUCCGGCUUUUCUUCCUAAUCAAAUGGUGCUUUCUUUGUCAAAAAAUCUACGUUGUUCCAUCCAUGCUUUGACAAUGCUAAAUGCAUUUUUUACGUUUCCUUUCUGACACAGACAUAUAAAGGACAUCACAUCCUAGUCUUGCUGUGAAAACUUUAGGCAAAUUUUGGACCGUCUCAAAGGAAAGCAGAGAAUGUAACAAACAUCUAAUGCCAUUUUGAUGCCGGCCUAAUUAUAAACUAAACUUUAUUAUUUAGUAAAACACACACAUAGACAAGGCGAGAGCAAAGCUCACUACAAUGUGAUAUUUUCACCACCCAAUAAUGUCUUACAAGAGAUACAUGACGCUUUAACUCACCAAAGCUCACCACUUAAGAGGAUUACAAAGGGAUUUAGAUAGUCAUCAUCCAAUGAUAUCCUACAAGAGAUACAGUACUUCUCAACUCACCACUCUACGGAAUCAACCCAAGAGAUCCGGAGUUCUAUGAAGAAACUCUAACAAGAGCACUCUUCUAGGUUACAUUCUCAUAAUCACCCCCUUUUGUAAGGUUACAACCUAAUACCUUUUGUAUAGACAACUUGGAACAUCCCUUCAAGCUUAGGAUAAGAUCUCUAUCAUUUAGAAUUCAAAUCAAACUUGAAUUAUAGGUCUUAGCUGUCAUGAGGUGGAAGAAAACAAAACAAAAUGCAAUUUGACAUCAAGGUCGGUUUCAAGUGCAAGUCAGAGUAGUCAACAUUCAUUUAAUCAUAUCUUGAUGUAGAAAGCUCCAAAUCAAACAUGUAAAAUUCAUUAACAUCUUGACUCAAAAAGCUUUUCACUUAUGUGAAAGUUUUUAAUUGGAUCUUGAUGCAUUUGUACCAAUAAAUUCAGAACUUUUGGCCGUGUGCAGAAUUCCUAACAGUUGUGACCUUCGUUGACAAAAUCAUGAAUUUUUUUAAGAAGAGAAGUCUGAAUUUGAUUCCAUAAAAUUCUUCAAAGACUAGGCAUAUUCAUCUUUCUUUGAAUAUAUAUGAUACAUAGUUUAAUUACAUCUAGAAAAAUACAGUCAAUUCAAACAAUUGGAGUCAUAAUCUUGGAUUGUACUUGUCUCUUGGACUAAAUCUAAAACACGCCUGUGUCAUAUUUAUGGCUUUACAUUAUUUAGAAUGAAUCUUUUGAGAUUUCUUCAGAAUAAAUCUUAGUUUCGGGAAAAGUAUGUCUGUUAGCGAAAAUUUACUUCUCAUUGGAACCCUUAACCCAGCUGGAUUAAGGCUCUGUUUGUGUGAGCUUUUUGGUCACUCUGCUGCCAAAGAUAAGUGUUUUAGUAAAUAAUUGCAGUUUGGUUUUGGCAAGGUAACUGAUUAGUGCCCACAACUAUUUACUUAACUGCUUAAGCAUAAGUUCUAAAUACAAAAUAGGAUACCAAACAGUUUUUAACUUGACAAUUAGUAGUGUUUAAGAAACACUCGUCAACUUUCCCUUUACACUUAGAACUUUUGUUUUGCAACAACAAUGACUCAAAAAUUGAUUUCAUCUUUGGUAACUUAGAGCUGCAAGCACUGAGGUGCUGUUUAUUGAACUUUUGAGGCUUCAACCUUAAGGGUGCAUUGGGUAGCCCGCAACUUGUUACCGACCCAUGUUUGGCAAAUUUCGAAAUUGCAUUGUGGUGCUUUCAAUAAUGCACCACAUUGUAAAUUUUAGUGCAUUACACAAGCCCGGGGGACCCCGAGUUAGUGCACUGCGUAACUUGACGCAUUAGCUUUUGCUGUAUAUAUGAGCAAAAGCUAUUGAUAAUUAAUAUAACAUCGAACUAAUAAUUUAGUAAAAUUAUAUUAUAUUACAUUACAAUAUUAUUUAUAUUAUAUACAAUAUUAUUUAUAUUAUAUUCUACUUUUUCUUUUAUUUUUUAUAUUUAUAAUAAUUAAUAAAUAAAUGUAAAUUUGUAUUAUGUAUUUUUAGUUAUUUUUAAUUUUAUUAUGUUAUUUAGUAAUACCACAUCAUAUUAAUAUAAAAUAAUUAUUUAAUAUAAUUAAAAUAAUAAUAAUAAUAAUAAAUUUAUAUUUUCGAAUUUAAAGCAGCAAGCGCCGAAGUAAAGUAGAACUGCACACUAACUGAAAAAGAAAAGAAAAUAUUAAAAUAUUAUAAUAAAAUUAAAAAUAAUUAAAAAUAUAUAAUAUUAAUUUACAUUUAGUUAUUAGUUAUUAUAAAUACAAAAUAAUAUAAUCUAUAAUAACUAUUAUUUAAUAUUAAUCGGCAACGACAACUGCUCUAAAUCACUCUCGCGAAAAUCAGCCGCUAGCUUUAUAUGUCUAUUUGAGUUUAUUUUAGUAUUGUUGGAACUCGUUGUUUGAGCAUUACGACAAUAUAUGUUUCAUCGGAACGGAGGCCUCCAUCAUUCUUUGUCUAUAGAUCUCUAGUGAUCGGAAACUGUAUUUCCAGUGAAACAUGUACAUUGAGGAUUAGCGAUGGUUGAUGUGUACAUUGCAGGCCUCCACCGAUACCAAAAAUAACAUCAAACAAAACCAAAAUGUGGUGUCGGCGCUGAUUCGUGGUGAUUAGCGAUGGUUGAUGUGGCUGUCAGUGAUUUAUUCUUUUGUUUGUAAAUUAAAUUAAUAAAUGUGAUAUAAUAAUAAUAUAAAGUAUUAAUAAAUAUACAUAAUAUUAAUUUCACAUAAAUAUUUUAAACCACCUCCAAUCGAUAACCACAUGCAACUGCUGAAGAAAGUGGGCGGAAGUUAAGGUGGCAACCACCCACGACCAAGGGCCUAUUUAAACUGAAAAGGGGAACUGAGGAAGGGGUUAGCAAAAUUAACCAAAGCUUAUACAAGUUUAAACCUUAACAUUCUUUAUAAGAUUUUCGACUCCUCUACCGGAAAAUCACCUGACUUUAACUCAUUUACAAUUCUUCAUUCUCACUUUUCUCCCUUUAUUCAUAAUUUUUAACUUAAGCAUCAGAGGGUAUACGCUAGAACCCCACUGGCGAAUCCUGACCGUGUUUCUGGUCUGCAGGUAUAGAAAGUUGCGAUCAGACUGGCGUUUGAGCUUGGAUUCGUGCUGUAAUUCCCCAAAAGAAAUAAAUUAAGCUAUUGGGGUCGUUUAUUGGCAUCAACAGUGAUGAUGAACCAUCUUCAUCUUCAUCGUCAUCAUUAGUUAUUGCCUUCCCCAAUUUGAAAUCACUCGAAAUUGUGGACUUGAAAGAAUUGGAUGAGUGGGAUUAUAGGAUUACAAGAAAGGAAAACAUCUCCAUCAUGCCACGUCUUUCUUCCUUGGAAAUUCGGUCUUGCCCUAUAUUAAAGGUGCUGCCGGAUUACCUUCUUCAGAAAACGACACUGCAGAAAUUGAGUAUCUUUCAUUGUCCAAUUAUGGAAGAACUGCCCAUUCUAAAAGAUCGCAGGACAACAUACAUACCACGUCUUUCUUCCUUGCGAAUUACGUGUUGCCCCAAAUUAAAGGUGUUGUCGGAUUACCUUCUUCAAACGACAACGCCCCAAAUUCUAGAAGAACGUUACAGAUGUCAAAGUAUUUGGCUGCAGCUUCUAGAAGCUACAUCUAGAAGCGUUGAUGUAGCAAAUGUUGAAGGGUUAGGCACCGCCAAGGAAGAAUGAAGAAGAUGUUGCCGAAGUUGAUCUUGACAAAUGAUGGUUGGAACGCCAAAAUGCAAGAAAGAAAAAGGUUGGAGCACGGCUUUGAAGAAGCCACGAGAAGAAUAAAGAAAAUAUUAGAAUAAUAGCCAAUUUUGGCUAUCUAAAGGAAGCUCCCCAUUUCUAGUUUUUGUAUCCAAUCCUCAGUUUCUCUUCUUCAUUCAGAGAGUGUUUCUUUGGGGUGUAUUUGGGGAUUAGGUGAGAGAAAAUUAUUUCUGAGAGAGUGGUUGUAAUAAUUUUCCACAUAGUGAAUAUUUUUUUCUCUAGUUGUCUUUUUGACAACGGCCGUGGUUUUUCUCCAGAUUUGGAGUUUUCCACGUAAAUCUUGUGUUGUGGGAUUGAUAUUAUUUUUCAUUUAAUUUUUCUUGUUAAUUUGUUACUUGACAAAUUGCUUGGAGAGAUCCUGGGAGGAAGCUCAAUUUCCUAACAGUGGUAUCAGAGCCAUUGAUUGAAGUUUUGGUGUCGGGCACUGUUCAUGUAUACGGUACUGUUCACGUAUACGGUACUAUUCACGUGAAGCAGUGGGAGCCAAUCCAAACAGUCCGUGGUGAAGAGUAAAAGCUGAUCUACAAAGCAAAUAUGUCAGGAUUGAAAUUUUCAAGUCUGGUGAAAUUUGAAAUAGAAAAAUUCGAUGGGAGAAUUAACUUUGGCUUGUGGCAAGUUCAAGUCAAAGAUGUGUUGAUUCAAUCUGGGUUACACAAGGCAUUGAAGGGGAAGCCAUCCCCUGCUUCCAGUAGUGGCUCUGGAAAAGCUAGUAUAAGCGAUGAAGAUUAGGAAGAUUUUGAUGAUGGAGCUGCAAGUGCCAUACGACUGUGUUUAGCAAAGAAUGUUCUUGCAAAUUUAGGAAAAAUUCCUACAGCGAAAGAACUUUGGGAGAAGCUAGAAAAGUUGUAUCAGACAAAGAGCAUCUCAAAUCGGUUGUACCUGAAGGAGCGAUUUCACACACUGUGAAUGGCUGAAGGUACAAAAAUUUCCGAUCACCUCAGUGUUCUCAAUGGUAUUGUGUCAGAACUUGAAGCCAUUGGAGUUAAAAUUGAAGAUGAGGACAAGGCGCUUAGGGUACUAUGGUCACUUCCAACUUCCUACAAACACUUGUUACCUACUUUGAUGUACGGGAAGGAGACAGUAGAUCUUGAAGAAGUUACUAGUACUUUACUCUCAGAAGAAAGAAGACUAAGUGGUGAAAGUACUAAAACUAUAGAUGUCUCAGCUUUGGCAGUUGUAGGGAAUUGGCAGAAAGAUAAAUCUAAGAAGAAAGAAGAAAGGAGCUUUGGCAGUUGUACAACCGCCACUGAAUACAUGCAGCCACUACUAUAUUUUAUUCUAAGACAAUAACCUUUUGAAGAAACUAGAGCCCAUAUCAUUCCCCACCCCUUAGAAUCACCUUGUCCACAAGGUCAAAGUGCCCCAUUCACUUAACCAGUAUCGGGUGGUGUGAAUGGUGGAGGAUCUUCAAUCAUGAACAGUUAUGGCCUUUGGCAGUGAUGGCCAGGAACGAAUUUCUCAUCACAAUAAUAACAUAGCCCUUUUUCACGUCGAGCCCAUACUUCUUGGUUAGUCAACCGCUGGGUAGGAGGAGUGGUGGCAUUGGCUGUUUGGUUUGCCUUAGGAGGGGGGGCCUAAGAUCCCAGCAGAACUAUUUGGGAUUGGUUGUGGCAUCACGGAAAUAUGUGGUGGUGCAGAAAAGUGUUCAGUGCAGCGAUCGAGAGAAUUCUGCUCCUCAAUCAGUCUUGCCACACCAAUGGCGUCAGCUAAGGUUCGAGGUUGUUUAAUCUUAACAUCAAGUCGUAUGUCGUCUCGCAACCCAGCAAUAAAACACCUUACAAGAAACUGCUCAGGGAGGUUAUCAAUGUUGUGAGAGAGUUUUUCGAAGGCUUCUUGGUAGGCUGCCACCGUUGAAGUUUGUUUGAGACGUGUUAAAGCUUCGGAUGGGUCUUCAUAAUCCGUUGGUCCGAAUCGUAAGAGCACUGCCUUAGUAAAUUCUGCCCAAGUUAGUGGACCACGAAAUUUCAUUAACCAUCUAUGCCAUUAAAGAGCGAUCCCCUCCAAAUGGAAUGAGGCUAACUGUAUAUGUUGUUCCGGGGCUACAUUCUUAAAUUCAAAGAAUUGUUCUGCCUUAUAGAUUCAACCAAUCGGAUCCUCUCCAUUGAAAUUUGGGAAGGUUAGUUUGAGAUGGUGGUGGUGGUUAGGAAGGUUUGAGGAGGCAGGCUUUACGACUUGGUGAGAGGAUGCUGUAGGUGCAAAAGGAUUAACUUCAGAGGCAAUUCCAUGUGAGGCUUGGGAGGCACGAAGAGAUUGGAGCUCCGAUAAUACAGUUUGCAGAGUAGCAUGAACUUGGUCUAGGCUAGACUCAUGACGACCUAAGAUUUCUUGAACCUCAUUUCGAAACUCAGCGUUUGAUUGAUUUCGGGUAGCCAUUUUCCCGGAAAACCGGCUCUAAUGCCCUGAUACGAAUGAAUUUAGAUAAGAAGUAGAAGUCGAAGAAGUUAGUGAUAGUUUAGUUUCCAGUUUAGAAAGGGAAGUCAAAGAAUUAGAGAGAAGAAUAUGAAUUGAUUAGAAGGGGAAAGACAACUUCAUUCCAUUCCUCCCCAUUACAAGUCCACUAAGUCUUUUAAAUAGACCUGUACACUCUGAAACUAGAAAAGAGGAAAAACAUGUGCAAGUCCAGCAAGCACUACACUUGAAAAUAGGAACAUGAACACUUAAAAUGGAAAUGUGCACAACCGCCACUGAAUACAUGCAGCCACUACUAUAUUUUAUUCUAAGACAAUAACCUUUUGAAGAAACUGGAGCCCAUAUCAAUUUGUUACUUGACAAAUUGCUUGGAGAGAUCCUGGGAGGAAGCUCAAUUUCCUAACAACAGAGAGGAGGAAGGAGAAGACUGGCACAAGAUAUCUCACAUUCCCCACAUCGAGUUGUAAAUUCUUCGAAUGUUUGCAAUUACUAUCACCCACUGGUAAUUUCUCCUCCUCUAUUUUACUUUAUUGUUACUUGUAAUGAAACUACUAAUAAUUAUUAUGAUUAUUAUCAUCAUCAUCAUCUUUUGAAUUAAAAUUAUAUAUUUUGCCAAUGUUUCAUAGGAAUAAGCAAUAAUUUCUAAUAUUUUGAUAUUCACAUUGAACAUAACUAUUUACUUCAUUGCACGAUAACUUGUUAUGUGAAACUUAUAGAGAGACAGAAUUUCUGUGGUACUUUGUAGUAAUGUUGGAAACUAAAGUAUUAGAAUUUGAUAAAACAAGCUCAAGCACUGGAUUCCCCACUACUAAUGGGUUGCAUUUUUAUUUUAUUUUAGGUUGACUUUGAAGACUCUAUGGAGUAGGCUGGCAAUGGAACUACUAUGACUAUGGUAUUGUGCAACGUUUAGUUGCCGGUGCUAUGUUUCAAUUGAGUAUGGAUAGCUGCCUGGACGACAUGAUGAUUAUUAUUGCAUGAUAUUAAGGUGCUAAGAUCAUCAUUUCUAUCUUGUUUCAUUCUUUGAUCAGCUUAUCCUCUAUAAGCAUACUGAAUUAUUCUAAUAAUAUCAUUUUUUCACCCAAUUUUCACUGUUGGUUGUAAUAACAAUUUCAGGUUCUUAAAAGGCUACAAAGCAAAGCAUACGUGGGCUGAUAUGCUUCCGUGGAGGAAGGAAUUCGGUGUUGAUACUAGUAUGCAGGUAACCACAGUUUAUAAUUUGAACAAAUUUUGCUUUCUCAGAAUACCCUUUAAUAUUCGCUGUGUUUCUUUGUGUUAUUCAGGUUAUCAUGCUAUGUAGAGUAUCAUCUUCAAGGGUGGUAAGAGCCCUUGCAGUGAAGUUACCUGCUCGUGCAACGCACAUUCAUCGGAGUACAAUUUUGGAUUUUCAAGGUUUUCAUGUUUAGUUGCGAUUAAAAUGCUUAGUCACUCAUUCCUAAUCUUUCCUGAUUUUCAAGUUAUUUAGGUCCAUAAACAGUUUUCACACAUGUUUCAAUGCUAGUUGUAAUAACGAUUUCAUAUAUUGCAUCUCAAAAGUGCAUCACGUUUGAAACAACUUUUGCGGUAAAGCUUUAAUGCUUGUACAAUGGCUGUGAAGAGGCACAUUCAAUUCGGUACGCUUUGGUGCAAUGUCCUAAUGCUAAUAUCAUGUUGUGUAUAUUUAGUUUGCUAUUAAAAUUUAGGUAUAAAAUCUUAAUCUGCAAUAAAUCAUUGUGUACAAAGUUUUCUAUUAAUUAUAUGGCGACCAAAAUUUUAAUUAUCUUAAAAUAUUUUGUAACUCUCUUUUACUUUGCUUGUACAGAGUACCUGUUUUGGCUGAUAUGUCGAAUUCGUAGAAAUUCAUUUCCGUCAGUUUCCAUUGGUGCGAGCACAUACAGAAACAGAGCUCUACUUCUUGUGGUAUUAUGCCUUUGUUUCUUCAUUCACCAUAUUUCUUCGAAUUCAUGCUCUCAUUAAGAAGGGAAAUUGUUGAGGAAAGUUCUUGUCUUAAUUAAAUUACAGGUGAUAUGAUAUGGCUUGAAUUCAGCAUCUCGUAUCGCGAUGAUUUUUUGUCCACAUGAGAUGCUGUGAUUCUUGACAUCAGGAUAAUUCAGGUCAAUUUUUAGUAUCAACAUAUAUCAUCUUCUUGGCUGUUUUGCCUUUAAAGAGCAAACAUUAGUAAAGUUGUUUUUGUUUGUGUAAGUUAUCAGGUUAAGGAAACCACGCAGCUUAUUAAGGCAAAUGUCAGAAUGAAGAUUGUUCACCACACCUGGGACGUAUGAUGGCUUUAUAUAUUAUUGGAGCUCCCCCUUUUUAGAGAUAUCUCAGGAAAUUUGAGUAGAGCUCUCCCAAUAAUUCUAUGCUCUCAUUUGUUUGUAAAAUCAUCUUCUUAUAUUGAUUGUGUUUCCUUGUGUUAUCAGGUAGAGUAUCAUCUUCAAGGGUUUCAAAAAGUCUUUGCAGUGAAGUUUCAACCUUAUACAAUUGCUGUGAAGAGGCAUAUUUUGAGUAAUUCAGUUUCAGAUUUUCAAGGCGUGCAUGUUUAAGUAGUCUCGAUUAAAAUAUUUUAGUCACUCAUUCUGAAUCUUUUCUAAUUUUCAAGUUCCUCAGGGCCACGGCCAAUUUUUCAAGUCUGCAUGUGGCUGCAAAUGGUUGAUGGUCAUAAAAUUAUCUUGAGCCUUAAGGCAUUGCGUUUGAGCGCACACAGAAACAGAGCUAAAGGAAAAGAAAUUGACAGUAGACGAUGCUCUAAAUAUAACAAAGUAUAUUUCUACUUCUUAUGGUUAUUUUACUUUUGUCUCCUGUCAUCAUAUUUGAUUAAUUGUUCGAAUUCACACUCUCACUCAUUAUUUAAAACCAUUUUCAGGUGGCUUGCAAGCUCAUUAAGUUAACGCAGAAACAAUACUCAAGACAAAGAUGAGCAAAUUGAAGGUUAUAAUUGCAUACACAACAUGAUUCUGAAUUUGAAUUUCCAUGAAUAACUAUUUGGCUGGUGCAGAUAUUCUUGAAAGGGCGUUAAGCUACCUUAUGAAAUUGGAAAGUUAUUAUUGCUUGAAUGCAAGCACCAUCUUCUGUUGCCAAGGCUUUCCCCACAUGAUGAGAUGCUGUGAUUGUUACCGGACCCUUGAUUAUUUAUUAUCUCAGGUGUUUAUCAUCAACUACAUCAUCUUAUUCACCAUUUUGGCUAUGUGCAAAGAUUAAAAUUUAGAACACUUGUUUCGGUUUCUUGUGUAAUCUGGUUAUUAAGGGAAAUGUAAGUACAAAGGUUGUUCAGUGCAGUUGGCAUGGCAAGGAUGAUGAUGGUGAGGAAGAUUGUUCACAAGCCAAAUAGAGCCCUCCAUUUUGAGAAAUCUCAUCCUCAAAUUUGAAUUGUUGAGCAUAUGAAGUGAUGUUAAAGCCUUAAUAUUAAGUCUUUCUGAAAGUUUCAUUUGAAUGAAUUUUCGGAGAUUGAAUAUUCAUACAGUGAGUAAGAAAUUAAGCACAUAUUUGCGAUUUGGGUCGUUGGUGAAUGUUUUCCUUUAAUAUUUGUACACACCCAUUUCAUAGUAAAAUUUUCUUCAUGUCUUUGACUGUGACGUAGGCUAAUAGCUGUACCAUGUAACAUUAUUUGCUACAUACCAAUUUUGUACAAUCAAGAAUGCAAUUUUGUAACUAUUUAACUCUGCUUCCGCAAACUUGCAGUAUUACAAGUGACAUCUUGCAGAAUUCUUUUUUUUCCUUUGUCUUUCUCCGUUAAAAUUGGCACAAAUGGAGGCGAUUGGCUUCAUUUUUGAUCCUGUAAAAGGUGCUGGGAGCAAUGUCAUUUGUACCCGCAAGUUGUAAAUCGUCGUAGUUUAAAGAAUCCCAAGUUGCCAUCCAAAACUAAAGAAAUUGCAAAUUAAGUAGUUCUUGAGAAAUGAUAUAUUUUGAGUUGCUAAUUAUUAAGUAUUUCAUUCAAAAAUGCAGGGGCGGACCCAAGACUUAAUAUUAUCUCGGGUUAAUUUUUAAAAUUUAUAUUUUAAAGCGAAUAUAAAAAUUUAUAAGUAGAAAGAAGUACAUUAAAUAAGAAGGAACACCAAAAAUCUUAUCCCUCUAAAUAUGUACUAUAGACAAAAAUAACUAUAAAAAAUAAUAGAAAACAAAAGGCAGCUCAAAUAUGAAAACAUUAUUUUUCACUUAUAAAAUCUGACAUUGCAACCUAUGAUAACAUGUAAUUAUAUCAGGAUUGAAAAAUUAAUUAAUAAUUUCAAAUUAAAAUAGCUUAAUACAUGCAAUUACAAUCAAUUAAAAAUUUCAAAUAAAACUUUUUAUACUUGAAGUAAAGUACUAAAUUACCAAACUUAAUAAAUUAAACAAUUAAAAUUUAUUCGUCAUUUCAAAUUGUAAAAGUAUUAUUAGUCAAAAGUUUCAAUAAUAAAUUAAACUCAAUUAAGCAAAAAUGUAUUUUGGUAUAGUUGUUUUUUUGUCAGACACUCUAACUCUCUUUAAAAAACUAGAUGUUGAUGAUUCUUCUACCAAAAUUUCCUUAAAAUACUCAAAUUUUAUUUUCUAACUUGUCUUCUUAAUUAAUAUAACUAAUAAAUAAAAUCUAAAAAUUCACAUAAAAAUUUUAUGAAAAUAUUGAUAAUUGUUAUUAUAUAUUGUUUCUAUAAGUACUUUUAAUAUUAGUGACGAUGUUAUAUUACAUUGACAUUUUUUUUCAAUUAAAAGUUUUUAAAAAUAAAUUAAAGCAAUAAUAAAAUUUUAGCUCCCUAGUGUUUUCAAUCUAUUCAAUAAAUAUAUAAUUUAAUCAUUUUAUAAAAUAAGUCACUAAUUUCAAUUGAAAAUUAUAUAAUUGAAUUAGGGACAUAUUUAUAAAUAAAAUAAAAACUCUAUUGUCAUAUAAAAUUGAUGAAAAUGUAAGGGUAAUUGGGUUGGGGACAUAUUUGAAUAUAAAAUAAAAACUAUAUUGUUAUACUAAAUUGAUAGAAAUAUAAGGGUAUUGAGUUAGGGAAAUAUAUGAAAAGAAAAUAAAAAUUCUAUUGUUUUACAAAAUUAAUUAAAAAGUAUGGGUAUAGAUGACUUUUUUUGGACUAGAUCGGGCUACAGCCCGGUCUACCCCACGUGUGGGUCCGCCACUGCAAAAAUGUUCUCGUUCCCACAAUUCUUAAUGUUUAGAGUGCAUCAUUGCUCCACUUCUAUCAUAACAGCAUGAGAGAAUUUAACAUAAUAUUGAGAAAAUGAUUAUUUUACCCUGAUUAUAAAUGAUUAUUCUACCCUUAACAUGAAAUAACUAAUUUGCCCUAAUUUAAUGACAAAAAAAAAUUAGAUGACUGCAAUAUAGUUAUUAAAUAAUAAACAAAACAAAAGAAAUCAAAAUUAAAACUAACAUAAUUAAAAGAGACCUUAAGAGAAAACCGCACUUUAAUCAGGUUCACAAGGGAUGGGGCCGGUACCUGUACCCGCGGAUCGUGGCGAUGGCGGAUUGGAGCUUAUUAUCAACUCGUUUAAGAAUUUUAAAUUUUAAAGUUUUUUUAAACCUUGAAUUGUUUUGUUUAUUGCUUAAAUGAUAAAAUUUGGUGGUAGUUUGAUACUGUGUUGUAUGUUGCGUUAUUUUAGCUCAUUUUGUUAUUUUGGGGCAAUCGUUGGUGUUAAGUAAAUAAAAGCACCAGGUCGCCCAUGCUAUUAUUUCCACCCUGGCAUGGAUCACCUCAGCCAAGUGGUACGAGCAGAACACGAUGACCAACACGAGUACCAACCAGGGGAAUAUACCGACCAGAGGUAUAUACCGAGGCAAUACACAUCCCCCAAAAAGCGGGAACAUGAUCUCACAAAAUCACGGUAGUUGCGCUUUUCCCAGAACCGUUGCGGGAGACGCGAGAUCCCACAUUUGCCCAUAAUGUAACCGUUAGAGUCCCAUGAGGGGCUGCCACCACCCGAAAAAGGAGGGAUGAGGGGAAAACGGACACGUGGAACAUCGGCUAUAAAAGAAGAAGAAAUCGAUGAAGAAAGGGAUGAAAAAACUGAAAGAGGGGAAAUGCUGCCAAAUUGCAACCAGACCAUUUUCUUACAAACUUUGAAUAAAUUAGAAACCAUUUUUGAAUCCAAAUUGAGCUGUUUUCCGGUAAACGCCUUGUGCUAACUUAGGCAUCGGAGGGUUUACGCAGGUUUAGCAAAAGAAAGGAGGGUGAUUCCAACCCCAGUGGUUCGAGCAACAGUUGAUAACAUACACGUUGGUGAAAGAAUCUGGUUGGUCAAAGGGCGAGCAGAUUUCAACAUCAACAUUUUGGCGCCGUCUGUGGGGAAGCUGGAUAAAAAGCUACCACCGAAUUAGUAAUUACCGGAGAAACAGUGAACGGUUAGACAUGGAUGUACUAAGGAAGGACGCUGUGAGGGAGGAUAACGAAGCUGGGGAGACAAUCACUCUUCGGGAAAUAGCAAAUGAAGCCCGGGAGAGGAUGAUGCAAGAUCGAUGGAGCGGAUGGAGAAACAAAUGGAGACUCUCGCGACCAUACUGUAUGAGUUGAGGGAUGAGCGGAGAAGGGAUUGUGAAACCCCCGUGGGGAGAGACGAUGUUGGAGCAGAACCCAGCCUCCGAAGGCGUAGAGUCGAGGAAAUCCCUCCGCCAGCAGACCAACCUAAUGGGGUGCAUCCCCACAGGAGCAUUGGUCAGAUUCUAGGAGAACAGGUAGAUGAAGGGAGGGAUCAACCUCGCCCCAGACGGGUACUGGAAACGGAUGGCCGAGGGGCCAGUGUUGAUGAAGGAGAGCUCAGACAGAGGCUGCAGAAUGCCGAGCAUGAGCGAGAUCAGAUAGCUGCGCGUGAUCCUGACCGUGCUGUAGAAAUGGAGGGAGAGGUGCGCAGAUUAGCGCGAGUGAUAGAGGAGAUACAGGGCAAGAGGAAGCCCCCAAGCUGGAGAAUAAUGCUAGAUGAAGAAUCUCCGUUAUCAACUGAAAUCAUGGGUACCGUAAUCCCAAGAGACUUCCGCUUCCCCGACCUCAAAUACUCCGGGCGAAGCGAUCCGUUGGUGCACAUUGAGCGUUUCAACGACAUGACGGGUGUGCAGGGGCUCACACCAGCUCAGAGGUGCAGGGUGUUCCCAUUGACACUAGAGGGACGAGCCCGAGAAUGGUACCGCAAGCUACCCCGAGCAAGUAUAAAGUGGUACGAGCAGAUGUGCCAGGAGUUGGCCGAACAGUUCCGAGGAGCAGUAGCCCCAGAGGACGACAUAAUGGAACUGAUGGGGAUGAAACAGGAGGAGGAUGAAUCCCUUCAGGAUUUUGUUAAGCGAUAUCACCGAGCCGUACUGGAUCUAGGAGCUUUUAAUCACCCGCAAGCGCUGAGGGGAUUAAAAGAGGGUGUAAGAAUUGGCCGACUGUGGUAUAACUUAAGAAGCCCCCUAGUGCAGAAUUACUUGGCGGGAUAUGAGCAGGCGAGGCGAGAUAUAGAAAUCGAAGAGGAGAAAUUGGCGAGAAUAAAAAGUGAACAGCUGGAAGAACUGAGGCGAAAGGAACGGAGAGCCCCGAACGGGAGCGGGUCGGGAAAGCGAGCUGGGGAAUCUUCAGUAAUGGGCGGAAUAUCAGCUCGGUCCCGCCCUUACCCCAUAGCUCCGAGAUCACAACAGUUCCAACACAGCCGGGCUCAACCUCCCCGCCCCCCGUUCCCAGAGCGGCAGCGAGAAUUCAGGCAGACGGUGGCCCACCCUUACCACAACAAUCCCAGAGCGUUAAAUGCAACUAAUUCCAGGUCUGGACGACCAGAGCAGCUACCGGCUACACCAGGCCGAGGCGACAUCCACGAUAGCCGAGCAGUUCAAUUGGUUGACCAGAGCAUGGCAUAUGGACAGUACACUCCAUUAAAAAUAUCCAUGGAGGAACUGUAUGAGAGGAUCGAGGGACGAGGACUGCUGUACCCACCAGCCCCUAUAACAAAACCUGCUCACCGACGGGAUAAGAGCAGAUUCUGCAAAUUCCACGACACUCACGGUCACACUAUCAGCCAAUGUUGUGGCCUAAAGAUUCAGGUGGAGGAUUUAGUGAAGAACCGAUACUUGGAUGAGUACGUGGAUAGAGUGUCCCCUGUCAUUGAGUCACAAUACACAAGGGAUGAAGGAGUUGUGAGGGGUCUGGAGCAUGAACAACCAGUUAUCCGUGUGAUAGCAAGAGGGCCAACAUUGGCCGAGGAUUCGAACAGGGCCCGGAAGAACUAUGGGAGAUACGCCCUGACUAGCAAAGAAGUGCUUUUUAAUUUGCCAGCAACCAAGAAGGCAAAAGUGCGGCAAGUUCCCAUUAUGUGGACAGAUGAAGAUGAAGAGGGUAUCUUAUAUCCUCAUGAGGAUGCAUUGGUGAUUAAGGCAAUGGUGGCUGGUAUAGAGUUGCGACGAAUACUAGUAGACACAGGCAGCUCGGUCGACAUCUUGUUUAAGUCAGCUCUAGAUGAUAUGGGGAUUGCAGACUUGAAAUUGGAGCGGACAAAUACAUCCUUAAAGGGAUUUGGAGGGGGACAGCUAACUCCCAUGGGGAUCAUCGAACUCCCGAUUACUGUGGGGUCAAAACCGUUUGAAAAAUCGAUGAUGUUGGAUUUUGUCGUAGUAGAGGAAAAAAGCCCCUACCAGAUGAUACUGGGGAGACCGUUCAUGAGGAUAAGCCAAUGUGUAAUGUCCACGCAUUAUUUUGCGUUGAAGUACAGAGUAAAUGGAGUUGUUGGCAUAGUAAAAGGCGAUCAGAGAAUGGCGAGGAGCUGCUAUGCUACAGCGGCCAAGGAAACGCUGCAGGUUACCUCUCUAGAUAACCGAGGGGAUUCAAAAAAUGGUCACCAGGAACCUGUCGAGAAGUUGGAGGAAGUCGUUAUAAGCAAGAAUAACCCGAGCAGAGUGGUUAAAGUCGGGUCAGAAUUGGGCGAAGCGACAAAGGGUGAGCUGGUGAAGUGUCUACAGUCCCAUGCAGACAUAUUUGCUUGGUCUCAUGAGGAUAUGCCCGGAAUUGAUCGAAGGGUAGCCUGCCACAAGUUGGCGAUCAGGAAAGGAGCAAGGCCAAUGAGGCAGAAAAGGAGGUGCUUCAACCAAGAAAGGUACGAAGCCAUAAAUACCGAGGUUGAAAAACUGCUGAAAGCGGGAUUUAUAAGGGAAGCCAAGUACCCGGAGUGGAUUUCCAAUGUAGUACUGGUAAAGAAGGCCAACGGGAAGUGGAGGAUGUGUGUGGAUUUCACAGAUCUUAAUAAGGCAUGUCCGAAGGACAGUUUUCCCCUACCAAAGAUAGAUCAAUUGGUAGACUCAACAGCGGGUCACAGUCUGCUCAUCUUCAUGGAUGCCUUUUCAGGAUACAACUAGAUACCCAUGGACGAGCAGGAUGAGGAAAACACCACCUUUAUAACUAACAUGGGUUUGUUUUACUAUAAGGUGAUGCCUUUUGGCCUGAAAAAUGCAGGAGCUACUUGUCAAAGGUUGGUGAACAAGAUCUUCAAGCCCUUGAUCGGUCAUACCAUGGAGGUAUAUGUGGACGAUAUGAUCACAAAGUCCAAAAAACUGAGGGAUCACGUGAAACACCUGGAAGAGACCUUUGAAUUACUGAGGAAGUAUGAAAUGAAGCUAAACCCGGAGAAAUGUGCAUUUGGAGUCAGCUCGGGCAAAUUUUUGGGAUUCCUGGUGAGCCACCGAGGGAUCGAAGCCAACCCAGAAAAAAUACGGGUGGUAAUAGAAAUGAGAUCCCCUCGAACAGUUAAGGAGGUGCAGAGCCUUACAGGGAAAUUGGCAGCAUUGAACCGAUUCAUCUCGCGGGCCACGGAUAAAUGUCACCCUUUCUUCCAAACCAUAAAGAAAGGGAAGAAGAUGGAAUAGACAUCAGAAUGUGAGGAGGCGUUUGGGCAGCUGAAGGAGUAUCUGGCCCAUGCCCCGUUACUGUCAACUCCGAGAAAAGGUGACCAGCUGUUUUUGUACUUGGCAAUCUCAAAGUGGGCUACCAGCUCAGUGUUAGUCCGAGAAGAAGAAGGGAAGCAACACCCCAUGUAUUACACUAGCAAAGCCCUGGUAGACGCAGAAACUAGGUAUCCAUUAAUGGAGAAAUGGGCACUGGCUCUAGUGACGGCAGCACGAAAACUGCGACCAUAUUUUCAGGCCCACCCGAUAUUUGUGAUGACUGACCAGUCUCUUCGGCAAAUGCUCCAAAAACCAGAUGCAUCAGGGCGGUUAGUGAAGUGGUCCGUGGAGCUAAGCCACAGGCCCCGAGGAGCAAUCAAGGCCCAAGCACUGGCUGAUUUUAUGGCUGACCGUGUUGAACUAGGGGAAGAGGUCCAAGAGAAGCAGCCAAUAGAGUAGGAGAAACCAGAGGGGGUGUGGCUGGUAAUGGUUGACGGAUCAUGUAGUGAGCAAGGAUCUGGAGCAGAAAUUGUGAUACGAAGCCCAGAAGGAACCGAAAUAACGUAUGCAGUGAAGUUCAAAUUUCAGCUCACAAACAACCAAGCUGAAUAUGAAGCCUUUAUCACCGGGCUCGGACUUGCACACGCUUUAAGAGCAGAGAGGGUAGAAAUUCACGUAGAUUCCCAAUUGGUAUGUAAUCAGCUCAAUGAUCAGUUCCAAGCAAGGGGAGAGUCUUUAUUUGAAGAAGGCGAAGCAGAUGGUUGGGCUUUUCCAAGAGGUAGAGGUAAAGCAGAUAUCCCGGAAUGAGAAUUACCGAGCGGAUAUGUUGGCUAGGAUGGCCGCAAUUGCAGAUCCGAAAUUACCUAAGUCAGUUCCACUAGAGGUAAGGACCUCGCCAAGCAUAGGGGAGGAGGUAGAGGUGAUGAGAGUAAGCACUGGAGAAUCCUGGAUGGACCCGAUUCGCGCAUAUGUACGCGAUGGAGUUUUACCAGAGGACAAAAGGCAAGCAAGAAAAUUAAAAUGCCGAGCAGUGAGGUACACGCUAUUAGAUGGAGUGUUGUACCGCCGAGGGUUCACUUUGCCCCUUUUGAGAUGUUUGGAUGACGAAGAGGCAGAUUAUGUACUAAGGGAGAUCCAUGAGGGAAUAUGCGGCAAUCACUCGGGAGCAAGAACUUUAGCCUUCAAGGCGCUCCGGCAAGGAUACUUCUGGCCAACCAUGCAUCAGGAUGCGAAAAGGAUGGCAAAGAACUGUAAAACCUGCCAAAACUUCUCUGAGGUUCCUGCACAACCCCCAGAAAAGCUGACCACUAUGACAUCCCCAUGGCCUUUUGCUCAAUGGGGAAUCGACUUGAUUGGUCUGUUACCUAAGGGCCGAGGAGCGGCGACACAUGCAAUUGUGGCAAUAGACUACUUCACCAAGUGGGUAGAAGUGGGAGUCCUCAGCCAAAUCAUGGAGAGAAAGACAACAGAUUUUAUUUGGAAGAAUAUCAUCUGCAGAUACGGAAUCCCCUAUGCCAUCAUUACAGAAAAUGGGAGGCAAUUUGACAACGGUAACUUUAGGGAAUUUUGCCGAAAUUUGGGGGUGGACCUGAAGUUCUGCACCCCCGCACACCCCCAGGCAAACGGACAAGUGGAAGCGGCCAACAAAGUGAUAAAGAAGCUCUUGAAAACUAGAUUGGGGAAGAAGAAGGGAGCUUGGGUUGAUAAACUACCGGGAGUAUUAUGGGCCUACCGAACAACUCACAAAACCGCCACAGGGGAAACCCCAUUCGCUUUAGCUUUUGGUCAUGAGGCGGUAGUCCCAGCAAAAAUUGGAGUAAGGACACAUCGAAUGGAACCUUUCACUGAGGAGCAAAACAACGAGCAGAUCUGCUUAAGCCUGGACCUGCUUGAGGAGAAAAGGGAUGGGGCCUCGCAGAAAAUGGCCCAGUGUCAACAAAGGGUCAUGCGUUAUUACAACAAGAACAUACGCGUGAGGCAGUUCCGAGCAGGAGAUUGGGUACUUAGGAAGGUGAACCAAAACACCAGGGAUCCUAACCAUGGCGCUCUUGGCUCGAAAUGGAAAGGCCCAUACAGGGUGGUACGAGCCACUGGACCAGGAGCUUAUAAGUUAGCGCACCAAGAUGGACGAGAUGUGAAGAGGUCGUGGAACGCCGAGCACUUGAAGAAGUAUUUCCAGUAAGCAAAAUUAUUUUUGAAGAAGUUAUUUUUGUUAACUGCAUGAUGGCUUGUUGCGCCUGUAUAUAUUAUGUAUUCUUGUAAUACAUUCAAAUUUCAAAUAAAGAUGAAUUCAGCAUGAAAUCCCCCUGCUAGCAAACCCAAUAAGAAUUUUACUAAGGCAAGUAAGUGCCUGUUUCUGCUCGGUCAACGAAAGACCAUCAGAUAAUUUUAUGAGAAUUUUACUAAGGUAAGUAAGUGCCUGCUUCUGCUCGGUCAACGAAAGACCAGCAGCUAAUAUUGCAAGAAUUUUACUAAGGCAAGUAAGUGCCUGUUUCUGCUCGGUCAACGAAAGACCAGCAACUAAUUUUACGAGAAUUUUACUAAGCCAAGUAAGUGUCUGCUUCUGCUCAGUCAACGAAAGACUAGCAGCUAAUAUUGCAAGAAUUUUACUAAGGUAAGUAAGUGUCUGUUUCUGCUCGGUCAAUGAAAGACCAGCAACUAAUUUUACGAGAAUUUUACUAAGGCAAGUAAGUGCUUGCUUCUGCUCGGUCAACGAAAGACCAGCAGCUAAUUUUACGAGAAUUUUACCAAGGCAAGUAAGGGCCUGCUUCUGCUCGGUCAACAAAAGACCAGCAGCUAAUUUUGCGAGAAUUUCACUAAGGCAAGCAAGUGCCUGCGUCUAUUCGGUCAACAAAAGACCAGCAACCAAUUUUACGAAAAUUUUACUGAGGCAAGUAAAUGCCCACCACUCUUGCUCGGUCCACCAAGGAACCAGCAGGCAAAAUCAGAUAAAUUGUCCGAUUAUUUUGCAGAAACAAUCUAUAAACAAAAACCAGACAAGAAAGCCAAUAGAGAGCAUCUAAAAAUUUAUAAAUGUUCAAUUGUUUGCAAAAUAAAUGCGAAUCUAGAGUUUAUACAAAAAUAGACUUAAAGAUUAGGAGAGUCAGCGGCUCCAGCAACUGAAGGAUCAACUACCUCGGGAGGUAAAGGGUCAGCAAUCACAGAGGUGGGAGAUCAGCAAUACCGGAAAGAGGAGGCAUGGACCCUUGACCCACUUCGAAAGCACGUCCCCCAGCUUCCCCCUCCUACAUCCUAUCCAAAAGAGCCUCCACCUGAUCCUGCUCACCCUGUUCCUUAUCUGCCUGGCCAACCUCUGCCAUAUACCGCUGCACUCCAGCUUCCAACUUGCUCAUGUCCAGCUCGGGAUAUUCUUCCUUAAGCACAGACAUGAUGCACUUAUAGGAGAAAGCAACCCCAGAAUCAUACUCGGCAUCUAGCCGAUCGUCUACAUCAGCGGAUUUGCCUUUCUCCUCAGCCAGCUGCUCACCCAAGGAUUUGAUUUCCCCCUCAAGGGCGGUCCUCAGAGUAUCCUUUUCACUUUGAGUAGCCUGAAGAUCAGAUUUCAAGUCACCCAACUCACCCUCAAGUUUGGAGGAAGUGGACUCAGCAACCGCAACUUUCUCCUCUAGCUCCGCAAUCUGCCUGUUCAGCUCGGCCAGCUUCUCCUUCGAGCGAUCAGCAGACUCAACCCUCUUUUUCAAGUCCUGGUUCUCAGCUUGAAGCUUCCUCUCAUGGCGCGUGAUCCUGUUCUUGUAACAAGAUAUUAUGGUAGCCAACUUGAAGGAGACCCUCUGGACAGAACCAGCCAAUUAAUUGAGAUUCAUGCUCUCAAUGUCCUGGACCAUCUUGGGCCCCACCGACUUCCCAUAGUCCCUCUGAUACGGGGUCAGGUAGUCACCCUGAUCACGAGUCGGAAGAGGGGAGGAUCGGUCCCCAGAGCGGGUGCUAACCUCUGAACUCUUGUCAGUAGUUUUAUCCCCGACACUCUUACGAGGUGGUGGAGGGGGCAGGGUAGGAACAGAAGCCUUUGAAGGGCCAUCACUGACUUUCUUCGGAGGAGGAGAAGGGUUGCUGGAGCUGCUCAGAGCCCGACCGCGCUUUCUGCUCAUUGCACUGAGGAUCUUGUUAUCCAUCCCGGCAGCAAUGUCCACUAAGCCCGAACCGACCAAGUUUGUUGGUGACAGCAGGUCUUGGCAGGUUGACGCGUUCACCAGAGUAGUUUCCACCUGAAGCAAAGGUCGGUCCUCAAGUUCCUUAAUCAAACCCCACAAUUCUGAAAGAACAAACAAGGUUAAAAAACCAAUAAGUGACAAGUCGAGAAAAGAUAUAGGCAAAAAUGGACGACCUGGGGUGACAAAAUGUGUUGGGAGGUAAAUAUCACCACCCAACGAAUGAGCUGCUGGACACCAACUUCCCCCAGCAAAGAAGAAUUGGUUCUUCUAAUUUUUGUACGAGGAGGGGAAGCCGGUGAUUGGUUUCCUCUUCGCAGAGCUCGACAUGAAAUAGUACCAGCUUGCUUCCUUCAGGCUACUCCUCAGCUGAUAGAGAUGCUUCACUUCAACAAGGGAGGACUCCUCUGAUCCACACCUCUCCCACAGCACAAACAUUGCUGAGAGAACCCUCCACCCGUUGGGAUGUAGCUGACCUGGGGCUAGGUGCAUGCCACCCAGGAUUUUAGCAAAAUAACGUUGAAGGGGCAGCCGAGCUCCUAAUUUGAAACUCUCCAGGUGCAUCGUCACGUACCCCCGCGGAGGCCGACUAGGAACAUCAUCUUUCCCAGGAACUACUAGGAGAACCUCCUCAGGAAUAUUGUAAAGGUUCCUAAGCUUGAACAGAUCAGUUUGGGUAGUGGAACAAGCUAUGUAGUCAAUAGGAUAAGAGUCCGCCUCUACCCUAUGACCGAGGUUCCUUCUCUGAGGGGGUACGCUCGGUCCGGAACUGCUCCCCUCACCAUCACCAGCUCCUUCAGGGACCCCAACCCCAUCAAAGCUGUGAUUCUCACCAGAGCCCGACGCAGGUCCACCUCUAUUCCCUACGAGCUCUACUUCGAGGGAGGGAGAAACAGCCAAGGGGCGUGGGUACUCAAGGGUAUCCCUACCAUGGGAGGGGUCUACACUACUAAAGGGACGUAAAAAAUCAGUGGGUAUUGACAAAUUAAGGUCUGAGUCCCCUGUUUCCUCGUCACUCUCUUCGACAAUCAACUUCCUUUUCCGAUUCGACAUAUUGGAAUCCCAAAAGAAAACAAAGCAAACUCAAGUAUACGGAUAUAAAAGGGGUGACACAGAACCCAAUCAACAGCAACCAGAGAAGAAAGUAAAAGCAAUACCUGGAUUGAACGGGCACUAAUAGCGCGGCCGUGACAAAAGAAAAACCCAGCAAAUGGAUACUCCAGAUGCGGGAAGUGUGAGCAAAGUUCAUAGAGGGGGUUAGUUGGCGACGGAGAGACGAAUAGCAAAACGAUGAUGAUUUCAGUCUAGGGAUUUGAAACGAAAAGGGGGAAAUGAAAGCGUUUAAGUGAUGGGGAUGACAGCUCAUUCACCGAAUAUCGAGGACAGAUAACCCAUCAUUUCAAAUUUCAAAUACGAAGAGUCUGGAGAUGCCACGUCACUAACCGUUACCAGAGACCAGGCCAGAUGCAAGCCCAGAUAUGCAAUGUAUAUGCUCAUUUAGGCCUAUGCUCAGGUCGGAUUCUCCCCAAAAGAAAAUUGGUAUCUGAGGUCCGUCCCGAUAAACAGAAGACCAGAUGAGAAGCUCCCCGGGUCGGUAAGAUUUGACUAUCAGUUUCUACUCUUAACUCAUUCCACUCGCGAGACUAGAAACUGGGGGACUGGUGUUAAGUAAAUAAAAGCACCAGGUCGGCCAUGCUAUUAUUUCCACCCCGACAUGGAUCACCUCAGCCAAGUGGUACGAGCAGAACACGAUGACCAACACGAGUACCAACCAGGGGAAUAUACCGACCAGAGGUAUAUACCGAGCCAAUACACAUCCCCCAAAAAGCAGGAACAUGAUCUCACAGAAUCACGGUAGUUGCGCUUUUCCCAGAACCGUUGCGGGAGACGCGAGAUCCCACGUUUGCCCAUAAUGUAGCAGUUAAAGUCCCAUGAGGGGCUGCCACCACCCGAAAAAGGAGAGAUGAGGGGAAAACGGACACGUGGAAUAGCGGCUAUAAAAGAAGAAGAAAUCGAUGAAGAAAGGGAUGAAAAAACUGAGAGAGGGGAAACGCUGCCAAAUUGCAACCAGACCAUUUUCUUACAAACUUUGAAUAAAUUAGAAACCAUUUUUUAAUCCAAAUUGAGCUGUUUUCCCAUAAACGCCUUGUGCUAACUUAGGCAUCGGAGGGUUUACGCUGGCAAAACCACCGGCGUCUCUGAUCCAUUUUUGGUGAACGCAGGUUUAGCAAAAGAAAGGAGGGUGAUUCCAACCCCAGUGGUUCGAGCAACAGUUGAUAACAUACACGUUGGUGAAAGAAUCUGGUCGGUCAAAGGGCGAGCAGAUUUCAGCAUCAACAGUUGGUAAUGGUUGCAGAAGAGGAAAUUUAUGAUUCGUUUGAUUUUUCAAUAAAUUAUAGGACCACAGCGAAAACAAAUGUGGCGGUUCGCCUUCUUUGGCCCCUGGUAAUCAUUCACCAUUCACUCGUUAUGUCUUGUCUCAGUUGUUUGUUUGUUACUGUUGAAAGUUUCAAGCAGAUGGGAUUAUAUAAUUCUUCUUUAAACACGACGUCGUUUUUGUUCGUUAAGAGCCCAAUGAUAAUUUUAUCAUUCUUACAUCAAUAAAAUUCUAACGGCAUGAUGACAAUAGUGUAGAAAUGAUACAUUUUUUAAAUAGAUAAAAGCCUAUUUAGUCUCUGUAUUUUGAGAUUAGUGUUCAUUUAGUUCCUGUAUUUUUAAAAAUGUCUCGAAACAUCCAUACCAUUAAAGUAUUGAUACCUCUACCGUUACUUUUUAUUUAUUUUGCCUUACUUUUACAAUAUUACCCUUUUGUAAUAAUUUUUUUCGACAUUAAUAAAAAGAAAAUAAUUAAAUUACCAAUUUAACCCUAAAAAAUUAAAAAAAUAUAUUAAUUUUUAAUUGUCAUAAAUUGUCAAAAUUGCAUGCAAACUACCAAGUGUGCAAAUGGUGCUUGCAAAAAAAUUAAUAUAAAUUUUUUUAGGGUCAAAUUAGUAAUUUAAUUAUUUUCUUUUUAUUAAUAUCCAAAAAAUUAUUAUAAAAGGGUAAUAUUGUAAAAGUAAGCUAAAAAAAAGUAACGAUAGGGGUAUCAAUACUUUAACGACAAGGCUAUUUUGAGAUAUUUUAAAAAAUACAAGGACUAAAUGGAUAUUAAUCUUAAAAUACAUGGACUAAAUGAGCUUUUACCCUUUUUAAACAUCAAGUAGAAUUGUUGUAAAGAAAAAAAAAUGUGUUUUUUGUAUUUUUGAUAAAGUCUAAAACAUCAAGUGAUCAGUGAAUAUUUAUCUUUUAAGUAUUUCAUUCAAAAAAAUUUCCAUUCCUAGACUAUUUGAGUUGCUACCAAAAGUGUGAAUUUUUUUUUUAAUUUUAAUGAUGAACCUCAAUAUUUGGGGUGAAUAUUUUAGUAUUUAAACUUAAUGGUCAAUAAUAGGCCCACUAUUGGUAGUGGAAUUUUUAUUCCAAUACUAUACAAUUUUCGUAUGAGGUGGUCUUGAGCUUAUCUCAACCUCAAAAGUCAAAAGCUAGUUCAAUAAGUGAGAUUUUUUUCUCACACUUAUAAAAUCACCACGAGCUCCUCCCACAACCGAUGUGGGAUAAUCCCAACAAUCUCCCCUCACUCAUCAGGUCUUGGGUUAGAAGCAUAAACAUCCAUUCUCCCUAUUAGUUAGUUGAGAUGUUGGUGAACCUGAGCUUUGAUGCCAAUGUUAGAUGGUCUUAGCCUCUCUCCGACUUCAAAAGAUUGCUCAAGGAGAGAUAUUUUCCCUCAUAUUUAUGAAGUCAUUAUCAGCCUCUUCCAAUACCGAUAUCGGCUAACCCGACAUUUCUCUCUCUAUAUAAUACAUAAGUUGGAUAAUUUUCCAAUUUAACCUUAACGUAUGGACCAUUUUUUGUCUAUAUUGAUUAUGGGGCUGACAACUUUGGUUAUCAGGUAGGCAAAAAGAAAAGUCAUUGUCUCAUUAAUUCAUUUGGUCAUUUGAAAACGUUGUGGCUCUGUUUUAGUCCAGUGUCAAUAUAUAAAUUUAUUAUGUCAUGACAAACUUCAAAAUCUAAUUUAGACUGCGACUUAAAUAAUUGUAAUUAGUAAUUUAUUAUAUCUGCCGGAUAUUUUGUUAAGGAGAAAAAAAAAGAAUAAAAUCAGUCCCAUAAUGAUUUUAAUAAAUAUCAUACUACAAAGAGAAUAUGCGAAAGAUAACUAAGAGUGCAUUUGGGAUUGAGUUUGGACAGUUGUAGGUUAAAAACUACAACAAUGAAGUAUUUAGUAUACACUAGCUGCUGUAACUUAAAAGUUUUAUUGAUAUGAUUUUUCACUUGUAUAAUGGUGAAUCUAUUAUAUCUUUAAUAAUUUUAUCAAAAUUAUUACUUAAAAUUUAUAUUUACUACAUAUUAUUAACUUUUAUUUUAUAGUUACAGUUUUUUUUACAGCAGCUAUAACUUUUAAGCUACAACAACUCAAUCCCAAACGUACCUUAAGGAAUAAAGCUUUUCUACAAUGAUUUAUAAUAUUGCUUUUGGAGAACGGUUAUGAAAUUAUAUCAAAUUACUAAGAAUUUAGUUAACCACACAAGAAGUCUAUUUUGUUGACUUUUUUGACGAAGGUAUGUUCUUUCUUUCUUGCUGCUCAAACUGCUUUGGUGGUUUCAAACAACUCAGUCUUCAUCAUGCUAUUGCUGUCAAGAUUAGAGAAAUCAGUGAAAAGCUAGAUGAUAUUGCCGAACAAAAAGAUUGUUUCAAAUUUGUUGAGAAUGUGAGUGACAAUGUUAAGAAACCACAGCGACUACCAAACACCUCUUUGAUUGAUGAGAGGAACAUAAAAACUUAGGAGGCGCAUAAAAUAUAUUUGGUAUUGUUCAUAUAUACGGUACUGAUCAUGGAUACAAUAAUUUUCACAUAUAUGGCGCUAUUCACAAGUAUGACAUUGUUCACAUAUAUGGUACGAUGACAUGACAUUGACCGAUAAUGAAGCAAUAUCCUAUUGGACCAAUGAUGUGGCAUUGAUUGAUGAUGUGGGGUUGAUCGAUGAUGUGGCAACAUCUUAUUGGACAGAAAUGCUGAUGUGGUGAUGACCGAUGAUUCUCUCUCCAUCUUGUGUUUUCUACAUAUUUUAGUAAAAUUAUCAUUUUACCCGUAGUUCAAAUAUGAGUGGCUAGUUUAGUUUCAAGCUUAGGUUGAAGGUGAAAUCUCAACAUGAUCCAUGGGCUGAAAUAGGUGAGUUUAUUUUCUUUUCCUCUCUAAUUUAUGUGAUUGUUUUGACUCAUUGUUGACAAUAGUGUAUCCAUUCUAGAUUUUGCACGGUAUAUCGAAUCCCUAGUGAAAGAUUGUUACUGUAUGGCACAAUGAGCACUUAGCACCAUAUUAAUUAGAGAGAAAAUUUCCCUCUAGUAUUUUGUGGGUUGUUUUGACUUAGUGUUGACAGAGAGUGCAUCUACGCUAUUUAGUGGAUGGUAUUGCCACGUUAUUGACAGAAGAAUUAUUAUCGUCUGGCACGCUGAACACUUGAUACCAUAUUUAUUAGAGUGAGGAUUAUGAGGAGUGGAAAUACUCUCCCUCAUGCAUUAAUUGGAACUAAAAAGGAAAUAUUAAGCAUAUAGUGGAUGUUGAGUGUGAAUCCAGAGAUUUAAGCAUUUCAUUUACAUUGUUUUCAUCUUUAAUUCAUUUCUGCCUUUUCAUUUUAAAUCUUGAGAUUAAAAAAAAAUUCACUUCCAACCAACUCACAUUUACACCUAGAAAAUUAACCUUACGAAUAAUUAAAUCUACAUUCUCAUGGGAUCAAUACUUGUGUUGGUUAAUUUUAUAAUCAAAUGCUAUUGAUGUCAAUGUGUAAUUGAACACAACAAGUAAUAAAGUGAUGAUAUUCAAGAUCGUCUCUAUAGGAAUUGAUGUCACUUGAAAUGCUAUAGCAAUCACAAUAGUGCAACUAAAUUCAAUUCGAAGUUAACAAAUGUAGAGUGGGUUGUAUUGUAAUUAACGAUUAUGAGAGAAUAAAGUAAAAUAAUACUAUAAUGAAUUAAACCAAAUUAAAUGUGUCUAAGAUUCAAUUGAGACUAUGGUAGUUGAAUGAUCAAACUUUCCUUAUGGGCUGACUGCUUUUCAUCAUGUUAACACCAGUUGUUACGGCAAGUGCUGCAGCACUGGGCAAAAUUAAUCUGCAUCCUCAGCUAUCGCAUAUUGGAACUCUCAUACCCUUAAAUCUAUUAACAAUGACCAGUUGCUAAUCUACUUAUGGUAUGGCAUUAUGAUCCUUUAGUCUCUCCACCCUAUAAGGUGAGCACCUAUAUCAAAGUCAUGUUCUUCACUACAGUAUAGACAAGAAAGUUCAGCAACUUGCUUCACUAAUGCUGGAGCAGAUGUCAUGGCCUUUACCAUGUUAGUCAAUGAAGUUACUUACCCUGAUAAGGCUGUAAUUGCAUCUAUGUUAUGUAACCCUGCUGAUCCUCUUGCUGCUGGUUGCCUGGUUGAUAGCCACUGAUAAUUAUUAUUGGCAAUUCUCUCUAAAAUUUCAUAAGCUUCGAUAUAAGAUUUGGAUAACAGGGCUCCAUUUGCUGAAGCAUUCACCAUUAAUCUAGUACUAGGAUUUAACCCAUUGUAGAAAGUUUCCAAUUGAAUGCAACAAGGAAUGCCAUGAUGAGGACACCUUCUGAGCAGUUCUUUGAAUCUUUCCCAAGCUUCAUACAAACUCUCAUCUUCAAGUUGAUGGAAAGAAGUAAUCUCAUUCCGCAACUUUGCAUUUUUUAUCGGUGGAAAAUAUUUCAUUAGGAAUUUAUCAGCCAACUCAUUCCACGUAGUGAUGGAAUCAGGUGGUAACGAAUUUAACCAUGCUCUUUCUCGAUCUCUUAAGGAAUAAGGAAAAAGCCUUACCCUUAAGAUAUCUUGUGUUGCUCUAGUAAUCUUAAAAGCAUCACUCACUUCCAAGAACAAUUUAAGAUGGAGAUGAGGAUCUUUAUUUAGCAAUCCAUUGAAUUAACCAACUGUUUGCAACAUUUGAAACAUCACUAGCCUCAACUCAAAAUUUGCAGCUUCUACCUCAGGUCUGAUUAUCCCAGGGUGUACAACUUGAGGAGUUAACACGGCAUAAUCUCUAAUAGCUCUGUCUCUAUCAUCAGCCACAUAAAUAAUAUUGUUAUUGUCUGGUUGUCUUUCGUUAGCAUGUUCAUUCUACUCUUCUUGAAUGUUGACUGGUUGUAAGGGCCCGUGAGGGUUCAAAUUUUCCACAUCCUGCAAAUUAUUCAUGCCUAAAACGGCUUUUGAAUUCCUUUGUAUUCUUCGCAGUCUCCUGACAGUCCUUUCAAUCUCAAGAUCGAAUUGGAAUACAACAGAUUUGUCUUUACGCAUGCACGUAUUGAUCUGCGAACCAAUAGAAUGAAUUAAAUCAAGUUUGGCACUAUCAAGAUUUACUUCACACUUUAAAAAUAAACAAUCAAUCCCCGGCAACGGCGCCAAAAACUUGUUGGUUAAUUUUAUAAUCAAAUGCUAUUGAUGUCAAUGUGCAAAUGAACACAACAAGUAAUCAAGUGAUGAAUAUUCAAGAUCGUCUCCACAGGGAUUGAUGUCACUUGAAAUGCUAUAGCAAUCACAAUAGUGCAACUAAAUUCAAUCUGAAGUUAACAAAUGUAGAGUCGGUUCUAUUGUAAUUGAUGAUUCUGAGAGAAUAAAGUAAAACAAUACUGUAAUGAAUUAAACCAAAUUAAAUGUGUCUAAGAUUCAAUUGAGACUAUGGUAGUUGAAUGAUCAAACUUUCCUUAUGGGCUGACUACUUUUCAUCAUGUUAACACCAGUUAUUACGGCAAGUGCUGCAGCAUUGGGCAGAAUUAAUCUGCAUCCUCAGCUAUCGCAUAUUGGAACUCUCAUACCCUUAAAUCUAUUAACAAUGACCAGUUGCUAAUCUACUUAUGGUAUGGCAUUAUGAUCCUUUAGUCUCUCCACCCUAUAAGGUGAGCACCUAUAUCUAGUGUGUCAUAAAUCUUAACUUCAAAUAUAGCCCUUAUAGAAUUCAAGAUAACUUAAUCCAGGAAACUUAAAUUAAGAUCAAGUAAUACUCUAAUAAUGUCCGCUAAGACAUGCCUUUUUACUGCUCUAUCUUAAUUGGAACUAUUAAAUAGGUGGUCAACCAAAAUAACAAUUAUAUUAAUAAUAACUGCUAGAGUAUAAUGUUACAGCAAUGACAUAACAAAACAUAAGAACAGUCAAGAACCCAUUAGAUUGUUUGUCACUCAACUACAAGCAAAUCUAGUUCAUUAUUCUGAAUAAGAAAAACAAACAUAAAUAUGUUGUUCACAGGAUACAAAUCCAAAUAAUUCUGAAAGAUUCCUCAAUGUUGCCGAAACAACACUCUUCAAUUCUGAUCUUCUUCUCCUUUCCUUUCUAAUGAUUCUAAUGAUAAUUCCCUUGCCGCCUUUCGACGUGGUGUACGCCUCCCUUUUAUACUGCAAACUAGGGUAAACAAAAGUCUAUGGGCAUGCAUGAGUUAAAUUAGGAAACAUGCAAAUCACGAUUCUGCAGCUGACCCGCGCCUGAGUUUUCUCCCGCAUUGCUCCCAGAUUGCUACAGCACUGAUUGCUCUAACAUCUGCUACAACACUGCACUAUUCUCGAUUGUACUUUACUUCUUUUGCGGCCAUCUUCUUUCCUCCUCUUGCUCAUCUAAUGUCUCACUAUCCCCUCAUGAAUUAAGACUUUUUAAAAACCUACAAUUAUGCACCUGUUUUUAGCACAAAUUGCUUUGAUUCAAACAAAACUUAUUAAGACUCAACUAAAAUGAAUGUUUAUGCAAAAUAUAACCAAAAUGUAAUAAAAACACCUUAUUUGUUCUCUAAGUGAUCUUGAUUUAAGUCUAGAAUUUAUGUAAUAACUCUCAUUUCCUAGAGUUAUCAAUUUGUCACCACAAAAUCUAUUUUAUGAUAGAUUCGUGCAUUUGCGAGUACAAUAAAAUUUACACAACAAAAAGCAGGUAGCGUUUGGUCCUUUGAGGAUCAUGAAAUUUAGAACCAAUCGAUCUAAGAAUUACAUGAAAGUGCAAAAUAGGGAAUCUCUUAUGCUCUAAAAGAGUAGUAAAAGAACAAAAAAGAAUUUUAGAUAGUGAUAUGUGGAAGGUAGAAGAGAUUAGGAAAGGUCUUUUGACUCCUUUAUUGUUGAGUUAUAUUGCUUUGCCGUCCAUGGUAAAACGAUUCUUCACAUAUUGUGUUGUCUUUUCAAAAGACUACAACAUGUAUAAAGAGGAACUAAUUACCCUAUAGAUGAUUUAAGGUUACCUUAAUAUAGGAGAAGGCAAAGAGAUGGAGAUCCAAUCCGAUCUAAUAGUAGUAGUUUAUUUUAAUUUUUGUUCAUUUGAUUUCAUAGUAGUAGGUUUCAUUUUUUUUUUGUUUAAAAUUAGAAAAAUGAACUAAAAUGAGAUAAUUUUGAAAAAGAAUCAAAACAAAAAAAGGCCCAAAAUUACCCUUGUUCCGAACAUUAUCUGAAUCCAUCAUAAUUGACCUAAAUUCAAUUUUAACUCAAACCCAGCCUCGGCCUCAUAUAAUUAUAACCUGAUCCGAUCUAAACUCAACCCCAAAGUUUUGAUUUAAUCUAAUUCAAUCCGAAUAUUCCAAGCCAAUCAACUUAAAACCCAAUUAAGUUGAUCCAAACCCAAAUUUGUACACUCCUAGAGGGGACCAUCACCCUAUAGGCUUUGAAAAUUUUUUGAGGUUUUUACAUGAAAUAUUAAAAUUAGGUAUAAAAAGACUAAUUUGACCCUCGAAUAGUUUAUAUAAAAACUUUAGAUAUAUAAUGAAACUUUAAUUGUAUAUUUUGUGAAAUAAAGUCAAAGUAACAUGAUUGUUUGAUUUUUAUUUGUUAAUUAUUUUUUAUAGCCUUUUUUAAAAGUUUGUAAGUUUGGGCCUACCUCUUGAUUUUUAUUUUGUUCAUUUUGUUUUCACUUGCAACAGUAGUUUCAAUUAUCAGUCACAAAAUCCUCAAAUUUUGGAAUCCCGUACAUGCUAGCUAUAAAUAGAAAAAAAACUGUCUAAAAUUAAUACCCAGCUAACACUUGAAAUUUAAACUUGGGCCUCAUGAAGAUUUACCCUGAGCUUUGCCCCUGGAUAUGGAGCAAAAUAUUAGUUUUGCUAGUGAAAUUGCCAACUAUGUUUUUCUUUUGUAUUCUCCGCUUAGGUAAGAAGAAAUUUCCUACAACUUUUGUGGUGAAUAUCUUGUGAAUAUAUGACAGUUUAAUCUUUAGUUGCCAAUUGUUUAAAAUAAAAAAGGGAAAAAGGAUAUUUAUAUCUCCAAGAUUUUGAGAAAUAGUCACCAACACCCUUCUAAAAAGGACAUCAAGACUUCCUUUUGACCAUAAUACCCUUUAUCUUUAAUAUCUCGAAAAAUUUAACUUGCAAAUUUUUAAUAAACAGAAAUAUUAUAUAACUAAUAUAAUCUAUGUAGUAGAUUAAUAAUAUUAAAAUAUGUAAAUUAUUAUAUUUAUUUUAAUAAUAUAUUUGUAUUUAUUGUAGAGAUUUUAUAUAAAUAUUUGUAUUAAGUACAUUUUACAAUUAAAAAAGUCUCACAUACUAAUAAUGUUAAAAUUAUUAUUUUCAUAAUAAUUUAAAUUUUAAUACAUUUAUUUUAAUAUUAUAUUUCUAUUUAUUAUAAAAAAAUUAAAGUUAUUUUUGGGAAUAAAGGUAAAGGGUAUUGUAGUAAAAAAAGAGUCUUAGUGUCUCUUUUUGAAAAAUUAGGAGUAUUGGUGACCAUUUCUCCAAAAUUUAGGAAUAUAGGUGUCCUUUUCCUAACAAAAAAUGACACUUUUGAUAGGAGAUAUAAUAAGCUUUGUUCCUUAGAAAAAUCCAUCAGAUAUAUUAUGCCCGCGGUUGCUAUUGUUAAAAAUAAGUAGUUCUUCUUUUUGUAUAUUAAAAUAGUACAAGGGUGGAUAAUAUUUAAAAUAUUUUUUAACCUUUAUCUUUUUUGACAUUCGAAUUUUAAACUCGAGAAGUCAAGCAAAUAAACUUCUUGAGAGGUUAACUAAAUUCUUAGUAAUUUGAUAUAAUUUCAUAACCGUUCUCCAAAAGCAAUUUUAUAAAUCAUUGUGGAAAAGCUUUAGUCCAUAGUUAUCUUUUGCAUAUUUUCUUUGUAAUAUGAGGUAAGUCCGUAGACCAUAGUAUGAUAUUUAUUAAAAUCAUAAUGGGACUGAUUUUAUUUUUUUUUUCCUUCUCAACAAAGUAUCCGACUACAUAUAUAAUAGAUUACUAAUUACAAUUAUUUGAGUCGCACUCUAAAUUAGAUUUUGAAAUUUGUCAUGACAUAAUAAAGUUAAAUAUUGACACUGGACUAAAACAGAGCCACAGUUUUUUCAAAAUGACCAAAUGAAUUAAUGAGACAGUGGCUUUUGCCGACCUGAUAACAAAAGUUGUCGGCCAUAAUCAAUAUAGAGAAAAAAUGGUCCAUACGUUAAGGUUAAAUUGAAAAAUAUAAAAAAUAAAUUUCAUUUCUGAUGAAAUUUGUAAUGGAUUUAUUACUAAUUUUAUCAAAUUCUUAUCAAAUAUUUAAAAAAAUAUAAAAUCACUUAAUUGAUGGUAUUAUUAAUUUUCGUGAUUAUUUUUAAUAUUAUAUUAGUUCUUAUUAAAUUUAAUACAAUCAAUAAUGCAAUAAAUCGUUAAAUGGUUAAUUUUAUUGACAAAUUAUCAAAUAUGCAAGUAAUGAAAAAUUAAUCUCAAGAGUUAGUAGAAGUAAAGUUCUAAUUUAAUCAGAUGAGAGAUGAUAAAUAAAAAAAUAUUUUAAGUAAAUCAUAAAUUAAAAGAAUUAAUUAAUUAUUAUUAAGUAUAAAUAAACAAUAAUGAUAUGAAUUAAAGUCUAUAAAUUUUUUCUUUAAUCUUAUCCCAACUAAAGCCAUGUGUAAAUUAGGAUUAUCAAUCCCAUAAUUUUAGGGUUAAAAUUAAAUUUAGUCCCUCAGUCCAAUUCAAUUAAGCUUACCAAAUAUGAGAUAAAUAUAUAAUCACAAAAUUAGUCCAAUUCCGUACUUAAUCCUAGUAUCGAACAUGGCCUGAAACAAUUUAAAUAAAUUUGAAAGUUCAUAAUAAUCAUAACAUGUGCUAUCUUUUCUUCCUUUUCUUAAUUAAAUAAAAGAAAAAAAUUAAUUACCGAGCCACUGAUGUCUAAAAUGACCUGAAAAAUAAUUUAGGUAAUAUACUCCUAUCGCGCAAUCAGAUAGAAAAAAGGGUCGGCUGCAUGAUUUUUUGAACUUUUGUCUUAUUUUUCUCUUUUCAACUAAAAAUUAAUUUAAGAAAGUUAUAUUUAACUACUUUUUGUCGUGACAUAAUAAACUAAAACGGAAUCACUACGUUUUCAAAUGACCAAAUGGCCUUGGCCUACCUGAUAAUAAAAGGCCAUAUAGAUAAGAAAUGGAUCCAUACGUUAAAGCUAAAUUGAAAAAUAUAAUAAAUAAGUUGUCAGGAGAUGAUUUUAUAAAAAAUUUCACUCGCAUGGUCCCGACCAAAUACAAAUUUGUGAUGAUAUUCGUAAUGAAUUUAUACAAUGAGGCGAAAUUACUCUGUCUAAUUUCAUCGAUAUAUAUUACACCAUUAAAAAUAUACUAAUAUUUAUAAUGAAAAAACUUAUGACUACUUUAAAUCGACUGUAUUAUAUGUGAAUUCACAAGAUUCAUAGAUAGAUUGCACUAAGCUUUUUGUUGCAGUUUACAAAUAUUUUGUUACUAAUGUAAGAAAUUUUACAAGUGCUGAUGCUGUGUACUCUGCAGAAAGCUAGCCCCAGACGGUGACUCCUGUGGGGACUCCUUCAAUUUGCAGCACAAAAGAACGUUCACAUUGACAUUGACUUGAGGGUAAAACUUAAAUAACUCCUAUGGUAUAAGAAGAAUGCAAACAUGCUUGAAUCAACAUUCUCUCAGAAUACAUAAAACCUACUUUCCUCUGAGCAUUUUAGCAGCAAGAAAAGCAAUUGCAGCAUUUACCAAUUGAUCUAAUAUCAAAAUGGCUCUUGCGAUCGUUUCCUCUCUCCUGGACCAGCUGAAAUCCAUUGCUCAAGAUCAGGUGAAAGAAAAGUGGAGGCUUGUGACGGGUGUCGAACAAGAAGUGGAAAAGCUUACCAAAAAUCUUCGAGCCAUUCAAGCUGUGCUGGAAGAUGCAGAGCAGAGGCAAAUGAAGCUCGACAAAGCUGUUACUGAUUGGCUGGAUGAGCUCAGAGACGCAUUCUACGACAUGGAAGAUGUGUUGGAUGAGUGGAUCACUGAAACACGGAAAUUGCAGCUUGAUGAGGGUGGCGAUGAUGAUAACGACAAUGCUUUUGUUACUCUUUUGACAAAGGUAUGUUCCUUCUUUCCUGCUACGUCAAACUGCUUUGGUGGUUUCAAACAACUCAGUCUUCGUCAUGAUAUUGCUGUCAAGAUUACAGAAAUCAGUAAAAGGCUAGAUGAAAUUGACACACGAAAAGAUAGGUUUAAUUUUGUUGAGAAUGUGAGUAACAAUGUUAAGAAUCCAGAGCGAGAGCGAACCAUCUCCUUGAUUGAUGUGGGAGAGGUUUGCGGUAGAGUUGAUGAGAAAAAUGAGCUCUUAAGCAAGUUGUUGUGUGAAAGUAGUGAACAACAACAAGGCCUUCAUGUCAUCUCACUAGUUGGGUUAGGGGGUAUAGGUAAAACCACUCUUGCACAACUGGCAUAUAAUAAUGAUGAGGUGAAAAGCAAUUUUGAAAAAGUUAUAUGGGUGUGUGUAUUAGACACUUUUGAGGAGAUUAGGGUCGCCAAAGCAAUCAUUGAAGGUCUAGGCGUGUCAACUUCUGGUUUAAGCGAAUUCGAAUCUCUUAUGAAACAGAUUCAGGAAUAUAUUAGGAGGAAGAAAUUUUUUCUUGUUUUAGAUGAUGUGUGGGAUGGAGAUUACAAAAAAUGGGACCCAUUCUUUUCUUGUCUAAAGAAUGGCCACCAUGAAAGUAAAAUUCUAAUUACCACACGUGAUAGGUCAGUUGCACUACAGUUGGGAUCAAUAGAUAUUAUCCCUGUCAAGAAGUUGGGUGAAGGGGAAUGUUGGUUACUGUUUAAGCAGAUAGCAUUUCUACGUAGGUCCUUUGAGGAUCGUGAAAAAUUAGAACCAAUGGGGCGAAAAAUUGCACACAAGUGCAAAGGCUUGCCUCUUGCUACAAAGGUAAUAGGGAAUCUCUUGCGCUCUAAACGUACAGUAAAAGAGUGGCAAAGAAUUUUAGAGAGUGAAAUGUGGAAAGUAGAAGAGAUUGGGCAAGGUAUUUUGGCUCCUUUGUUGUUGAGUUAUAACGAUUUGCCCUCCAAUUCUAUGGUAAAAUGGUGUUUCUCAUAUUGUGCUGUCUUUCCAAAAGACUACAAUAUGAAUAAAGAGGAACUAAUUUCACUAUGGAUGGCUCAAGGUUACCUUAAUGCAGAAGAAGACGAAGAGAUGGGGAUGAUUGGGGAAGAGUAUUUCAACAUUUUAGCAGCACGCUCUUUCUUUCAAGAAUUUAAGAAAAAUGAUGAUGAUGAUAUUAUGAGUUGCAAGAUGCAUGACAUAGUACAUGAUUUUGCUCAAUUUGUAGGUAGCAAAGAAUGUUUGUGGCUAGAAAUUAAUGGUACCAAAGAAUCAGUCAUAAACUCUUUUGGUGGGAAAGUCUGUCACUUAGGGUUAAAGUUUAAAGGACGUGCUUCAUUUCCUAUGUCCAUUCAUGGACUUAAUAGAUUGCGUACCCUUUCAGAAUGAUGAAAGUCUUUUCAAUCCGUCUCUUAAUAACAGCAUCCUUUCAGAAUUAUUUAGUAAAUUGGCGUGUUUAAGGGCAUUAGUUAUAAGCCAAUCGUCCCUAAAUUUUCCUUCUUUUCAUCUUGACCCAUAUAAGAUUAGAGAAAUUCCAGAAAAUGUCGGAAAAUUGAUACAUUUAAAAUAUCUUAAUUUGUCUGGACUAUGUAUAGUGAGACUACCUGAGACUUUGUGUGAAUUAUAUAAUUUACAAAAGCUAGAUAUUAGGCGGUGCCGAAAUCUAAGAGAAUUGCCUGCGGGGAUUGGGAAGUUAAAGAACAUGAGGAGUUUAUUAAAUGGUGUUACUCUUUCGUUGAAGUACAUGCCAGUAGGGAUUUCCAAAUUAACCAGUCUUCGAACAUUAGACAAGUUUGUGGUGGGUGGAGGUGUUGAUGGUAGCAAUACGUGUAGGCUUGAAUCUCUGAAAAAUCUUCAACUCCUUCGAGAAUGUGGAAUAGAAGGGCUGGGUAAUGUGUCACAUUUAGAUGAGGCUGAGAGGUCACAACUUCACAAUAAGAAAAACCUCCUUCGUUUGCAUCUUGAGUUUGGUAGAGUCGUAGAUGGGGAAGGCGAAGAAGGGAGGAGGAAGAAUGAGAAAGAUGAACAACUUCUUGAAGCUUUACAACUGCCUUUGAAUGUAGAGGAAUUAUGGAUUAUAUCCUACCGAGGCAACAUUUUUCCCAAAUGGUUGACUUUGCUAACCAAUCUAAGGAAUUUAACACUUUCCGCGUGCGUUAACUGUGAGCAUUUGCCUCCUUUGGGAAAAUUGCCUCUGGAAAAACUCAAACUACGGAAAUUAAAAAGUGUAAAAAGAGUGGGUAAUGAGUUCUUGGGAAUAGAAGAAACUAGUGAGGAUGACCCAUCUUCAUCUUCAUCAUCAUCAUCAGUUACUGCCUUCCCGAAAUUGAAAUCACUCGAAAUUUGGGAAUUGGAUGAAUUGGAAGAGUGGAAUUACAGGAUUACGAGGAAGGAAAACAUCUCCAUCAUGCCCCGUCUUUCUUCCUUAAAAGUUGGUUCUUGCAACAAAUUAAAGGCGCUGCCGGAUUGCCUUCUUCAAACGACGGCACUGCAGGAACUGAGUAUUUAUUUUUGUGAAAAUUUGGAAGAACUGCCCAUUCUAGAAGAUCGCAGGACAAUAGACAUACCGCGUCUUUCUUCUUUGCGAAUUGGGUAUUGCCCCAAAUUAAAGGUGCUGCCGGAUUACCUCCUUCGAACGACGGUGCUGCAGGAAUUGAGUAUUAUAAAAUGUCCCAUUUUGGAAAACCGUUAUGGAGAGGGGGAAGGAGAAGACUGGCAUAAGAUAUCUCACAUUCCCCACAUCAAGUGGUCGCCGUAAUUUAUCACUUGCCGGUAAUUUCUCCUCCUCCUCUAAUUUACUUCAUUGUUGCUUGCAAUGAAAUUAAUAGAAAUAAUUAUAUUUUGAAUUAAAAUUCUAUAUAGAAUCAAUCAUGGUAUAAAUACGUAAAACUUCCUAGUUAUCAAAUCUGUUAAACUUGUUUUCUAAAGAUUAAAUAAUUAAAAAAAAAACAAAGUGUAGUCUGCUGAAAUUUCUAUAUUUACUUUUAAAAAAUAUGUGCUCUUUUGUAAAAUUUCGUGCAAUGUAAUUUAUUUUUUAAUGUACGAAAAUUUGUUAUGUGUAACUUGCUGAGAGACAAAAUCUCUGUGAUAUAUUUGCAGUAAUGUUGAAAACUAAAUUAUCAAUUUUAUCUUGUAUAAUGCUAAUCUUAUUUUUUAUAUAUAUAAUAUACAUGACUUUAAUUCUUUAAAGUAAUUGUGUAAUUGUUUUUACUACAAUAGCCCACUUUGUUUUAUUUCAUACUUGUUUAAUUGCCAGGUCCAAGCUAAUUUGGUUUUAAUGAUGCAGGCAGGAGAGCAAGACUAUGAAAAUGAAAAGUUUAGCCAAAGGAUUGCUAAAAUGUUCUGCUGGUAAUUCACUUGCUUUAUUUUAUAGAAUUUCAUUUCCAUCUUCUUCUAUUGAUAUCUUGUUGUGAAUAAACAAGAACAGAGAAGUAAAGAUAUAUCAAAAUUUACUAUUACGAUGAUGCUAAAACAAGCUCAAGCUCAAGCAUUGCAUUUUUAUUUUAUUUUAUUUAUAGAAUUUUCAUUUCCACCUGCAUUGCAUUUUUAUUUAUUUUUAGGUUGACUUUGAAUACUUCAUGGUGAACAUUGGGGUGACCAAGGAUUAGGGUGGCAGUGGACCGACUACCACUGUGGUUAUUAUGCGACUUUAAAGAAGAAAGUGAUGGCUGGGUCUGCUCUGUUUCUAUCUUUUUUAAUUCUUUGAUCGGUUUAUCCUAUAUAAACAUAUGGAAUUAUGCUAAUAUUAUCAAUUUUUUCACCCAAUUUUCACUGUUGGUUGUGAUAACAAUUUCAGGCUCUCAAAAGCUACAAAGCAAAGCAUUUGUGGGCUGAUCAUAUGCUUCAAUUGAGGAAGGAGUUUGGUGUUGGCAAUAUUGUCCAGGUAACCACAGCUGAUAAUUUCCACAAAUUUGCAUUGUCAGAAUACACUUUAAUGUUCAUUGUAUUCCUAUGUAUUAUCAGGUUAUCGUGGUAUGAAAAGUAUCAUCUUUAAGGAUUCGUAAGAGACUUCGCAGUAAACUUAGUUGUCACCAGCUCGUGCAAUUGGUCAUUCAGUCAAGAGUACUUCAAAAUUAGAUUUUCAAGGUUUAUAUGUUUAGUUGCGAUCAAAAUGUUUAGUCAUUCAUUCGUAAUCUUUUCUGAUUUUCAAGUUCUUUAGGGCCAUAAACAUUUUUCGAACUCAUUCUUAAUUUUUAGGUUGAUUUCGAGAACCCUGUUGAGGACAUUCCUGAGACCAAGGAUUAGGCUGGCGAAGAAACUACUACCUCUGUUGUUAUAGUGCAGGGUUUGAUCAUUGGACCUUGAAUAAGAAGGCCUUCCACGCAUUCUGUAAUUCAAGCAUUCUCUAAAGGAAAAGAGCAGUAGAAGGGAUAGUGAUGGCCGGAUCUGCUCUAUUUUAGUUGAAGAUCUCUGUGAUGUCGAUGAACUUAACGCAGUUGAUACUUCUUGAAAAUUGUUAUUACGGAUGAAUUGAUUCUUGGAGAGGGGUAUCCAAAGGCGGAUUUUCAUAAACUUCCUUCUUUAACAAAUGUUCCAAUGCUUGUUGUAGUAACAAUUUCAUAGCUUGCAUCUCUCGGGUGCAUCAUGUUCACGGGUUGGAAAAAGCAUUUGUGGUAAAGCUUCAAAGCUUGUAAAAUGGCUGUGAAAAGGCACAUUCAAUUCGGUAUGCUUUGGUGCGGUCUCCUAAUGCUAAUAUUAUAUUUUGUAUAGCAAUCUUAAUAUGCAAAAAAUCAUUGUGUCCAAAGUUUUCUGUUAAUUAUAUGGUGACUGAAAUUUUAAUUAUCAUAUCAAUCUUAAAAAUUUUUGUAACCCUAUUUUACUUUGCUUGUACAGAAUACCUGUUUUCGCUGAUAUGUCUAAUUCCUAGAAAUUCAUUUCCAUCGGUUUCCAUUGGUUUUAGCACAAACAGAAACAUAGAGCCCUGGGAAAAAGUUUUACUUUUGGUGGUAUUAUGCCUUAUUUUCUUCAUUCAUCAUAUUUGUUUCGAAUUCAUGCUCUCAUUCAGAGAGUAAAGCCUUUUCCAGGCUGUUUUGUAGCCAAAUUUCGAUGCCAUCGAUGCGUGAUUGUCAUUUAGAUUUUCGAAAUAAUUGUUAGAUUGGAGAAGAAUAAGAAUAUAUUGUUCAAAGGCUAUUUAAUUAGCACCCUCUGAAUUUAGUUGGCAAUAAUGCAUUGAAAUGGUUGGGGAAAGUUAUUGUCUUAAUUAAAUUACAGGUGAUAAGAUGCUGCUUCAAUUUUGCAAGCAUCUUGUACUGCAAAGAUUCUGCCCACAUGAGAUGCUGUGAUUCUUGACGUCAGGACAACACAGGUCAAAUUUUAGUAUCAAUAUAUAUCAUCUUCUUUACUGUUCUGCCUCUAAAUAUUAAACUUUAAUCAACUUGUUUUUGUUUGUGUAAAUUAUCAGGUUAAGGAUACUAAGCUGCUUAUUAAGGCAAAUGUCAGAAUGAAGAUUGCUCACCGUACCUGGUAUGCAUGAUGGCCAGGAAGAUUAAUUGUUCACAAACCAAUUUGAUCAGUGUUAGAUUUUUUGCCUCCUUUCGAGGGACAUCAUCAUCAAAUUUGAGUAGAGAAUCUUUGAAGGGAAUUUUGUUGUAAGAGCUUCACAGUAGUGAAUUCUGGGAGCUCGAACUUGAGUGAGAUAAUAGGGAGUAUUGGGGAUUUGGGUUAUGAGUAAUCAUUAUCCUUCCAAUAUGUGUAAGCACUCACUUGUUAGUAAAAUCAUCUUCAUAUAUUAAUUGUUUCUUUGUUAUCAGGUAGAGUGUGAUCUUCAAGGGUUUGAGAAAGUCCUUGCAGUAAAGUUUCCACCAGAAGCAAUUGCUCAGUUUCAGAUUUUUUAGGCGCUUAAUUAGUUUCGAUUAUAAUGUUUAGUUAGUUUCAAUUAUAAUAUUUAGUCACUCAUUCUGAAUCUUUUCUAAUUUUCAAGUUCCUUAGGGCCACGACCUGUUUUUCAAGUCUGCAUGUGGCUGCGAAAAGAUUGAUGGUCAUAAAAUUAUCUUGACCCUUGAGCCAUUGCGUUUGAGCACAAACAGAAACAGAGCUAAAGGAAAAGCACUUGACGCAAGAAGAUGCUCUGAAUAUAACUGUUGAUAAAUUAGAAGUAAUUGAUAAGGAUUUGUUUGUUAGAGAUUUGGAUAAAAUCCUAAGAUUUAGGGAUGAGAUAAGUUAGUUCCUGAGUGUAGGAUUAAUCCUUUAUUUUUCCUUAUUUAAGUUGUUUGUUUUCUCUAUUUUUUAGUGAAUUGAAUAAGAGAAUUUUUCCUCCUUCUUCCUCUGUAAAAUCUACAUGGUAUCAGAGCUAGGGUUUGAUCAUGAAUUUCAAGGCCACCAUGGUUGGCUCUAGUUCAACCACUUUGGAUGGCAGCAGUAGUACGACUUCAUCGGAGGAAGUUUCUCAACCACUUCCGACUAUUUCUCUUUCUGAAAAUUCUCUUCAAAUUAUCAUUCACAAAUUGAAUGGAAAGAAUUAUUUUGAAUGGUCUUAGUCUGUUCGUUUGGUGAUUGAUGGAAAAGGGAAACUAGGGUACUUGAAUGGCGAGGUAACACCACCAGCCACUAAUGAUCCAAAAUACAGGCAGUGGCGUUCAGAGAAUUCAAUGGUUACUGCUUGGCUGAUCAACUCAAUGGAUUCUAUUAUUGGAAAAACCUUCAUGUACUUGAAGACUGCUCGUGAUGUCUGGGAAGCAAUUCGGGAAACCUACUCAGAUUUAGAAAAUCAGUCACAAUUGUAUGAAUUAAACACCCAUAUGUGGAAGAUGCAGCAAGGUAAUCGUGAUGUAACAGCUUAUUAUAAUGAUAUGAUGGCUGUUUGGCAGGAAUUGGACUUGUUUGAAGAUGAACAAUGGGAAAAUUCUAAUGACAGUGCUCGAUACAAAGAGAAAGUUGAAAGAGGUCGGGUAUUUGUUUUCUUGGCUGGUUUGAACAAAGAACUUGAUGAGGUUCGAGGACGUAUACUAGGGAAAAAACCUUUGCCAACUAUUAGAGAAGUUUUCUCAGAAGUGCGCAGAGAAGAAGCACGACGGCAAGUGAUGUUGAAGAAUAACGAUGAACCAAAAAUAAAUAGUGAAGGAUCUGCUCUUGUGGCUCGAGGUACAGACUCAGGGGGAAAGCAGAAGCCCCGGUGUGACUAUUGUCGAAAGUCGUGGCAUACUCGAGAAAGUUGUUGGAUGUUGCAUGGGAAACCAAAGAAAAAAACAGGCAGCGACACCAAGUCAGGGGGAGAUGUCCGCGCAUUUCAAGCUAACAGCACUGAUCCAGGGCAGCAAUCAUCCUCAGAGUCUCUUCCUUUUACCAAGGAACAGAUAGAGCAUCUACAUAAAAUGUUUCAUUCCCAAUCCUUAGAAAAAUCUAACCUAUCUUGUUCUCUAGCACAGUCAGGUAAUUCUUUCAUUGCAGCCCUAGCGUGUACUAAGUUUCAUGGCUCCUGGAUAUUAGAUUCAGGUGCUACUGAUCAUAUGACCGGUAAUUCGCAGCUCUUUUCCUCAUAUAUACCUUGUGCAGGAAAUCAAAAGGUUAAAAUUGCAAAUGGUUCCUUAGCUACUGUUGCUGGAAAAGGAACAAUUACUAUUUCUCCUUCUCUAGUCCUUAAGAAUGUUUUGCACGUCCCACAUUUGUCUUAUAAUCUUUUAUCUAUCAGUAAAUUAACUUUUGAUCACAACUGUCAAGUUAUUUUUCAAUCUUCCUGUUGUAAAUUUCAGGAUUUAACCUCAGGGAAGAUGAUUGGGGGUGCUAAAAUGGGUGGUAGACUCUAUUUCUUUAAUAACGGAUCAACCUAUGGAAGGCAAGAUCUGCAGACUUGUUUUAAUUCUAUCUCUGUUGUUAAUGACAGUAAGAUUAUGUUAUGGCAUUAUCGAUUAGGACAUCCAAAUUUUCAAUAUUUAAAGCUUUUGUUACCCAAGUUAUUCAUGAAUAAAAAUCCUUCUGUUUUUCGAUGUGAAUCUUGUGAAUUAGCUAAACAUCAUCGGGCUAUUUUUCAAUCUCAACCAUAUAAAAAAUCAAAACCAUUUACCAUGAUUCAUAGUAAUGUUUGGGGUCCUUCUAGAGUGCCAACUUUUUCUGGAAAGCGCUAGUUUAUUCUUUUUAUUGAUGAUCAUAUUAGAGUCACUUGGGUCUUUCUUUUAAAAGAAAAAUAUGAUGCUGAAACUGUGUUUAUAAAUUUUUAUAAUAUGGUUCAGACACAAUUUCAGACUCAGAUUAAAAUUUUUCGAAGUGAUAAUGGAAAAGAGUUUUUUAACAAAGUGUUAGGAAUUUUUUUUUGCUGAAAAGGGGAUUGUUCACCAAAGUUCUUGUAAUAAUACACCUCAACAGAAUGGGGUGGCUGAAAGAAAAAACAGACAUCUCCUUGAAGUUGUUAGAGCUAUUAGUUUUACGACUAAGGUUCCUAAAUACCUUUGGGGAGAAGCAGUGUUAACAGCCACUUAUUUGAUCAAUAGACUGCCAACGAGAAUUUUGGACUUUAAACCACCAAUUAAAGUUUUAAGUGAAUGGUUUCCCACAACUCGGCUAACAGCCGAUAUUCCCUUUAAAAUUUUUGGAAGUGUGGCUUUUGUUCAUAAUCAUGAUACUAGACAUUCAAAACUUGAUCCAAAGGCACAUAAAUGUAUUUUUGUAGGCUAUCCUACAAAUCAAAGAGGUUAUAAAUGUUUUGAUCCAAUUCUGAAAAAAAUGUUUGUGUCUAUGGAUGUCACUUUUUUUGACGGAUAAUUAUACUACAACAAUUUCCUUCUUCAGGGGGAGAGCACUAGUGAAGAUGAUUUUUUAGAUAAUUCUGAUGUAACUUUUGAGUUUGUUCAGGAUGAUGAUGUUUCUUACAAACAGUCACCAAAAGAAAAUGGGAUGGGAAACACAAAAUCUGUGGAAACAAAUGAACUAAAUGUUGAAAAUAUUGAAUCCACAACUGAACAACCUUUGGUAAUUCCAUCUCAAAAUCAAAAUACUAAAACAACUGAGAUGUGUACAAAACGAUUUAAAGGUCUUGUAUAUUCAAAGGAACAUCUAGCACAAAAAAGAGCCACUAUCCCACAGCACUAUCAAGAAUCUGACCAGAGGUUGGAUCAUGAAGUUUGUGACGAUUCUCCAGAAAUCCCUGAAAACAAUCCUCCAUGUAAUUAUGAGUCAAAUUCUUCUAGUCAGCUUGAUCUUCCCAUUGCUCUUAGAAAAGGUAUUAGGUCUUGUACAAAACAUCCUUUGCCAAAUUUUAUAUCUUACAAAAAUAUUUCUUCAUCAUAUUGUGCUUUUAUUUCACAAGUGUCCAGUGUGGUUAUUCCGAAAAGUGUCUAUGAGGCUCUAAAUGUUCCUGAGUGGAAAGAAGCUAUGCUUGAGGAGAUGAGAGCCCUGGAAAAGAAUGCUACUUGGGAGAAAGUGGAUCUGCCGGAUGGGAAGACAACUGUCGGCUGUAAAUGGGUGUUUACUGUGAAGUACAAUUCAGAUGGGUCCUUGGAAAGGUACAAGGCUAGACUUGUAGCCAAAGGUUUCACUCAGACAUACGGAGUAGACUACUCUGAAACUUUCUCUCUAGUGGCAAAGCUAAAUACAGUUAGAGUACUCUUGUCUAUUACAGCUAAUCUUGAUUGGCCUCUGAAUCAGCUGGAUGUGAAGAAUGCUUUUUUGAAUGGGGACUUAAAGGAGGAAGUCUAUAUGGAGCCUCCACCAGGUUUUAAUGAGAAAUUUGGAACCAAGGUAUGUAAGCUAAAAUGGUCUUUAUACGGCCUUAAACAGUCUCCCAGAGCUUGGUUUGAGAGGUUCACAAAUUUUGUUAAAAGCCAAGGAUAUGAUCAAGGGCAAUCUGAUCAUACGCUGUUCACAAAGAGAUCUAUUGAAGAUAAAAUUUCUGUUCUUAUUGUGUAUGUAGAUGAUAUAAUUUUAAUUGGAGAUGAUAUAGUAGAAAUGAGCAAAUUGAAACAAAACCUAGCCAAGGAGUUUGAGAUUAAAGAUUUAGGCCAACUAAAAUACUUUCUUGGAAUGGAAGUGGCAAGAUCAAAUAAGGGUAUUGUUGUCUCACAAUGGAAGUAUAUUCUUGAUCUCUUGAAAGAAACUGGGAUGAGUGGUUGCAAACCUUCUGACACUCCAAUAGAAGCCAACUCUAAGCUUGGGGAAGUAAAAAAUGGUGUUCCAGUAGACAAGGGGAGAUAUCAAAGACUUGUUGGGAGACUAAUUUACUUGUCACAUACUCGUCCAGACAUUGCUUUCGCUGUAAGCAUGGUAAGCCAAUUUAUGCAUUCCCCAUAUGAAGAACAUCUUGAAGCUGUAUACCGAAUCCUUCAUUAUCUGAAAAGUACACCAAGAAAAGGACUCUUCUUCAAGAAAAAUGAGAAGAGGGGAAUUGAGGUGUAUAUUGAUGCUGAUUGGGCAAGUUUAGUCACUGAUAGAAGAUCAACUUCGGGGUACUGUACAUUUCUAUGGGGUAAUUUAGUCACAUGGAGAAGCAAGAAGCAGAAUGUUGUUGCUAGAAGUAGUGCAGAGGCUGAAUUCAGAUCAAUGGCGCAAGGAGUAUGUGAGAUUCUUUGGCUAAAGAGGGUUCUAGAAGAGCUUAAGAGGCCAGUGAGUUUGCCUAUAAGGUUGUAUUGUGACAACAAGGCAGCUAUCAGCAUUGCUCAUAAUCCUGUUCUACAUGACAGGUAGGGGUGGGCAAAAAAAGCUGAUUAAUUAAAAACCGAAUCGAACCGAUCGGUUCGGUUCGGUUUUUAUGCGGUUUUUUUAUCUUCAAAAAACCGAAAUAGUAACAUAAAAAAAUAGUAAAAUCAAUCGGUUCGGUUUUCGGUUUUUAAAAAAAAACCACAAAACCGAACCAAAAUCUCAAAUAAACCGAUUGUUUUGAAAGCUAAAGCCAAAACCUAAAAGCCUAAAAUCUAAAUCUAAACUUCUGACUUCUGUCUUCUUCGGUUCCCGACUUCCCGCUGGCCGCUGCUCGUCGUGACUUCUUCUGUUCCCGCUGGCCGUGCGGCAUCCCUCGCUGUAAUUUUUGCGAUCGUGCGGCAUCCCUCACUGCAAUUUUUGCUUCUGCUAACCUUGUUACUGUCUCAACUGCACUCUUUUCCACAGAGUUGAAAUCAUUCUGCUUUUUGGCCUCCGUUGUCUGCACCCAGACCUUUACAAAUUGACCUUAUUGAUUGAUUCAAUCAAUUUGAUUGCUUUUGCUUGGGAAAUCACAGAGAAGAUGCAACACGUAAGGUGGGAUGCACUUUCCUUCUUGGGCAUAUUAAAAAAUUAAUUUUAACUUUUUUCUUUAAACCAAAAAAGAAAAAGAAAAAUUAUUAUCCAUAUGUCAUCAUCAUCAAUUGGAAUUGGUCAUAAUUUGGGACCACCACGUUUGUGCUGCCAUGUCAAAUUUUUCUGCAGUUCUCUUUUUCAUUUUUUUAUCAUAUAUAAUCUCGAUUUUUGUAGAUAGUUUAUGUAAUAAUUUAAGAUAUAUAUUCUUGGUUGGCCAAAAUGAAUACAAAUGCAAUUAAUGAAUGAAGAAGUUAUUCAUAAAGCACCAUUUAUUUAUUUGUUCAUUGCGGUUAAGUUGUAUGCGAUCCAUUUGGUUGUUGGUUACAACCAGUUAAAUAUUUAUUUAAAAAUAAAAUAUAACUUGUUAAUUAAGAUGAAUGUUGUAAUAUGAAGUGUCUUAAUUUUGUAAAAUGUGUGUGGUUAUUCAAUAAUUUUGUAAAAUGGUAGAUUUAUUAAUUUAAAGUUUUAAAUUUAAAAAAGUCCAAAAUAGGCCCAAUAGGCCCAUAAUCGAAAUAAUCGAACCGAAUCGAAUCGAAUUAUUUCAAUUAAUCGAGUAUUUGAUUAUUUCGGUAAUUUGAUUAAUCGCGAUUAUGAUUUUAAAAUAAUCAUAAUCGAACGAUUGUGAAAAAUUUAGUAAAAAACCGAACCGAACCGCGCCCACCCCUAAUGACAGGACGAAACAUGUUGAGAUUGACAGGCACUUUAUAACAGAAAAGCUUAAAGAAGGAAUAAUUUGUACUCCAUUUGUACCGACCACACAGCAAGUUGCAGAUGUUUUAAGUAAAGGCUUGCUGAGACAGCCAUUUGAAGUUCAAGUUAGCAAGUUGGGCAUGACAAAUAUAUUUGCACCAACUUGAGGGGGAGUGUUGAUAAAUUAGAAGUAAUUGAUAAGGAUUUGUUUGUUAGAGAUUUGGAUAAAAUCCUAAGAUUUAGGGAUGAGAUAAGUUAGUUCCUAAGUGCAGAAUUAAUCCUUUAUUUUUCCCUAUUUAAGUUGUUUGUUUUCUCUAUUUUUUAGUGAAUUGAAUAAGAGAACUUUUCCUCCUUCUUCCUUUGUAAAAUCUACAAUAACAAAAGUAUAUUUCUGCUUCUUGUGGUUAUUUACUUUGUUUCUCCUGUCAGCAUAUUUGAUUAAUUCGUUCGAAUUCACACUCUCACACAUUAUUUAAAACCAUUUGUAGGUGGCUUGCAAGCUAAUUAAGUUAAUGCAGAAGCAAUACUCUAGACAAAGAUGAGCAAAUUGAAGGUGAUAAAUGCAUAUAUGGUGGCCCAAUCGCUUAUUAUAUUUCAUCUCUCAAUCUAAUAUGAUUCUGAGUUUUAAUUUCCAUGAAUAAUUGUUAGGCUGGUACAGAUGUUCUUAAAAGGGCCAUCAAACUACCUUAUGAAGUUGGAAAGUUGCUAUUGCUUGAAUGAAAGCACCAUCUUCUGUUGCCAAGGCAUUCCCCACAUGAUGAGAUUAUGUGAUUGUUACCGGCUUCUUAAUUAUUUGUUAAAUCAGGUUUUUCUUAUCAAGUACAUCAUCUUAUUCACCAUUUUGGCUAUAUCAGAAUUUGCUAAUACCAUGAUGUCAAAGCAAGCUCAAGCACUAGAUCCCUAAUAAUAAUGCAUUGCAUUUUCAUUUUAUUUUUAGGUUGACUUUGAAGACCGUAUGAAGAACAUUGGGGUAAUCAAGGAUUAGGCUGGUGAUGGAACUACUUCCACUGUGGUGUUGUGUGCAACGUUCAGUUGCUGGACUUUGAAGAAGAAAGUGAUGGCCAGGUCUGCUCUGUUUCAAUUGAGGAUGGAUAGCUGCCUGGAAGGCAUGAUGAUUUUUAUUGCAUGAUAUUAAGGUACAAAGAUAAUCAUUUCUAUCUUGUUUUUUUCUUUGAUCAGUUUAUCCUCUAUAAGCAAAUUCAAUUAUGCUAAUAUUACCAUUUUUUCUCCCAAUUUUCACCGUUGGUUGUAAUAACAAUUUCAGGUACUCAAAAGCUACAGAGCAAAGCACAUGUGGGCUGAUCAUAUGCUUCCAUGGCGGAAGGAAUUCGAUAUUAACACUAUUAUGCAGGUAACCGCAGUUGUUAAUUUGCACAAAUUUGCAUUGUCAGAUUGCCCUUUAAUAUUCACUGUGUUUCUUUUUGUUAUUCAGGGUACCAUGGUAUGUAGAGUAUCAUCUUUGAGGGUUUGUAAGAGCCUUUGCAGUAAAUUUACCUGCUCGAGCAAUUGCACAUUCAUCGAGUACAAUUUUGGAUUUUCAAGGUUUGUAUGUUUAGUUGCGAUUAGCAGGCUUAGUCACUCAUUCCUAAACUUUUCUGAUUUUCAAGUUAUUUAGGUCCAUUAACAGUUUUCACACAUGUUUCAAUGCUAGUUGUACUAACAAUUUCUCAUCUUGCAUCUCUAAGAUGCAUCACGUUUGAAACAGCUUUUGCGGUAAACUUUCAAUGCAUGUACAAUGGCCGUUAAGAGGUACAUUCAAUUCGGUACGUUUUGCUGCAGUCUUCUAAUGCUAAUAUCAUGUUGUGUAUAUUUAGUUUGCAAUUAAAACUUAGGUAUACAACCUUAAUCUCAUAUAAAUGAUUGUGUACAAAGUUUUCUACUAAUUAUAUGGUGACUAAAAGUUUAAUUAUCUUAAAAUUUUUGUAACUCUCUUUUACUUUGCUUGUACAGAGUACCUGUUUUGGCUGACAUGUCUAAUUCGUAGAAAUUCAUUUCCAUGGAUUUCCAUUGGUUUGAGCACAUACAGAAACAGAGCUUUACUUCCUGAGGUGUUAUGCCUUUGUCUCUUCAUUCACCAUAUUUGUUCGAAUACGUUGUCUCAUUAAGAAUUUAAAGCCUUUUUCUAGGCAGCUUUGUGGCCAAUUUUUGAUGCCAUCAAUGCAUGAUUGUCAUUUAGAUUUUCCAAAUAAUUGUUAGGUGGGGAAGAUAUUGUUAAAAGGGCAUUUAAUUAGCUACGUCCCCUAUGAAUUUAGUUGCCAAUAAUACAUUGAAAUUGAGAAGGCUAAUUUAAAUUACGGGUGAUAAGAUGUUGCUUGAAUUCAGCAUCUUGUAUUGCGAUGAUUUUGCCCACAUGAGGCUCUGUGAUUCUUGACAUCAGGAUAACUCAGGUCAAUUUUUUGUAUCAGCAUAUAUCAUCUUGUUUACUGUUUUGCCUUUAAAGAAUAAACUUUAGUGAAGUUUUUUUUGUUUGUGUAAGUUAUCAGGUUAAGGAUACUAAGCAGCUUAUUAAGGAAAAUGUCAGAAUGAAGAUUGUUCACCACACCUGGCAUUUAUGAUGGCAAGGAAGAUUAAUUGUUCACAAGCCAAUUUGAUGAGUGUUAGAUUUUUGGCUUUAUAUAUUAUUAGAGCUCUCCCUUCUGAGAGAUAUCUCAUUAAAUUUGAGUAGAGCUCUCCCAAUAACUGCAAGCUUUCAUUUGUUUGUAAAAUCAUCUUCUUAUAUUGAUUGUGUUUCCUUGUGUUAUCGGGUAGAGUAUCAUCUUCAAGGGUUUCAAAAAGUCUUUGCAGUAAAGUUUCAACCAAUUGCUGUGAAGAGGCAUAUUCAUUUGAGUAAUUCAGUUUCAGAUUUUCAGGGCGUGUGUGUUUAAUUAGUUUUGAUUAAAAUAUUUAGUCACUCAUUCUGAAUCUUUUCUAAUUUUCAAGUUCCUUAGGGCCACAGCCAGUUUUUCAGGUCUGCAGAAACUAUCUUGAGUGUUGAGGAAUUGCGUUUGAGCACACACAGAAACAAGGCUAAUGGAAAAGAACUUGACAGAAGAAUUAUGCUCUAAAUCUAACAAAAGUAUAUUUCUACUUCUUGUGGUUAUUUUACUUUUGUAUUUUCUGUCAUCAUAUUUGAUUAAUUCAUUCGAAUUCAGACUCUCAUUAUUUAAAACCAUUUUCAGGUGGCUUGCACGCUAAUUAAGUUAAUGCAGAAGCUAUACUCUAGACAAAGAUGAGCAAAUUGAAGAUGAUAAAUACAUAUAUGGUGGCCAAGUCGCUCAUUACAUUUCAUCUCUCAUACGAACAUGAUUCUGAAUUUGAAUUUCGAUCAAUAAUAGUCAGGCUGGUGCAGAUAUUCUUAAAAGGGCAUUAAGCUACCUUAUGAAAUUGGAAAGUUAUCAUUGCUUGAAUGAAAGCACCAUCUUCUGUUGUCAAGGCUUUCCCCACACGAUGAGAUUCUGUGCUUGUUAUCGGCCACUUAAUUAUUUAUUAAAUCAGGUUUUUGUUAUCAAGUACAUCAUCUUAUUCACCAUUUUGGCUAUAUAUAAAGAUUAAAAUUUCUAACAGUUGUUUCGGAUUCUUGUGUACUCAGGUUAAUAUAGCAAAUGUCAUAAUGAAGAUUGGUCAGUGCAACCGGUAUAGCAAGGAUGAUAGUGGUGAGGAAGAUUGUUGGCAAGUCAAAUAGAGCCCUCCAUUUUGAGAAAUAUCAUCCUCAAAUUUGAGUUGUUGAGCAUGUGAAGUGAAGCUAUAGCCUUAAUAAUGAGACCUUCCUGUGAAAGUUUCAUUUGAGUGAAUUGAACGUUCUUAGUGGGUAAGAAAUUAAGUUCCCAGCUUGUUUAAAUGCUGUGUAAUUUUUACCCAAGAUUAUGCAAUUGACUUAUGCAAUUCACUUACAGUGUUCUGAGUACUUGAGUUUCAGAUUUCCAAGAUGUGUAAUUUUAGUUGCCAUUGAAAUAUUUAGUCGCUCAUUCUUAAAAAUCUGUUCUAAUUUUCCUGUUAUUUUGGGCCAUAAACAGUUUAACAAGUCUGCAUGUGGUUUCUAAAGAUUGAUGGUUAUGAUAUAUAUUGUGAGGUAUGAAAUAUUAAUUUGCUAUAAAUAUGUGUACAAAUUUUUCCUAUUACAUGGGGACUGAAAUUGUAACUUGCAGGGUCAAAAGAAAUCUUAAUUUGCUUAAGUGUCUGCAUUUGUGUACAAAGGAAAAAUAAGAAAUUCUGCUACGUGGGGACCGAAAUUUUAAUUGGCAGGGUCUUCAUCAAAUGUUUGUUAUCAAUACUGAUCCCGGAAUGUGUGGAACACGGUGAAAAGUUUUUCAUAGUUUUGUGAAGAAGGCUGAUUUAUCUGAUUCAUAGAAUUGUUAAAAGGGCAUCGGGCGGGGGACAAAAGAAGUGUUGAAAUUAAAAAGGUUAAUGGUUAAAGCAUGCAGUUUCUGUUGCAUUUGCAUUGGCCUGGGUUUAGGGAACUGUCAGAACUUUCAGAAGAAGAUGGAGUUUCUCAAACCAAAUCUAAGAAGAUAUCUCACAUUCCCCACAUGGUCUCAACGCACAGGUAAGUUCUUCUCUAGCUCUGUUUUUCAUUGUUUGUUUUAUCUAUUUUUAAUUCACAUGUCCACAGUAAUUUCAUUUUAGUUUGAGCUGAGUGAUGACUUUUCAAGGCUCACUUACUCAUUGGGAGAAGCUGCAGGACGCAGGCUGCAAGGAUUUAGAUUUUCAUUCGAAGGCUCACUUGCUCAUUAGCUUGUGCAAUUCCUGUUAAGAGGCACAUCCAUUCGAAGUAAUUCAAUUUUAUAUUUUCAUAGUGUGCGUGUUUCGUUGCGAUUAAAAUGAUUAGUCUCUCGUUCUUAAUGUUUUCUAAUUUUCCGGUUAUUUAGGGCCAUAAACAUUUUCCAAGUACUGCAUGUGGCUGCCAAAGAUUGAUGAUGAUAAUUAUAUCUUGAGGCCUGUGUCUUGCUUUUGAGCACUCGCAGAAACAGAGCUCAAGGGAAAGAAAUUGGAAGAUGCUCUAAAUAUAAUGAAAGUAUAUUUCUACUUGUGGUCAAUUUACAUUUGUUUCUUGUGUCAUUAUGCAGAUUAAUUUAUUCAAAUUUUUCCUAUCUCAUUCAUUUAUUUUAGACAAAGUUUGAAAAAAAAUUAUAAGUAUACAAUUUCCAAUGGAUUUGAUAGAGCGGUCAUCAACCAUAUUGAUGUUAUUGGAGUAGCACUGUUCUUAAGCACUGCUUUGAGGUCUCUCCCUCUCUAUAUACAUUGAUAGACUAUUCUGGUCGUACCAAAUUAUCCUUGUUUUAAUGUUUUGUUUGUUAAACUUUGACUGGGGGAAUCUGUUUAUUUGUCUGAUAUGAUGUUAGUGUGGUUUCUAUUGAAGUGUGUUAGAUCUAUCACCAAUUAUUAUUUCAAUUUUUCUUACCAAAUCGACUUGCAUACUUUCCAAGUCUAGAUCCUUAACAAUAGUGAGACUACGCUACAGAAGUACGAUUUCUCUAGUUUUGUAGUUAAAUACGUUAGAAUGGUUUUAAAUUAACAGAACUUUGAGAUAGUUCUCUGAGGAAAUACAAGUGGUGAAUAUGGUUCCAACUUUUAAGUGCCUUAAUAUUCCCAUUUGUUCAGCCCUGUGCGUAAACAAUUAGUAAUUUCUGUCCAAAUUCUUCUUUAAUGCCUAUAUGUGUUGGACUUUGUCUAUUGUUCAACUUCUCAAAUGGAUUCCAUGCAGGGUUCUUAAUGUCCAAUUAGGAGAAAGAUCAAGGCUUGCUUGGCUAGGAGUGGAAGCGGAUCCACUACUUCAGUCAGAUGACCUUUUGAAGAAGGCUUGCAACAGGCCGUCUCAGGAUGUCAAUGGCUCAACUCAAAAGUCCUCAAAGUGGCUGAUAUCAAAGAAUGCCAUUGUCUCUGGGCUUGGGCUCCUUGGCAUCAAACAAGGGAAUGUCGACUCUGUUGAAGGGGAAGCAAGGUGUUGAUGCGGGAUUCCGGUUCUCCUCGUUCUACGACCAGGAUCUCUGCUCGAUCAACUUCAUCACGACCAGGAGGUCUCCUCGUAAGGCUUCUUCUCCAGAGGUUCCUGCGCACACAGACAAGUCAGAGUACGCCGGUUGUUUUCCCGGCGCAAACCCUCCGACGCUCAAGUCAGAUAUCAAGGUUCGAGGAACGUUUGCCACAGAUCUUAUGGCUUUUUCGUGGUUUUCUCUCUUUUUAAUUUCUUUUCUAAAAAAAUGCCAACCCUUUUACCUCGUUGGCUACCUUUUUAUAGGCUUCCUCUGAAUCCCAGUUUUCUGCUUUUUUCGAGACGGUAUGGGACUCUGACUGCUGCGUUAUGGGCAAACGUGGGAUCUUGCGUGUUACGCCACGGUCCUGGGGAAAGCGUGGCUGUCGUGGUUCUGUGAGAUCUUGCGUGUUACGCCACGGUUCUGGGGGAAGCGCGGCUGUCGUGGUUCUGUGAGAUCUUGCGUGUUACGCCACGGUUCUGGGGGAAGCGCGGCUGUUGUGCCUAGAUUCUCGGGCUGGAGAGCAUGUCUUGCCAACUGUCGUUGACCGGAUCUCCUCGCCUCUCGACCUCUAGCCGGAAUGGCCUUAUGCCUCUUACAGGAAAUUGGCCUCGCGGAUGACGUGCUCGUGGACGAGCAGGAUAUUUCUGCUCCUGUUCCCCCGCGCGCCAGGCUCUUACGGAACACACCGGUUCGCAGAACUAUGCCACCAGAUAUCUGCUCACCAUGCCUGGUCUCGUCGACGUAUUUCUCCCAAACACCGGUCCCCCAGUUUCUGGUGUUGGGCAAUGUAGUGGACCAGCAGUAGAAACUCGAUAGUACUCGCUCGCGUGGGAUUGGAAAAGGCUGCCAAGAGUCAUGUCGCAUUUAAUUGCGGACGAGGUGACGUGGCAGAAAUCCCCCCCCCCCUCCAUUUGAAUUUCAAACCGACGGUUAUGAGACCCUCGGGAUUCGGCGCUGUUAAAUGCUGGCAACCUAAGAGUCCGUCCUCAGUAGGAAAACCAAAUCCUCUCGAACGGCAUAUUCGCCAUUCACUCCGUCUCCGUCUCUGUCUCUCCGGCAAAGAAGUUCCGGCAUAAAGGUCCUCCAUCUCUGAUUUUCACCGACUGAACCAUUACUUCAGGUAUUUCUUCUAUCUCCUUGGUCUCGGAUAGUUGUAGAUAAUUUCUCUUCUCUUCUGUUUGGGGUAGUAGUUGGUGGUGUUGUGGUUAGAGCUUAGGGAAUGUCGAAAGGCAAGGAGAAGGUCAUUGAGGUUGAUGACGACGAGUUGGACUUCCUGCCUAGUCUGCUCACCGAUCCUGCUUUUGACCCCGGGAUCCCUUUAGAGCCCAUUAGGUCUAGUGUCGGGACUAGUGCUAGGAGGAUGUCUCCCCAAACAACCUCUACGAGCGGAAGUAAUGGUGAGGAGAGAUCUUCUGGCUCCGAGGAUACUUUGAGUGAGGAUGGCGAAGGUGAUUCUGGUGAGGUGUCUCCAUCUGGAACGUCACGACCAGAAGGACGGGGUACAGUAGGGGGUAGAGCCUUGUUGCGUGAUUAUGCCAUCGACUAUAUGACGUGCACGACCACGUUUGACGAGCUCGAUGACCUCCGUCUUAGGUACAGCAUUCCUGGUGAAAUACUUCUCAAGGUCCCAGGCAAGAAGGAUACCCCUAGCUGGCCUCCUAGGGGAUAUGUUACCCUGUAUCUGGAUAGCUUUAAGUAUGGGCUUAGGUGUCCCUUGCAACCUUACUUUGCCCGGAUACUUAGCGGGUUGAAUCUAUCUCCUGGUCAGUUGAACCCAAACGGUUGGAGAGUGCUCUCUGGUCUGUUCAUACUGUGGGACAGAUGUUGCCAAAGCGAGCCCACGGUCGACGAGGUGAUGCACCUGUACCAGCUGAAAAGCAGCCCAAAAGAUGCCGGCUGGUAUUACUUCCAAUCAAGUACCAAGACCAGGAAACCCAUAACCGAUCUCCCUACUGGUGGUGGUGGGAAUUGGAAGAGGAAGUUCUUCUUCGCAGGGGGUCCCUGGGGUCAAGUUGCACGGGUUGAUGGGGAAGACUUCCGCGUCCCACCCCGUUUCGUGGUCCCAGGUUGCCUGCUCGUAUUAGAUGUCUUGUCUCCCUUGUCGUUUGCGCUUUACUGGUUUGUCUCUAAUCAAAUGUUUGUUUGUGUUGCAGGUUCUUGGGGUGUCCACUUCCCGCUUGAACCUGACCAGCUCAAACGGGUCGAGGCUGUACUAGCCAAUUCCUGCUCAAGCCGAGAACUGUUAACUACAUACAACUUGCUCGAGUCUCGCUUGAUACUUCCUGGCCAUAGGAUGGAGGACGCUGUGAUUGGGGCUCUGACCCGAAAACGUUCUUGACCUCCAACCACGAAAAGGGACCAGAGUAAGGAUGCCCCUGCUGCGAAGCGGGCCAACAUCGUGCAGCAGGUCCCAUCCUUGAAGAUUUUACCUCCUGCUCCUGUAAAAGUCGGGGAAGCUAGUGGAGCAGCCACAGAUCCUGCUUCCUCUUCUCCUCCUGUCGGGCCUCGAUCUCGCUUACCUGACAGCCGAGCAGAACACCUGGUCCCCUACCUCAAUGAGUUAUCUAAACUCGUGAGCAAGAAGGACCUGGAGGACUUUGACGGCUGCACCUUGGGUGAGCUGGUGGGGGCCAUGCAGCAUAGCGCUUUCCACCUCAGCUGCAUGACCACCUAUUACAAGGCUAAGAUUGGCCGCUACGACCGGAAGAUGAAGGAGGAUAUUCAAUCGGCGACGACCAGAGCUGACGUUGCCGAGCAGAAAGCAGGGGAGCUGAAUCUCGAGAAUCUGAAGCUGAUAGAGCAAGAAUCACUUGCUCAAGCAAAAGCCAUUACCCUCGAGGAGGAGCUUACCAAGGUCAAGGAGGAUCUGCAAAGGCAGAAGGCUAUGUAUGAGGCUCAGCUCGAAUCUCUCCACGACUCCCACCGAGCUCAGGUCGAGAAUUUGGAGAGGGAGGCCGACAACCAGUACGACCAGGGACUUCGGCAUUCCUAUCGUUGCAUCAUGGCCGUCCUCGGGAAGCAACACCCUGAUCUGAAGAUGGAUGACCUUGCAGCUGGUGUUGCUCAACAUACGGACGAGGAGGCGGCCAAGGAAGAUGCCGAAAGGGUAGAGCCGAUUGUGAUUGAGGAGGAAAACUAUCCUCCUCGUGCAGUCCCUGCUGAUGUUGGCGAGGCGAGCACCCCCCCUGACGCAACUGGUGAUACCCCUCCUGCACCUGAGGAGGUCCAACCAACCGAUGCUGCUGGGCUUACUGAUCCACCAUCUUCUUGAUAUAUUUCUUAUAUUGUAAUGAACAAUGUUUAUGGAGAUUAUCCCCUCUGUUAAUUAUUAACAAAUUAAUAAAAAUGUUUUUUGAUUACUUUCUUGUGUUGUAAUUAUGAAUUAAUUUUCGUUUGAGAAUCUGCUCGUCUUUGUCUAGACGAGCAGGUUCCGGCUUGGCUCAUGGUUUUGUGCCACAUGCCUUUGAAGAUUCUUCAAUGCCUGGGUUUCGGCUCGCAUUCGCGCGGUCAAGCAGAUCCUGGUACGCUUGACUUCUAUCUCGCUAUAAAACAGGCUUUGAGACUUGGUGAGCCUUUACAUGCCUUGGGAAUUUCUUCGAAUGCUUUGGAGUCUGCUCGCCUUCUCGUGGUCGAGCAGAUCCUGGCAUGCGUGGCUUCUGUCUCGCCAUAAGACAGGCUUUGAGACUUGACGGGCCUUUGCAUGCCUUGGAUAAUUUCUUCAACGCUUGGGAUUCUGCUUGGCUUCUCGUGGCCAAGCAGAUCCUGGCAUGCUUGGCUUCUGUCUCGCCAUAAGACAGGCUUUGAGACUUUGUCGAGCCUUUGCAUGCCUUGGAUAAUUUCUUCAAAGCUUGGGAUUCUGCUAGCCUUCUCGUGGCCGAACAGAUCCUGGCAUGCUUGGCUUCUGUCUCGCCAUAAGACAGGCUUUGAGACUUUGUUGAGCCUUUGCAUGCCUUGGAUUCUUCGAGGAUUGGGAUUCUGCUCGCCUUCUCGUGGCCGAGCAGAUCCUGGCAUGCUUGGCUUCUGUCUCGCCAUAAGACAGGCUUUGAGACUUUGUUGAGCCUUUGCAUGCCUUUGAUUCUUCGAGGAUUGGGAUUCUGCUCGCCUUCUCGUGGCCGAGCAGAUCCUGGCAUGCUUGGCUUCUGUCUCGCCAUAAGAAAGGCUUUGAGACUUUGUUGAGCCUUUGCAUGCCUUUGAUUCUUCGAGGAUUGGGAUUCUGCUCGCCUUCUCGUGGCCGAGCAGAUCCUGGCAUGCUUGGCUUCUGUCUCGCCAUAAGACAGGCUUUGAGACUUGACGGGCCUUUGCAUGCCUUGGAUAAUUUCUUCAAAGCUUGGGAUUCUGCUAGCCUUCUCGUGGCCGAGCAGAUCCUGGCAUGCUUGGCUUCUGUCUCGCCAUAAGACAGGCUUUGAGACUUUGUCGAGCCUUUGCAUGCCUUGGAUAAUUUCUUCAAAGCUUGGGAUUCUGCUAGCCUUCUCGUGGCCGAACAGAUCCUGGCAUGCUUGGCUUCUGUCUCACCAUAAGACAGGCUUUGAGACAUUGUUGAGCCUUUGCAUGCCUUGGAUUCUUCGAGGAUUGGGAUUCUGCUCGCCUUCUCGUGGCCGAGCAGAUCCUGGCAUGCUUGGCUUCUGUCUCGCCAUAAGACAGGCUUUGAGACUUUGUUGAGCCUUUGCAUGCCUUUGAUUCUUCGAGGAUUGGGAUUCUGCUCGCCUUCUCGUGGCCGAGUAGAUCCUGGCAUGCUUGGCUUCUGUCUCGCCAUAAGACAGGCUUUGAGACUUUGUUGAGCCUUUGCAUGCCUUUGAUUCUUCGAGGAUUGGGAUUCUGCUCGCCUUCUCGUGGCCGAGCAGAUCCUGGCAUGCUUGGCUUCUGUCUCGCCAUAAGACAGGCUUUGAGACUUGACGGGCCUUUGCAUGCCUUGGAUAAUUUCUUCAAAGCUUGGGAUUCUGCUAGCCUUCUCGUGGCCGAGCAGAUCCUGGCAUGCUUGGCUUCUGUCUCGCCAUAAGACAGGCUUUGAGACUUUGUUGAGCCUUUGCAUGCCUUGGAUUCUUCGAGGAUUGGGAUUCUGCUCGCCUUCUCGUGGCCGAGCAGAUCCUGGCAUGCUUGGCUUCUGUCUCGCCAUAAGACAGGCUUUGAGACUUUGUUGAGCCUUUGCAUGCCUUUGAUUCUUCGAGGAUUGGGAUUCUGCUCGCCUUCUCGUGGCCGAGCAGAUCCUGGCAUGCUUGGCUUCUGUCCCGCCAUAAAACAGGCUUUGAGACUUGACGGGCCUUUGCAUGCCUUGGAUAAUUUCUUCAACGCUUGGGAUUCUGCUUGGCUUCUCGUGGCCGAGCAGAUCCUGGCAUGCUUGGCUUCUGUCUCGCCAUAAGACAGGCUUUGAGACUUUGUCGAGCCUUUGCAUGCCUUUGGGAACUUUCUCGGUCUCAAGCGAAAGAAAUUCUUCGACGUUCCAUUAAUGGCAGGAUUCGACUUACAUGAAAUUGUUUGGACAUAAAACGUGAAAGAUAAAUGAUAAUGAACAUGAGCAAAAAUAGCUUUCAAAUGUGAACAAGUCUUACUGGAAGUAUUUUCGGAGGUGUGCUGCGUUCCAUGGGCGUUUCACCUCGUGGCCGUCCGUGCGAACCAGCUUGUAAGCUCCGGGUCCCGCUAUCUGCUUGACUCUAUAUGGCCCUUCCCAAUUCGGUCCCAGUACUCCUUGAGUCGAAUCUUUGGUGCUCUGAUUCACUCUUCUCAGUACCCAGUCUCCGAAUUGCCGUAUGUUCACCUUCUGGUUAUAGUACCGAGCAACCCUCUGUUGGUAAAUGACUGAUCGCUCGGCUGCUUGCUCCCUCCUUUCCGUUAGCAGAUCAAGAUUCAAACAUAUCUGCUCGUCGUUCUCCUGCUCAUUGAAAUGAUUUGUCCGGUGUGUGGUCGUUCCUAUCUCAGCCGGCACGACCGCUUCAUGUCCGAAAGCCAAAGCGAACGGUGUCUCCCCAGUUGCGGUUUUGUGGGUUGUUCUGUAUGCCCAUAGCACACAUGGCAGCUCGUCAACCCACGCACCCUUUUUUGCUCCAAGCCUGGUUUUCAGAAGCCUCUUGAUGGUCUUGUUGGCUGCUUCUACUUGUCCAUUUGAUUGAGGGUGAGCAGGCGAGCAAUACUUCAGCUCUAUCCCGAGGUUCUGGCAGAAAUCCCUGAAGCUGUGAUUAUCGAACUGCCUGCCAUUAUCCGUUACCAAGGCAUAAGGGAUCCCGUAUCGACAGACCAGGUUUCUCCACACGAAGUCUGUUGUUUUCUUCUCUGUGAUCCUGCUAAGGGCUUCUACCUCAAUCCACUUCGUGAAGUAAUCUAUAGCAACUAUUGCAUGUGUUGCUGCUCCUCGUGCCUUUGGCAAUGGGCCGAUCAGAUCAAUUCCCCAUUGAGCAAAUGGCCAGGGGGAGGUCAUGGAGGUGAGUUUCUCUGGUGGUUGGUUAGAGAAAUUUGCAAAACUCUGGCAGCUUACACAACUCCUGGUCUUCUCUUGCGCAUCCUGGUGCAUUGUCGGCCAGAAAUAUCCCUGCCUUAGAACCUUGUGGGCCAGGGACCUCCCGCCAGAAUGAUUUCCGCAGAUUCCUUCAUGUACUUCUCUCAGUACGUAAUCCGCGUCGUCCUCAUCCAAACACCGAAGGAACGGUAGUGUAUAUCCUCGCCGAUACAGUACCCCAUCAAUCAUCGUGUAUCUCGAGGCCUGGGCUCUAAUCUUGCGAGCUCGCAGCUUAUCUGGUGGUAAUACCCCGUCUCUAAGGUACGAAACUAUCGGGUCCCUCCACGAGCAUUUUUGUUCUAUCCGCAACACCCCCAAAUUCUGAUCGAUACUUGGGCUGGACUUCACCUCCAGAGGGACCGACUUUGGCAUUUUUGGGUCGGCUACUGCUGCCAUCCUAGCCAAAAUGUCUGCUCGACUAUUCUGCUCCCUGGGGAUUUGUAUCACCUCCACUGCUUCGAACUUCCCCAUCAUCUGCCUGACUAUCUUCAGGUACUGCUCCAUCUUUUCCUCUCUUGGUUGGAAUCUUUCACUGACAUGAUUCGCAACCAGCUGGGAAUCAGUUCUGAUCUUACCUCUGUCUGCUUUCACGGCCUUAGCCAAUUCCAGACCUGCUAUCAAGGCUUCAUACUCUGCCUGGUUAUUCGUGGCUGCAAAUUCCAACUUUACAGCAUAAGAGAUCUCCUCCCCCUCUGGGCCUUCCAAGACAAUCCCUGCUCCUGAACCCCGCUCCCCUGAUGACCUGUCCACAGACAUCUGCCAUACUUGAGUUUCGUCAUUGCUUAUAACUGCAUCUUGUUGAUCUAAGCAUACUUCGGGCUCUGUGAAUUCAGCUACGAAAUCGGCCAUUGCCUGGGCUUUUAUCGCUGCGCGAGGUUUAUAGUCUAUGUCGAACUCGCUCAGCUCUACAGCCCACUUGACGAGCCGACCAGAAGCAUCUGGCUUGUGCAGAGUUUGACGCAAUGGCUGGUUUGUUAUUACCGAGACCGAGAAUGCUUGAAAAUAUGGCCUCAACUUCCGAGCAGCAACCACAAGGGCAAGUGCCCAUUUCUCCAACGGUGGGUAUCUGGUCUCAGUGUCGAGCAGGGCCUUGCUAGUGUAGUAUAUCGGAUGCUGAACUCCUUCUUCCUCUCUCACCAGAACAGAACUGGUGGCCCGAUCCGAUACCGCCAAAUACAGAUACAACUUGUCCCCAUCCCUCGGUGUGGACAGCAGCGGAGCUUGCUGCAAGUAUUGCUUCAAGUUCCGGAAGGCUUCCUCGCAUUCCGGGGUCCAUUCUGUUUUCUUUCCCCUCCUUAUCACUUGAAAGAAUGGCUGACACUUAUCUGUAGCCUUGGAUAUGAAUCUGCUCAACGCCGCCAACCUCCCCGUGAGGCUCUGCAUCUCCUUCAGGUUACGAGGAGACGUCAUUUACACAAUCGCCUGGAUUUUCUCGGGAUUUGCUUCAAUCCCCCUAUGGCUCACCAUGAAUCCAAGGAAUUUCCCUGACUCGACCCCAAAAGCACACUUUUCCGGGUUGAGCUUCAUCUUAUACUUCCUCAAAAGCUCGAAUGUCUCCUCGAGGUGUCUGACAUGUUCCUCCGGGAUUUUGGACUUGGUGAUCAUGUCAUCCACGUACACCUCCAUGGUUUUCCCAAUCAACGGCUUAAAGACUUUGUUCACCAACCUUUGAUAGGUGGCCCCAGCAUUUUUGAGACCGAAUGGCAUUACCCUGUAACAGAACAAACCUUGGUUAGUGAUGAAAGCCGUGCUCUCCUCAUCCUGCUCGUACAUGGGGAUCUGGUUGUAUCCCGAGAACGCGUCCAUGAAGCUAAGCAGACCAUGUCCAGCCGUUGAAUCCACUAACUGAUCGAUCUUUGGUAAAGGGAAGCUGUCUUUUGGGCACGCCUUAUUGAGGUCUGUGAAAUCCACACACAUCCUCCACUUGCCAUUCGCCUUCUUUACCAACACCACAUUCGAUAUCCACUCGGGAUAAUUGACUUCCCGAAUGAAUCCUGCUCUCAAGAGCUUUUCUACCUCGCCAUUUAUAGCCUCAUACCUCUCCUGGUUGAAGCACCUCCUCUUUUGCCUUACUGCCCGAGCACCUUUCUUUAUUGCCAGCUUAUGACAUGCUACCUCAGGGUCAAUCCCCGGCAUGUCUUCAUGUGUCCAAGCAAACACAUCAGCAUGAGCCUGUAAGCAUUUCACCAACUCCUGCUUUUGCUCUCUCUUAAGUCUCGACCCGAUUCUGAUCGUCUUUCCCGGGUUCUCUGGUCCUAGGCUUACUGUUUCCAGAUCCUCUACAGGUUCUUGUCUGCCCUUCUUGUUUUCCACUCGGGUAUCGAGGGAUGUUAUCUGCAUUGCUUCCCUUGCUGCCGAGGAGUAGCAGCUUCUUGCGAUCCUCUGGUCUCCUCGUACCACUCCUACUACCCCAUUCACCCGGUACUUCAGAGCCAGAUAAUGGUUGGACAACACCGCUUUGCUCAUCCGUAAAAAUGGCCGACCUAGGAUCAUCUGGUAAGGACCUUCCUCAUCCACUACGACAAAGUCCAGUAUCAUUGUUCUUUCUGUCGGGGAGCUCCCAAUUGUGAUAGGCAGCUCGACCACGCCCAGAGGGACCAGCUUCCCUCCUCCGAACCCCUUCAAGGAGGUAUUCCUGUAUUCCAACUUCCGGUUGGCUAUUCCCAUCUCUUCCAGGGUUGACUUAAAUAACACAUCAACUGAGCUCCCUGUAUCAAUCAGGAUCCGGUCAAACUUCUUGCUAGCGACAGUAGCCUUGAUGACUAAAGCAUCCUCGUGGGGGUAUAGAAUCCCUUCCUCAUCCUCAUCCGUCCACAUGAUUGGCACUUGCCUGACCCUUGCUCGUUUGGCUGCUGGGGUGUUGAAGAGUACCUCUUUACUGGUCAUGGCGUACCUAGCAUAAUUUUUUCUCGAUCUGUUGGAAUCUCCGGCCAAUGUUGGGCCCCCAGCUAUCACCCUUACUGCGGGCUGCUCGCGCCUCAAGUUUCUACCACUCUGCUCCCCUUCACCUGUUGUGGCCACCAUCGGGAAAGUCCCAUCCAUAAACUCGUCCAGGUACCGAUUUCUCACCAAAUCUUCGACCUGGGUCUUGAGAUCUCUACACUCUGCUGUGGUAUGGCCAUGGGUGCCAUGGAACUUACAAUAACGUCCUCUAUCCCUCCUGUUGGGUAGCUUUGUUAUUGGUGUAGGGAGGUGCAGCAGCCCUCGAUCCUUUAUGGCCUCGUACACCUCAUCCAGGGACAUCUUCAAGGAAGUGUACCGCCCAUAGUCCGGGUUCUGGUCGAUCAGGCGCACUGCUCUUUCUCUGUUUGCCCCGCUCUGAGUUGGGGGCAGUGGGAGUACUUCUGGUCCGCUCGCUCUGCUACCGUGGGGAUGUUGAUGAAGACCACCAGAUGCCGACUCAUGCCUUCUCCAAGGCUCCCUAGCUGGGGAACGAGGAGGUUGCGCCCUGCUGCGCUGAUACUGUGGUGGCCUCUGAUGAGGCUGGUAUGCAGUUACCCGACCUCCUGCUCCACUACCGGAGGCCUGGUGGUCCCUCCUCCUGAUCGGCCCAUUCCCCGGUAAUGCUUUCUUCUCUUUCCUCCCCAACCCUUCUAACUGGUCUGUCUUAAUCCGUGCAGCCUUCUCCUCUUCAAUCUCGAUGUCUCUCUUAGCCUGUUCGUAUGCGGCUGCAUACGUUAUAAUAGCUGGGCUUCUUAAAUUGUACCACAGCCUUCCUAUCUUCACCCCUUCUUUCAAUCCCCUUAACGCCUGAGGGUGGUUGAAGGCUCCCAAGUCGAGGACAGCCCGAUGAAACCUCUUGAUGAAUUCCCGAAGGGUUUCUUGCUCCCCCUGUUUCAUGCUUUUCAGCUCCAUCAUGUCAUCUUCCGGUGCCAUUGCCCCACAAAACUGCUCCGCGAAUUCCUGACACAUCUGCUCGAAGGUUUUAAUGCUGCCCCGAGGAAGUUUUCUGUACCAUUCUCGUGCACGUCCCUCAAGGGAUAGUGGGAACACCCUGCACCUUUGGGAUUGGGAUAAUCCUUGUACCCCAGUUAUGUCGUUGAAGCGCUCUAUGUGCACCAGCGGAUCUGUUCUUCCUGAGUAUCUGAGGUCUGGGAGGCGGAAAUCUCUCGGAAUAACUGCCCUCAUGAUCUCUGCUGCGAGCGGUGAUUCUCCGUCCAGCAUUAUCCUCCAACCAGGGGCUCUGUUCCUUCCUUGCAUGUCGUCAAUUAUCUGUGCUAGUCUGCGCACUUCCUCCUCCAGCUGCACUGCACGACCAGGGUCACGUGCUGCAACUUGAUCCCGUUCUUGCUCUACAUCAUGCAAGUGUUGCCUCAACUCUGUUUCCUCUGCAUUCACCACCCCGUCGUCCUCGUCACCAGUCUGUCUUACCGGGGACUGCUCUCUUUCUCUAUGAAAUUCUCCCCGCAGAGGUACGUUACCUCUCUCACCACCAAAUCUCCCGGUGGUUUGACUUCUCCCCGCACUAUCGGGACCUGGUGCCACUCCACCGCCUCUCACCCUUCCCUCUUGGGUUACCCUUCGCUCGCUCCGCAGCUCAUGCAGGAUGGUUGUCAAGGUCUCCAUCUGCUUUUCCAUCCGUUCCAUCCGGUCGAACAUGACUUUUUCCCGUGCUUCACUGACUAUCUCCCUCAGCGUCACGGAAUCGUUAAGCCUCCUAUCACCCCCUUGUGCACUACUUCCUCCUGUCUCCAUCGCUUUUUACUUGCUUCGCCCCUCUUCUUGCUAUCAACAGAAGCUUUUUGCUUUCUCCCCACAGACGGCGCCAAAAUGUUGAUGCAGGAUUCCGGUUCUCCUCGUUCUACGACCAGGAUCUCUGCUCGAUCAACUUCAUCACGACCAGGAGGUCUCCUCGUAAGGCUUCUUCUCCAGAGGUUCCUGCGCACACAGACAAGUCAGAGUACGCCGGUUGUUUUCCCGGCGCAAACCCUUCGACGCUCAAGUCAGAUAUCAAGAUUCGGGGAACGUUUGCCACAGAUCUUAUGGCUUUUUCGUGGUUUUCUCUCUUUUUAAUUUCUUUUCUAAAAAAAUGCCAACCCUUUUACCUCGUUGGCUACCUUUUUAUAGGCUUCCUCUGAAUCCCAGUUUUCCGCUUUUUUCGAGACGGUAUGGGACUCUGACUGCUGCGUUAUGGGCAAACGUGGGAUCUUGCGUGUUACGCCACGGUCCUGGGGAAAGCGUGGCUGUCGUGGUUCUGUGAGAUCUUGCGUGUUACGCUACGGUUCUGGGGGAAGCGCGGCUGUCGUGGUUCUGUGAGAUCUUGCGUGUUACGCCACGGUUCUGGGGGAAGCGCGGCUAUUGUGCCUAGAUUCUCGGGCUGGAGAGCAUGUCUUGCCAACUGUCGUUGACCGGAUCUCCUCGCCUCUCGACCUCUAGCCGGAAUGGCCUUAUGCCUCUUACAGGAAAUUGGCCUCGCGGAUGACGUGCUCGUGGACGAGCAGGAUAUUUCUGCUCCUGUUCCCCCGCGCGCCAGGCUCUUACGGAACACACCGGUUCGCAGAACUAUGCCACCAGAUAUCUGCUCACCAUGCCUGGUCUCGUCGACGUAUUUCUCCCAAACACAAGGGCUCCUAAAGUUCGAAGAAAGAGAAUAGUCCGGAAGAAGGUGAUCGCAUAAAUUUCUUGGGAGUUAAUCCUAGUCAAUAGCCCAAUUUUGCUGCCUGUCGAAGAGAUACAACACGGAAGUCCUCAUCAAACUCUUUUGAGACAUCUAAGAACUAGUAGGGAGGUGGUGGUAUUUCACCGUGUUUCCUGGCAAGUAUAGUUCACUGAUAGAGGGAUUCUUUUCUUGAUGUCUAAAUACUAUAUGUGAUACAACGUCGUAUAUUCCAAUUUUUCUCCAGUUAAAUUAUAGUAAGUUAGAAAAGUUAAUUUUGUUCUAGCGAUGAAUUGUUUUCUUAAUAAUAAUAAUGGCCUGUUGCUUUGGAAUCUUAUUCACUCUCUGUAACCCAAUUAAAUUGUGCAAAUUCUACUGCAGAUUUGUCAAACAGAGUGUCUCUGUGAUUGUUUUGAUACACCUUUUAAUUACUAGAUUGUACUCGAGUUCCUAUUUAUUACUACUGUGUUGUAGUUAUAGUUAUUGUGAAAAAGGAACUGAAACUAUAAUAUAAAUGUUGAUCUUCUGUUGUAUAUAUGAUUUUUAAAUAAUAAUUUUGACAAAAUUAAUAAAUGUAUCAUUGAUUUUUUUAUACUCCCAACUUAAUUUUUAAGUCACCAUAAUAAAUAUUUAUUAAAUACUUUGAUACUGUAACUUUAAAACUAUGCUCCGCGGCACUCUUAUCUAAUUUUAAUUGUACUUUAUAGCUCGAUUAUAGAAAUCCUUACUCGAUGUACUUUACCAUACAAGAUGUUAGUUUACUUAAUCUUACUCGACUUUAAUUGCAUAUUUUAUAACGAAAUUUUUGUCAAAAAAUUGGUCCCGAUUCCAGCAAAACAGUAACUUCCAUUCAAAAGGGUUCCACGUUGAGUGCAUGUAAUCUGCACCAAGUUUGAGAAGAAAUAACCAAAAAAAAAAAGAAACCCGCGUCCAAAGAGGCCGUCAUUGAAUUCAAAAAUUAUGAUCCAAAAUCCAAAAAUAGAAGAAGAAUUGGAAACAUAGUCGGAGUUUUAAAUUGAUAUGAGAAAAGAAUUUAUCAUUUUUUUAACAAAAUUUAAGCUAAGACGAAAAAAUAUGCCUAAAACACCCCUCACAUUAUCCCAAACUUUCGAAACUCCCCCAUUCCUCUGACCAUCAUCUCUCCCAAAUCAAUCUUCCCCCAAAACCAGCCAUGGCUUCAAAUUCAAUCAGCUUAACACUCCAAUAUUGCUUGUAAGCCACCCACAAGUCCUCAACUUCAUAUGGACUCAAGACCAAACCCUAGCUUCCUUCCCACACAUCCUCAUUCACUCCAUCAUUACUUACCUCUCCCUCACAUCCAUCCUUUACCACACAUCAACAUCAACAUCACCAUCACCAUCAUCAUCACCUCUCAUUGGACCCCACAUCCUCAGACCCAUCACAGCCAUCCAUAACAUUUUUCAUUUUGAUGCUGUAUGAUCAUUUUACGGGAUUUGGUUUCCCUGGGUUUUGGGGUUGGUGCUUCAAUACUGUGUUUAAUGCUUCCCUUUUGGCCCUUUUUGUUAAUUUUCAUUACAAGAGCUAUGCUAAGAAAAAGAAGCAGGGAUGAUCAAAACAACUAGUAGUUAUCCUUGUUUUGUGUUUUCUUUUUUAAUUUAUCUCUAUCAUUGCCAUUGACAGAGAUGUUUCCAGUUGCCUAAACUUUGUUUUUUCAAUUUUGGUACUACGUGUAAUUUGUCACCACAUUUGUUUAGUCUCUCCCUUUUAAAUUCCCUCUCGCACACAAAAAAUUCGGAUUUGUAUUUUGUAGACUAAUAUUUUUCAUUUUGUUAAUGAAUUAACUAUUAUUAUCUACAUUAAUGUGAUGGAACACAAGCCACAUCAACUAGAAUUAGAUUAUGAAUUUUUGCAGCCCCAGCAAAAAACAUUUAUGAAAGAUGUUUAGGUAAGGAUUAUUUUGGUAUUCUAAAGAGUAGAAUAAAAAUUAAUGUUCAAAAUAUUAGAACAUAUAUAUUCCCAGCCUUAAUAAAAUUUUGCGACAUGAAAUGUACAAAGUUAGAAAUAUAGAAUGCAUAUUAGUACAUGUCAAUAACAAGACCAAUUAGAUUAUGGCAUUACUUUAUUUUAUUUAUUUAUUUUUUUUAUUCUUUUGAAACAAGAUCAAUUAAUUAGAUCAUGCUAGAAGUUAAAUUGUUUUUUUUCAAAUGAAAAAGGAGCAGUCAUACAAAGUUUGAAUAUAAAAUUUAUAAUCUAAAAUUAAUGAUGUGACAAUUAACAUGUUAUUAACCUAUCUAAUAGAGUAGGAAGUCCCAAAUACAUCAUAUUCUGCUCCCGAAAUCAAUUCCACCUAGAAUACUUCUUUCUAUUGAAAUUAAUGAUGAUUUGUUUGUUUGCAUCAUGAAAGUCAAAAAUAAUUUUGUGAGUAAUUUGAUUCUUUACGGUACAAAAAAUAAAUUCGGAAAGUACUAAUUUCUGUCAUACUUUUCGGGCUAAAAAAUAAAUGUAAGUCUAUCAUAUUUAUUAUUUAAUGGUUUUAUAUCAAUCAUCUGUAUGUAUUUUUCUUGGGAGAAGCUCAAUUAAUUUCUCUCAUACUUUUUGAUCUGAUCCAAUUCUAGCCUAAUCAACCUGAAACCCAUUCAAGUUGAUAUGAACACAAAUUUGCCCACUCCGGAGAUUGUGACCCUACAAACUUUGAAAAAUUUUGAGGUUUCGAAGUAAAACAUUAAAAAUUAGAUAUAAAAAGACUGAUUUGACCCCUAAGCACUUGAUGUAUAAACUUUAUACAUAUAAUAGAAAUUUAAUUUAUAUUUUGUAAAAUAAAAUCAAGUAAACUCGAUUUUUUUUUGUUAAUUAUUUUUUCAUUAUGACAAAAUGAAAAAUAGCCUUUUAUUAAAAUUUUUAUAAAUAAUCGGGCCUAAGUCUUUGAUUUUUAUUUUGUUAAUUAUUUUUUAGUUUUACUUGCAACAGUAAGUUCAAUUAUGAAUCAAAGUCGGCAAAUCAAAAUCGCUGCAGCCUGUAGCCACAAGCAAAAUUCUCAAAUUUCGAAAUUCCUAACGACUACAUAAUAACUAUAAAUAGAAUAACAGUCUAAAAUUAAUCCCCAACUAACAUUUUAAGUGAAGUUGGGCCUUCCGAAGAUUUACCCCAUAUGGAACAAAAUAUUAGUUUUGCUACUAAAAUUGCGAACUACGUUUUUCUUUGUAUUUUCCGCUCAAGGAUGAAGAAAUUUCACUCAACUGUUGUGCUGAAUAUCUUGCGAACAUAUGACAAUUUAAGACCCGUUUGGGGCAGCUGCGCGGUGGUCCUUAAUCUUUGGCUGAGACUUGUUUAAAAUAAAAAAUGACACUUUAAAGCAAUAGGAGAGUUUUAUAUAUCAAAAUGGUAAACGGAUGGAGAAAACUCAAAAUAAUUUUUUUAACUUUUUAUCUAUUUUGACAUUCGAAUUUUAAACUCGAGAAGUCAAGCAAUGAAUAAACCUUUUUGAGGGGCUAAUUAAAUUCUUAGUAAUUUCACAUAAUUUUAUUUCAUCAGAACAGUUUUAUCAAAAGCAAUUUUAUAAAUCGUUGUUGAAAGAUUUAUUCCUUAAUUAUCUUUCACAUAUUUUUUUGGUAAUAUGAGGUAAGUCAUAGACCAUAGUAUGAUAUUUAUUAAAUAUCAAAAUUAAUAUGAUAUUUAUUAAAUAUCAAAAUUAAUUAGACAUGUCUUUAUAAUAAGACAUCAUUUAUUUUGAAAUUGUUCCAGCACUAAGAUUAUUCUAGAUCAAAUUAAUCUAUUAUAUAUAACUUCAGAAGAUUUCUCGGUGGAUUGCUUUAAGGUUUUACAGGAGCUGAUGCUGAGUAGUCUGAAUAAUUAUUAUGAAUCAUAGAAACGGGGCAGAUGCUGUUAAAUUAUUGAGGUGGUGGAGCAGAUGCUCAGUAGUCUGAAUAAUAAUGAUGAAUCGGAAAAAUAGGGCAGAUGCUGUACAAUUAUUGAGGUGGUGGAGCAGAUGCUCAGUAGUUUGAAUAAUUAUUAUGAAUCGGACAAACAGGGCAGAUGCUGUACAAUUAUUGACGUGGUUGAACAGAAAGCUAGCCCCAGACGGUAACUCCUGUGGGGACUCCUUUAAUUUUGCAUCACAAAAGAACGUUCACACUGACAUUGACUCACGGGUAAAAAUUAAAUAUCUCAUAUGGUAUAAGAAGAAUGCAAACAUGCUUGAAUCAACAUUCUCACAGAAUACAUAAAACCUACUUUCCUCUGAGCAUUUUAUCAAGAAAAGCAAUUGCUGCAUUUACCAUUUGAUCUAAUAUCAGAAUGGUUGAUGCGAUCGUUUCCGCUCUCCUGGAGCAGCUGAUCUCUGUUGCGGCUGAUGAAGUGAAACAGCAGGUGAGGCUUGUGACUGGUGUCCGAGAAGAGGUGAAAAAGCUUACCAGCAAUCUUCGAGCCAUUCGAGCUGUGCUGGAAGAUGCAGAGAAAAGGCAAAUGCAGCGCAACAAUGCUGUUACUUUUUGGCUGGAUCAGCUCAAAGACGCAUCUUACGACAUGGAAGACGUGUUGGAGGAGUGGACCACUGCAAGGCUCACAUUGCAGAUUGAGGGCGUUGAUGAUGACACUGCUCUUGCUCUUGCUCCUCAUAAGAAGAAGGUACGCUCCUUCUUUUGUGCUGCAUCAAACUGCUUUGGUAGUUUCAAACAACUUAGUCUUCGUCAUGACAUUGCCGUCAAGAUUAGGGAAAUCAAUGGAAAGCUAGAUGAUAUUGCCUCCCAAAAAGAUACGUUUAAAUUUGUUGAGAAUGUGAGCAACAAUGUUAGGGAACCAGAGCUAGUGGGAACCACCUCCUUCAUUGAUGAGGGAAAGGUUUGUGGUAGAGUUGAUGAGAAAAAUGAGCUCUUAAGCAAAUUGUUGUGUGAAAGUAGUGAACAACAAGAAGGCCUUCAUGUCAUCUCACUAGUUGGGUUAGGGGGUAUAGGUAAAACCACUCUUGCACAACUGGCCUAUAAUAAUGAUGAGGUGAAAAGAAAUUUUGAAAAAGUUAUAUGGGUGUGUGUAUCAGACACUUUUGAGGAGAUUAGGGUUGCGAAAGCAAUCAUUGGAGGUCUAGGUGAGUCAACUUCUAGUUUAAGUGAAUUCCAAUCUCUUAUGAGCCAUAUCCAUCGAUCAAUUGAAGGAAAAAAGUUUUUUCUUGUUUUAGAUGAUGUAUGGGAUGGGAAUUACAAUAAAUGGGAACCAUUCUUCCUUUGUCUAAAGAAUGGUCACCAUAGAAGUAAAAUUUUAGUUACCACACGUAAUGAGUCAGUUGCACGUAUGAUGAGAUCAACAAAUAUUAUCUCCAUUAAGCAAUUGGCUGAAGAGGAAUGCUGGUCAUUGUUCGAGCAGUUAGCAUUUUUCAGUCGUUCUCUUGAGGAUCGUGAAAAAUUAGAACCAAUGGGGCGAAAAAUUGCACACAAGUGCAAAGGCUUGCCUCUUGCUGCAAAGGUAAUAGGGAAUCUUUUGUGCUCUAAAAGUACAGAAAAAGAGUGGCAAAGUAUUUUAGAGAGUGAAAUGUGGAAAGUAGAAGAGAUUGGGCAAGGUCUUUUGGCUCCUUUGUUGUUGAGUUAUAACGAUUUACCCUCCAAUUCUGUGGUAAAACGGUGUUUCUCAUAUUGUGCUGUCUUUCCAAAAGACUACAAUAUGGAUAAAGAGGAAUUGAUUAAUCUGUGGAUGGCUCAAGGUUACCUUAAUGCAGAAGAAGACGAAGAGAUGGAGAUGAUUGGGGAAAAGUGUUUCAACAUUUUAGCAGCACGCUCUUUCUUUCAAGAAUUUCAGAAAAAUGACGAUGAUGAUAUUCUGAGGUGUAAGAUGCAUGACAUAGUACAUGAUUUUGCCCAAUUUAUAAGUAGAAAAGAAUGUUUGUGGCUAGAAAUAAAUGGUACCAAAGAAACAGUCAUAAACUCUUUUGGUGACAAAGUCCGUCACUUAAGGUUAAAGUUUCAAGGAGGAGCUUCAUUUCCUAUGUCCUUUUUUGAAUUUGAUAGAUUGCGUACCCUCUUAAUUUAUGAUGAAAGUCUUUCCAAUACAUCUUUAUUUGAUGAUGAAAGUCCUUCCAAUCCAUCUCUUAAUAGUAGCAUCCUUCGGAAGUUAUUUAGUAAAUUGGCGUGUUUAAGGGCAUUAGUUAUAAGACAACUGUCCCCACCUUUUUGUCCUAAUCACCCAAAUUUGAUUAGAGAAAUUCCAGAAAAUGUUGGAAAAUUGAUACAUUUAAAAUAUCUUAAUUUGUCUAGACUGUGUAUAAAGAGACUGCCUGAGACUUUGUGUGAAUUAUAUAAUUUACAAAAGCUAGAUAUUAGGCGGUGCCGAAAUCUUAGAGAAUUGCCAGCGGGGAUUGGGAAGUUAAUGAACAUGAGGAGUUUACUGAAUGAUAAAACUCGUUCUUUGAAGUACAUGCCAGUAGGGAUUUCCAAAUUAACCAGUCUUCGAACAUUAGGCAAGUUUGUGGUGGGUGGAGGUGUUGAUGGUAGCAAUACGUGUAGGCUUGAAUCUCUGAAAAAUCUUCAACUCCUUCGAGAAUGUGGAAUAGAAGGGCUGGGUAAUGUAUCCCAUUUAGAUGAGGCCGAGAGAUUAGGACUUCACAAUAUGGAAAACCUCCUUCGUUUGCGUCUUGUGUUUGAUGGAGUCGUAGAUCUUGUGUUUGAUGGAGUCGUAGAUGGGGAAGAUGAAGAAAGGAGGAGGAGGAAUGAGAAAGACAAACAACUUCUUGAAGCUUUACAACCGCCUUUGAGUGUAGAGAAAUUAUGGAUUGUAUCCUACGGAGGCAACAUUCUUCCCAAAUGGUUGACUUUGCUAACCAAUCUAAGGGAUUUAAGCCUUUCCUCGUGCGUUAACUGUGAGCAUUUGCCUCCUUUGGGAAAAUUGCCUCUGGAAAAACUCACAAUUAACAACUUGAAAAGUGUAAAAAGAGUGGGUAAUGAGUUUUUGGGAAUAGAAGAAAGCAGUGAGGACGACCCAUCUUCAUCUUCAUCGUCAUCAUCAGUUAUUGCCUUCCCCAAAUUGAAAUCUCUCAAUAUUGAGGAAUUUGAUGAAGUGGAAGAGUGGAAUUACAGGAUUACGAGGACGGAAAACAUCUCCAUCAUGCCACGUCUUUCUUCCUUGACGAUUUCUUCUUGCAACAAAUUAAAGGCGCUGCCGGAUUACAUUCUUCAAACGACGGCACUGCAGGAACUGAGUAUAUAUUUUUGUGAUCUUCUAGAAGAACUGCCCAUUCUAGAAGAUCACAGGACAACAGCCAUACCACGUCUUUCUUCCUUGGAAAUUAGUUGUUGCCCCAAAUUAAAGGUGCUGCCGGAUUACCUUCUUCGGACGACGACGCUGCAGAAAUUGACAAUUUGGGGAUGUCCCCUUUUGGAAAACCGUUAUAGAGAGGGGAAAGGAGAAGACUGGCAUAAGAUAUCUCACAUUCCCCACAUCAAGUGGUCGCUGUUGCCGCCGGUAAUUUCUCCUCCUCCUCUGAUUUACUUCGUUGUUGCUUGCAAUGAAAUUAAUAAAAAUAAUUAUAUUUUGACUUAAAAUUUUAUAUAAAAUCAAUCAUGGUAUAAAUAUGAAAAACUUCCUAGUUAUCAAAUCUGUUAAACUUGUUUUCUAAAGAUUAAAUAAUAAAAAAAUACAAGUGUAGUCUGUUGAAAUUUCUAUAUUUAUUUACUUUUAAAAAAUAUGUGCUCUUUUGUAAAAGUUCAUACAAUAUCAUAGAAAUGUUAUGUGUAACUUCCUGAGAGACAAAAUCUCUGUGAUACAUUUGCAGUAAUGUUGAAAACUAAAUGUCAUUAGCCCACCUUGUUUUAUUUCAUACGAGUUUAAUUAUGUUCACCAGGGAUUCGAGGAAAUGUCAGAACUACACUAGCAAUUCGCAGGUCCACGCUAAUUUGGUUCUAAUGAUGCACGCAGGAGAGCAAGACUAUGAAAAUGAAAAGUUUAGCCAAAGGAUUGCUAAAAUGUUCUGCUGGUAAUUCACUUGCUUUAUUUUAUAGAAUUCAUUUCCAUCUUCUUCUAUUGAUAUCUUGUUGUGAAUAACAAGAACAGAGAAGUAAAGAUAUAUCAAAAUUUACUAUUGCGAUGAUGCUAAAGCAAGCUCAAGCUCAAGCAUUGCAUUUUUAUUUUAUUUAAUUUAUAGAAUUUUCAUUUCCACCUGCAUUGCAUUUUUAUUUAUUUUUAGGUUGACUUUGAAUACUUCAUGGUGAACAUUGGGGUGACCAAGGAUUAGGCUGGCAGUGGAACGACUACCACUGUGGUUAUUGUGCGACUUUGAAGAAGAAAGUGAUGGCUGGGUCUGCUCUGUUUCUAUCUUUUUUCAUUCUUUGAUCGGUUUAUCCUACAUAAACAUAUGGAAUUAUGCUAAUAUUAUCAAUUUUUUCACCCAAUUUUCAUUGUUGGUUGUGAUAAAAAUUUCAGGCUCUCAAAAGCUACAAAGCAAAGCAUUUGUGGGCUGAUCAUAUGUUUCAAUUGAGGAAGGAGUUUGGUGUUGGCAAUAUUGUCCAGGUAACCACAGCUGAUAAUUUCCACAAAUUUGCAUUGUCAGAACACACUUUAAUGUUCAUUGUGUUCCUAUGUGUUAUCAGGUUAUUGUGGUAUGUAAAGUAUCAUCUUUAAGGAUUUGUAAGAGACUUCGCAGUAAACUUAGUUGGCACCAGCUCGUGCAAUUCCUCAUUCAUUCAAGAGUACUUCAAAAUUAGAUUUUCAAGGUUUGUAUGUUUAGUUGCGAGCAAAAUGUUUAGUCACACAUUCGUAAUCUUUUCUGAUUUUCAAGUUCUUUAGGGCCAUAAACAGUUUUCCAACUCAUUCUUAAUUUUUAGGUUGAUUUCGAGUACCCUGUUGAGGACAUUCUUGAGACCAAGGAUUAGGCUGGCGAACAAACUACUACCUCUGUUGUUAUAGUGCAGGGUUUGAUCAUUGGACCUUGAAUAAGAAUGCCUUACACACACUCUGUAAUUCAAGCAUUCUCUAAGGAAAAGAGCAGUCGAAGGGAUAGUGAUGGCCGGAUCUGCUCUAUUUUAGUUGAAGAUCUCUGUGAUGUCGAUGAACUUAAAGCAGUUGAUACUUCUUGAAAAUUGUUAUUACGGAUGAAAUUGAUUACAGGAGACGGGUAUCCAAAGGCGGAUUUUCAUAAACUUCCUUCUUUAACAAAUGUUCCAACGCUUGCUGUAGUAACAAUUUCAUAGCUUGUAUCUCUCGGGUGCAUCAUGUUCACGGGUUGGAAAAAGCAUUUGUGGUAAAGCUUCAAAGCUUGUAAAAUGGCUGUGAAAAGGCACAUUCAAUUCGGUAUGCUUUGGUGCGGUCUCCUAAUGCUAAUAUUAUAUUUUGUAUAGCAAUCUUAAUAUGCAAAAAAUCAUUGUGUCCAAAGUUUUCUAUUUAUUAUAUGGUGACUGAAAUUUUAAUUAUCAUAUCAAUCUUAAAAAUUUUUGUAACCCUAUUUUACUUUGCUUGUACAGAAUACCUGUUUUCGCUGAUAUGUCGAAUUCCCAGAAAUUCAUUUCCAUCGGUUUCCAUUGGUUUUAGCACAAACAGAAACAUAGAGCACUGGGAAAAAGUUUUACUUUUGGUGGUAUUAUGCCUUAUUUUCUUCAUUCAUCAUAUUUGUUUCGAAUUCAUGCUCUCAUUAAGAGAGUAAAGCCUUUUCCAGGCUGCUUUGUAGCCAAAUUUUGAUGCCAUCGAUGCGUGAUUGUCAUUUAGAUUUUCGAAAUAAUUGUCAGAUUGGAGACGAAUCAGAAGAUAUUGUUCAAAGGGUAUUUAAUUAGCACCCUCUGAAUUUAGUUGCCAAUAAUGCAUUGAAAUGGUUGGGGAAAGUUAUUGUCUUAAUUAAAUUACAGGUGAUAAGAUGCUGCUUCAAUUUUGCAAGCAUCUUGUACUGCAAAGAUUCUGCCCACAUGAGAUGCUGUGAUUCUUGACAUCAGGAUAACACAGGUCAAAUUUUAGUAUCAAUAUAUAUCAUCUUCUUUACUGUUCUGCCUCUAAAUAUUAAACUUUAAGCAAGUUGUUUUUGUUUGUGUAAGUUAUCAGGUUAAGGAUACUAAGCCGCUUAUUAAGGCAAAUGUCAGAAUGAAGAUUGUUCACCACACCUGGUAUGCAUGAUGGCCAGUAAGAUUAAUUGUUCACAAGCCAAUUUGAUCAGUGUUAGAUUUUUUGCCUCCUUUCGAGGGUCAUCAUCAUCAAAUUUGAGUAGAGAAUCUUUGAAGGGAAUUUUGUUGUAAGAGUUUCACAGUAGUGAAUUCUGGGAGCUCGAACUCACUUGAGUGAGAUAUUAGGGAGUGUUGGGGAUUUGGGUUAUGAGUAAUCAUUAUCCUUCCAAUAUGUGUAAGCACUCACUUGUUAGUAAAAUCAUCUUCGUAUAUUGACUAUGUUUCUUUGAGUAAUUCAGUUUCAGAUUUUCAGGGCAUGUAUGUUUAAUUAGUUUUGAUUAAAAUAUUUAGUCACUCAUUCUGAAUCUUUUCUAAUUUUCAAGUUCCUUAGGGCCACAACCAGUUUUCAGGGUCUGCAGAAACUAUCUUGAGGGUUGAGGAAUUGCGUUUGAGCACACACAGAAACAAGGCUAAUGGAAAAGAACUUGACAGAAGAAUUAUGCUCUAAAUCUAACAAAAGUAUAUUUCUACUUCUUGUGGUUAUUUUACUUUUGUAUUUUCUGUCAUCAUAUUUGAUUAAUUCAUUCGAAUUCAGACUCUCAUUAUUUAAAACCAUUUUCAGGUGGCUUGCACGCUAAUUAAGUUAACGCAGAAGCAAUACUCUAGACAAAGAUGAGCAAAUUGAAGAUGAUAAAUGCAUAUAUAGUGGCCAAGUCGCUCAUUACAUUUCAUCUCUCAUACGAACAUGAUUCUGAAUUUGAAUUUCCAUCAAUAAUUGUCAGGCUGGUGCAGAUGUUCUUAAAAGGGCAUUAAGCUACCUUAUGAGAUUGGAAAGUUAUCAUUGCUUGAAUGAAAGCACCAUCUUCUGUUGUCAAGGCUUUCCCCCACACGAUGAGAUUCUGUGCUUGUUAUCGGCCGCUUAGUUAUUUAUUAAAUCAGGUUUUUGUUAUCAUGUUCAACAUCUUAUUCACCAUUUUGGCUAUAUAUAAAGAUUAAAAUUUCUAACAGUUGUUUCGGAUUCUUGUGUACUCAGGUUAAUAUGGCAAAUGUCAGAAUGAAGAUUGUUCAGUGCAACCGGUAUAGCAAGGAUGAUAGUGGUGAGGAAGAUUGUUGGCAAGCCAAAUAGAGCCCUCCAUUUUGAGAAAUAUCAUCCUCAAAUUUGAAUUGUUGAGCAUGUGAAGUGAAGCUAAAGCCUUAAUAAUGAGACCUUCCUGUGAAAGUUUCAUUUGAGUGAAUUGAACGUCCUUAGUGGGUGAGAAAUUAAGCAUAUAUCAGCGAUUACUGAAUGUUUUUCUUUAACAUUAGUACACUCUUAUUUCUUAGUAAAAUUCUCUUCACGUCUCUGACUGUGACGUAGACCAAAAGCUGAACAAUGUAAAAUUAUAUUGUUAUUUCCUUAUGCUUGUUUUGCUAUAUAUCAUUUUUGUGCAAUAAAGAAUGUAAUUUUGUAAUUAUUUAACUCUGCUUCUGCGAACAUGCGGUAUUACAAGUGGCAUCUUGCAGAUUUUUUUCCCCUUUUUUUCUUUCUGCAUUAAAACUGCAACAAAUGGAAGUGACUGGCUUGAUUUUAGCUAAUGUAAAAAAGUGCUUGGGGCAAUGUCUUUUGUAUCAGCAAGUCAUCAAACAUCAUAGUUUAAAUAUAGAAUCCUGAGUUGCCGUAUAUUGACAAAGCUAACCGUCUGUGGGCUGAAAUGCUUCCACGGAUCAGGAAGGAAUUUGGGGUUGACACUAAAUGUUAUGCAGAUAACUACAGUUGAUAAUUUUUACCCAAAAUAUGUCACAGUUGACAAUUCACUUACAGUGUUUCCUUGUGUUAUCAGGCUCUCAUAUGUGAAUUGAAAGAUUAAGAAAAAGCAUUUGCACUAAAUUUCAAUUUUAAAGUUCCCAGAUUAAGAAAGAUUGUUUGUUAUGCAAUUGAAGAUUAUGAAAAAGCAUACGCACAGGUAAGUUCUUCUUUAGCUCUGUUUUUCAUUGUUUGUUAUAUCUAUUUUUAAUUCACAUGUCCACAGUAAUUUCAUUUUAGUUUGAGCUGAGUGAUAACUGUUCAAGGCUCACUUACUCAUUGGGAGAAGCUGCAUGACGCAGGCUGCAAGGAUUUAGAUUUUCAUUCGAAGGCUCACUUACUCAUAGUGUGCAUGUUUCGUUACGAUUAAAAUGAUUAGUCUCUUGUUCUUAAGUAUACAAUUUCCAAUGGAUUUGAUAGAGCGGUCAUCAACCAUAUUGAUGUUAUUGGAGUAGCACUGUUCUUAAGCACUGCUUUGAGGUCUCUCCCUCUCUAUAUACAUUGAUAGACUAUUCUGGUCGUACCAAAUUAUCCUUGUUUUAUUGUUUUGUUUGUUAAACUUUGACUGGGGGAAUCUGUUUAUUUGUCUGAUAUGAUGUUAGUGUGGUUUCGAUUGAAGUGUGUUGAUCUAUCACCAAGUAUUAUUUCAAUUUUUCUUUACCUAAUCAACUUGCAUACUUUCCAAGUCUAGAUCCUUAACAAUAGUGAGACUCCGCUACAGAAGUACGAUUUCUCUAGUUUUGUAGUUAAAUACGUAAGAAUAGUUUUAAAUUAACAGAACUCUGAGAUAGUUCUCUGAGGAAAUACAAGUGGUGAAUAUGGUUCCAACUUUUAAGUGCCUUAAGAUUCCCAUUUGUUCAGCCCUGUGCGUAAACAAUCAGUAAUUUCUGUCCAAAUUCUUCUUUAAUGCCUAUAUGUGUUGGACUUUGUCUACUGUUCAACUUCUCAAAUGGAUUCCAUGCAGGGUUUUGAAUGUCCAAUUAGGAGAAAGAUCAAGGCUUGCUUGGCUAGGAGUGGAAGCGGAUCCACUACUUCAGUCAGAUGACCUUUUGAAGAAGGCUUACAACAGGCCGUCUCAGGAUGUCAAUGGCUCAACUCAAAAGUCCCCAAAGUGGUUGAUAUCGAAGAAUGCCGUUGUCUCUGGGCUUGGGCUCCUUGGCAUCAAACAAGGGAAUGUCGACUCUGUUGAAGGGGAAGCAAGGGCUCCUAAAGUGCGAAGAAAGAGGAUAGUCCGGAAGAAGGUGACCGCAUAAAUUUCUUGGGAGUUAAUCCUAGUCAAUAGCCCAAUUUUGCUGCCUGUCGAAGAGGUACAACACGGAAGUCGUCAUCAAACUCUUUUGAGACAUCUAAGAACUAGUAGGGAGGUGGUGGUAUUUCACCGUGUUUCCUGGCAAGUAUAGUUCACUGAUAGAGGGAUUCUUUUCUUGAUGUCUAAAUACUAUAUGUGAUACAACUUCGUAUAUUCCAAUUUUUCUCCAGUUAAAUUCUAGUAAGUUAGAAAAGUUAAUUUUGUUCUAGCGAUGAAUUGUUUUCUUAAUAACAAUAAUUGCCUGUUGCUUUGGAAUCUUAUUCACUCUCUGCAACCCAGUUAAAUUGUGCAAAUUCUACUGCAGAUUUGUCAAACAGAGUGUCUCUGUGAUUGUUUUGAUACACUUUUGAUGGCAAGUUCAAGUUUGAAUCAUCUUGUAAUGCCAAAAAACCAUAGCGCUUUUAAUUACUAGAUCGCACUCGACUUCCUAUUUAGUACUACCGUGUUGCAGUUAUAGUUAUUGUGAAAAAGGAACUGAAACUAUAAUAUAAAUGUUGAUCUAGUGUUGUAUAUAUGAUUUUUAAUUAAUAAUUUUGAUAAAAUUAAUAAAUGUAUCAUUGAUUUUUUUAUACUCCCAACUUAAUUUUUAAGUCACAAUAAUAAAUAUUUAUUAAAUACUUUGAUACUGUAACUUUAAAAUUAUGCUCCGCGGCACUCUUAUCUAAUUUUAAUUGUACUUUCUAGCUCGAUUAUAGAAAUCCUUACUCGAUGUACUUUACCAUACAAGGUGUUACUUUACUUGAUCUUACUCGACUUUAAUUGCAUAUUUUAUAACGAAUUUUUUAUCAAAAAAUUGGUCCCGAUUCCAGCAAAACAGUAACUUCCAUGAUGAUUUUUAAUAUUAUAUUAGUGAUUAUUAAAUUUAAUACAAUCAAUAAUGAAAGAAAUUAUUAAAUGGUUAAUUUUAUUGACAUAUUAUCAAAUACGCAAGUAAUGAAAAAUUAAUCUCAAGAGUUAGUUGAAGUAAAGUUCCAAUUUAAUAGAUAAAUAUAAAUUUUAAGUAAAUCAUAAAUUAAAAAAUUAAUUAAUAUUAAGUAUAAAUAAAUAAUAAUGACAUAAAUUAAAGUCUCAUAAAUGGAUAACUUUUUUUCUUUAAUCUUAUCUCAACUAAAGUAAUGUGUAAAUUAGGAUUCUUAAUCCCAUAAUUUUAGGAAUAAAUUUAAAUUUAGUUCCUAAAUCCAAUUCAAUUAAGCUUACCAAACAUGAGAUAAAUUUUUAAUCACAAAAUUAGUCCAAUUCCAUACUUACUCCCAGUAUCCGAACAUGGCCUGAUAACAUAAUUUAGGUAAUAUACUACUAUGACUCACAAUUUAAAUAAAUUUAAGAAUUUAUAUAGGGGAUGGAAAAUUCACAAUAAUCAUAACAUAUGCUAUCUUUUCUCCCUUUUCUUAAUUAAAUAAAAAAAAAUUAAUGACAGAAUAACUACUGUUUAAAAGGGUCGGCUGCAUGAUUUUUCCAACUAUUGUUUUAUUUUUCUCUUUUCCACUACAAAUUAAUUUGAGAAUGUUACAUUUUCCAAUUCUCUUUUUGUCGUGACAUAAUAGACUAAAACGGAAUCACAUACUUUUUCAAAUGUCCAAAUGGCUUUGGCCUACCUGAUAAUAAAAGGAAUGGAUCCAUACGUUAGUAUGGAUAAAUUGAAAAAUAUAAUAAAUAAAUUGUCAGGAGAUGAUUUUAUCAAAAAUUUCACUCGCACGGUCCCGACCAAAAUCGACUGUAUUAUAUGUGAACUCGCAAGAUUCAUAGAUAGAUUGCACUGAGCUUUUUGUUGCAGUUUACAAAUAUUUUGUUACUAAUUAUCUCAAGAGCAGCAUGUAACUAAAUACAAAUGUAAGGAAUUUUACAAGUGCUGAUGCUGUGUACUCUGAAGAAUUAACAAUGAAUUAUUAUGAAUAAGAGAAACAGAGGGCAGAUGCUGUGCAAUUAUUGAGGUGGUGGAUCAGAAAGCUAGCCCCAGAUGGUGACUCCUUUAAUUUGCAGCACGAAAGAACGUUCACAUUGACAUUGACUCAAGGGUAAAAAUUAAAUAUUUCAUAUGGUAUAAGAAGAAUGCAAACAUGCUUGAAUGAACAUUCUCACAGAAUACAUAAAACCUACUUUCCUCUGAGCAUUUUAGCAGCAAGAAAAGCAAUUGCUGCAUUUACCAUUUGAUCUAAUAUCAGAAUGGCUCAUGCGAUCGUUUCCUCUCUCUUGGACCAGCUGAAAUCCAUUGCUCAAGAUCAGGUGAAAGAAAAGUGGAGGCUUGUGACGGGUGUCGAACAAGAAGUGGGAAAGCUUACUACCAAUCUUCAAGCCAUUCAAGCUGUACUGGAAGAUGCAGAGCAGAGGCAAAUGAAGCAGGACAAAGCUGUUACUCUUUGGCUGGAUCAGCUCAGAGACGCAUCCUACGACAUUGAAGAUGUGUUGGAAGAGUGGAUCACUGAAACAAGGAAAUUGCAGCUUGAUGAGGGCGGCGAUGAUGACGAUGCUCUUGCUCUUGCUCCUCCUAAGAAGAAGGUAUGUUCCUUCUUUCGUGCUGCCUCAAACUACUUAGGUGGUUUCAAACAACUCAUUCUUCGUGAUGAUGUUGCUGUCAAGAUUAGCGAAAUCAGUGAAAAGCUAGAUGGUGUUGCCACUCGAAAAGAUAUGUUUAAAUUUGUUGAGAAUGUGAGUAACAAUGUUAAGAAACCAGAGCGAGUGCGAACCACCUCCUUGAUUGAUGAGGGAGAGGUUUUUGGUAGAGAUGACGAGAAAAAUGAGCUGUUAGGUAAGUUGUUGGGUGAGAGUGGCGAACAACAUCCUCAUAUCAUCUCACUGGUUGGGUUAGGGGGUAUAGGUAAAACCACUCUUGCACAACUAGCCUAUAAUAAUGAUGAGGUUAAAAGAAAUUUUGAAAAAGUUAUAUGGGUGUGUGUAUCAGACACUUUUGAUGAGAUGAGGGUUGCUAAAGCAAUCAUUGAAGGUCUAGGCGAGUCAACUUCUGGUUUAAGCGAAUUCCAAUCUCUUAUGAGCCAUAUCCAUAGAUCAAUUGAAGGAAAAAAUUUUUUUAUUGUCUUAGAUGAUGUAUGGGAUGGGAAUUAUAAUAUAUGGGAUCAAUUCUUCUUUUGUCUAAAGAAUGGUCUUCCCGGAAGUAAAAUUGUGGUUACCACACGUAAUGAGUCAGUUGCACGUAUGAUGCGAACAAUAGAGUUAGAUAUUAUCUCCAUUGAACAACUAGCUGAAGAGGAAUGCUGGUUGUUGUUCAAGCGGUUGGCAUUUUUCGGUCGCUCUUUCAAGGAUUGUGAAAAAUUAGAACUAAUCGGGCGAAAAAUUGCACGCAAGUGCAAAGGCCUGCCUCUUGCCGCAAAAGUAAUAGGGAAUCUCUUGCGCUCUAAACGUACAGUAAAAGAGUGGCAAAGAAUUUUAGAGAGUGAAAUGUGGAAGGUAGAAGAUAUUACGAAAGGUCUUUUGGCUCCUUUGUUGUUGAGUAUAAUGAUUUGUCCGCUAGUUCUAUGGUAAAACAGUGUUUCUCAUAUUGUGCUGUCUUUCCAAAAGACUACAAGAUGGAUAAAGAGGAAUUGAUUGAUCUCUGGAUGGCUCAAGGUUACCUUAAUGCAGAAGAAGACGAAGAAAUAGAGAUGAUUGGAGAAGAGUAUUUCAACAUCUUAGCAACACGCUCUUUCUUUCAAGAGUUUGAAAUAUAUGGUGCCGAUGGUGAAUAUGUGAAGUGUAAGAUGCAUGACAUAGUACAUGAUUUUGCUCAAUUUGUGAGUAGCAAAGAAUGUUUGUGGCUAGAAAUUAGCGGUACCAAAGAAUCAGUCAUAAACUCUUUUGGUGACAAAGUCCGUCACUUAGGGUUAAAGCUUAAAAGAGGCGCUUCAUUUCCUAUGUCCAUUCAUGGACUUAAUAGAUUGCGUACCCUCCUAAUUAGUGAUGAAUUUUAUAAUCUGUCCCUUAGUAGUAGCAACCUUGCAGAGUUAUUUAGUAAAUUGGCAUGUUUAAGGGCAUUAGUUAUAAAGCAAUUUUACCCAAAUAGGAUUAGAGAAAUUCCAGAAAAUGUCGGAAAAUUGAUACAUUUAAAAUUCCUUAAUUUGUCUAGACUAGCUAUAGAGAGACUACCUGAGACUUUGUGUGAAUUAUAUAAUUUACAAAAGCUAGAUAUUAGGCGGUACGAAUAUCUUAGAGAAUUGCCUGCGGGGAUUGGGAAGUUAAAGAACAUUAGGAGUUUACUAAAUGCUAGAACUCCGUUAAAGCAUAUGCCAAUAGGGAUUGCCAGGUUAACCAGUCUUCGAACAUUGGACAGGUUUGUUGUGGGAGGAGAUGUUGAUGGUAGCAGUACAUCUAGGCUUGAAUCUCUGAAAAAUCUUCAACUCCUUCGAGAUUAUGUAAUAGAUGAGCUGAGUAGUGUGUCACAUUUAGAUGAGGCUGAGAGAUUAGAACUCCACAAUAUGGAAAACCUCCUUCGUUUGUGUCUUGUGUUUGAUGGGGGAGAUGAAGAUUGGGAAGAUGAAGAAGAAGAAGACGCAGAAGUUGUAGAGGGGUUAGAUGAAGAAGGGAGGAGGAAGAAUGAGAAACUUCUUGAAGCCUUACAACCGCCUUUGAAUGUAGAGGAAUUACGGAUUGUAUCCUACGGAGGCAACAUUUUUCCCAAAUGGUUGACUUCGCUAACCAAUCUAAGGGAACUAAAACUUCUCUUGUGUUUUAACUGUGAGCGUUUGCCUCCUUUGGGAAAAUUACCUCUGGAAAAACUCCAACUAAAGAACUUGAAAAGUGUAAAAAGAGUGGGUAAUGAGUUUUUGGGAAUAGAAGAAAGCAGUGAGGAUGGCCCAUCUUCAUCUUCAUCGUCACCAUCAGUUUUUGCCUUCCCCAAAUUGAAAUCACUCGAAAUUCACGGAAUGGAAGAAUUGGAAGAGUGGAAUUACAGGAUUACGAUGAAGGAAAACAUCUCCAUCAUGCCCCGUCUUUCUUUCUUGGAAGUUAGUUCUUGCAACAAAUUAAAGGCGCUGCCGGAUUACCUUCUUCAAACGACGGCACUGCAGGAACUGAGUAUUUGUUCUUGUGAUCUUCUAGAAGAACUGCCCAUUCUAGAAGAUCGCAGGACAACAGACAUACCACGUCUUACUUCUUUGUGGAUUUCUGAUUGCCCCAAUUUAAAGGUGCUGCCGGAUUACCUUCUUCAAACACUGCAGCUAUUGAUAAUUUUGGGCUGUGACCUUCUAGAAGAACAUUAUAGAGAGGGGAAAGGAGAAGACUUGCAGAAGAUAUCUCACAUUCCCCACAUCAAGUGGUCACCGUAAGAUAUCACUCGCCGGUAAUUUCUCCUCCUCCUCUGAUUUACUUCGUUGUUGCUUGCAAUGAAAUUAAUAAAAAUAAUUAUAUUUUAAAUUAAAAUUCUAUAUAUUGCCAAUGUCUGACAAGAAUAUAUAAUAUUUUUCUAAUAUUUUGAUUUGCAUAUUGAAUUUUGUUUACUUUAACCAUUAAUUUAAUGGGUCACUUUAUGAUGCUGUUAUAAAAAUUAUAGAAUCAAUCAUGGUAUAUAUAUUUUAAUUUAAGUUAUUUAAAAUUUAAACUUCCUAGUUAUCAAAUUUAAACUUCCUUAACAUCAUGCAAAAAUAAUCAUCAUGUCUUUUAGCCGAAGGAUUGCUAAAAUGUUCUGCUGGUAAUUCACUUGCUUUAUUUUAUAGAAUUUCAUUUCCAUCUUCUUCUAUUGAUAUCUUGUUGUGAAUAAACAAGAACAGAGAAGUAAAUAAUUGAACCACAGAGAAGUAAAGAUAUAUGAAAGUUCGCUAUUGUGAUGGUGUUAAAGCAAGCUCAAGCUCAAGCAUUGCAUUUUUAUUUUAUUUUAUUUUUAGAAUUUUCAUUUCCACCUGCACUGCAUUUUCAUUUCAUUUUUAGGUUGACUUUGAAGACUCUAUGGAGAACAUUAGGGUAACCAAGGAUUAUCACUAUGGUUAUUGUGCAACGUUUGGUUGCUGGACUUUGAAGAAGGAAGCGAUGGCCGGGUCCGCUCUGUUUCAAUUGAGGAUGGACAGCUGCCUGAAAGACAUGAUGAUUAUUUUUGCAUGAUGUUAAGGUGCUAAGAUCAUCAUUUAUAUCUUGUUUCAUUCUUGGAAUCAUUUAUCCUAUAUAAACAUAUUGAAUUGUGCUAAUAUUAUCAUAUGCUUCAAUGGAGGCAGGAAUUUGGUGUUGACACUACUAUGCAGGUAGCCACACUUCAUAGUUGGCACAAAUUUGCGUUGUCAGAAUAUCCUUUAAUAUUCAUUGUGUUUCUUUGCGUUAUCAGGUUAUCAUCUCCAAGGGUUUGAAAGAGUCUUUGCAGUAAAGGCAGUUGUCACCAGCUCGUGCAAUUGCACAGUCAUUCAGAGUACUUCAAUAUUGGGUUUUCAAGUUUUGUAUGUUUAGUCGAUUAAAAUGUUUAGUCACUCAUUCUUAAUCCUUUUUUCUGAUUUUCAAGUUCUUUAGGGCCAUAAACAGUUUUUCAAACUCAUUAUUAUUUUUUAGGUUGAUUUCCUACUCGUGGAGAACAUUGGCAAGUCCAAGGAUUAGGCUGGCGAUGGAACUACUACCUCUGUUGUUAUUGUGCAAGGUUUGAUCGCUGGACCUUGAACAAGAAUGCCUUACACACAUUCUGUAAUUGAAGCGUUCUCUAAAGCAAAAGAGCAGUAGAAGGAAUAGUGAUGGCCGGAUCUGCUCUUUCUUAAUUGAAGAUGUCUGUGAUGUUGAGGAGCUUAAAGCAGUUAAUGCUCUUUGAAAAUUGUUAUUACAGAUGAAUUGAUUCCUGAAGACGAGUAUCUAAUGAUUGUUAAGGCGUAUUUUCAUGAACUUCCUUUCUUAACAAAUGUUUCAAUGCUGGCUGUAGUAACAAUUUCAUAUCUUGCAUCUCCCGGGUGCAUCAUGUUCACGGGUUUGAAAAAGCAUUUGUGGUAAUGCUUCAAAGCUUGUACAAUGUCUCCCAAUGCUAAUAUCAUAUUUUGUAUGGCAAUUAAAAUUUAGCUAUACAAUCUUAAUAUGCAAUAAAUCAUUGUAUACAAAGUUUUCUAUUGAUUAUAUGGUGACUGAAAUUAGAUUGGAGAAGAAUAAAAAGAUACUGUUAAAAGGUUAUUUAAUUAGCGCCCUCUGAAUUUCUUGGAGUUAAUGUAGUCAAUUGCCCAAUUUUGCUGCCUGUGGAAGAUACACAGUAUGGAGUCCUCAUCAAACUCUGAGACACCUAAUAAAUAGUAGGAGGGGUUGGUAUUCGCCUGGUGUUAAUUUCCUGGCAAGUAUAGUUCACAGAUAAAGGGGUUCUUUUCUUGAUGUCUAAAUACCGUAUGUGAUACAACAUCGUGUAUUCCAAUUUUUCUCCAGUUAAAUUUUAAUAAGUUAGGAAAGUUAAUUUUGUUUUAGCAAUGAAUUGUUUUCUUAAUAAUAAUUGCCAUGUUCCUCUGAAGUCUUAUUAAUGCCAAACCAACAACUACUAGGUUCAUCUCUCGUUCACUUCCUCAGGGAUUCUCGAGGGCAUUCUUUGGCAGGUAGUCUUUCUUGUUGAGCUCCUGGAAUUACUUUUAAUUUAUCAUCUGUUGGGUUUUGCUUUUUGAUUGCUUUGUGAUUUGUGUUUUUAUCGCUUUGUCGCUCAUUAAUCUUGGCUGUUUUGAAUCUGUGUUGGAUUUAGACGUUUGGAGUUGAAAACAGUUAAAGCUUAGACUAGUAGAAGAGAUUUAUACAUUCAUUUAUCUUGGACAAAGUUUUUGGGGGAAAAGAAAAAUUAUAAGUAUACACUUUCCAAUGGUUCGGUGAUGUUUGAUUGGUUUAAAGAUGUUGGAUCUCUCAUCAGAUUUCUUAUGUAUCGACUGCUGUUGCCACAGGAUGCUCGCAGAUCCUGCUUUUUUGUAUAAACUUCUACCAGAGCAGGCUGCCACAAUUGGUUGCACUGUUUUGUGGGAGUUGGAGAAUCACAAGGAGAGGUGUUUUUUCUCUCAUAACAAAGGAACUCUCCCCUUCCUUUUUAUUCUCAUUUUAUAUAUUAAGCUAAUAAAUGUUUGUUUCUGUUGUGAUGGGAUAAAGCAAGAAUGGGAUCUUUGCCCUAAUAAAUGUGCUCACAGUAACAGCAUGUAAUGCUUUUGUUGUUUGGUCGCUUGCUCCUUGUCAUUCUUAUGGAAACACCUUCCGGUUUGACUUGCAAAUUACAUUACAAAAGCUCCCAAACAAUAUAUUUGAACGGCGGUACCCAUUUCGAGAAUUUGACUUGCAAAAGAGAAUCCACUCCCUUUUUUACAAGGCUGCAGAGUUGUGUAUGGUGGGAUUAAGUGCAGGAGAAGUGCAAGGUUCUUUGUCAAACUAUCUUGCUGGUAAAAAGGACAGGUAAACAUGGUUGCAAAACUUCCUUUUCAUUCCUCGUUCACUUAUUCGUUAUAAAUAAAGAAAACUUAGAAGAUUGUUCUGUUUACUGUCUAAGCCAGUUUAACAUUUAUUAAAUUACCCUUGUAAAAGAGAAUCCACUCCCUUUAAUGUCUGACAGGUUAUCUGUGACAAACAUGAGAUAUCAGCUAUUGUGUGGAUUUGAUAGAGCGGUCAUCAACCAUUUUGAUGUUAUUGGAGUAGUACUGUUCUUAAGCACUGCUUUGAGGUCUCUCCCUCUAUCUCUUUUACGCAUUUGUUUAUUGAUCUACAUCUCUAUAUACAUUGAUAGACUAAUCUGGUCGUACCAAAUUACCCUUGUUUUAAUGUUUUGUUUGUUAAACUUUGACUGGGGAAUCUGUUUAUUUGUCUGAUAUGAUGUUAGUGUGGUUUCUAUUGAAGUGUGUAGAUCUAUCACCGAGUAUUAUUUCAAUUUUUCUUUGCUUAAUCAACUUGCAUCCUUUCCAAGUCCAGAUCCUUAACAAUAGCGAGACUUCGCUACGGAAGUACAAUUUCUCUAGUUUUACAGUUAAAUACGUAAGGAUGGUUUUAAAUUAACUGAACUCUGAGGUAGUUUUCUAAGGAAAUACAAGCGGUGAAUAUGGUUCCAAGUUUUAAGUGCCUUAAUUAACCCAUUUGUUCAGCCCUGUGCGUAAACAAUCAGUAAUCGCUGUCCAAAUUCUUCUUUACUGCCUAUAUGUGUUGGACUUUGUCUAUUGUUCAACUUCUCAAAUGGAUUCCAUGCAGGGUUCUUAAUGUCCAAUUAGGAGAAAGAUCAAGGCUUGCUUGGCAAGGAGUGGAAGUGGAUCCGCUACUUCAGUCAGAUGACCUUUUCAAGAAGGCUUACAACAGGCCAUCUCAGGAUGUCAAUGGCUCAACUCAAAAGUCCCCAAGGUGGUUGAUAUCAAAGAAUGCCAUUGUCUCUGGGCUUCGGCUCCUUGGCAUCAAACAAGGGAAUGUCGACUCUGUUGAAAUGGAAGCAAGGGCUCCUAAAGUGCGAAGAAAGAGGAUAGCCCGGAAGAAGGUGACCGCAUAAAUUUCUUGGGAGUUAAUCCUAGUCAAUAGCCCAAUUUUGCUGCCUGUCGAAGAGAUACAACACGGAAAUCCUCAUCAAACUCUUUGAGACAUCUAAGAACUUGUAGGGAGGUGGUGGUAUUCACCUUGUUUCCUGGCAAGAAAUUUAUGGAACUUAUCUUCUAAAAACCAGCCAUGGCUUCAAAUUCAAUCACCUCAACACUCCAAUAUUGGCUUGUAAACCACCCACAAAUCCUCAACUUCACAUGGACACAAAACCAAACCCCAGCUUCCUCCCCACACUUCCUCAUUCUCUCCAUCCUCACUUACCUCUCCCUCACAUUCAUCCUCUACCACACAUCAACAUCAACAUCACCACCAUCAUCACCUUUCAUUGGACCCCACAUCCUCAAGCCCAUCACAGCCGUCCAUAACCUCACCCUCCUCCUCCUCUCCCUCAUCAUGGCCGUUAGUUGCACUCUCUCCAUCAUCGUCCAUUUGCCCCACCUCCAUUACACCCUCUGUUUCCCCCCCACCAUUUCUCCGUCUGGCCCCCUCUUCUUCUACGCUUACCUCUUCUACCUCUCCAAAAUACUCGAAUUCGUAGACACCCUUUUGAUCAUUUUGUCAAACUCCGUCCAACGGCUCACGUUCCUCCACGUCUAACACCAUGCAACCGUCGUCGUAAUGUGCUACCUUUGGUUACAGACGAAGCAGUCUUUGUUUCCUAUUUCACUUGUGACCAAUGCAAGUGUGCAUGUGAUCAUGUACGGGUACUAUCUAUUGUGUGUGAUGGGGUUGAGGCCAAAGUGGAAGAGAUUGGUCACUGAUUGUCAGAUUGUUCAGUUUGUGUUUAGUUUUGUUGUUUCGGUUUUGAUGCUGUAUUAUCAUUUUACGGGAUUUGGUUGCUCUGGGAUUUUGGGUUGGUGCUUCAAUGCUGUGUUUAAUGCUUCUCUUUUGACACUUUUUGUUAAUUUUCAUUCCAAGAGCUACGCUAAAAAAAAGCAGGGAUGAUCAGAACAAAUAGUUUUUGUGAUUGUUUUGUGCGUGCGUGUGUGUGUGUGAUUUUUUUUUUCAAGUUUGAUUUUGUUUAAUUAUGAAGGGUUGUGAUCUGUUCAUUGCAAUUGACAGAGAUGUUUUCAGUUGCCUAGACUUCGUAUUUUCAGUUUUAGUAAUAAAUGUCGUUUUUCACCACAUUUGUUUAGUCUCUCGCUUUUAAAUCCCCUCUCACACACAAAAAAAAUUGGAUUUGUAUCUUGUAAACAAAUAUUUUUCAUUUUGUUAAUGUAUUAAUUAUUGUUAUCUACAUUUAUGUGAUAGGGCACAUGCCACAUCGACUAAAAUUAAGUUAUGAAAUUUUGCAGCCCCUGAGCACUCAAUGUUUGUAGGCACAAGUUCAAGUCCCACCAUUUGUUAGGAUUUAAAUAAAGAACAUUAUAACCAUGCGUCCAAGAACUUAAAGAUAGCUUAAGUGCAUGGAUUCGAGUCCUAGUUAUUGUUGGAAUUCGAUUUCCUUUCUAAUUAAAUUGGGUAAGGGUAAAAUUAUCUCUCAAUUAAUAAGGACAGAGUAGAUAUUUCUCUCGAUUUUCCUCCCAAUUAAAUUAGUUAGAAGUAAAAUUAUCUCUCAAUUAAUAACAGUAGAAUAAAUAUCUCUCUAGUAUUAUGCAAGGGUAGAAAUUUGGGCUGUACCAUGUUAGAAUUAUCAAGGAUAGUUUUGGUAGAAUUCUAAUUGUAAUAUAUGAGUGUAUAAAAAAAAUGAACAUCAAUGAAAGAUUUUAGGCAAGAACUAUCUUGGAAUAGAAUUUUGAUUGUAAUAUAUCAGUAUAUAAAAAAAUUUUAUGAAAAAUGUUUAACAAGGACUAUUUUGAUAUUUUAAUGAAUAGUAAAAAUUAAUGUUAAAAUUUGAUAGACGAGUGUAUAGUAAGAUGUGCAAAGUAUUAGAACAUAUAUAAAUAAUCCUAGCUCUAAUAAAAUUUUGCUACAAAAUUAGUUUAUCCCUUAAAGAAACAUAUCAAAAAAAUAUACAAAAACACAAUGCAUGAGUACAUGUCAAUCACAAAUGAAAGCAAUUAAGAUAAAGGAUAUGAUUUAUUUUAUUUUAUUUUAGUUAUUUUUUUAAUUAUUUUUUGUUUCUUUUGAAACAAGACCAAUUAGAUCAUGCAAGAAGUAAUUUUUUUUUUAAAUAAAAAAGGAGAAAUGAUGAAACCCACGUCCAAAGAUGCCGUUGUCGCGGAGGCCUAGAUCUCACUACACCCCAUCCCCUUCUACCAUAUUUUAUAAUUGAAGAGGCCAUUAUUGAAUUGAAAAAUUAUGAUUCAAAAACCCAAAAAUAGAAAAAGAAAAGCAAUUGUUGGAAACACACUCGGAGUUUUAAAUUGACAUGAGAAAAGAAUAUAUUCAUCAACCUCAUACGUUAAAGAUGCGACGAGUUUGAGAUUAUGAGCCAAAUUCCUAACGUGUGGGAAUUUAAAGAUGUUACUACAAAACAUGUGUUCGUCGGUGGAGUAGAAUCAGGGAAAUUAAAGAUGCUACUACAACCACUAACGUGUGGGUGGGGAUAAGCAUAACUUUUUUCAUCAAAUGCCAAAUCCCCCCAGGUGGAGAGUGGGGACUCCUUCGCAUAAAUGUUGAUAAAAUUUUGAUUAUGAUGUUAUUAGAAAUUAGGAAAAACCUGUGGUGCAACUGUGGUACCGUGUUAUAGUUGCAUCCAGCCGUUGGAUACUAGUGGACCCUAUUGUUAACAUAUAUGUUUCCAUAAUAUUGAUUUUGAUGAUAACAAACAAAAUUAAGAAUGAUUAAUCUUUUAAGCUCAAAUUAUUUAAUAUUCUUUUUAAAUAAAUCAUUAUUUUCACAUUAUAAAUGUUUUAUAUUUAAUGGAAAAAUGAUUUUAUGAAAUUGAUUGUUUUUAUUCUCUUUAAAUAAAUCAUUAUUUUUACAUUAUAAAUGUUUUAUAUUUAAUGGAAAAAUGAUUUUAUGAAAUUGAUUGUUUUUAUUCUUUUUAAAUAAAUCAUUAUUUUCACAUUAUAAAUGUUUCAUAUUUAAUGGAAAAAUAAUUUUAUGAAAUUGGUUGUUUUUCAAAGUUUAUGGUUUAAUUAAAAGAAUUUUGAAAACUUUGAAAUAAAUGCUUGAAAUUUUGGAGGACUUAUUUGAAAAGUGUCAUAGCAUUUUUAGCUAUAUCAUAAUUUCAGAAAGUUUUGGGAUUAGCAAAGCAUUACUUAUAAAUUCUAAAAUUGGACCUAUUUAAAAAGUUUUAUAACUUUUUGGGCCGUAAUAUAGUUUUGUAAAGUUUUGGGGUCAAACUGUAAUUUCAGAAAAUAAUGCACUAUGCAGGUUACUGUAGCAUCCGGCUUACCGGAUAUAAAAAACUAGAAAACCGGAUACGGGGCAGUAAGCAUCCGGAACGCAAACGGCUUAUCGGAUUUCGUAACCGGCAAGCCGGUUAGGCAAAAUUCAAAUUUUUGCCUUAGUGGUAACAUAAAUCCAGCUUACCGGAUUCCUUAAACGGCAAACCAGAUACGCUCAGAAUGUGUAUAAUGGGUAGUUUUUGAGUUCAAACUAUAUAAACUCAAAAUCAAUUCAUUUUUGGUAAUACAAGAAAGCAAGAACAAGUGCACACAACAUAUAUUGAGCUUCAAUUUCGUGAAUCAUCAUUCAUUAAAUCAUCUUUGUUCUUAAAUUUGUAUAUCCACUCUUAAAGAGAGUUUGAUUGUUGUAUUUUUCAUUUCUCAUUAAAUUGUGAGAGUACAAGUGUGAGAAACACUUGGAGUGAAGAGAUUGGAGAGAUAAUCUCUUGUUGUAGAGGUUCAUUGACACCUUAAAGUCAAUUGUAAACAUUUGAAGCCUUGGAAAGGCUUGGAUAGUGAAAUCCUCAAGCCCGGUGUGGUUGGAGGCGUGGACGUAGGCGGGGAUUGCCGAACCACGUAAAAAUCCUUGAGUUUGCUUUCUCUUCCCUUACUCAUUUAUUAUUGUGCUUUCAUUGAAUUUAUUGUUUUCGAAUUUAUUAAGGCAUUAGAUUGGAUUUGUGUGGUUUGCUUUACUUAAUUUUUAAAAUUCUAAUUCACCCCCCUUCUUGGAUUGCCUAGUUAGUAUUUCACAUAUCCAUGCAAGUGUAUCCAACAACUGGAUGCAACUAUGGUAAGGUACCACAGUUGCACCGUAGCCGGACCCUAGAAAUUAAGAUAUUAUCUCUCUACAUAUUUUUGCACGAAAUAAUAUGCAAAUAUAAUAUUUUAGUUUAUUAUUAAUAGUUUUACAAUAAUAAAAAUCAUUUUGAUAGACUGGAAAAUGUCGUAUUCGCACUUUAUUUUGUACGAACGUCUGCGAGAAAGAAUAUAUCUAUAUAUAUAUAUUGGAACAUGUAUUUAAGAUUUAGCUAGUGUGAAGUUGGGAAAGUUUUUUUUUUUUUUAACCCAGGCUAAAAAUAUUUCAAUAAAUUUUGAUCAUGGAGACUAAUAAGAUUUUUUUGGUUAUAUUUAUUAAUUUUUUAGGGACUGACAUGAAUAUUAAUAUUUUUAUUGAGAUUAUUAAAAAAAUGUGCUAUUUUACAUCUAUGACUUUUCCAAUCUUUUUUUCUUUCGUUAUUUAUUCCUUUGUGAAUUUUAGUUAAUGCUUGAUAUUAUUUGUUUGCUCAUUUUUUAAAGCAGUAAUUAAAUCUGAACCCUUACAGUAGAAGAUUAUGAAAAAGUAAAGACACAAAAAUCAUAAAAAUCAUUGUAGGUCCAAAUUUGUGCUAUUUUCAUACAUAAUUUGAGAAUAUUUAUAAUUACGCAUCACAACUAGUGGAGUAGAAUCAGGGAAAUUAAACAUUCUACAAUCAUUGACGUGUGGGUUGGGGAUAAGCAUAAACCUUUUCUAUGCAGUAUAAAAGAAUGCAAUAACUCCUUUUCUUUCAGCAUUUUCGCAACAAAAGCACAUCUAAUAACUCUUCAGAAUUCUCGUCUUCUUUGUCAGAAUGGUUGAUGCGAUCGUUUCCUCUCUCCUGGUGCAGCUGAGCUCUGUUGCGGCUGAUGAAGUGAAACAACAGGUGAGGCUUGUGACUGGUGUCGAGGAAGAAGUGAAAAAGCUCACCCGCAAUCUUCGAGCCAUUCGAGCUGUGCUGGAAGAUGCAGAGAAAAGGCAAAUGCAGCGCGACAAUGCUGUUACUUUUUGGCUGGAUCAGCUCAAAGACGCAUCUUAUGACAUGGAAGACGUGUUGGAGGAGUGGACCACUGCAAGGCUCAAAUUGCAGAUUGAGGGCGUUGAUGAUGACAAUGCUCUUGCUCUUGCUCCUUAUAAGAAGAAGGUACGUUCCUUCUUUUGUGCUCUAUCAAACUGCUUUGGUAGUUUCAAAAAACUCAGUCUUCGUCAUGACAUUGCCGUCAAGAUUAGGGAAAUCAAUGGAAAGCUAGAUGAUAUUGCCUCCCAAAAAGAUAGGUUUAAAUUUGUUGAGAAUGUGAGCAACAAUGUUAAGAAACCAGAGCGAGUGCGAGCCAUCCCCUUGAUUGAUGAGAGAGAGGUUUGUGGUAGAGUUGAUGAGAAAAAUGAUCUCUUAAGCAAGCUGCUGUGUGAAAGUAGUGAACAACAAGAAGGCCUUCAUGUCAUCUCACUAGUUGGGUUAGGGGGUAUAGGUAAAACCACUCUAGCACAACUGGCCUAUAAUAAUGAUGAGGUGAAAAGAAAUUUUGAAAAAGUUAUAUGGGUGUGUGUAUCAGACACUUUUGAGGAGAUUAGGGUCGCCAAAGCAAUCAUUGAAGGUCUAGGCGUGUCAGCUUCUGGUUUAAGUGAAUUCGAAUCUCUUAUGAAACAGAUUCAGGAAUAUAUUACGGGGAAGAAAUUUUUUCUUGUUUUAGAUGAUGUGUGGGAUGGAGAUUACAAAAAAUGGGACCCAUUCUUUUCUUGUCUAAAGAAUGGCCACCAUGAAAGUAAAAUUCUAAUUACCACACGUGAUAGGUCAGUUGCACUACAGUUGGGAUCAAUAGAUAUUAUCCCUGUCAAGGAGUUGGGAGAAGGGGAAUGUUGGUUACUGUUUAAGCAGAUGGCAUUUCUACGUAGGUCCUUUGAGGAUCGUGAAAAAUUAGAACCAAUCGGGCGAAAAAUUGCACACAAGUGCAAAGGCUUGCCUCUUGCUGCAAAGGUAAUAGGGAAUCUUUUGCGCUCUAAAAGUACAGUAAAAGAGUGGCAAAGAAUUUUAGAGAGUGAAAUGUGGAAAGUAGAAGCAAUUGGGCAAGGUCUUUUAGCUCCUUUGUUGUUGAGUUAUAAUGAUUUGCCCUCCAAUUCUAUGGUAAAACAAUGUUUCUCAUAUUGUGCUGUCUUUCCAAAAAACUACAAUAUGAAUAAAGAGGAACUAAUUUCACUAUGGAUGGCUCAAGGUUAUCUUAAUACAGAAGAAGACGAAGAGAUGGAGAUGAUUGGGGAAGAGUAUUUCAACAUUUUAGCAGCACGCUCUUUCUUUCAAGAGUUUAAAAAAGAUGAUGAUGAUGAUAUUAUGAGCUGCAAGAUGCAUGACAUAGUACAUGAUUUUGCCCAAUUUGUAAGUAGAAAAGAAUGUUUGUGGGUAGAAAUUAAUGGUACCAAAGACUCAGUCAUAAACUCUUUUGGUGACAAAGUCCGUCACUUAGGGUUAAAUUUUCAAAGAGGCAUUUCAUUUCCUAUGUCCAUUCGUGGACUUAAUAGAUUGCGUACCCUUUUAAUUUAUGAUAGAAGUGAUUUCAAUCUGUCUCUUAGUAGCAUCCUUUUGUCUUUUAGUAGUAGCAAAGAAUGUUUAAGGGCAUUAGUUAUAAGGCUGUUGCGCCUAUGUUUUUGUCCAAACACAUAUAAGAUUAGAGAAACUCGAAAGUUAUUUAGUAAAUUGGCCUGUUUGAGGGCAUUAGUUAUAAGGGAAUCAUUAGUUAUAAGGCUUUCAUCCACGCCUGUUCGUCUUCACUCAAGUUUGAUUAGAGAAAUUCCAAAAAAUGUCGGAAAAUUGAUACAUUUAAGAUAUCUUAAUUUGUCUGAAUUAGGCAUAGAGAGACUACCUAAGACUUUGUGUGAAUUAUAUAAUUUACAAAAGCUAGAUAUUAGGCGGUGCCGAAAUCUUAAAGAAUUGCCAGCGGGGAUUGGGAAGUUAAAGAACAUGAGGAGUUUACUGAAUGGUGAAACUGAUUCGUUGAAAUACAUGCCAGUAGGGAUUUCCAAAUUAACCAGUCUUCGAACAUUAGACAAGUUUGUGGUGGGUGGAGGUGUUGAUGGUAGCAAUACGUGUAGGCUUGAAUCUCUGAAAAAUCUUCAACUCCUUCGAGAAUGUGGAAUAGAAGGGCUGGGUAAUGUGUUAUAUUUAGAUGAGGUCGAGAGAUUACAACUUUACAAUCAGCAAAACCUCCUUCGUUUGCGUCUUGAGUUUGGUAGAGUCGUAGAUGGGGAAGAUGAAGAAAGGAGGAGGAAGAAAGAGAAAGAUGAACAACUUCUUAAAGCCUUACAACUGCCUUUGAGUGUAGAGAAAUUAGGGAUUAUAUUAUAUGGAGGCAACAUUUUUCCCAAAUGGUUGACUUCACUGACCAAUCUAAGGAAUUUAUAUCUUCGCUCGUGCGUUAAGUGUGAGCAUUUGCCUCCUUUGGGAAAAUUGCCUCUGGAAAAACUCGUAAUCAUCCACUUGAAAAGUGUAAAAAGAGUGGGUAACGAGGUUUUGGGAAUAGAAGAAAGCAGUGAGGAUGGCCCGUCUUCAUCUUCAUCACCACCAUCAGUUAUUGCCUUCCCCAAAUUGAAAUCACUCAUAAUUGGGGCAAUGGAAGAAUUGGAAGAGUGGAAUUACAGGAUUACGAGGAGGGAAAACAUCUCUAUCAUGCCACGUCUUUCUUCCUUGGAAGUUCGUUCUUGCAACAAAUUGAAGGCGCUGCCGGAUUACCUUCUUCGAACGUCGACGCUGCAGGAAUUGACUAUUGACAAAUGUCCUCUUCUGGAAAACCGUUAUAGAGAGGGGAAAGGAGAAGACUGGCAUAAGAUAUCUCGCAUUCCCCACAUCAAGUGGUCGCGGUAAUUUAUCACUCGCCGGUAAUUUCUCCUGCUCCUCUGAUUUACUUCGUUGUUGCUUGCAAUGAAAUUAAUAAAAAUAAUUAUAUUUUGAAUUAAAAUUCUAUAUAGAAUCAAUCAUGGUAUAAAUACGUAAAACUUCCUAGUUAUCAAAUCUGUUAAACUUGUUUUCUAAAGAUUAAAUAAAAAAAAAAUACAAGUGUAGUCUGUUUAAAUUUCUAUAUUUAUUUGUUUUUAAAAAAUAUGUGCUCUUUUGUAAAAUUUCAUGCAAUGUAAUUUAUUUUUUAAUGUACGAAAAUUUGUUAUGUGUAACAAAAUCUCUGUGAUACGUUUGCAGUAAUGUUGAAAACUAAAUUAUCAAUUUUAUCUUAUAUAAUGAUAAUCGUAUUUUUUUAUAUAUAAUAUACGUGACAUUAAUUCUUUAAAGUAAUUGUGUAAUUGUUUUUAGUAGUACAUUAGCCCACUUUGUUUUAUUUCAUACUUGUUUAAUUAUGUUCACCAGGGAUUCGAGGAAAUGUCAGAACUACACUAGCAAUUCACAGGUCCAAUCUAAUUUGGUUUUAAUGAUGCGGGCAGGAGAGCAAGACUAUGAAAAUGAGAAGUUUAGCCAAAGGAUUGCUAAAAUGUUCUGCUGGUAAUUCACUUGCUUUAUUUUAUAGAAUUUCAUUUCCAUCUUCUUCUAUUGAUAUCUUGUUGUAAUAAACAAGAACAGAGAAGUAAAUAUAUAUAUCAAAAUUUACUAUUACGAUGAUGCUAAAGCAAGCUCAAGCUCAAGCACUGCAUUUUUAUUUUAUUUAAUUUAUAGAAUUUUCAUUUCCACCUGCAUUGCAUUUUUAGGUUGACUUUGAAGACUCUAUGGAGAAAAUUGGGGUAACCAAGGAUUAUCACUGUGGUUAUUGUGCAACGUUUGGUUGCUGGACUUUGAAGAAGGAAGUGAUGGCCGGGUCUGCUCUGUUUCAAUUGAGGAUGGAUAGCUGCCUGAAAGACAUGAUGAUUAUUAUCAUUGCAUGAUGUUAAGGUGCUAAGAUCAUCAUUUCGAUCUUGUUUCAUUCUUGGAAUCAUUUAUCCUGUAUAAACAUUUGUUUUAACAAAUGUUUCAAUGCCUGCUGUAGUAACAAUUUCAUCUCUUGCAUCUCUCGGGUGCAUCAUGAUCACGGGUUUGAGAAAGCAUUUGUGGUAAAGCUUCAAAGCUUGUACAAUGGCUGUGAAAAGGCACAUUCAAUUCGGUACGUUUGGUGCGGUCUCCUAAUGCUACUACCAUAUUUUGUAUAGCAAUUAAAAUUCAGGUAUACAAUCUUAAUAUGCAAUAAAUCAUUGAGUACAAAGUUAUCUAUUAAUUAUAUGGUAACUGAAAUUUUCAUUAUAAUUUUAAUUAUCAUAUUAAUAUUAAAGUUUUUUGUAACCCUCUUUUACUUUGCUUGUACAGAGUAUCUGUUUUGGCUGAUAUGUCUAAUUCGUAGCAAUUCAUUUCCAUCGGUUUCCAUUGGUUUUAGCACAAACAGAAACAAAAAUCUGGGGAAAAAGUUUUACUUCUUCUGGUAUUAUGCCUUUAUUUAUUCAUUCAUCAUAUUUGUUCGAAUUCAUGCUCUCAUUCAGAGAGCAGCCUUUUCCAGGCUACUUUGUAGCCAAAUUUUCAUGCCAUCGAUGCAUGAUUGUCAUUUAGAUUUUCCAAAUAAUUGUUAGAUUGAAGAAGAAUAAGAAGAUAUUGUUAAAAGGGUAUUUAAUUAGCACCCUCUGAAUUUAGUUGCCAAUAAUGCAUUGAAAUGGUUGGGGAAAGUUAUUGUCUCAAUUAAAUUACAGGUGACAAGAUGCUGCUCCAAUUUUGCAAGCAUCUCGUGUUUCGAGAUUUUGCCCACAUGAGAUGCUAUGAUUUUUGACAUCAGGGUAACAAAGGUCAAAUUUUAGCAUCAAUAGAUAUCAUCUUCUUUACUGUUCUGCUCGAAAUAUUAAACUUUAGGCAAGUUGUUUUUGUUUGUGUGAGUUAUCAGGUUAAGGAUACUAAGCAGCUUAUUAAGGCAAAUGUCAGAAUGAAGAUUUUUCACCGCACCUGGUAUGAAUGAUGGCGAGGAAGAUUAAUUGUUCACAAGCCAAUUUGAUCAGUGUUAGAUUCUUUUGCCUCCCUUCAAGAGAUAUCAUCAUCAAAUUUGAGAAGAGACUUUUGUUUUGACAUUUCACUGUAGUGAAUUUUGGGAGCUUGAACCCACUUGAGUGAAAUAUUAGGGAAUACUGGGGAUAUGGGUUAUGAGUGAUCGUUAUCCUUCAAAUAUUUGUAAGCUCUCACUUGUUAGUAAAAUCAUCUUCGUAUAUUGACUUUGUUUCUUUGUUGUCAGGCCGAGUGUGAUCUUCAAGGUUUGAGAAAGUCUUCGCAGUAAAAUUUCCACCACGUGCAAUUGCUGUGAAGGGGCAUAUACAUUUGAGUAAUUCAGUUUCAGAUUUUCAAGGCGCGUUUGUUUAAUUAGUUUCGAUUAUAAUAUUUAGUCACUCAUUCUGAAUCUUUUCUAAUUUUCAAGUUCUUUAGGGCCGCCAACAGUUUUUCAAGUCUACAUGUGGCUGCAAAAAGAUUGAUGGUCAUCAAAUUAUCUUGAGCCUUGAGGCAUUGCGUUCGAGCACAAAAGGAAACAGAACUAAGGGAAAUGAAGACAGUAGGAGAUGCUCUGAAUAUAACAAAAGUAUAUUUCUACUUCUUGUGGUUAUUUUAAUUUUGUUUAUCCUGUCAUCAUAUUUAAUUAAUUCGUUUGAAUUCACACUCUCACACAUUAUUUAAAACCAUCUGCAGGUGGUUUGCAAGCUAGCUAAGUUAAUGCAAAAACAAUACUCUAGACAAAGAUGAGCAAAUUGAAGGCGACAAAUGCAAAUUGGAUUUCAAUGAAUAAUUGUUAGGCUGGUGGAGAUAUUCUUAAAAGGGCAUUAAGCUAUCUUAUGGAAUUGGAAAGUUAUUAUUGCUUGAAAGCAAGCAGCAUCUUCGUUGCGAAGGCUUUCCCCACCUGAUAAAAUGCUGAGAUUGUUACCGGCCCCUUAAUUAUUUAUUAACUCAGGUAUUUAUUAUCAAUACAUCAUCUUAUUCACCAUUUUGGCUAUAUAUAAAGAUUAAAAUUUCUAACAGUUGUUUCGGAUUCUUGUGUACUCAGGUUAAUAGGGCAAAUAUCAGAAUGAAGAUUGCUCAGUGCAACCGAUAGAGCAAGGAUGAUAGUUGUGAGAAAGAUUGUUGGCAAGACAAAUAGAGCCCUCCAUUUGGAGAAAUAUCAUCCUCAAAUUUGAAUUGUCGAGCAUGUGAGGUGAAUCUAAAGCCUUAAUAAUGAGACCUUCCUGUGGAAGUUUCAUUUGAAUGAAUUGAACGUUCUUACUGAGUGAGAAAUUAAGUAUAUAUCAUCGAUUUUGGUCGUCUGUGAAUGUUUUCCUUCAAUAUUAAUACACUAGCAUUUCUUAGUAAAUUCACUUCACGUCACUUCCUCCUUGUUGGUGGGACUAGUAAACAAAUGUCAUUUCUUAGUACAUUUUGAGAAUUUUGAUUCCCAAAUAAGCCUGCAGAACGGUGUAUGGUGGGAUUAGCUGCAGGAUUCUUUGCCAAAAUUCCUUUUUAUUCCUUUGUUCACUUAUUCGUUAUAAAUAAAGUAAAAUUAGAAUAUUGUUCCGUUUACUGUCUAAGCUGGUCUAACAUUUGUUUAAUUUGGGCAAUUUUUAAUGCCUAACAGGUUAUCUGUGACAAACCCAUCGGUGAGUGUAUGCAACUAUUGGAUGGAUUUGAUAGAGCGGUCACCAACAAUUUUGAAGUUAUUGGAGUAGCAUGGCUUGGAGGUCUCUCCCUCCCUCUUUUACGUAUUUGUCUAUUGAUUGACAUGUCUAUAUAUACAUUGAUAGACCAACCUACUCUGGUUUUAAUGUUUUGUUUGUUAAACUUUGACUGGGGAAUGUUUAUUUGUCUCAUAUGAUGUCAAUGUGGUUCCUAUUGAAGUGUAUAGAUCUGUCACCUCAAAGUCUGAUUUCAAUUUUCCUUUACUUCAUCAACUAGCAUCGUUUCCAAGUCCAGAUACUUACCAAUAGUGAGACUUUUCUACGGAAGUACAAUUUCUCUUGUUUUACAGUUAAUUAUGUAAGAAAAGUUUUACAUUUACAGAAUUCUGGUAUAGCUCUCUUAAGGAAAUGCGAGUGGUGAAUAUGGUUCCAACUUUUAAUAGGCUUAAUAGGCCCAUUUGUUAAGCCACAGUGAUUGCGGUCUAAAUUCUUCUUUACUGUCUAUAUGUGUUGGAGUUUGUCUAUUGUCCAACUUCUCAAAUCGAUUCCAUGCAGGGUUUUGAAUGUCUAAUUAGGAGAAAGAUUAACGGAUGACCUUUUGAAGAAGGCUUACACAACAGGCCAUCUCAGGAUGUCAUGGCUCAGCUCAAAAGUCCCCAGGUGGUUGAUAUCAAAGAAUGCCAUUGUUUCUGGGCUUGGUCUCCUUGGCAUCAAACAAGAUAAUGUUGACUCUAUUAAAGGGGAAAUAAGGGCGACUAAAGCGCGAAGAAAGAGGAUAGUCCGGAGGAAGGUGACUGCAUAAAUUUGUUGGAGUUAAUGUAGUCAAUUGCCCAAUUUUGCUGCCUGUCGAAGAGACACAUCAUGGAAGUCCUCAUCAAACUCUGAGACACCUAAGAAAUAGUAUGAGGUGGUGGUAUUCCCCUGGUGUUAAUUUCCUGGCAAGUGUGGUUCACAGAUAGAGGGAUUCUUUUCUUGAUGUCUAAAUACCGUAUGUGAUACAACGUCGUAUAUUCUAAUUUUCCUUGAGUUAAAUUCUAGUCAGUUAGGAAAGUUAAUUUUGUUUUCGCUAUGGAUUGUUUCCUAGAUAAUAAUAGUUUCCAUGUUUCUUUGGGGUCUUAUUAACUCUCUGUAACCCAGUUCAAGUUUGCAAAUUCUAUUUCAGAUUUCUCAUAUAGUGUGCCUUUGUCACUUCUGUGAUACACUUUUGAUCACAAGUUUCCAUUUGAAGUAACCAAUAUUCUUUAUAGACUAAUUAUCUAAGGAUUAUUUUAUACAAAAAAAUCAAAACUUUAAUUAAUUGAUCAUACUUAACUUGGCUUUUGUUUGAUAUUACUAGCUGUUGUGAGAACCAAAAAAAUAGCAGAAAGUUGACAAUGUGCAGUAAAUGUAUGACUUUUAAAUAAUAAUUUAAUAAAAUUAAUAAAGAUAUUAUAAAUUUUUUAAUAAUAAAGUAUGAGAUCAAAUCAAAUUAAUUUUUAAGUCAAAAUUGUUUAAUUAUGUAGUUUAAAAGUAUAGUUAUCCAACCUCAACACAAUAGAGAGAUUUCUAUUUACCAAACUCUACCCAACUUUGGUUGUACUGACUCGAUCAUGCAAGUCCAUACUCGACGCGUUGACCAUACAAGAUGUUACUCAACUUUAACAAAUCUUACUCAAACUUUGCACGUUUAGCAUGCCGAAUGGAAUAUGAUAGUAGAUGAUGUGAUAGAUAUUAUAGGAAUAGUCGUAACAAAAUUAUAUUUAGUACUUUUUUAUAUUUUAUGUGAUGAACAGAUGUAGUAUAUGAAUGGAUUAUAUUACAAAUUUUAGUGUUAUCAUAAUUAAAAAAUUGAAUUAUUUUUUAUUAUUGAAAAACUGUAAUAUGUUAAAUAACAGUUAUUUUUAUUAAUUUUUUUUAAUGAAUUAUACUUUUAAAUUGUAAUCGAAAAUUCUUAUUACUGAACUAAUAAAAAAUUAAUUAGCUCAAGAGAUAAAUUCACUUAGUGUAGAACGAAAUGGUGUGUUAUUUUUAUGUGGGAUCCACAUCCUUUCCACAUCAACCUCAACAUCCAAACAUGAAAUUGGACUAAAAAUAGUUCUUUCCCAUGUAUUUACGUAACCUCCUCCCACUAAACGCAAAUAUUUAUUCUUGAUUUUACUAACAUAAUUUUCUCCCAUUUCCAUAUUGUCCGCGUUGAGUGCAUGUAAUCCACAAGUUUAAUUUUUUUUUUUUUUUUAGAGAGGUAUGUUAAAAUGAAUAUAUCACUUUUUUUUCUUUUUUCCUUUUUUUUGUGUGAGUGAUGGCUUCGUUGAAUGACAGUUGGCUGAUAAUAAGUUAUCUUUUAAUUUUGUUUUUGAUUUAAUAGAAAAUAUUAAUUUUUGUAGUUUCGGUAGAUGAAAUUUCGAAUCAAAUAUUAAUAUUGUUAAAGUACGCAACCCAAUAUUUGCUUAAAUUACAAAAAAGAUUAAUUGCUUUGCAUAAAAAAGAAGUGAUCACUUGAUUUAACUUCCUUUACUAAAUUUACGAUUUAAAAUCCAAAAUAAAAAAGAGAGUUUAUUAUUGAUUAUCAUUUUCCCAAAUUUAAGCUAAGACAGUAAUAUGUCCAAAAUACCCUCCACGUUAUCCUAAAACUUUAUGAAUUCCCCCGUUCCUCUCAACAUCAUCUCUUCCAAAUCUUUCUUCCCCAAAAAACCAGCCAUGGCUUCAUAUUUAGUUACCUCAACACUCCAAUAUUGGCUUGUAAACAGCAGCGGUUCAACCUCUAGGCAACUUAGGUGGUUGCAUAGGACUCCGCUUUAUAUGAAAGCCCUACAAGAUGAUUAUUUUGUAUAUAAAAGAGGAAAAUGAAUUUAAAAGUCAUUAUUAUUCAUUUAAUUUAUUAUUAUUUUGUAAUUAUCUUUUUCUAAAUAAACUAUCAAAUUCUUAUCAAGUUUAUUUAAUGUAGUACUUAAUUGUUUUAAUUUCUACAAAACCAAUAAAUUAAUAGUUUCAAUCCUAAAAAUUCUCUAUUUCAUUGUUAGAAUUAAUAAGUUAUAUUUCAAAAGUUUUAUAUUUAUUUUAAACCUCUAUAAAAACCCCACAUUUUAUUACUUAUCCAUUAAAUUUUUCGUUCAACAAUCAAGACAUCUUGGUGUUUGAGAGAAAGAAAGAGAGAGGGAAAAAAAUCUUGCUUCCUCUACUUUCUACUCUAGAAGAAAAAGAAAAAAUCAAAUAGUUUUCUCUAUUUUCUAUGACUAUUGGUUGCUACUCAAAUUUUCAAACAACAGCCUUAAUAUAAACAUAAGUUAAUUUAUGAUUUCAUCUCAAAUUUCUGAUUUUAUCUUUUUAUUAUUCUCUUAAUUAAUUGUGUUGUUAUUUGUUCUUAUUUCUUUUUAUAUAUUCUUUUCUUCAUCUACUUUUUUUGUGCUUGUUUUAUCUAUUUUGAAAUAAAACUAUAUCAAAAAAUUUUAGACAAUAGGAGAAUAAAAAAAUUAGAUUAAUUUAAAAAAAUAGUAAAAAAGAUAUAAUUUAACUUAAAAAAAAGUGAAAAUGUUAUAAUUGAAUUAAAAUUUUAUGACUUAACAACAAUAGAAUAAAUUUGUAUUUAAUAAUUUUAUAUUUUAAAGUAUUUAAAGAAUUAAUUUUUAAUAAAUAAUAUUAAUAUAUAUAUAUAUAUAUAAGUUACUUAUCUCUCCAUCCGCACUUAUCUCUCCCUCACAUUCAUCCUCAACCACACAUCAACAUCAACAUCAACAUCACCUCUCAUUGGACCCCACAUCCUCAAGCCCAUCACAGCCGUCCAUAACCUCACCCUCCUCCUCCUCUCCCUCAUCAUGGCCGUUGUUUGCCCUCUCUCCAUCAUCCUCCAUUUACCGCACCUCCGUUACACCCUCUGUUUCCUCCUUACCAUUUCUCCGUCUGGCACGGCCUAAUUCCGACGGAAUCAACGACGGUCGUGAUGGGUUUUGGCUGCGACUAUUCGCGCUUCAAACGGCGGCGUUUCGGUUGGUUUUUGGCGACAGUGACGGUGGGAAAGUGAUGGCUGGCUCAGGAGCUUUCUUUGCUACCAUCCAUGGCCGGUGAGGUGGCCGAAAAUCGGAUAUAUGUCUGCGUCGGGUUCGCAGUUUUGGGUCGGGUUUUCCGGGUCAGUUUGACAGCUUCCUCUAUCCCUCUCCCCCAUAAAACAUUACCCAGCUUCCUCUUAUUAUUAUUUUUUUUUUCACAUACGUUACAGAACAUUAAUGAGAGAUGUUUAGUAGUAAGGACUAUUUUGAUAUUUCGAUGAGUAGUAAAAACUAAUGUUAAAAUUUUAUAGACGAAUGUAUAGUAAGAUGCUCAAAGUACUAGAACAUAUAUAAAUAAUCCCAGCUCUUAUAAAAUUUUGCCACAUAAUGAGUUUUAUCCCUUAAGCAAAACAUAUCGAUAAAGUAUACAAAAGCACAAUGCAUGAAUGAUGGUCUUACAAAGUUCGAAUAUAAAGUUUAAGAUACAGAAUAUGAUUUAUUUCCUUUUAGUUUAGUUUUUUUUUUUUUUUUUGGUUUCUUUUGAAAGGAGACCAACUAGAUCAUGCAAGAAGUUAAUUUUUUUCUAAAAUAAAAAGGGAGAAAUGAUGGUCUUACAAAGUUCGAAUAUAAAGUUUAUAAUCUAAAAUUAAUGAUGUGACAAUUAACCUAAUGGAGUAAGAAGUCCCAAAUAGAUUAUAUUUUGCUAAAGAAGUCAAUUCUACCAAGAAUACCUCUUUCUAUUGAAUUUAAAUGAUGAUUAUUUGUUUAUAUCAUAAAAGCUAAAAUAAUUGUGUGAGUAAUUUGAUUCUUUUACAGUAUAAAAAUAAAUUCAGAAAAUGUUAGGGAAAGGUCUUACACUAUAAAUGACCAAUAGAAGAAUAGAAAAGAAUUUUAGAUAGUGGAAUGUGGAAGGUAGAAGAGUUUGGGAAAGGUCUUUUGGCUACUUUGUUGUUAAGUUAUAAUGAUUUGUCAUCCAUAAUAAAACAAUAUUUCUCACAUUGUUCUAUCUUUUCAAAAGGUUACAAUAUGUGUAAAGAGAAACUAAUUACACUAUGGAUGGCUCAAAGUUACCUUUAAAUGUAGAAAAAGGCAAAGAGAUGGAGAUCCGAUCCAAUAUGAUAAUAGUAGUUUAUUUUAAUUUUUAUUAAUUUGAUUUCAUAGGAGUAGUUUUCAUUUUUUGUUGAAAAUUGGUAAAAAAAAACUAAAAUGAGAUAAUUACUUUAAAACAAUCUUCAAGAACUAAAAUAAUUAAAAAAACUCAAAAUAAACAAAAAGGCUUAAAAAUAACCCUAAUCCGAAAAUUGUUUGAAUCCAUCCUAACUGGCCCGAAUAUGAUUUUAACCCAAACCCAAUCUAACUCGCUUAUAAUUAUAACCUAAUGCGAUCCAAAUUCAACUUGAAUUUUUGAUCCGAUCUAAUCCAAUUUGAAUAUUCUAACCCUAUCAACCAGAAACCCAAUUAGGUUGAUCUGAACCUACAUUUGUCCACUCCUAGAGGGGAUCAUGACCCUACAAACUUUGAAAGUUUUUUGAGAUUUCUAAGUGAAUAUUAAAAAUUAUGUAUAAAAAGACUGAUUUGACCCCUAAACACUUGAUAUAGAAACUUUAUACAUAUAAUAGAAAUUAAUUUUAUAUUUUGUGAAAUAAAAUCAAAGUAACUGAAUUUUUUAAUUUUUAUUUUGUUAAUUAUUUUUCUACUAUGACAAAAUGACUAAUAGCCUGGUGCCUAGCUCUUUGACUUUUAUUUUGCUAAUUAUUUUUUUUCAUUUCUCUUGCAACAGUAAAUUCAAUUAUCAAUCAAAGUCGCCAAAUCAAAAUCUCUGCAGCCUGCAGCUACAAGCAAACUUCUCAAAUUUCGAAAUUCCUUAUGACUACAUAAUAGCUAUAAAUAGAAAAAGCGUCUAAAAUAACUAUGUUUUCCUAAGUUUGAGCUUGAGCCCCCUGAAGAUUUACUCCAUAUGUAACAAAAUAUUAGUUUUGCUAGUAAAAUUGCUAACUAUGUUUUUCUUUGUAUUUCCGCUCAAGGAUGAAGAAAUUUCCCUAGACUUUUGUGGUGAAUAUCUUACGAACAUAUGACAAUUUAAUCUUUGGCUGAGACUUGUUUAACAUAAGAGAUGACACUUUGAAGCAAUAGGAGAGAGAGCUGAUAAGCUUUGUUCCUAAAAAAAAAACUAUUACUUCUUUCUUUGAACAUAUGCGCAUUCUCUCUAAUUGUUGCAAUGGAGGAAUUUCCCAUCUAAAGAACACUUCAAUCAUCCAUUGCUUUGUAAGAUGUGAAAAGGCUACGAUUCUUGUACACAUACUUGAUUGCACCGGAAUCUAUUCACUAUGCAUUAUCAUGUUUGAGAAUAUUAAUCUCAGAUAUCAUGACCAUAAAUUUUGUCCACAAAAUUUGUGUUCAAACACUUCUUUUCUUUCUUAAGAAGUUGACAGUCUUUUUUAAAGUGGCUUGGCUUUUCACAUUGGCCACAUGUACACUUCUUUUUUUUAUUCUGUUGGUUUGAUUCUAUUUGGAAUCAAACUUUUGCUUUUGGUUAUUAAUGCGGUCAUUAGACUGCUUAAGCUCCUUCUCCUCCUCCACAACAUUAAUUUUAGAGGACAUAGCAGGCUGUUCCUCAAGACUAUUAAGUCUAAGUUUCUAUUCAAUAUGAAGACUUUGCCAUGCCUUCCAAGCUAAUUUCCUCUUUGCUAUAUUUAAGACUUUUUUCAUAGUCUUUUCAAGAGGGGGGAAGUUUAUCAAUAAUUGAAGAAGUGGUGCAGUCAAUUAAAUGAGCGAACUCGAGAAUCAUAAGAGUACAUACAAUAGUGGCUACAAUAAUUAGGCCUGCUUCCUCUCUCACCAGAACAGAACUGACGGCCCGAUCCGAUACCGCCAAAUACAUGACACAACUUAAAAGUAAAUUUUAACUCCCAAGUAUAAGAGUGUCUUGUUGUAUUAUAACUCGGUGAGUCCGAGGUCGAUCCACAGAGAAAAGAUUUAAUUAGUUUAUUUUAUUUUAUCUAAAAAUUGAAAUUAAAACUUGAAUAUAAACAACUUAAUUUAAAUGAAACUAUGGAAUUGAACUAGUUAGGGUUAUGGAUCCACUCUUAGAAAUAAAUAAAACUUAAUAAAUUCUUUUUGCCAAUUUGUUUUAGAUUUAUUACUCAAAAGAUUAAUUAUACAAAUUAUUAUUAUUUUCCCUUUAAUUUUAUGAUGGAUUAAGUAUUUAUUGUGCCAAAAUUUAAUUUGUCUACAAUAAGUCAAAAUACCAUUUCACCAUGCCUUAUAUUAAGAUCUUAAGAAUUUAUUGUGCCAAAUUCAUUUGUUUGUCUACAAUAAAUCAAAUUUUCAAAAUAUAAAACAUGUAUAAAAUUAAAUAGAAAAUAAUUUAAUUUAUAAAAUUAAACAUAGAAUUUGAUUAAAUCAUAUUUAUUUCUUAAGAGUUUCACCUUCCCCUAACUAAUAUUAUUUAGUUAAGCAUAAUUAAAAUAAAAAGAAGUAGUAAAAUUGAAUUACUUAUAAUUAAAAGAAAUAAAAACAACUAAAAUUGGAAAUAAAACUAAUUUUAUUAAUGAAAAUAAUUAUACAAAAUAUUAAAAACACACCUGGAAAUCAAGAUUAUAAGGAGAUGGAGAGAAUUUGAGAAGAAGAGAGUUGUAGAGAGAUGAUUAAAACAUAAAAAUGAGGCUCUAUUUAUAGAAAAAUAAAUUCAUAAUCCAGUGCUUUGCGGUCCAUCAUAGGCUUCAUGCAUGUGCUCCUCACAACCCUUAGAUCAAGAUCCAAUGGCUGGUCAAACUUCAAAAGUCAACAUCACACAUGGCAUCAUUUGACUCGUCCGAUUUACCCAAAGAACGGUUGAGAUUUGGCGGGUUAAUGGAUGGAUCGGGUCGACCCGAAUACAAAGAUUCGGAUCCUCCAACUUGCUUCACCAACCAUUGCCACGUGGCACAAUCAUGGCCAUUGAAUCAUGAACGGUUGAGAUUUAGUCAAGAUUGCCAAUUAUCCCAUGCACUCAUAUCUAUUGUAAGCUCAUUUCAUCAUCCAAUCAGUGCUCGGUCAACAGGAAAAGUCAACUUUUUUUACACAAGCCCAAUUUUAAGCCGAUCUUGACUGAUCUUAAGGUUUUCGGACCUCCGGAAUCCAAAUUUGACCUCUGUUUAUCUGUUUGGAGCCUCGAAAUACGUGAAAUUAAUAUUUUUCCUAAUAAACACAUAAAAAUACACAAAAUUAAAUAUAUUUAAAACAUAAUUAAUAAUUCAUAAUAUAUUACAUAAACGCAAAUAUAAAUUAUAACAUAAGCAUAAAAUAACAUAUUAUCGCUUGAUAAUUAAACAAUUUUUAAUACUAAUCACACCCCCCAACCAGCUUAUUGCUAGCCCUCUAGCAAUUAAAGCGUUAUAUUAAGAUUUAUAAAAUUCACAUGCAAGUUAAUAGUUGUUCAUCUAUCCUCUAAAUUACCAAAUAAAUGAACUCUCCCAAAUUCCUUUACCACAUUGAUGUUCACUCAUUAUCCAGAAUAUCAUCAAACCUUCUUUUGUGCUCAAGUAAUUAACACAAUACUUAUGGGGCUUCAUUAAAAGAAAAACAACAUUUUCGUUCUAAAAUUCAUUAGAAAUUAUAUCUUUAGGCAAUAGAUUAUUCACACAUUUUUUUUUUAUAUUACAUUUCUAACCCGUGUAGCGAGCUUUAGGUCAAUGACUCCCAGACCAGUUGGCCUUAGGGCACUAGGUGUUGAAGCACCCCUACGGACUUAAUUACUCGGGUUUCUAAUAAACAAACAAUAUAUCUAUUACCCAUGUAGCGAGCUUUAUGCCAGUGACUCCCAGACCAGUUGACCUUAGGGCACUAGGUGUUGAAACACCCCUACGGACUUAAUUACUCGGGUUUCUAGAUAUAACAAAAUUAAAAACAUUUUUUCUUCUUCUUUUUUUUUGAUUUUUUUUUUUUUUUGGUUUUUUUGUUUUUGGAAAUAUACACUUUCUACUACCUUAGAUACUAUUCCUAAUAAAUCAAAAGAACUAAAUGCUGUAAAACUUUAACUUACAACCCACUAGUAUGUGUCAUAGUGUGUGUGUGAAGAAUGAUUCAAUAAUACCUGUUAAAUGAGUAAACAAUUAAAUAACUUAAUAACCAAGUGGAGAGUUCACAAAUUUGAGUAAUUCAAAGAAAAGGGAACAAAAACAACUUACUAUGAAUCUCAAAAUCAAAAUAUAAUACAACAAGACUAUUAGGAUGCGUCUCAAAAGUCGUGACUCUUUACACGGCCAUCCUAGACAAAAAACAAAUUUUUUUUUUUUGGUUUUUUUUUUUUUUUUAACAAAGAAAAGAAAAGAGAAAAGAGAAAAACAACACACAUAUUUAAAACAUACGUCAAUUAUCCCCACCCCACAACCUAAUCUAAACAUUAUCUUAACAUUUUAUAAUUUUACAGAUAUGCAAAAAAAUAAAAAUAAAAGAGAAUAAUAAAAGAAGAAGAAGAAGAGAUCUCACCUGAACUUGAUGCAGAAGCUUAAAAGCAAAUAACAAAGAUGAAGAAAGAGUCAAUUUUUUUUUUAACAACACCCUUAAGAUUAAGAAGAUGCGUUUCUAGAGAGACUACAUUCUCUAUAUCCUGCCAUCUUCGACUCAAAUUUGUCCUAAGUUAGUCUUUACAGAAAAAAAAAAUUUUUUUUUUUUGUUUUUUGUUUUUUUUUUUUUUUUGUAAACACAUAACCAGGACUAAGACAUUCCACAAUUAUCAACUAUUCCCUCCCCCCAACCUGAAAAAGACAUUGUCCUCAAUGUUUUAAAAGGAAAGAGAAAGAGUGUAGAAGACAUCACAUGAACACUACAACAGAAAAUAUUUACAAACGGAGAGUUAAAUCUAAAUCGCACUUCUUAUUACUGCUACUGUUACCGUUACCGUCAUUAGUCGACCAAUUCAGUGCAACAGUCUGUGGAUCUGGCUCUGGUGUAUAAGCUUGCAAAAGAUCAAGUAACUCAUUAGCAGUAGAAGCAGAGAUAAAGAGUUUUUUUACAGAAUGUGGAACAAAAUGAUUCUUUAUUGCAUGGUUAAUAAAAGUUAGCAAGCCGUCAUAAAAAUUAUUAACAUUUAACAAACCGAUGGGUUUUUGAUGAAUGUUCAAGUGGGCCCAAGAUGCAAAUGUAAUUAGUGCCUCAAAAGUUGCAAGAUCUCCUGGCAAGAAAAUAAAAGCAUCAGCAUGAUUCAUCAUUUCAGAUAUUCUCUCUUGCAUACUUGAUACCACUAAUUCUUCUCCAAUUGGUGGGCCAGACAUGCACACUAGCGGUUUCAUGGGUUUUGGGAUAAUGCCGAGUACUUGGCUUCCUCUGGUAAAAACAGCUUCUGAGACAAGUCUUGAUAACCCUCGUUCACCUCCUCCAUAUACAAGAUGCAGUUUCCUCUCUGCUAUGACACGACCAAGAUCUACAGCUGCCUGAACGAACUCUUUGUACUUUCCAUAGUGAAACCCAGAAAGCACACAAAUAUUUUUGAAUUGUUUACUCGAAGAUGAUGCCAUUGGACUAAUUUUUCAAAAACAAGUUGUGAGUGUUUGAAAAAUGAGCUCAUAUUUAAAGAUCUUGGUAACAUAAAUAAUGAGAAACAGCUGUAAAUGGGUUGGCAAUAUUUGUCAAAUGACGAGUAAAGCUCGUGGCUCAAUAAUUCAAAAACAAACAGUAAAAAGAAAGUAAUGAUUAGAAAAAGCAAACAGUAAAAGAAAACCAAAUAUUUAUUAAAUACAAAAUCACAUCGCUAAAUGCAAUAAUGCAAAUGAUAAAAUAACAGUAAAAUAAAAUAACAGUGAAGUGAAAGGAUAUUUACUGGUAGUUGUGAUUGUGGCUCACAUCUUCCUCUGGUUUUACGUCCAGUAACGGCUUGAACGCCCUCUAUGGGUCGAGGAUCGGCUUCCCAUCCAGUUUUCUUAUAAACUGGCAAACAGGGUCUUUUUGAGUCAGAUUCCCAAGACUUAACUGUGCACUUUGUUUUUGGAAUAGUAUCCACAAAUUGUAAAUCUCACGUUGCACAAUUCCGCUUCGAUGCGUCUCAAGAGAUCGUAAGAUAUCAUCCAACGAUUCUUUACUCAUGCCAUCUUUAACGAAUUUAAUUUUAUCUUCACGAGUAUCAGAAACCAUUCCUAAAGAUUUACAAUCUGGUCGUUUGCAACCAAGUCUCACACAGUUAUGACAUUUUGAGCCAAGUCGUUUAGCUCUCCUUUUCUUAGCAAACGUACUUUUACCAAAACCAGGCAUGUAAGAAACAAAUUGACCAGAAAAUUCACCUGCUAAUCGGACCUUUGCUUCAAUUAACCAACGAAUGUCAGAAGGAAUGCCAUUGAUCAUUAACAAACGCAGUCGUUCACAACGAGCUUUGUAAAUUUUCCUGAGGGCAUUCUGAGGGAGAGAGGGAAAAUGCUUAUGGAGUUUAUGUUGUAUUUCUUCCAUGUAUGAUUUUGGGGUUUCAGUUAUUGUGGGAAACUGAAGAUACCGACUUAAAAAGUCACGGAGUACCGUUAUCCGCCAUUUAUACGGGAAAAUAAAUCAAAACACACCAAAAUCAAAUCUGCAAAAUCAAAUCAAGCGUGAAAGCGAGCAAAAAGAAGCACACAAUAUAAAAGGAAAAUGAACUUACAUUCGUCCUCUCAUUGAGUUAACCUCAAGCUCCAUUUGAAAUUCAUAUAUGCCACUCUCUACUGUUCUGAGUUGUCCCUCUAGAUCCUCAACAUAGGACACGAAUUCUGGUGGUUGCAGAUCCCAAAGUGGAUGUGAUUUACAGCUUUGUAUCAGGCCUCUUAAGUGAAAUUUUAUACGCCGAAAUCUUUUAAGAUGUGCGAACAGGUAUUUUCUCAUUGAGGUGCUCAUGAUGUAAAAUGAAAAUUGAUGAGAGAAUGUACAACUGUCAAACAAACACGCUUACACAAGAAAAACAAUGUUAAAAAAAAACUAUGUACAGUGCAUCAAUCUAAGGAAAAAAAAAAGUCAAACAAUGAAACGGUAAAAUAAUAGUAAAACAAAAAAAAAUCAUUAAAAACUUAAUCAAGAACUGGUGGGUCAUCCAAAUUAAUUUCGGUGUCCUCGUCACGUGGGUGAUGUUCCAGAUAUGGUUUUAAUCUUUGACCAUUAACUUUAAAUGUGACACCAUUAUUUGGAUUCUCAAUUUCUAUGGCCCCAUAUGAAUAUACAUUUUUUACAACAAAUGGGCCACUCCAUUUUGACUUUAACUUUCCUGGAAAUAAAUGAAGACGAGAAUUAUAAAGCAACACUUUUUGACCAAUCUCAAAUGUUUUUCGAAAAAUUCUUUUAUCAUGAAAUGCUUUUGUUCUUGCCUUAAUAAUUCUUGAAUUUUCAUAUGCAUCAUUCCUUAAUUCCUCAAGUUCAUUCAAUUGCAAUUUUCGCACAUUACUAGCAUCAACCAAAUUUGAAUUAAAAGCUUUAAUAGCCCAAAGUGAUUUAUGUUCAAGUUCAACAGGUAAAUGACAAGGUUUACCAUAAAUUAACCGAUAGGGUGACAUUCCUAAUGAUGUUUUAAAUGCAGUGCGGUAAGCCCAAAGUGCAUCAUUAAGUCUAAGAGACCAAUCUUUUCGGUUUGGGUUAACCGUUUUUUCCAAAAUUUGUUUUAUCUCCCUAUUUGCUAAUUCAACUUGACCAUUUGUUUGAGGAUGAUAAGGGGUAGCAAUUUUAUGUGUAAUUCCAUAUUUCUUCAUUAAAGACUCAAAUGACUUAUUACAAAAAUGCUUACCUCCAUCACUGAUAAUGGCUCGAGGGAUUCCAAAUCGACUUAAAAUGUUUUCUCUUAAAAAUUUAAUCACAGUUUUACUGUCAUUAUUUCGACAAGAAAUUGCUUCAAUCCAUUUUGAGACAUAAUCAACUGCAACUAAUAUAUACACAAAUCCAAAAGAUGAUGGAAAUGGACCCAUGAAAUCAAUUCCCCAACAGUCAAAUAUUUCAAUUUCAAGUAUGGGAUUUAAGGGCAUCAUGUUUCUUUUUGUAAUUGAUCCCAAUUUUUGACAUUUUUCACAACUUUUGCAAAAUUCAUAUGUGUCUUUAAACAUGGUAGGCCAAUAAAAUCCACACUGCAAAAUUUUAGCAGUAGUUUUUCUUGAAGAAAAGUGACCACCACAUGCUUCAGAAUGACAAAAAUUAAUGACACUACUUACCUCAUUAUCAGGAAUACAUCGCCGAAAAAUUUGAUCUGGGCAAUAUUUGAACAAAUAAGGAUCAUCCCAAUAAAAUUUCUUUACUUCAACAAAAAAUUUCUUCUUCUCUUGAGCAUUCCAUUGCAAAGGCAUUUUACCUGUAACAAGAAAAUUAACAAUAUUAGCAUACCAUGGCAUUGAAGUAACAGAAAAUAAAAAUUCAUCAGGGAAAGAAUCAUUUAUGGGUGUUAUAUCAUUGCAGAAUUCGGAUGUGAGUCUUGAUAGAUGAUCAGCAACAACAUUUUCAGCACCCUUUUUAUCUUUGAUGGUAAGGUCAAAUUCUUGUAGUAACAAAAUCCAACGAAUUAGUCUCGGUUUGGCAUCCUGUUUACUCAUCAAAUAUCUCACAGCAGCAUGGUCAGUAAACACAACAGAUUUAGAGCCAAGCAAAUAUGAACGGAAUUUGUUUAAUGCAAAUACCACAGCAAGUAAUUCUUUUUCAGUUGUAGAAUAAUUCAUUUGAGCACUAUCCAAAGUCUUGCUCGCAUAAUAAAUCACAAAAGGCUUACCAUCCCUUCUUUGUCCUAAAACAGCACCAACAGCAAAAUCACUUGCAUCACACAUUAAUUCAAAUGGCAAAGACCAAUCAGGAGAUUGCAUAAUAGGUGCAGAUGUUAAAAGACAAAUUAUUUUUUCAAAAGAUUUUUGGCAAUCAUCAUUCCAUUCAAACGGUGCAUCUUUUAAUAAGAGGUUACAAAGUGGUUUAGAUAUGGCACUAAAGUUUUUUAUAAACCUCCUAUAAAAUCCUGCAUGUCCUAAAAAGGAUCGCACAUCUCUAACUGUUUUUGGUUGUGGCAAUUUAGAUAUGACUUCGAUUUUUGCUUUGUCAACUUCAAUUCCUUUAAUAGAAACAACAUGACCCAAAACAAUUCCAGAAGUAACCAUGUAGUGACAUUUUUCCCAAUUCAACACGAGUUCUUUUUCAACACAUCUUUUUAAAACUUUCUCCAAAUUAUCAAGGCAAUCAUCAAAAGAAUUCCCAAACACAGUCAAAUCAUCCAUAAAGACCUCUAAACAAUGUUCAACCAUAUCACAAAAAAUGCUUAACAUACAUCUUUGAAAUGUUGCAGGAGCAUUACAAAGCCCGAAUGGCAUUCUUUUAAAUGCAAAUGUUCCAAAAGGACAUGUGAAUGUGGUCUUUUCUUGGUCCUCAAGUGCUAUAGGAAUUUGAUAAUAACCUGAAUAUCCAUCUAAAAAACAAUAGUAUGGAUGUCCUGCUACUCUUUCUAAGAUUUGGUCAAGGAAUGGUAAUGGAAAAUGAUCUUUUCUAGUGGCUUCAUUUAAUUUUCUAUAAUCAAUGCACAUGCGCCAACUAGAUGUAAUUCGUGUUGGAAUUAAUUCACCUUUUUCAUUUUUAACAACAGUGAUUCCAGAUUUUUUAGGCACUACUUGUGUAGGACUUACCCACUUACUAUCAGAAAUAGGGUAGAUAAUUCCCACAUCAAGUAAUUUAAGGACUUCUAUUUUGACUACCUCUUUCAUGUGUGGGUUUAUCUUCUUUGAGGUUGUUGACAUAUUUUAGCAUUUUCUUCCAAAUUAAUUCUAUGUGUGCAGAUUAAGGGAUUAAUGCCUUUAAUGUCAUUUAAAGUCCAUCCUAUUGCAUUUUUAUGCUUUUUAAGAACAGUAAGUAACUUACCUUCUUGGUCGCUUGUUAAAGUAGAAGAAAUCACAACAGGAUAAGUUUGUUCUUCUCCAAGAAAAGCAUAUUUCAAUCCUUCAGGCAAAGGUUUCAAUUCCAUUUUAGGCGCUUCUUGUUGUUCUAUCUUUUCAAUACUUCCAAGCUCCUCAAAUUUUGGCUCGUCAUCAUAAUUUUGCGAAGUCUGCAUAGAAUCAAGCAACGAAUUUAUAUUAGAAAUAUCAAGUUUAAGUUGCUUAUUUGACUCAAUUGAAUUAACUAAACAAACAUUAGAAAGUUCAGAAAAAUCCCCUUUUUGAAUAUUUUCCUCGAUACAAGAUUCAAACAAUUCCUUUUGUUCAUCAGUAUCAUCUUCAUUCUCAUUUUCUUCAUUAGGUUGCCUGCACAUGUUGAAAACAUUCAAUUCCAAAGUCAUAUUCCCAAAGGAUAAAUUCAUUAAACCAUUCCUACAAUUAAUCAAAGCAUUAGCAGUUGCUAAAAAUGGUCGACCUAAAAUUACAGGAAUUGGUUUGUAAUUAUUCACAACAGGUUCAGUUUCCAAGACAAUAAAAUCCACAGGAUAAAUAAAUUUAUCAACUUGUACUAAAACAUCUUCCACUAUUCCUUUUGGUACUUUAACUGAUCUAUCGGCAAGCAAAAGUGUAGUUGAAGUUGAUUUUAACUCACCAAGAUUAAGUUGAAGAUAAACUGAAUAUGGAAGCAAAUUAACACUAGCACCAAGAUCUAGUAAAGCAUGCUCAAUUCUGUGGUUACCAAUAAUACAAGAAAUGGUAGGACAACCAGGAUCUUUAUAUUUCAACUUAUUAUUAGUAGACAGAAUUGUACUUACCUGUUCGGCCAUGAAAGCACUCUUUCUUACCUUCAAUUUCCUCUUAACAGUGCACAAGUCCUUUAAAAAUUUGGCAUAUGAAGGAACCUGCUUGAUUGCAUCUAAUAGAGGAAUGUUAACUUUCACUUGCUUAAAGAUUUCAUAAAUUUCAGAAGAGUGGUUUGAUUUCUUUGGUUUAUUCAAUGCAUGCGGAAAUGGUGGUUCAGGUGGAACACUAGUUAUUUCUUCACUAGGUGUAAGUUCAUUUAGUCCUUCCUUACCCUUUGAAUUUUCAUCAUUUUCAUAAGGUUCAGGCAUAGGUCUAUCAACAACCUUACCACUACGAAGAGUUAUAACUGACUUGACUUGGUCUGUGGGUGGAUUUUGUUGAAUUUUAGGAUUUGGUUGUGGUUGGGCUGGAAAUUUUCCUUUUUCUUGAAUGGUGAGUGCAGAAGCAAUUUUAGCAAGAGUAUCUUUCAAAUCAGAAAAAGUUUGUGCAUUUUGAUUGUUAAUAACAUCUUGCUUUCUGAUGAAUGAAUGCAUUGUGUCCUCCAGAUUUUUCCAAGGUGGUGGAACAUAUGGUGCAUAAGGCUGAGGAUUUUGAAAAUUUUGUGGAGGUGGUGCUUGUGAAGAUUGUGCAUUAUUAUUAUUCCUCCAACUGAAAUUCGGAUGAUUUUUCCAACCAGGAUUAUAAGUCUGUGAAUAUGGGUUUGGUUUAUUGAAAGUGUUAAUAACAUUAGCUUGAUCAUUUAGACAUUCUUUAAGUGCAGGCAAAGUGGGACACUCUUGAGUGAAAUGAUCAUUCGAAUUACAUAUGUUACAUGCAAUUUCUUGAACAGAUUUUACUUGAUCACUCUUUUUAUGCUCCAAAGCUUCAACUUUCCUAACUAGGGAUGCAAAUUUUGCUUGUAAAUCAUGAUCUUCCCUAAGGUUAUGGAUUCCUCCACUAGAUGGAGAUGAUUGUUGCUUAUUUGUCAAUUCAAAAGUUCCAACAGUAUCCCAAUGUUGUGCAUUUUCAGCUAAUUGGUCAAGGUAAUCUAGUGCAUCUUCAGGAUUUUUAUCCCUAAAUUCACCAUUACACAUCAUUUCAACAACCUGUCUACUUUGGGGUAUUAAGCCUUCGUAGAAAUAAGUGACCAAUCGCCAAGUUUCAAAACCAUGAUGUGGGCAUAUGUUAAGCAACUCUUUAAACCUAUCCCAACAUUGGUAUAAUGUUUCUCCAUUUUUUUGAGUGAAAGAAGUGAUUUGCCUUUUAAAAGAAUUUGUUCUAUGAGGUGGAAAGAAUUUUUUCAAAAACUGUUCUUGCAUGUUAUUCCAAGUUCUUACUGAUCCAGAUCUAAGGUUUUGUAGCCAAGUUUUAGCUUUAUCUUUUAAUGAAAAAGGAAAAAGCUUUAAUCUAAUUAUGUUCAUGCUACAAUUUUGGUCCGUGUAUGUAUUACAAACUUCCUCAAAAUCUCUUAGAUGCAAGUACGGAUUCUCAGAUUCUAAACCAUGAAAUGUUGGUAAAAGUUGGAUAAUACCUGGUUUAAAAUUGAAUCGAGAUGCUUCUGGAGGAAAUACUAUACACGACGGUGCUCCGGUUCUGGUUGGAUUCAUGUAGUCUCUCAGAGUCCUUGGUUGAUUCUGAUCAUGCCCAUGUUGAGAUUGGUUGUCUCCCUGAUCAAUUUGAGGAUUAGGUUCGCCCAAAACGUUUUCGCCUUGAUUCUCAUCCAUGAUUGGUGGUGGAGAUUGAGAUCUACGAAUUAACCUGCCACUUGAAGAUCGAGACCAAUGUCUCAUGCAAGGGUUAUGUUAUAAAGAUAAUAUUUACACAAAUUGAUAACAAAAUAAAAUAAAAAAAUAAAUAAGUAAAUAAUAUAAGUAUACAAAAGAAAAUUAAAUAACAAAAAUGGUGGUUGAACCCACCAAUUAAAAAAAUAAAAAAUGCAAAAUUAAAUAAAUACUGAAAAUUAAAUAACUGAAAAUAAAAGUUAAGGGUUAGUAGUUAGUUUGGUGGUUAAACCCACCAAUAAAGCAAAAAAAAAUAAAUAAAUAAAUAAAUAAAUACGAAAUAAAAUAAAUGCAGAAAAUUAAAUAACUGAAAUUAAAUAAAAGUUAGGAGUUAGCAGUUAGUAAGUUAAGAGUUAGUAAUUAGAGUUAGUAGUUAAAGUUAGUUUGGUCCAAAAUAAGUCCAAAUAUGUCCAAAGUAUGUCCAAAUAUGUCCAAAGUAUGUCCAAAUAUGUCCAAGUCUUGAUUAUGUUGAGGAAUUUCGUCUAGGGAUUCUAUUGCAAAUUAUUUUUAAUUUUAUGGUCAAACUAUAAUUUUUAGAAGUUUAGAAUUAGCAAUUUGGGAUGAAAGUGAAACAAUUGAAAGAUAUCGCGGUCCGAACAUAAUUACCAGAAGAUUGGGCUAGAAACGGAAAUUGUUGGGGUGAAAUUAGAAUUAUGAAAGAUAUGGGGACAAAAGAGAAUUUAAGAAAAGGAAAAGGGGGCAAACGAAAUUUUACAUAUAAGAGAAAAAUAAAAACGGAAAAACAAACCAAAUAAAAAACUUUUCCCCGGCAACGGCGCCAAAAACUUGACACAACUUAAAAGUAAAUUUUAACUCCCAAGUAUAAGAGUGUCUUGUUGUAUUAUAACUCGGUGAGUCCGAGGUCGAUCCACAGAGAAAAGAUUUAAUUAGUUUAUUUUAUUUUAUCUAAAAAUUGAAAUUAAAACUUGAAUAUAAACAACUUAAUUUAAAUGAAACUAUGGAAUUGAACUAGUUAGGGUUAUGGAUCCACUCUUAGAAAUAAAUAAAACUUAAUAAAUUCUUUUUGCCAAUUUGUUUUAGAUUUAUUACUCAAAAGAUUAAUUAUACAAAUUAUUAUUAUUUUCCCUUUAAUUUUAUGGUGGAUUAAGUAUUUAUUGUGCCAAAAUUUAAUUUGUCUACAAUAAGUCAAAAUACCAUUUCAUCAUGCCUUAUAUUAAGAUCUUAAGAAUUUAUUGUGCCAAAUUCAUUUGUUUGUCUACAAUAAAUCAAAUUUUCAAAAUAUAAAACAUGUAUAAAAUUAAAUAGAAAAUAAUUUAAUUUAUAAAAUUAAACAUAGAAUUUGAUUAAAUCCUAUUUAUUUCUUAAGAGUUUCACCUUCCCCUAACUAAUAUUAUUUAGUUAAGCAUAAUUAAAAUAAAAAGAAGUAGUAAAAUUGAAUUACUUAUAAUUAAAAGAAAUAAAAACAACUAAAAUUGGAAAUAAAACUAAUUUUAUUAAUGAAAAUAAUUAUACAAAAUAUUAAAAACACACCUGGAAAUCAAGAUUACAAGGAGAUGGAGAGAAUUUGAGAAGAAGAGAGUUGUAGAGAGAUGAUUAAAACAUAAAAAUGAGGCUCUAUUUAUAGAAAAAUAAAUUCAUAAUCCAGUGCUUUGCGGUCCAUCAUAGGCUUCAUGCAUGUGCUCCUCACAACCCUUAGAUCAAGAUCCAAUGGCUGGUCAAACUUCAAAAGUCAACAUCACACAUGGCAUCAUUUGACUCGUCCGAUUUACCCAAAGAACGGUUGAGAUUUGGCGGGUUAAUGGAUGGAUCGGGUCGACCCGAAUACAAAGAUUCGGAUCCUCCAACUUGCUUCACCAACCAUUGCCACGUGGCACAAUCAUGGCCAUUGAAUCAUGAACGGUUGAGAUUUAGUCAAGAUUGCCAAUUAUCCCAUGCACUCAUAUCUAUUGUAAGCUCAUUUCAUCAUCCAAUCAGUGCUCGGUCAACAGGAAAAGUCAACUUUUUUUACACAAGCCCAAUUUUAAGCCGAUCUUGACUGAUCUUAAGGUUUUCGGACCUCCGGAAUCCAAAUUUGACCUCCGUUUAUCUGUUUGGAGCCUCGAAGUACGUGAAAUUAAUAAUUUUCCUAAUAAACACAUAAAAAUACACAAAAUUAAAUAUAUUUAAAACAUAAUUAAUAAUUCAUAAUAUAUUACAUAAACACAAAUAUAAAUUAUAACAUAAGCAUAAAAUAACAUAUUAUCGCUUGAUAAUUAAACAAUUUUUAAUACUAAUCAUUUCUUACUUGUGGUGUCUUCCUUAAUGUACUUAGACUCCAAUAAGUCCUCUAUUUCUUUUGCUGUGGAUUUUGUUGUGGUACUUAUCAAAACAAAGUACUAGCAAUGGCAUUGUAAAUGUGUCCUAUGCACAGGUAGACAUCUUGCUUCCACUUUUGCCACACUCAAGUUUCUCAUCCUCACGUUCUUCAGGCUUUCAUAUUGUAAGAACAUAAACAACAUUGAGGCUUGUCAACAAGAAAUGUAAUGUUUUUUGCCAACGUAUAAAAGUUGUGACUAGGGGUGGGCAUGGGUUGGUUUGGGUUGGUUUUUAAGUCAAUCCAAACCAAACCAUAAAAAUUUGGAUCCAACCCAAACCAACCCAAAUAUUUUUAACCCAAACCAAACCAAACCAUUUGGGUUUGGUUUGAAUUUUAUUAUCAAAAUAAUUUUUAUUUUAAUAAAAUUUAAUUAUAUCAAAAUUAUAAUAAUUAUUAAUUGUUAUUAAUUAUUAAAUUGAUAUUAAAAUAUAAAAAAAUAUAGUGGAUAAAAAUUAUAAAUUUUACAAUAACUUAAUCCUUAAAUUAAAGAAUACUAGAAAAUCAAAAUAAAGUUUAAUCACAAAAAUUAUUAUUUCUCAAUAAAUAAGAACAUACACUUUAAUAAUAAACUUUCACAAACAUGACAUUAACAAUCUAAUAAUAAAUUAUUUUUAACAUAUAUUAUUUUUCCCCCUUCUCCUUUUAUAAUGGCCAAAAACCCCUCUAAUAGUAUAAGUUUACAAUAUUACCCUUAUUUUCAACUACUCUUUUAUUUCUAUUUAUUCUAAAUUAAAUAAAUCAUAUGAAUAGAAACUAAAUAAAAAAUAAAGCAUUAAAAAUAAGAAAUAUAUGUUUUGAUAUGAACAAAAAAAUUAAUAAUAAAAUUUUUUUAUACUUAUUUAUUUUGUGAAAAUUUUCUUAUAAUAAAUAUAUAAGAAAAUUAUUAGUCAAAUGAUAAAAAAAUUUUAUAAGAAAACUUGAAUGACAAAUAAAAAUUUAUUAUAAGAUAAAUAAUAAAAUAUUUUACCUAUACUUUUUACAUUUAAUUUUAAAAUAUUACAAAAUAUUUAUUAUAAGAAAAUGUUCACAAAAUAAAUAAUUACAAGAAAAAAUUUUAUUAUUAAUUUUUCUGCUCAUAUCAAAACAUAUAUUUCGUGUUUUAAUACUUAAUAUAGGCAUUACAUUCAAUUAUUGACCAAAAAUUAGCCGCCAUCUAGCAUAUCGGACCCAGUCCAAGCCGAGUUAUUAUUGAUCAUUAGUAGAGUCUCCUGCUCUUUCUAUGAUGAUCCUUCCAUGUGGGAGGAAUUAUUUUUGUAAAUAAGAAAAAAAAUUAUUUAUGUUAUUUACAAUAAUAUUUAUUUAAUUUAAAUUUAUUUUUACUAUUAUUUUCAUUUUCUAACUGUUGACAAUUGAUCACGCUGUAAAAAAUUUAAUGGUGGUCUUUCACUUAUUUGUGUUCAUUUAUUUUGUUUUCAUUUAUUUCAUUUGAAAAAUUUGAGUGUUGGGGUUUUGUCAAUAACCCAUGGGUAAACCAUACCCAAACCAUAAUGAAAUGGUUUUCUACAUAAAACCCAUAUCUAACCAAUUUUCAUGAUUUACCCAACCCAAACCAUUUAAUUUGGUUUGAGUUUGGAUAAACCCAUGGGUUGUGGGUUUAUGCCCACCCCUAGUUGUGACCAUCAACUGCUCUAAUUUAACAAAAUCUACUGUGAAUUGCGGAUGAGAUGAGCUCAGUGUCAUUGUUACAGAAAGAACGUCUUAUGAAUGUCGGGAAAAUAUAUUUUUAGGGAAUGAAAAAUGUAAUAAUGGCAAACGUAGAGAGUUACAGUAAUAAUGAUUAUGCCACAAAGAUAAUGAGUCAAUUAUGUAAUAAUGACAAACAUAGAGAGUUGCAGUAAUAAUGGUGGAAUUUUUUUCUAAUAAAAUAAUGAGUUUACUACUCUGUAGGUACAACGAAAAUAAUAGUAAUAAGUAAAUUGUAGAAAUUAACGUGUAUUUCAAGGCACUUUACAAAUAUUACUUUCUUUAGACGUUAUUCGCCCCCAUCAAUUGAGUGAUGAAUAUGGGUUAAACAAAUACGCAUCUACGAUACAAUGAAACACUUAUUUAUUUGUUUGCAUUGGGUAUCGACAAAAGCAAACCUAAAUACUCUUGAAUGUUGCAAGCUUGUCAAGAAUCAAUAUAAUUGUUCCUGUAGUAAACAAUAUGUUGGAUAUUUAAUGCAUAAAAUAUAGAUGUUAUAUGAUAAAAUUCGUUUUAGAAAGGAGAGUUUAGAAAAGAGUGUUAUAAGAAUGUUAUUUUCAUGUCUAAAUGGCCUAAACAUGGCCUCUAUUUAUAAAUAUAAUUGUGCCCUCCAUUUGGAUUGUCAUUUUUCAUGAUACCCAUUCGUUUAUGGUCAUUGGAUCAAGAUUUGAUUUUAAUCAAUUGUCUAAAUAAGUACAUCACCAUUUCAAAUGAAAUGACAAUGUGAAAUGAUACAUUUUUAAGUGGAAAGAUACCUUUUAUAUGGGACAAUUACUAGGACAAGUUUUUAUAAUAAAACAUCAUUUAUUUUGAAAUUGUUACAGCCCUAAGAUUAUUCUAGGUUAAGUUAAUCUAUUAUGUAUAACUUCAGAAGGUUCAUCGGUAGAUUGCUUUAAGUUUUUGUCAUAGUUUACAAAUAUUUUGUUACUUAUAAUGUAAGAAAUUUUACAAAUGUUGGUGCUGAGUAAUCUGCAUAAUUAUUAUGAAUCAGAGAAACAGGGCAGAUGUUGUACAAUUAUUGUUGUGGUGGAGCGGAAAGUUAGCCCGGACGGUGACUGCUAUUGGGAUUUCUUUAAUUUGCAGCAUAAAAGCAUUUACAUUGACAUCGACUCAAGGGUAAAAAUUAAAUAUCUCAUGUAGCAUAAGAAGAAUGCAAAAAUGCUUGAAUGAGCAUUCUCACUGAAUACACAAAAGCUACUUUCCCUUGAGCACUUUCGCAACAAAAGCAAAUGUAAAAUGUAGCAUUUAAUUCUAACAUCAAAUGGUUGAUGCCAUCGUUUCCAUCCCUUGGGGAAAUUGAAUUCCUCUAUCUGAUAUUACAGUCUGGAGCGGCUCUUAAGUACCUCAGGCAACUUAGGGCAAUUUAGGCGGUUGCUCAGGGCCCCACAUUUAACCUAGGAUCCCAUUAUAAAUGAAGGUUUCUAAGUUAAUUCUUAAAUUAUAGUUAUUAAUUAUUGAUUUAUAUUUAUUAUUUAUAACUAUAUUUUCCAUAAACAAACUACUAGAUUCUUUCAAAUCCCCUUUUAAUAUUAUAAUUAACAAUUUUAAUCCAUUUAUUUCCUCCGUAUAUUUCAUUUAAAACUCUAUAAAGGCCACACCUUUUUUAAAUUAUUAUCCAUUAAUAUCUUUUUCCAAUUAAAGAAAAAAACAAAACCUUCAUUACUUUGGUGAAAAAACUACUUUCUCUACCUUACUUUUUGCAUAAGGAAGAAAAGAAAAUCAAUCGUUUUACUUUCUUUUGAUCAUUGUUGCUCAAAGUCUCAAUCCAUCAAAGUUAAAUUUCUCAAAUUUUCAGGUUUUAUCUUCCGAUUCUCUUAUUAAUUAAUUGUGUUAUUUAGGUGUUUUUGUUUCUUUGUAAAAAUAUUAUUCUGUUCAUAGGUUGUUUUCUUUUAAUUAUCUAGCAUAAUAGUUUGCAUGAUUACUCUUGUUUCAUUAGAAAAAAAAAAUGUCUACUAAAAACUAUGCAUCAUGAUACAAAAAACUUCAUAAAAGGAGAAGAACAGAAAAGUUAGUUUAAUCUAAAAAACAAUGCUAUUGAUAAAAAAAUAUUUAAGAUCACCCAUUUCAUAAGAAAGAUUAAAUAGGUUAACUAUAUUGUCUAUUGAGAAAGAUAUAUUAGCAAAAUUAGAAUAUAAAAAGUUGACUAAUAAUUUUGCAUCUAAGAAAGUUAGAGAAAUUGAUUUUAAAUAAAUAAAACUUUAAUAAAUUAAUACAUAUAUUUCACCUCAAUUUUUUUAGAAGGCCUAAUUAAAUCAAUUUAUUUAAGACCUAAAAUAUGAUUGAGCCGCCUUGAAAUUGCAGUAAGAUAGAAAAGUGAAAUAGACAGAACACUUGCUCAUACGUAAAGAUGCGACGAAUUUGAGAAUACUUAUUAUUAUGUGCCAAAUUCCUAAUGUGUGGGAAUUUAAAAAUGUUAGUGCAUAACAUGUGUUUAUCGGUGGAGUAGAAUCAGGGAAAUUAAAGAUAAGCAUAAUUUUUGCAUCCAAUGCCAAAUUCCCCCAGGGAGAGAGUGGGGACUCCUUUGCAUAAAAGUUGUUAAAAGUUUAUUGUUAAUAAUAAAAAUAACAUGCAGAUACAGUAUUUUAGGUUAUUGUUAAUAGUUUUACAAUAAUAAAAAUCAUUUUGUUAGAUCGUAAAAUGUAGUACUCAUACUCUAUUUUGUGCAAAAGUCUGCGAGAAAGGAUUUCAGAUUUACCUAACGGGGAAGUUGGGAACUUGCUUUUUUACCUAGGCUAAAAAUAUUUCAAUAAAUUCUGAUCGUGGAGACUACCUGAAACGACCCGCCCCGAAACCCCCCAGGCGAGUCUAUCUAGUUACAUCAAAACAGACUUAAAAAUAAUAUUAUACGUAAAGAAUCUGCUGAAAAUUCGACAGAGUCUCCUUUAUAUAUAUAACACUCCCAAAGUACAAAUAUGAAUAUACAACAAACUCCAGUGCUCAACAUACUCAACCAAAAAUACUGAGUUAUAUAAUAUACAACCCCAAAAGAACAAGAUGACCAAGAUGUCCCAACAGAAACAUUUAUAUACUCUAGCACCAUCACGUGGCCAAGACUCAAAAUAUAUACAGUCGCUGGGUCGGUCUGGUGUACCUGCAACCUCCUGGUGAGGGGGGGAAAAUAUAAUAAAAACGGGGUGAGUUUAAAACUCAGUGAGAUUAGUGAGUGGAUAGUAGGUUUGAAAAUUGAUCUUUACUUUAAAAGAAAUAAGCAUAUCCAAACACGGUUUCAUUAAACCAUAAGUGAGAAAUCAGAAAUAAAUCAUUAAAUAUUUAAAUCAGAUUACCAACCAUAGAAAUCAUAUCACCAAAUCAUAUCGAUUUCACAAAUCUGAAAAUCAUAUCUCAUCAUAUCUCUGCAUGCAUAAUCUAGUCCCCAAAGGACAAAAGCGCCCAAGCACACGGCCCAAAGCCUCUGUGUGUACUCAGACGGGCCCCAAAGGCCUCCUUACAAUCAGAGCGCGCACCUCCCUUAUUACCCCUCAGUUUGGCGGGCCUCCCUUAUUACCCCUCAUCUAUAUCACUGUACUCAUAUUCACAUACCUCUUUACCACAUUUUAAAUCAUACCACAUUUGAAUCCACUUUUCUUAACUUUCAAAUAAUAUCACACUUUAUUCAAAAUCGAUACGCAAAAUUAUUAACCAAACAUUUUCAUAUAAUAUCAACAAGUGAAUAAAAUCCAUUUCGAGAAAUCAUUAAAUCAGCACAUUUAAAAAUACUUAUUCCGCAACCAUGCUUUACUAUCAUAAUUAACUCUAAAAAUAAGUUUCGUAUAUUCCACUCACAGUGACGGUGUU
rnacentral:lncRNA from 1 species